rnacentral:lncRNA from 1 species
UAGUUAAUGCAUAAUAUUGUGGUUAGGAAUGAACAUCUCCACGUGUGCCCGAAUGGAAACACCGACGGAUAACGCUAUAUGCAGAAAAUAACUUAGUUUGCCUUUUAUUCCCAAGUUUGAACUAGUGCCAGUCUAGUCCACACAUGAUAAUGCAUGGCACUUUAUUUUUCACCGCUACAUGGAUCGGACCAUUGACUAAACAUUGGUGGUCCAUUUUUCGGAUACUAGAACUCUCGUCUUCUCAGUAGCCGCCCAUGUCGGUAGUGACGUCACUGGAUGGUGAUAUGGUGGUGUAGCAGUAUGGUGGAACAUGCACGUCGCACAUUGCCGGGAUGGUCUGAAUCACCCAUGUCCCUAUCACCGCAAUCCAACCCUGAUCCAGUUGUGUUUGUUGUUGUGGCUGGCUAGAACCCAGACCCUGUUGUUGUUGUUGACCUUGUUGUUGCUGCUGCUGAGGUUGGGUGGAAGUAGCUUGUACCAAUUGUUGUUGUUGUUGCAAAAUAAUGGCGUGCACGACGUUGUGGAUGGCCUCGCAUCUUGACUGCUUGGGGAUCGCUUUUAGUUGCUGACAGCACUGCUCCCACAUUACCAAGCAGCUGCUAUGUUGCACCACCUGUGACCGGAGGAAUGACAUAUCAGCAACUGGGCUACACUGUUGUAGGAGGGCAUCCCUGCAUGGGUUCAACUUUUGAUGUGGAACUGGAUGUUCUUGUGGCUGCGGAGUUGGUUGAUGCUCCGGAGAUGAUGGAUGUUGCGGCUCCCAAGCACUACGGAAUGCAGUAAAGGGUUCGGCGGCCGUGGUGGUCGCCGCGACAACAAUGAGGGCAAGGACGAGGAAUUUCUUCAUGGUUGAUUUGUGUUAGAUAAUGUUUGUUCUCCAGUUGAGUGAAUGGUGGGUGCUGGAGGAGUGUCUUGAUUGUUUAGGCCUAUUUAUAACCGACAUGGCAUCGCCUUUUUUCAUCUUUGCAUUUCCUUUCCUUAAAAGUGCAUGGAUGCUUCUCGGACUCUAUCAUUUGGUAUGCUGCGUUAGGUGCAACUACUUACAAGCAUAUUCCUGCACUGAUCAUCAAAGUUCUUUGUUGUUGCAUGUAUCAUUCCGCUAUCAACAAAUCUUGAUAAUUGACAUAACUCAUCUUACUUACUUUACAUGUCAAACAUCGAUCCGGAUUGCAACAUUUUCUAAAACUGGGUUUGUUAUAUUCUACAAGUUGUUACGCAUAAACUAGAUUAGCUUGCCUUGUGCCGAACUAAAGUUUGUAAUUUUGUGUGGCCUGUAAAGAUACAAUAGACUAGUAUUGUAACUUGCAAAAGUAGAUGAUGACAUGAUUCGUCAAAGUCCCUUUACAUGCCAAGGAUUGUAAUGUCGUACAGGAUUAGUAUAAGGAUUUACACUCAAGUACAGGCGAAGAUUUGUUCAAGAUUCCAUCUAUUUGUCGAAUUAAACCUGUACUGUUGUGCAAAUCGUUAAGAUAAUCAAGUAUUGUUUGCUGAAUAAGUUCGGGAUUGUUCAUGACUAGUGUUAGCACCGGGGAUUCCUAAGAAUGAUACAGAGCAUGUACAUAUAAGUAUGAAUAGAUAUGCAUCCAGGCGUUUCAUCAAUCUGCAAGAGAAAUCACAAGCCAUCUGUUAAUUAAGCUACAAACCUACAAAACAAAUAUGCGUCCAGAAAAUGUACCGGAUUUCAAAACGUUCAUGUUUGCAAAAAAUGUUCUCAUUACACAAAAAAGUUCAAAACUUUCUAAAUUCAGAAAAUGUACCGGAUUUCAAAAUUUUGUUCACGUAUUCAAAACAAAGUUCACGCUUCCAAAUUUUUUCGGGAUUUUUCAAAAUUGUUCUCCGUUUAAAAAUUUGUUCUCAAAACUAAAAAAUGUCGGUGCUUUAAAAAGUUGUUCGCGCUUCAAAAUUUGUGCUCAAGAUUCAAAAAAUAUUCGUGCUUUAAAAAGUUGUUCACAAAUUCCAAAACCAUCAUGUUUUAAAAAAUGUUUGGGAAAUUCAAAAUGUGUUCGUUUUCAUAAAUUUCGUUUGCGUUUGUGAAAAGAUCAUACGAUCAAAAAAUUUGGAAAAAAAGGGAUUUUGCCAAACAGUGUUAAGUCCGCAACUGUACUUCGUUUCUUUUAGAUUUCCGCUGUAUUUCGGUCGACAUGCCAGUUCGUGCAAGCAGGAAGUGCCAUGUUCCAUUCCUUGCCACCGCGCGCUACCCUGUUUUGUGUUUUUCACGCUCGUAUUCGAAGUGCACUGAAUGGGCAGGCCUACUCGGCACCCCCUGUGCGACAAGGCGUAUAUUUGCCGCAGAACGCGGCAAAUAGGAGCUCCCGCCAUGCGAAGCGCUGAAUCGCGGACGCCCCGCUCCCCCGCGCGAUGUUUUGGGCCGGCCCAUGUGCGGCGCAGGGGGUCCUUUUUUGUUGUUCUCUUCCAUUUUUUUUCUUUUUCGUUGGUAGUUUUUUUUUCUUCUUCUUCUUUUUACCUUUUUAAACAAUAUUCAAGAUUUUCAUAAAAUUUUCAUGAUUUUUUUAAAUCAGCAAAUUGAAAAAUAUUAAUAGCUAUCAAUAAAAUGUUCGUGCAUUUAAAAACAAAUUUAAAAAUGAAAAAAAUGUUCCAAUUCAAGUAAAUGUUAGUGCAUUUCAUAAAAUCUUCACUCAUUCAAAAAACGUUCUUGCAUAUCUAAAAAAUGAAAAAUAAAUUGUAUCUGAUGAACAAUUUUUGAAUUCGAUGAAUUUGAUGAGGAAAUUCUGAAUUGGAUGAACAAUUUUUGAAAUCGAAGAACUUUUUUUAUAUAUUCAAGAACAAUUAAAAAAUGAUGAACAUUUUUUGUUUUUGACAGAAAUAUUUUGAAUUUGAUGAACAAAAUUGGGUUCGAUGAACAUUUUUUAACUCGGUGAAUUUUUUUGAAUUUGAUGACAGAAAAUGUUCAGGAUUUAAAAAACUGUUUGUGAAUUUGAAACAUUUGCAAAUAAAAAGGGAAAUAAAAAUAAAAAAAGAAAACGAAGACAAAAAAUAAAAAAAAUGUCUGUGAACGUUCUAGAACUUCUACUACUACUUCAUAACAAAAGAAUAAAGAGAAAGAAACAAUAGCCCAUACGUCCCACAGUGAUAUUCCGUUAUUAGCUAGCUAAUUAUACAAACAUUGAUGAUCAAUAAUACUACCUCCGUUCAAAAAUAACUGACGUGGUUUUAGUUCAAAUUUGAACUAAAACCACGUCAAUUAUUUCUGAAGGAGGGAAUAUAUACUAGUGUGGCUCCGCUCCUCAUCACUCACAGUCUAUCUGUCUCCAAUCAAGAGUUGGCCACCACAUCGUUUCUCCCUCCCUUAAUAAACUAGCUACUCCACAAAAUUUAAUUAGCUUAAUCAACUCAUCANNNNNNNNNNNNNNNNNNNNNNNNNNNNNNNNNNNNNNNNNNNNNNNNNNNNNNNNNNNNNNNNNNNNNNNNNNNNNNNNNNNNNNNNNNNNNNNNNNNNNNNNNNNNNNNNNNNNNNNNNNNNNNNNNNNNNNNNNNNNNNNNNNNNNNNNNNNNNNNNNNNNNNNNNNNNNNNNNNNNNNNNNNNNNNNNNNNNNNNNNNNNNNNNNNNNNNNNNNNNNNNNNNNNNNNNNNNNNNNNNNNNNNNNNNNNNNNNNNNNNNNNNNNNNNNNNNNNNNNNNNNNNNNNNNNNNNNNNNNNNNNNNNNNNNNNNNNNNNNNNNNNNNNNNNNNNNNNNNNNNNNNNNNCUAGUUGGUGCCUUGCUAUUUGCCGGUCCACUGUGUGUUCCCGGGGCUCCACUUAGGGCACUUGGGGCUCAGGUACUUGCCCUCCACCAUGUCAUCGAGGAGCUCCACCACCGGGCCCUACCACACACACUCUGACACGUUGCACUGGUUGAUCGAUGCAUCGCGACCGAGCGCGUAGUCCAUGAUCUUGCCAAAGGUGCCCUUGGGAGACGAUGUGGAUCUCGAGGGGUCUGACGGAGCAGUCAGCUGCACGACAUUGCCGGUACACAUUGUUGGAGCUCUCACAGUCACAAGGACCGACUAGGCGGCAUGAUUGAUCUUCUUUUGCCGAUCCGCCUUUUAGGUUCACCUCUUAGCCAUUGAUUGUUGGCUCUCUGGAGUAUGUACCCUUUUUAUUUUCCUUUUUGCACUUGGGCUUGUUUGUGCGGUAGUCCUAGCUGACCUUUAUUUUUCGUUCAUGCAUUUGAACUAUCUGUAUUGAUGGGGUGGUUGAUUUAUAUAUAAAGCGGGGUUGUCUCAAAAUAUAUAUAUAUAAAGCGGGGUAAAACUCUAGUUCAAGAUAAACUUAAGGAGGUUGCCUGCAAGAUUAAAUUUGUGCCCUCUAUUUCUUUUCAGAUGUUGUUUAUGAGAAGAUACACCUCUAACAUUAACGGAAGGAGUAUAUACUUUUACAGACGACAGCCCAUGACAAUCUUGCAUCAAAAGUUUUUCACACCAUGUAAUUGUACACUCUGUGUUGUAAAUGAAGGGGUAGGUACGGUGAAAGGGGGAGGAUGAAGUAGUCCAAUCCUUUGAGAGUCGAUCCACCGCUCAUCAAGUUCUUAGUGAAGUCGAACAUGGAGGGGAAGGGGCUCCUUGAGCACCUAAAAUAGGUAAAUAAGCAAUCGAUGAAGAACAUCAUGAAAACAAGAGGGCAUGUUUGACUCGCAAGAUUCUAAAUAGAAAAACGGAAAGGUAGGAACAUGAUAUAAGAAUACAUGCAGAAAGUACAUGACUGACAAACAUAUAAAUGAGGAAUAUCAAAACACAAGAAUUAAUCCUAAUAAACAAUGUCAAACCAUAGUCAAACCACAUGGGAAAGUAUAAUUGGAACUAUACCGUUAAGGAUCUGAGCCUCGUUCUUCGUUUGUAGAAAUUUGAAAAAGAGGACCUAACGAAUUGCACAGUUCCUCGUUUUUCCUUUCAGAUCGAAGGGAAAUCCUUCUCCAUUUCCCCUUUGCUCCAUUCAUUUGAACCAAGUGUAUGAAUAGUGCACCAGAUGGAAAUUUUGUCGGGUUGGUCGCGACGGCUUGCGUGACAUCACCGUGGGAGCAACAAAGGCACCCUUAACAUGCAAGGUGUGUCAGGCGAGCUAUGUUAGCCAACCUCGCAUGACUGAAGUGGCAUAUGUCUGCUCUAUCAGACGAAGUGUUCCUCUUCGAUGUCACUGAGCUUCGUGGAUAUCCUUGUGCCUGCCCGGAUUGAUACAACGUUUUCGGUGUGCACUCUAGUAGCGGCGAAGGCGCUAGAGUUUCAUGAUGUUGUGUGGUGUUGGUCUUCUCGCGUGUUGUAUGUUUUGUGGUGCUUUAGGUCUAGUCUAGCUAGGCGUUGUUUAGGUUUCUGCCUGGAUUUCCUUGAUAUUUUGAGCAGUCCUUUUUCAUUCCUUCUUUUUUUGGCACUUGGCUUUAUGCGGUGCAUUUCUCCUUUGGGGUGUUACUGGUAAUACCCUUUUCUAAUCAAUGAGUUUGGCAUCUCUCCUGCCAACAUUAAAAAUAAUCUUACAUGGACCACAUUGAAGGUCAAAAUCCAGAAGGCUCACCAUUAAAGAGUUUACCUUAAUAGAGAUUCAGCUUGCUCCAAUUUUUAAAAAUGCGCUACAUACAAAGCUAAGUAAUGCAUAACAUUGUUUUUCGUAUGAACAACUCAACAUGUGCAUGAACGGAACACUGACAAAUAGUAUAUAUGCAACAAAAAAUAAAUAUCUUGUAUUUUAUUAAUUUGUCGCCGCUACAUGGAUCGGACCAUCGACUAAACAAUGGCAGUCCAUCUAUCGAGUACUAGAUCUCUUUUCUCAUUAGCCACUCAUGUUAGUAUAGCGAUGUUACUACGGUGAUGUGGUGGGGGAGCAGUAUGAUGGUACGCGGAGGUCGCACAUUGUCGGUAGGGUCUGGAGCACCCAUGUCCUUAUUGCAUCGAUCCAACCCUGAUUCAACUGAUGUUGUUGACGUUGGAUGGAACCUUGACCUAGUAGUAGUUGUUGUGGUUGGGCCAAAGUACCUUCUACCAAUUGUUGUUGUCGUUGUUGCAAAAUAAUGGCGCGCACAACGUUGUGGAUGGCAUGGCAUUGUGCUCGCUUGGGGGUAUGUGAUAGUUCCUGACAGCACUGCUGCCUCAACACCUGGCAUCUGCUUUGUUGUACCAUCUGUGACCGGAGAAAUGACACAACUGCCACUGGACGACACUGUUGUAGGAGGACAUCCCUACAUGGGUUCGGUUGUUGUUGUACAAAUGGUUGUUGUUCCUGAACUAGGUGUUCAUGUUGAUGUGGAAAUGGAUGUUGCGGUUGGGGGUAGGAUGGCUGUUGCGGUUGGGGAUAUGGUGGUUGUUGUGGAAAUUGUUGUUGCCUAAAUGGUAUCUGUUGUGCUGGAAAUGGCUGUUGUUGCGGAGUUGAUUGCUCCUCUUGAAAUGGUUGUUGUUGCGGUUGUGGAAAGGGUUGUUGUGGUUGUUGUGAAAAUGAUUUUUGUGGUUGCAAUUGGGGACUAUGGCGAUGGUAGCGAUGGAGGCAAGAAAGGCAAGCGUGAGGAAGAUCUUCAUAGUUUAUUCGUGUUGGAUAAUGUUUGCUUGCCUUUGAUGUGUUGUUCUCUAAUGUGAAUGGUGGAUGAUGGAGGAUCUUGAUGGUGUAUGCCUAUUUAUAGCUACCAUGGCAUUGUUUGUUUUCACCCUUGCAUUUACUUUUCUUGGGAAGUGCAUGCACGCUUCUCAACUCAUUAUUUCGUAUGUUGUGUCUGUUGGCACUACUUAUAAGUGUAUUGUUGGAUUGCUCAUCAAAGUUCUUUGUUGUUGCACAUAUCACUCCACUGUCACCAAAGCUUUAUAAAUUGAGAUAACUAAUGUUAUUCACUUUACAUGUCAAACAUCAAUCUAGAUUGCAUCGGAAGUUUCUGAAACUACUCCCUCUGUAAACUAAUAUAAGAACGUUUAGAUCACUAAAGUAGUUAUCUAAACACUUUUAUAUUAGUUUACGGAGGGAGUAGUUUGUAAUGUUCUACAGGUUGUUACACAUAAACCAGAUUAGCAUGCCUUACACUGAACUAAGUUUGUAAUCCUGUGUGGCCUGUAAAGAUACACAAGACUUUACAGUACAAUGUGACUUGCAAAAGUAGAGCAUGACAUGAUUCAAUAUUCUGUUGGUUUGCCAAACUAAGUUUGUAUUGCUGUGCGGAUCAUUCAGAUAAUCAACAGGUUUUGCUUGCUAAAUCUGCUCAUGACAAGUGUUGGAACUGGGAUUGCUAGGAAUGAUACCGAGCCUUUACAUGGCAUAAUUUUUCUGCAGCUCGAGGGAAAUUUAUUUAGCAGGUAAAAACAAAUAGAUAAGAGAUAUCCAGGCAUUUCAUGGAUCUGCCAGAAAAUUCACAAGGCAUUAUCUAUCAUGAACAAUGCUACAAAACAGGUUGAGGAAAGCAAUCACAUUCUUAUUCCAGCCGAACAGUAGUUGAAUGCCGUAUGCUCAGAUUAGAAAUAUUGGCUUCAACUCAGCAGUCUCUAACUAGUAGGAGAAAGACCUGUAACAAGUCCAGAACAAAAUCCAGAUGUGCAGAUCGAAGAUGAUAAGCCAUCUAAAACUCAGACCACUGGAAGCUCCCCGCACUCACUAAUGACCACCUUCUUCUUCGGACGGUCACCUCUGUCAGUCUCCGACGACUCUAUCGUCCUUACGAUGUCCAUGCCUUCAAGAACCUGGCCAAAGACAACGUGUCUCCCAUCCAGCCACGGUGUCUGCAAGCAAGGCAGCAGAAACCUCAAUAUGGAAUUAUGAACUUCAAACUCAGCAACAGAAAAAGGGUACUAUUAUUCAAAUUGACUGACUGGUAGCAGGAAGUACACAAUUAAUUACCUUCAUUGUGCAGAUGAAGAAUUGGCUGCCGUUGGUGUUCGGUCCAGCAUUAGCCAUGCUGAGCACUCCAGGUCCAGUAUGAACCACUAAGAACAUUAAAUAACAUAUAAUCAGUUAGCAUAUAAUCUGAAGCAAAGCUGUGCGACACAGGUUCAUUGCAACACAUACAUUGGAAGUUCUCAUCCUUAAAGGUGCGGCCAUAUAUGCUUUUCCCUCCAGUACCCUGAAAUUAUCAGUUUCUAGUUAUUUAAUGCCAUUGUUGGAAGCUGUAUGUUUCAUUUUAGGCAAUCUGAAGUCUCAAAGUACUUCAAAUGCAGAUGAAACACAAAAUCAGGUAUGGGCUCAAUAUAGGAAAGGAUGGCGCAAUGACAAUCACCUUGAAUUCUUACCACGAGGCCACUGACCAAAAAAACAGAGUAGGAUGCACUUGUGCAAGUGAUUAAUGACAAUCAAACAUGGAUAAGAUCCAGGGUCAAAAUGCAGCACCAUAACAAAUUGAAUGCAGGUACACGAGCAAAGCUAGUAGUAAAGGUUCUAAACUCCCUUUCCUUCUCCCCCAGUCCCUCUGGUCCGUAAAAUAAUGCUUAAACAGCUAGCAUAACUAUCAACAAACUGAAACAGGUACAUUCGUGCAAAAAACAAAUAAGCACAUGUAUCUGUUCAAUCUUGUAAGCAAAGGUAUUUGCAUGGUAACAACUGAUAGUCUUUAGCUUUUCUUAAUGCAAUCUGUAAUACGGCAUAAGGAUGCACAUGCAACAAACAAGAAUAGACGAAGGUAGGAAACACAUACGUUGCCCUUGUCAAAGUCUCCUCCCUGAAUCAUGAAGUCCUUAAUGACACGGUGGAAACUUGAUCCCUUGUAUCCGAACCCUUUCUCCCCUGGACAAAAGAAAAAAAGAAAAAUUGCUCAUACACCUCAUCAGAAUUAAUUCUUGAAGAUGGGAUAACAGAACAUGGCUCCAGCAGUCCCUCCUACCAGCGCAGAGUGCACGGAAGUUCUCAACGGUUUGUGGAACGUCAUCCCCAUAGAGCCCGAUGACAAUCCUUCCAACAUUCUUCCCGACAGGGUUGCCAAUGCUUAUGUCAAAGUACACCUUGUUUGUAACUUUGGACUGAAGCUCAGGUGCCUGCAAUGCAUGACGAAAGAACAGCUUCAAACACCAUGAAAUGCAUGACAUCUAUAAUAAGGUAAAAGACAUACAACAGUGCAAGCACAAAAGCGGCAUAUUGUUUAAACCAUACAGUGGCACAUUUGUUCCCUUAGACAGCCGGCGACUAAAACUAACUGGGCCAUAUAAUGUACUAAACACUAACACAUGCCAUACCAAUGUAUGGUAAUAUCUGCAUCUAACACUGGCAUAACCCGACGGUUAUCAUAAGUGAUGAUAAAACCUCAACUUGCAAAUUUGUUCACACAAAAAAAAAAUUAUCAGUUAGUGACCAGAUUUUUCUCAUGAAAAUUACAGCUACCAAAUAACAUACAGAAUAGUGUGGAUGUUCACAAACAAACGCAAACUACAUAUCUAUUAGAUUGCAACUCAGCUUCCUGACAGAACAGGGAGCGGUGCCAGAUAUGCAGGCUUUACACAGGUAGCGGCCACAGCGCCCAGAUAGAAACAGCGGCGCAUUUGAUUCCUCAGACUGCGGGGGACUAACACUACCUGAACCUAUAAUGGACUAACACAAAAACAUGGCAUGAAUAAUACUGCGACGUCGAGUCGGAGUUCGCCUCCAAAGGCACAUACGCCAUGUCUACCAGAUUGCAAUUCGGUAUUAGAUAUGCAGGCUUCACAUAGGUUGCGGCCCCAGCGCCCGGAUAUAUAGAUAAAAAUAGAUAAAUGGGGAAUCUUUACAUAGGGUUCGGCGCUGGCGGAGGCGACGAAGCGCGCGCGGCUCUGCUGGGAGACGGAGAGGGCCGGGGACGCGACGCGGCCGCCGCGGAGGGAGAGGGCCGACGAGGGGACCUUCGAGGCGAGGAGCGCCCUCUGCGCCGCCGCCCCCGACGCCGCCGGGCGGGCGAUGGCCUGCAAGAAAGAACAGCACGCACAGCACAAGAUUCAGGCGGAGGAGGAGGAGAGCAGGCGGGUCCGACAAGAAGUGGUGAGGAGGAGGAGGAGGGGAGGGAGCUCACGAGCGUGGCGAAGGAGGAGGUCGCGGCCGCCAUUGGAGGUCGACGAGGUUUCGGGAUGGGAUUUGUUGGAGGGGACGGACGGAGUCUCUGGAGAUAACCAAAAGGAUGAGCUUUUUAUUCUGCUUCCUCACUCCCCUGAUGCCCGUGGAGCUGUUGAUUUGAGCCCUUUGCGUUCAUCCUAUUUGCGCACCCAAGUCCCUGGGUUAAACCUUCUACUAUGAAGUUUGGAUGUCGACGGCUUGUGGAUAUUCAGAUCCGGCGCGGAUCUGAGGUGCCGGUGCCCUCAUUGGCCGUCCAUCUGAGCCGACGGGUGAUGUAUUACCCGUUUAUCAUGGAGAUAUCCCACUCUCUCCGAAUUGCGGACGCAAUUGCAUAUAGUAAGAGCAUCUCCAGCCGUUCGGUUCCCAGGGCGCCGAAAAAGAGCCGCCUGGAGCCGAACCGGCACUUGCUUGGCGCAUGGGGGCGACUGCAUUCUCACUCGACGCCCCCAGGUCGACGUUCCCACUCGACGAAAGGGGGAAUAAAAAGCUCGUGUUUAUUGGGGAGAUAUAAUUAAUGAGCUCGUUUUGCGGAAGGGGGAAUGAGAAGAGAGGAAAAUAAUAAGAGGCGGAAAGGGGGAAUGAGGCUCAUCUUUAGUAUUUAACAUAUAAACAUAGCAAUAUCUAGUGGAAUCAUCUAUUAAUGUCAUGAAGUAUUUUCUUUCCACCUUUAGUCAACACACCAUUCAUCUCACAAAGAUCAGAAUGUAUGAGUUCUAAUGGUGCCAAGUGUCUCUCCUCCGCGGCCUUACGAGGCUUGCGAGGUUGCUUAGCUUGCACACAUGAAAGACACUUAGAACCUUUGGCUAAAGUGAAACUCGGGAUUAAAUCCAACUUAGCUAGCCACGUCAUAACACCAAAACUAAUGUGACAAAGACGUGAAUGCCAAACUUCAGAUUUAUUAACAUUCGAAUGAAUAUGGUUCACGGCUGUAUUACAAAAAUUUGCGAGGGAAAGGCGGAACAUCCCUCCGCUCUCAUAACCUUUUUCAACAAAGAGUCCAUAUUUCGUAACAACUAAUUUAUUAGACUCGAAAACCAACUUAAACCCUUCUCUACAUAGAAGGGGCCACUAACGAGGUUCUUCUUGAUGGCGGGGACAUGUUGCAUGUUCUUCAGCUGCACGAUCCUUCCCGAAGUAAACUUCAGAUCGACCAUGCCAACACCAUGAACAGAAGCACUCGCGCCAUUCCCCAUCAAUACGGACCCGUGACCUGUGACCUGGUAAGAAGUGAACAAUGAAAUGUCAGCACACACAUGAACACCUGCACCUGUGUCCACCCACCAAUCGGUAGGCUGAAGCACUGAAAAAACAGUAAAUAAAUUACCGUUCCCAGAUGCACCAUUCUCAUUGUUGCCCACAAUCAUGUUGACAGACUUGGAGUCCUAUCCUGACUUCUUGUACUUGUUUGGGCACUUGUUGGCCUAAUGUUCAACCGAACCACAAGUAAAGCAGCCCUCGUCCUUCUUGUUCUUCUUGAAGGUCUUCUUACCCUUCUUCUUAAAGUCGGUAUUGUGUUGGACACCGUUCUUUCCCUUGGGCUUGUGGGAGUUGAAGUUCUCUGGUUCACCAUGUUGGCGACAGAAGUCCCUUCGGCCCCUUUUCCGUGCGAGUCUUUUGCCCUCGAAUUCUGCUCAACACUCAGAUGUCCAAUGACAUCCUCCACAGAGAAUUCACGCCUCUGAUGUUUCAGAGUGGUGGCAAACUUCCUCCUGGAAUUAGGGACCUUAGCGAUUAUGCAGCCCGCGACAAACUUGUCCGGUAACUCGCACUUAAGAAGCUCAAGUUCCUUAACAAUGCAUAUUAUCUCAUGAGCCUGCUCCAAUACAGGACAGUUUUGAACCAUCUUGUAAUCAUGGAACUGCUCUAUAAUAUACAUCUCGCUCCCUGCAUCGGUGGCCCCAAAUUUAGAUUCGAGCGCCUCCCACAAGUCCUUGGCGACAUGCACAUGUAAAUAUGCGUCGACCAGUUUAUCUCUGGUCACGCUAAGAACUGCUUCGAGAAACACAACGGUAGCCUCCUUGAACACCUUCUCCUGUUCAGGAGCAAUCGUUCCCGUGGAGACACCGGUGACCUAGAACACGUUCAUAGCCGUGAGCCAUAACGUGGUCUUAGUCUGCCAACGCUUAAAGUAUGUACCGGUAAACUUAUCCGGUUUCAGUGCAGCGGCAAAGCCACUUGCCGAGAAAUUCCUACACAUAAUAGGUUUUUGGAUUGUUUAGUAAAUAGGCAAUUUCUCCAUUAAAUUAAUCCACGAGUAAAUCACUAGCAUGGCAUUGACACAAAUAAACGCAUACUGAUAUUCAGUCAAGCUAGCACAUACUACGCUAAUUGCAGAAAGAUCUACGUAUAACGCUAGCAUGGCUAAAACAGAAAACAAUAGGAGCGGGAUAAACGAGUUAUACCUCCAGUAGGCCAUGCAGAGGCCGCGGCUUUGGUGGCAGCAGCGGCGUCCUCGGCGGCCUUCUUGUCGGCUCCAGCUUUCUCGGCGGUGGCACAUUCGGCGUCGGUGGACAUGGUGAUGAUGAAGACGACGCGGACGUAGAGGAAGUAGACGAUCGGAAGUGAGCAGUCGCGUAAUCGCUGCCCAAAAACCUAUUCGCCCCUCACCCCGUACAGGAACCAGAAGGGCGUGGUUUCGGAGACCUGCUCUCCCGUCGACCGUGUACGCGGCGGACGGGAUGGAGUCACCGGCGGUAGCAGCAGCAAGGGAACGACGGUGGGCGUGCGCGUGGAGUAGAUGUGAUCUGUUCGUGGCGGCUAGGGUUAGGAGACACCGCACACUUAUAUAGGCGCAGCCGCGUGGAGAGACGUGGGCUCGACCCACAAAAAUAAGCGCGUAGAUAUGAGCUCGGCUCGGCGCAAUCACGCAACCCGCGGCGCGUCGUGACGAGGCGUGGCGAGGCGGGUGGCGGAGGAGGAGUGCGCGAGGGCCUCUUCUCUUCUCAAGCUCCAAUAGCAUGUAGAAGAGAAAACCCUUAUAAGGAGGUCCAACUCCUCUUCCACUUCCGGGGUGGGACUAAACUUCCCACUACACCUAGUGCCAUAUAACCCACAUGGGCCCUUAGAGAUUUUUCAGAAAUUGCUAUAUGGGCCUAGAGCCCAUCUCAAAUUUCAGCAAUCCCCCACCAGAUCUCGAGGGCCCAUUGUGUCCUCUGUUCCAAUUACUGUUUUGAUAUACCAGUGUUUUAGUGAAGACCUGUUAAGGUUGAACUUCACCUAGAGCAAGUAGCUACACUCCUUCACAACUGAACAAUGGACUAUGCCUUGAAUUGUCAGUUUGGUGUAAAGAAGUUUCACCACAUGUCUUACUAGUACUAGGCUGCCGAAGGCUGACCCCUCGGGUGGAGCAUAUAAGUCACACUCCUGGCCUAUUCAUGAGCUUACUAGAGAUCACCCCAAUCUCAUACACUGUGACCAGCAGUCGGGCUCAUAUAGGUGUGUUCCUCCAAAGAUUGCUCUGUAGGAUAGCAUCUUGCUUUCAUAAGCUUUGGAACACAUUAAGAUAGUAGUCAUCCUACCAUAUAGUAUCGAGAGUAUUGCAUCUUCAACGGAGUGGGUUAGUAUAAUUACUCUCCUUAGUUCACCACUGGCUUGUUUUCCCAGGUCCUACUUCACGGGAUCUCCGAUCACAUAGGUUGGGUUACCACCAUGGCAACUCAUGUGGGUCUCAUACCCAUCUCCCUCGAUGCAUUAUCUAUCACAACACGUGAUAGCCCUUUCGUAAAGGGAUCUGCCAGAUUCUUAGCCGUAUGGACAUAGUCCAACGCUAUCACUCCGGAGUUUCUUAAUUUUCUGACAGCUUUUAAUCUUAUUCUUAUGUGUUUGUUGGACUUCAUGUUGUCCUUUGAACUCUUCACCUUGGUGAUGACAGUCUGAUUGUCACAGUUCAUAAGGAUAGCCGGAACUGGUUUAUCAACCAAUGGCAAGUACAUCAAUAGAUCUCGAAGCCAUCCUGCUUCAACACCAGAUGUGUCUAGUGCUGUUAAUUCUGCUUUCAUUGUCGAUCUCGUUAAGAUCGUUUGCUUGCAAGACUUCCAGGAAACAGCGCCACCUCCAAGAGUAAACAUAUGCCCAGUUGUGGCCUUCAUCUCAUCAGCAUCAGAGAUCCAAUUCGCAUCACUAUACCCUUCAAGUACCGACGGGUCUCCGGUAUAGUGAAGUCCAUAGUUCAUAGUACCUUUCAGAUAGCGCAUAACUCUUUCAAUAGCAUGCCAAUGUACAUCACCCGGUUUGGAAACAAACCGGCUUAAUUUGCUCACAGCAAACGCGAUGUCAGGCCUCGUUGCGCUCGCUAGGUACAUCAGUGAACCAAUGAUUUGAGAGUAUCUCAAUUGAUCUUUAGUCGUGCCUUUGGACUUUCGAAUCAACACGCUAGGAUCAUAUGGUGUUUGAGAUGGUGCAUAGUCCGAAUAUCCAAAACGACUCAACACCUUCUCAACAUAGUGGAAUUGCAGAAGUGUAAUCCCACCCUCAUUAUCUCUCAGUAGCUUGAUGUUCAAGAUAACAUCAUCCACACCAAGGUCUUUCAUCUCAAAGUUCUGAGAUGGAAACGAUUUGACCUCCUCAAUGACUUUGAGGUUUGUUCCAAAUAUCAGUAUGUCAUCAACAUACAAGCACAGUAUAACUCCUUCGCCCCCACCAUGGCGAUAGUAUACACAUUUGUCAGCCUCAUUAACAACAAAACCAACAGAUGUCAAAGUUGUAUUAAACUUAUCAUGCCAUUGCUUAGGUGCUUGCUUCAGGCCAUAUAAAGAUUUCAGCAACCUACACACCUUUCUUUCCUGACCAUCUAUCACAAAGCCAUUUGGCUGUUGCAUGUAGAUUUCCUCGUUUAGCUCUCCAUUCAGAAAAGCUGUCUUAACAUCCAUUUGAUGGACAAGAAGACCAUGUGAGGCCACCAACGAGAGUAAUACUCGAAUGGUGGUCAGUCUAGCCACAGGUGAGUAAGUAUCGAAGAAAUCUUCCUCUUCUUUCUGGUCAUAGCCCUUGGCCACAAGCCUAGCCUUGUACUUUUCAAUCGUACCAUCGGGCCUAAGCUUCUUCUUGAACACCCACUUACAUCCUAAUGGUUUGCAACCAUAGGAACGGUCAGUGAUCUCCCAUGUCCCGUUAGCCAUGAUGGAGUCCAUCUCGCUACGGACCGCAUCCUUCCAGUAAUCAGCUUCUGGAGAGGCAUACGCUCCGGAAAUAGAAGUGAGAGUAUCAUCCACGAGGUACAUGAAGAAAUCAUCACCAAAGGUCUUUGCUGUCCUUUGUCUCUUGCCCCUACCAAGGGUUUCCUCGUCAUCCUCCUUAGGAUUUUUAUUAUGUGUUUGUUCAUAAUAAUCCAUAGGAACGGCAGGCUCAGGAGUCUCAGUUAAACACAUGGUUUAGGGUUUUGCGUUGGUGGUUGACAUCCAGCCUCACGUCUCAAUAUAUAGAUGAUCACAAUUACAAUUACAUACGUAUACGAAUACGUGUACAAGGACAAUACACUAGACCCUACUUUACAUGCCCCCUCAAUCUGAACUACACACAAGAUUCAGAUUGGUUCUAAAACGGUCUAGCAUCUGUCUAGUAGCGGGUUUAGUAAAUACAUCCGCUAACUGAUCAUCUGUAGAAAUAAACCUGACUUCCAGUUCACAAGAACCUACUCGUUCCCUCACAAAAUGGAAAUCAAUCUCAAUGUGUUUGGUCCGAGCAUGAAACACUGGAUUCACCGUCAGGUAAGUUGCCCCUAAGUUAUCACACCACAAUAUAGGAGUGCGCUGCCGUGGGACUCCAAGUUCUGUGAGAACUGAGUCUAUCCAAAUGGCUUCAGCCGCGCCAUUGGCCAAUUCCUUAUACUCUGCCUCGGUGCUUGAUCUCGAGACUGUGGGUUGCUUCUUCGAGCUCCAAGAUACAAGGUUAGGUCCAACAAAUAUAGCAAAACCACCAGUGGAGUGCCUAUCAUCAACACAGCCUGCCUAGUCUGCAUCGGUGAAUAUACUCACUCCAGUAAAUCUGGACUUACGAAUCCGUAGUCCCAUGUCUAGCGUACCUUUGACAUAUCUCAGAAUACGCUUGACUGCUUCCCAAUGAUCCUCCGUUGGCUGAGACAGGAACUGACACACUCUGUUCACUGCGAAGGAGAUAUCAGGACGAGUGAGGGUCAAAUACUGAAGUGCUCCAACCACACUGCGAUACCAAAAGGAGUCAUCUCUACCCAGUAGUGCACCACUAUGACGUGAGAGACUCUCGGAAGUAGCAAGCGGAGUAGAAGUGGCCUUGCAGUUCUCCAUGUUGACGCGAUGAAGAAGAUCCAAAGCAUACUUUUUCUGCGUCAAAGCUAGCAGACAACGACUGCACAAGACGAUCCACCACGCGGGGGUAGAGCCAGCAAUCACAAUAUCAUCAACGUACACCAGCAUGUAUAUCUGUAUUUUACCCUGGGAGAAGAUGAACAGAGAUGCAUCUGAUCUGGAGGCAACAAAACCGAGCUGUGAAAGGCGCUGACUCAAACGAGCAUACCAGGCACGAGGCGACUGCUUUAGACCAUAAAUAGACCGCUGAAGUUUGCAGACAUGAGAGGGAUAAGUGGCAUCCUCGAACCCAGGUGGCUGCUGCAUGUACACAUCUUCAGCCAAGAACCCAUGUAAAAAGGCAUUGCUCACAUCAAUCUGUCGGAGGCUCCAACCACGAGACACAGCAAGAGACAGAACCAAGCAAACCGUGGCAGGCUUCACCACUGGGCUAAAAGUAUCUCCGUAGUCAAUCCCAUGCUGUUGAGUGAAACCGCGAGAAACAAGACGAGCUUUGUGCUUAUCAACAGACCCAUCCGGACGAUGCUUGGUUUUGAAAAUCCACUUGCAGCUCACAAUAUUAACACCAGGUGGCCGAGGCACCAACACCCAGGUGUUAGUGUGACGGAGAGCAGCAAACUCCUCGGACAUGGCGGCACGCCAGGCAGGUUCACCCAAAGCAUCACGAUGGGAAACUGGCGCGGCGAAGAAGGCACGGCGGCGAGAGUCAUACCGAACCGUGCCAUCAGUGUAAGACUUCUCCUUGCGCGUAUGAUCAGGAUGGCGUGUAACCAUAGCAUGCGCCGGAGCUGCAUCGCCGGUAGGAGAAGACGACGGCGAUGAGGGCUCGGCCGAGGGUGUCGCGGCUGAGGAGACCUCAGCAAGGGGCAACACGGGCCGAGAGACGAUGGUGUGCUGGACCGACCCAGGUGAGGGUGGCGGCCCGGGCGAGGGUGGCGACCCAGCCGCGUCCGCGGUCGCGCCAUCGGGCGCCGCGCCUGCCUCGGGCGACGGGACAUGCAUGUCGGGCGCAUCAGGAGGCGUCGGAGCAGCAACAUGUACCUGGGGGGACUCAAAGCAAUAUCACCUGCAAAAGACAAGUUAGGUGCCAAAUAGGACAUGUCAUAUUUACGCAAAUGGACAUCCGGAACCGGUUCAUCGGAGGGAAAAGUGAGUGCAUGUUCAAGAGAAGCAGGAUCAACCGAGACGCCGGGUUGAGAGUAAGGGAACACAGUCUCGUCAAAAACAACAUCACGAGAGAUGUAUAUCCGACCAGAGGUACGGUCAAGACACUUAUAGCCCUUAUGCAAAGGACUAUAGCCAAGGAAAACACACAUCUUGGACUGAAACUCAAGCUUGUGAGCAUUGUACUUGCGGAGCCUAGGCCAGCAAGCACACCCAAAAAUCCGAAGGGAGGAGUAGUUGGGCUGAACAUGAAACCGACGGAACAGAGGUGUGUCCUUGUUGAGAACCGGAGUGGGCAUACGGUUGAUGAGGUAACAUUCCGUAAGAAAAGCCUCAUCCCAAAACCGAAGUGGAAGAGAGGAGUGCGCUAGCAAGGCAAGACCGGUCUCGACCAAAUGUCGGUGUUUGCGCUCGACAAUACCGUUCUGCUGAGAGGUAUGUGGACAUGACACUCGGUGAGAGAUGCCCGUGCGUUGAAAGUAGCGAUGGAGUUUGUGGUAUUCACCACCCCAGUCGGACUGAACGGCCUUGAUUUUAUAAUCCAGAAGGCGUUCGACAUGAGCCUGAAAGUUGUAGAGAACUUGCUCAACAUCAGACUUGUGUUUAAGCAAAUAAAUCCAGGUGAAGCGCGUGUAGUCAUCAAUAAAGCUAACAUAAUACUUGUACCCUCCCGACGAAGCAAGAGCGGGACCCCAAACAUCUGAAUGUAUUAAUUCAGGAGGUACAGUAGUGAUAUGAAACGAAGUAGAAUAAGGGAGUUGAUGACUCUUAGCACGCUGACAAGCAUCACAAACUAACGAUGAAUUAUUUGAACUAGAACACGGAAGGUCAUGACUCCGAACAAUGGAAGUGACCACAUUAUUUGUAGGAUGACCAAGACGUUGAUGCCAUUGCAACGACCAAACUCAAACACCGGAGGAGGCACGGCGAGACGAUGAAGAUGACGCACGAGCGAAGGGGACCGGAUAGACCCCCCGUAACUUCUACCGUGAAGGAUGACGUGCCUGGUUGCUUUGUCCUUAACAAGGAAAAAACGACGGUGAAAUUCAACAAAGACGUCAUUAUCACAAAGAAGACGAUAAACAAAGAGAAGAUGCUGGCUGAUGUGUGGAACAUGAAGGAUGUUACGCAGUUGAAGAGAUGAACCGGGUAAACGCGAAUGACCAAUGUGCGAAAUAGACAAACCUGCACUAUUGGACACCUGAACCUGAUCCUUGCCGUCAUAGCGCUUGUGAACCUGGAGGCGCUCAAGAUCAUUGGUCAAGUGAUCUGUAGCCCCGGUAUCCAGCACCCAAGGGAAGUCGACGGUGUUGGUGGAGGCCGAGUUUGCGGUGCGGGAGUUGUGAUCCUGAUCAUAGCGCUUGCGGCAGUCGUCGGUUUCAUGGCCCCAGUUCUUGCAAAUUUGGCACCGGGGACGCCAGUGGUUGCGACGCCCACCUCCUCCAUCGUUGUUGUUGCCGGCGUUGCCCCCUCCACCUUGCCGGCCAUUGCCAGCAUAACCAGCGUUGCGGUCACGGCCGCCGGUGUUGCCGCCAUUACCGCCCUGGCGGUUCUGCCCUGGCUGGCCAUGUCCAUCAGCCGGGCGCCCCCCACCAUGGGAGGGAUAGGGAUCGGAGUAGGGCGCGCGUUCGCCCGCGCCGUACGAACCCGAACGGGUCACGGCGUUCGCGGAGGGAGACCACCCCUCCACCGCACUCUGUUGUGCCUACAACGCCUCGAAGGACAGAACCAAUGAGUAAAAACUGGAGUAGGGCAUGGGUGCAUUACUCACGCCCAAGGAGGCGGCGAUGGAGUUGUAGGCGGAGCCGAGGCCGGUGAGGAUGUGAUCGAUAAGCUCAUCAUCGCGGAUCGGAGAGCCGGCGGCGGCCAUAGUGUUGGCCAAGGCCUUCAUCUUGUGCAUGUAUUCCGCGGUAGACAUAUCGUCCUUCCUCAGCGACUGAAGUUGCCGCCGGAUGUGGCGGACAUUGGCGCGACUCUGGGCGCCGAACAUGGCGGCGACGGCUGUCCAUACCGCAUGCGCCAACUCGCAGCCAAUGAGUUGGCAUGCAAUAUCCUCAUCCAUGGAGGUGAGAAGAAGCUCCUUGACGCGCUGAUCUUGAACCCACCAUUGGUGGUACUCCGGGUUGGUGACAGUGGUAGCAGCGUCGCCGGUGCCGACAACGAGUGUUUUGGCCGGUGCCGCCUUGGUGCCAUCGAGGUGUCCGUGGAGGUUGGCACCGGCAAGAAUGGUGCUAGUGAUGCCCCCCUAGAGCAUGAAGUUGUGACGACCGAGGCGGACGGAGAUCGUCGGGACGGCGAGCGCGGCGGGGAUCGAGGCGACGGGGGAAGAGACGAUGGCGCCGGCGGUUUGGGCGUCGUACAUAGGGGCAGACGACAUCGCAGCGGCGGCGCGGAUGGGACAGCGCGGCGGCAGCGAAAGAUGGCUCGCGCGGCGGCAGCGAACGGAAGCAGUGGCAGCGAUCGGAAGCGGCGACCGCGUACGGGCAAAGCUAGCUAGCUAGCUAGCAGAUGGAUGGUUCCUGCGUAUGAGCGUAGCUAGCUAGCGGCAGCGGCGACGCGGAAGCUAGCUAGCAAGCAGCGGCGGCGACGCGGAAGAUGGGAUCGGGCGGCGGCGGCCCGACCUGGCUGAUAUCAAGUUAAACACAUGGUUUAGGGUUUUGCGUGGGUGGUUGACAUCCAGCCUCACGUCUCAAUAUAUAGAUGAUCACAAUUACAAUUACAUAAUUACAUACGUAUACGAAUACGUGUACAAGGACAAUACACUAGACCCUACUUUAUAGUCUCCUUAGAUUCCUGUCUAGAAGUGCUUUGCAUAUCUCUCAUAGGAAAAAUAUCCUCGAAGAAUGUAGCAUCCUUAGACUCCAUAAUCGUACCGACCUUCUGGUCAGGUACCUCAGAUUUCACUACUAGAAAUUUAUAGCCAACGCUGUUCUUAGUAUAGCCCAAAUUAACACAGUCCACAGUCUUGGGUCCAAGCUUACGCUUUUUGGGGAUCGGCAUAUUGACUUCCGCCAAACAGCCCCAAGUGCGCAAGUACGAGAGUGUUGUCCUUCUCUUUGCCCAUUUCUCAUAGGGAGUGAUCUCAUUAUCCUUUGUCGGAACUUUAUUCAGGACAUGACAUGUCGUUAAUAUAGCCUCCCCCCACCAUGCCUUGGAUAAACCCGAUGUAUCUAACAUGGCGUUAACCAAAUCAGUUAGAGUACGAUUUUUCCGCUCGGCAACCCCGUUUGACUGGGGUGAAUAGGGAGGCGUCCUCUCAUGAAUAAUGCCGUGUUCCGCACAAAAGGAAUCAAACUCACUCGAGAAGUACUCUCCACCACAAUCUGAUCGGACUCAUUUAAUUUUCUUUUCAAGUUGACUCUCAACUUCUGCCUUAUAGAUUUUAAAGUAGUGUAGAGCCUCAUCUUUAGUAUUUAACAGAUAAAUAUAGCAAUAUCUAGUGGAAUCAUCUAUCAAUGUCAUGAAGUAUUUCUUUCCACCUUUAGUCAACACAACAUUCAUCUCACAAAGAUCAGAAUGUAUGAGUUCUAAUGGUGCCAAGUGUCUCUCCUCCGCGGCCUUACGAGGCUUGCGAGAUGCUUAGCUUGCACACAUGAAAGGCACUUAGAAUCUUUGGCUAAAGUGGAUUAAAUCCAACUUAGCUAGCCGUGUCAUAACACCAAAACUAAUGUGACAAAGACGUGAAUGCCAAACUUCAGAUUCAUUAACAUUCAAAUGAAUAUGGUUCACGAUUGUAUUACAAAAAUCUGUGAGGGAAAGGCGGAACAUCCCUCCGCUCUCAUAACCUUUUCCAACAAAGAGUCCAUAUUUCGUAACAACUAAUUUAUUAGACUCAAAAACUAACUUAAACCCUUCUCUACAUAGAAGGGAGCCACUAACGAGGUUCUUCUUGAUGGCGGGGACAUGCUGCACGUUCUUCAGCUGCACGAUCCUUCCCGAAGUAAACUUCAGAUCGACCGUGCCAACACCAUGAACAGAAGCACUCGCGCCAUUCCCCAUCAAUACGGACCCGUGACCUGUGACCUGGUAAGAAGUGAACAAUGAAAUGUCAGCACACACAUGAACACCUGCACCUGUGUCCACCCACCAAUCGGUAGGCUGAAACACUGAAAAAACAGUAAAUAAAUUACCGUACCCAGAUGCACCAUUCUCAUUGUUGCCCACAAUCAUGUUGACAGACUUGGAGUCCUGUCCUGAUUUCUUGUACUUGUUUGGGCACUUUGUUGGCCUAAUGUUCAACCGAACCACAAGUAGAGCAGCCCUCUUCCUUCUUGUUCUUCUUGAAGGUCUUCUUACCCUUCUUCUUAAAGUCGGUAUUGUGUUGGACACCGUUCUUUCCCUUGGGCUUGUGGGAAUUGAAGUUCUUCUGGUUCACCAUGUUGGCGACAGAAGUCCCUUCGGCCCCUUUUCCGUGCGAGUCUUUUGCCCUCGAAUUCUGCUCAACACUCAGAUGGCCAAUGACAUCCUCCACAGAGAAUUCACGCCUCUGAUGUUUCAGAGUGGUGGCAAAGUUCCUCCAGGAAUUAGGGAGCUUAGCGAUUAUGCAGCCCGCGACAAACUUGCCCGGUAACUCGCACUUAAGAAGCUCAUGUUCCUUAACAAUGCAUAUUGUCUCAUGAGCCUGCUCCAAUACAGGAUGGUUUUCAACCAUCUUGUAAUCGUGGAACUACUCUAUAAUAUACAUCUCGCUCCCUGCAUCGGCAGCCCCGAAUUUAGAUUCGGGCGCCUCCCACAAGUCCUUGGCGACAUGCACAUGUAAAUAUGCGUCGACCAGUUUAUCUCCGAUCACGCUAAGAUCUGCUCCGAGAAACACAACGGUAGCCUCCUUGAACGCCUUCUCCUAUUCAGGAGCAAUCGUUCCCGUGGAGACACCGGUGAUCCAGAACACGUUCAUAGCCGUGAGCCAUAACAUGGUCUUAGUCUGCCAACGCUUAAAGUAUGUAUCGGUAAACUUAUCCGGUUUCAGUGCAGCGGCAAAGCCACUUGCCGAGAAAUUCCUACACAUAAUAGGUUUUUGGAUUGUUUAGGAGCGGGAUAAACGAGUUAUACCUCCAGUAGGCCAUGCAGAGGCCGCGGCUUUGGUGGCAGCAGCGGCGUCCUCGGCGGCCUUCUUGUCGGCUUCAGCUUUCUCGGCGGCGGCACGUUCGGUGUCGGUGGACAUGGUGAUGAUGAAGGCGAUGCGGACGUAGAGGAAGUAGACGGUCGGAAGUGAGCAGUCACGUAAUCGCUGCCCAAAAUCCUAUUCGCCCCUCACCCCGUACAGGAACCAGAAGGGCGUGGUUUCGGAGACCUGCUCUCCCGUCGACCGUGUACGCGGCGGGCGGGAUGGAGUCAGGCACAGCCGCGUGGAGAGACGUGGGCUCGACCAGAAGGGCGUGGUUUCGGAGACCUGCUCUCCCGUCGACCGUGUACGAGGCGGGCGGGAUGGAGUUAGGCGGAGCUGCGUGAAGAGACGUGGGCUCGACCCACAAAAAUAAGCGCGUAGAUGUGAGCUCGGCUCGGCUCAAUCACGCAACCCGCGGCGCGGCGGAGGAGUGCGCGAGGGCCUCUUUUCUUCUCAAGCUCCAAUAGCAUGUAGAAGAGAAACCCUUAUAAGGAGGUCCAACUCCUUUUCCACUUCCGGGGUGGGACUAAACUUCCCACUACACCUAGUGCCAUAUAACCCACAUGGACCCUUAGAGAUUUUUCAGAAAUUGCUAUAUGGGCCUAGAGCCAUCUCAAAUUUCAGCAUUAACCAGUAGUAUGGGUCGAGGGUCAUACAUGACGGUACAUUUCAAUGCGUUUAUUCAUAUCAGCUCUAGUGGAUUGAUCCAUCGGCUUGAUCGGUAAAGCAUAUAUAUAUAUAGUGUACCGCCACCUUUGCCUUCUUAUCACUCAACGAUGUCGCCGGCUGGCGGGAUGGUGGUGCUGCUGGCCACGAUGCAACAUGGCAUCACGUGCACGUCGCACAUUGUAGGCAGGGUCUGCAGCGCAGUGCUCAUCGUCUCCUCAAACUGGCCUAGUUGUUCUUGCUGACGCUGGCGGGAACCGUGUCUUGGUUGUGGCUGUUGUUGCCGUUGCUCUUGUUGCUUCACGAUGAUGAUGGUGUGCACUAGAGCACAUAUGGCUUGGCAUAGGGAUGGCAUAGGGAUCUGGUUGAGUUGUUGGCAGCAUUGCUGCCGUCUCAGUUGGCAGUUGAUUUGUGGCAACAUCUGUGAUUCAAGGAAUGGUGGUGUUGCCACAGGGGUGCACAACUGUUGUAUGAACACUUUGCACAUGUCCAACUGUUGAUGACGUAAUGGAUGGAAUGUUUCUUGCGGCUGUUUCAGAAACGAUUCUUGUGGCUGCUUCGACACUAGUUGUGGUUGCUGUGGACCUGGCUGUGGAAAUGGGUUGUUGGCCAAUGCCGAUGCGGCAGCCAGUCUCCAACUGCGCAACAACAUUGAUCACCGGUACACCAAGGAAGACGAGGAUGAGCAAUGUCGUCAUGGUGGACCGGCGUGUGGCUAGCUUUUGUUCGACUUUGAUGUAAGUGUGAAGGACGAUGGAGGAGGAUGUCGACGGUGAAGGCCUAUUUAGCAAAGAUGGUUCUGUCUCCUGGCUCGCUUCUCUUCAGAGUGUUUGGAUGCUUCCAAAACCGAUCAUUUUGGUAUUGCUGUCACGUGAAGCACUACAUACAAGCAUAACCCCAUGUGGAUCGCCAAAGUGACUUUCUAAUGCCCAUAUAUAUCAUGUGGAGUGGCCGUAUGCAUCCACCUGAUGCAGAGGCCGGGAAUCACCCCUUUUCAAAAAAAAUAAAUAUAUAUCAUGUGGCCAUUGUAGAAACAGAUAACUGAUAAUCAAAAUGACUCAUCAUGUUCACUUUACACCUCAACACUCGUCAGGAUUACCUCCCACCACCCCAAACUGAAUUUAUAAUCUUGUACAAGUUGAUAUCACGCAUAAAACCAGAUUUGCAAUGUCUUUUGUGGAAUAAUAAUUUUGUAAUCUUGCAUGCCCGAGGGCUUUUUAUUCUUGGAAAUGUUUGCAAGUAAUCUGGUAAGUACCCACAACCGGUUUCUCUCAUCAUGUGUUUCCGGGCGGAGCAAACGAUGGCGUAGUGAUCCUCCUCCUCGUUGUAGGGGACGCGUCGUUCGUGGUGGCGCACAAGAAGGUGAAGUUGUCCCGCCCCGGCCCCGUCGUCAAGCGCCUUGCCGUCACCCUCGACCUCUACAACCAGGGCUCCGCCUGAGUCAACUAGAUCUCGCUUCUUAGCUCACCUAUCUGUAGGAGGACGCCACGAGCAAUCACGGCGAGUUUCACUACAUCUUGGAUAAAUUGCUAUGUCCUGCUCUACUUGUAGUUAGAAGCUUGAGCGAAAUGAAGACUAGGGGUGUUAUUAUUCUAAACAUCAUCGUGUUUUGUGUUAUGUUAUAAUGUUGUGUUCAAGGAGCUUAAAAGCUUAUUUUCACUUCUGAAGGAGGCAUAUUCAUGGCCCGUCCUUCCAUUCGAUAUUCUCGCCGAGAGACCUCCACAGCACAAGUUUGAAUUGGUUAGUUAUCAAGUUAUCAUAUCACUUCAUGAUUCUAAUGUUUGAAUGCAAUAUCUUUGGUGCUCACACUUCACUUCGGUGUAUCCACCUUCGGCACUUGCAACCUUUCGGGCUAAGGUAAUUUCACAACCAUUCACCUGUUUGCAUGGAAGUAGGAAACCAGAAUUAAUCAUCAUCUACCUGGUCGCAAGCCCAUCGAAAUCUGGUGCUGCGAAAGGAGGCAAGAUGAGACGCUGGAACUGUCUAGUUGAUCGCAAUGUACUCUAUCUUUUUUGCAGGAAAAGAAAGAGAGUAAAUCUGACUAAAUCUAGUUGAUCGCAAUGUACUCUAAUGGCUAACGCAACCAGGAUCAUACCUGACUAAAUCUGACCAGAAGAAUAUAUUUUGUAGAACAUAAAUCUUUUGUGUUUUUUGCCUUGCAAUGAUGGACGGUGGCACAAUAUCCUUUCAACAGUGAAUAGUUGCACAAGAUAUGUGACUUGCCGUGGAUAUUUUGUCCAAUUAAGUUUGUUUUUGUGGAGAAUUACUCGAUGAACACAUUUUAUUAAAGGAAAAAUGGCAGAGGAAAAGGAUAGAAUCAGCUUAAUCACUCCCUGUGUAAAUCAAUAAUCAAAUCUAAGGUGGGCCUCAUUAAAAACACAUCUGACAUGUAUUGUUUCGUUAGAAUGUGUAAAUCAACAAUCAAAUCUAACGUGUGCCUCAUUAAAAACAUCUGACAUAUACUGUUUAAUUAGAAUCAGAUGCAAGAUCCAGAAUAGUCAAGAUGGUCACACAACUCAUAAGCAUUGCCAUCAAAGAUAUAAAUUGCAAUUAGUCAACUUACUUUAGUAUAGUAUAUACUUCAACUGAAUCCAAGUUUCGCACUAAUCAGUUAAGUUAUGCUCAUAUUACUUAACUGCAGAAAUAGCUAGGAUAUUCCUCUUCCUCUCUCUCUCUCUCUCUCUCUCUCUCUCUCUCUCUCUCUCUCUCCUCCCUCUAUGGCCACCGCAAUGCCACCAGACAGUGCCAAAGUUUCCUCUUUCCAAGCACUGCCUCCAAAUAAUUGUUCUGAUCGCACGGUGACUUAUAUUGUCUUCUCCGCACCACUCUAAUUAGAAGAUGCCGCUGGUGGGAGGCGCGACAUACAAAUGAGGCCUUAAUAUUUGCAUCCACCGACUCAUAAGUUCCGCCUCCCAUAAUCCGGUUCAACGACAUUUACCAAGGUCUUUUUGAGCAUUUAUUUGUGGUUGGCAUGCUUCUGUAGGAAGGGGAAGAAGGACUGCUCCAUGGUGAUCCUCGAGUGGAAGAAGUCAAUAAGCCGUCUGAUGGUCAACGAAGCCACCAAUGACUCCGUUAUUGCCUUGCGCCCGGACACAAAGCAGAGGCUGCAGUUGUUCCAUGGGGCCACCAUCCUCCUCAUGGUACUACAUGGUCUAAUUGAGCUAAUACUUAUUUAAAUUUAAGCUAUCUUGCUGGAUGGGCUCAAGGAUCCGUGGCUGAUUUUUUUGAAUUUGUAUUAGUUCUAGGAUACAUAUUUGUCAAAAAAAAUCAUAUCUUUAUCAUUGUGAUAGUUCGUAUAAGGUAGAAUAGACUAUUUUGCUGAGUUUUAGUAGUUUGCUGGGUUAUUUGUUCAACAUUUGAGCAAAAAUUCUACGCAAAUUUAUAUCCUACUAUUUGUGUCCCACACUUGUCUUUCAAAGUGUCUACUGGUUAUGUUGAUUUUUCAGCUUUAACUAUGUAAGAGACGAGCGCAAUGUUAAAAUUGUUUAGCUCAAAAUAUCCUUCUAACGAACUUCUACAUAGAAUGAUUUCUCAUCUCUUUGAAUACCAUAGCAGCAAAUGUAAUAUUUGCUUUGUGUUCCUAGAUUGAGAUAAGUCAAUAUCACAGUGCAUGUUUAAAGAAAUAACAACUGAGUUAUUCUACAGGUAAAAGAAAUUUCUACAAUCAAUUAGAACUGAUGCUACUUAAGCUUUGUUUGUCAUCAAUAAAUUAUUUCCCUCUCCGCAAGAAACGAUAUGAAGUGCUUAAUGGCAUGUUUGGCGCUAGCUAUUGUGACUCAAUAUUUGCUCUUGCUCACUGCAUGCUUUAUCUUUUACCAUGUGGCAACUUUAGUUUGAUUUUCACGUCUUUGGAGUCCCCUAUAGAAUUUGUUUGAAGAAUGCUUCGGUGCCAUCAAACUCAAAGUUGCACCAACGCAAAAAUAUCCAGAUUAACAUUUAAAGUGAUGGAUGGUUUCUAAUCAAGCGCUUGUUUUUCUACCGAAAUGGCCCUUUUACUUCUAAAAAUUGAAAUACGUUGAACUAUUAUUGUGUGCACUGUUUAGGAAAUCGCUAACUGAUAGUUGCUCGAUCGGCUUGGGAGCAACAACUAAUAGAUCAAUCGACCUAUUAACAAGAUUAAUAGGUUGACAACCACACUGAAAGGCAACGCGACAGAAAACAAAAAUUUUCUGACCUACGCACCAGCCCAGGACCACUAUGGAGACUGCAUACAUGGUUUGAUCUUUUUCGUUACCGACUCGUAGCGCAGCGGGAAGUAGAGUCGAUGACGAUCGGCGGUGCAGAUCCCCGCAGCUAGGAUUUACAACCUCCCAACCGCGAGGAUGUAUACCCUCAUCUGCUCCUUAGACAGCCCUCCGGGAGGCGGCCGAACAGCCCCCCGGACGGUGUCGCGGACAGCCCUUCGGGAGGACCUUCGAAACUCGAACGGUCACUCGGACAGCCCUUCGGGAGGACCUUCGAAACUCGGACGGUCACACGGACAGCCCUUCGGGAGGCACUCACGAACUAAGACCGAAACUACGAUCUCUCUACAGAGUUGCACACAUACGGUGUCAUCUAUCCGGCAGGGCUUCGCCGUCCAGAACUAGUUCCUGCCGGAACCCAGACAGCCUUACGGCUCUACGAAACUCUUUUCGUGGGAGGGAGAGAAGAAGCCAGAUAAUGCAUGGCAUGUGUAUGAGAGCAAGGGAUGAGUGUGGAGGGCUGCCCCUCCACCUCUAUUUAUAGGAAAUCCCAAGGGGGUAGGGUAGUUUCACAAAAAACCCAAAAUGCACAUGAAUGAAGUCCUUCCACAAGGACCUAGGAGUGAAACCAAGGAACAAGAGGGUCCCCAAGGGGGGAUACCCCAUGUGGCCGGCCACACCCCCAUGAGGGGCCCAAAAAAUGGCUCCUAUCCAUCCAUGUCAUCCCCAAGAUCUUUUGGAGCAAAGCCCCAAAAGGUGGCUUUCCAUAAAGUAACCAUAAAGCUGAUUUUCACUAUUCACGACGACAUUUUUCAGCGUCUGAUCGAACUGAAAAUAUUUAUGUGGGCUAAGAACAUUUCCAGUACCCACUAAAAUGAUUUUCAACGCGUUCCGAAACAAUUCCGGUUUUAGCGAUUUUCAUCUGCGAAACGCAUCUGAAGUGGCUCCGGCAGCUCCGGAACAUUUCCGGUUUUUAUCUCAGAAAAUUCCAAAAAGCUUCCAGAAUGAUUCUGGCAUCCUCCAAGAAUUAUCAGGCAUGUGCCGAAACCAAUUUGACUUAAUGGUGUAUCCCGAAACAACUUUUCGGUAUCAUCAAAACUUAUCCGAUGACCUCUCUCUGCGGUACGAUUCUGCUGUCCGAAACUUUUCGGUGUCCGAAACUUUUUCAAUGAUUUUCUCUCAGACUCCCUGUCUAGUAUUCAGCAGAUAGAUGACCCUUAAGCGUGUGACCCUAUAGGUUCGGUGAAGUAUAGACAUGACCCGGAACCCCUUCCGAUCAAUGAUCAACAUCGGAGCCGUGGACACCCAUAUUGACCCCUAUACCCACACGAAUAAAUAUUCGAGUGAACCUCCAGUUGCCGUGUGCUAUUCCUGUUGCUUCGCGAUAUGUUACAAAUACCCGAGGUGAGGCAUGUUGGCAUUCCCGUGGAUCAACAACUUGUCCACUAUGCUAGUUACCUCGUUACCGGUUUUGUUCUCUUUUCUCGUUUCGUGUUCCGGCAUCCCCGUGAUCAAAUCACAAAGUGUCUGGCCAGACAAUGAUGGACACCGUAACACCGAGAGGGCCCGAGUAUAUCUCUCCAUCGUCGGAGGAGCAAAUCCCAAUCUCGAGCUAUCAAGUCACUUAACAUACUUUCCCAUGAACCCGUAAGCCGCCGUAAUAGCCAUCCAGUUACGGAUGACGUUUAACAAACCCCAAAGUUCAUGAAGCAAGCAUGAAGAAACUCGAUACUCUCAUGGUCUAAGGAAUUAUGCAAACAUUAACUAUCUCUGUGUUAUAAACCAUUAACUUGUGAUGAAUGUACCUCAUAGCAUAACAUCAAUUCGGGUCGAUUCAACACAAAUGUCCUUCCUGACAUUGUGCCCUCAAAAUUGCUUGGCAUAGACAUGCCCAUGAUUGGGAAAACAUAAUCAUCAUGCAACACUUGAGCUAGUCUUAGAGGCACGACUAGGAAUACAUUUUACCGUUUAUUAUUCCACACGUGCAUAUGGGUUCUCCCCAGAGCCUUUAUGGAUAUACGGGCUCGGGAACCACAUCAGUUAUAGCAUGGAACAUAAACAUAAUUAUGAACAGGGAGAUAAUCAAUAACAUUUAUUAUUGCCUCUAGGGCAUAUCUCCUACAGACUCCCACUUGCACUAGAGACAAUAAUCUAGCUUAUGCUAAUGCACUUCACACCUGUGGCACACCGGUGUAAAUAUGCUUCGCUUGUGGUAUAGCCUGAUGUCCAAUGGAUCUGACGACUUCAGUUCCGUGUGUAUCUUUGCAUGUCCUCGCGUUUUCACAAAAUUCAUAUUUUGUGUGGACUUGGCUUUGUAUGUAUGUGAAUCACAGGUCGAACCUGGAUUCCUCAGACUGAGUUAUGGAGCAACUACCUGCAGUAGUGUCCCAUUGUCAAAAGCCAUCUUGGAACUAUACUAAGUUCAUGAAUGAACUAUAUGAUUCAACAUCUUCUUUGUCGCUUCUAAAGCGUCAACAUACUUAGCCCUUGUUAUAGAAUUCGCCACAGUAACUAGUUUGAACAAAUUCCAACUAACUGUGCCACCACAUUGUGUGUUACACAAAACCCUUAAUUUAAAUCGAAAAUCGCAUGGAGAAAAGAUGAAGAUUGUAUCGACGUAACAUUUUACAACGAACUCUUCAUGAUCUCUGCUUGCGAGAGAACCAUGUCAUCAGUACUUACUCUAGUACUCUGUGACAUCUUUCACUGUUGUCCCAUGAUCAGUAAUUUGAUCACUUUAGUAUCCAUACUCGCAACACCUUGGGAGUAUCGGACAUAUCUGGUUGUUUUACAUACCAUGGAAUAGAUGAUUAAUCCAAACACAAAAGUGUGUGGAAUCUGCAUCAUGUAUUUUACUCAUCAGUGUUUUGGGACACCGAGUCUUGCAAAAACUCUUUCCAUGUGACUUUGGCAAGAAUCACUCCUUGGCGUUUUAAAUGCUAAAAGGUUUUAGCAUCUUGUCAAUAUGUAUUCAUUGCUUAGCCCCAUUAGGUAAAUCUAUCUCCAUAGAUCAUCAUGCCUAAUAUUGAGGCUAUUUAGCCUAAGCACUUCAUCGAAAAACUAUUUUCAAAUGAAGUCCUAAUUUGUGUCAAGAAAUUUAUUUCCAAUUACCAAUGUGCCAAGCACAUAAGGUUUUUAGAAAUAUUAUUACGCUCCCACUUACUUUCUUGAAUUACAAGCAUCUUCGUUACCCAUUGAUGAAGUCAAACCCCUUUGACCAUUUCAUCAAAGCACGAAGAUUCCAACUCCAUUUUGCUCUCUUCUGUCCAUUGAUGGAACUCUGAAGUUUGCAUACCUACUAGCAUCCUCUGGAUCGACAAAUUACUUUGGACUGUAUCAUAUACAAGUCCUAGCUUUCAUUUCCAUCAGAUGGAAAUCCUUUUAUCAUCCAUGUUUCAUAUCUCAUGAUUGAAAUAUGUAUUAAUUGCUAGUUCAACCCGAACCGACUUUAAGCAUCGCUACGAUGAAAACAACCUCAUCGUAUUAUUUCAACAAGUCGAGCUUUAUGGAUAAAACAUUUUAUCCGUAUCAGUUUUAAGUUCCAUAAAUAUUCGUUAGACUCUAAGUCUUCCGAAAGGUGUAUCAAGGUUUUAAUCUUGAAUCACUUAUAUGGAAACUAACUCGGGUUGUAUUGGCAUUUAGCCAAUUCCGGAGUCAGGGCCCGUCAACGCUUCCUUGUGUAUCGUAGGUAUAAUGUUGUCUAACAACAAUAUCUCGUUUGCGCACCUGAGAGGUUUGCACGAGCCUUGCCUACGUGGUUCAGCUGCAAGUUCGACCGAAGUUCAUACAUUUUAUUGUAGAGACUUCCAUAUCAGUCGCAGUAGGAAACUCUGGAAUUACUUCCAAGGUCUCUUUCCUUUGAUCUGAUGAAGAUACUGUUUAUCUCGUCGAGUUGCACUAUUCUCCCACUCACCUUUUAGAAAGAACCAUUCUCUUUAAAAGCAUACCGUUCUUUGUGGCAAACCUAUUUGCCUCGGUAUAGUGAGGGAGGAAUACCCAACAUUUUGGUAUAACCUACAAAGUAGCACUUGUCUGAUUUGGAAUAGGUUUGUAACCUUUUACACAAGCCCCAUAUUCCAAAUGUUAAGAAAAGAUAUAACAUGGUUGGGCGUACCAUACCAUGGCUUCAUUUCAACAGACCCGAUGUAGCUCUUUUCAGUGUAAAAGCCGCAGUCUCUAAAGCAUCACUUUAAAAGGGAUAAUGGCAAAUUUAUUUAUGUCAUCUUUGACCUUACCAUGUCAUAAAUGGUUUGAUUACAUCUCCACGGACUUUCCACUUGCAGUGGUGUUCCGGGAGGUGCAAGUUUAUGAAACCCCUUUCACAACUCAUCAGACAUUCACUAAACAUGUAACUCAAAUAUUCCUUUGUGCAAUCAAAUUGCAGAAACAUAAUUUUCUUGUUACAAUAACUUCUACUUCAUUUUGAGAACCUUUCGAAUGAUUUCAAAAGAUCCAGACUUACGUCUCAUCAAGUAAAUAUCCAUAUAUCUACUUGAGUCAUUUCUGAAGAUAAAUAAAUCCACCACUAACAACACUUAUCGGACUACACACAUCAAAUGUAUGAUCACUAAUAAGUUUGUUGUUCGUUCCUUAUGGCCUGUGAACGGUAUUUUAGUCACUUCACUUUUCGGAGGAAAGUUGCAAGUGUCAGAUGAUUCAAAAUCAAAAAGACUUCAAAAUCCAUCAUAAUGGAAUUUUCCAUGCGGGUUUCUCCAAUGUGACCAAAUGUAGUGCCACACUUGUGUGGUAUUCUUUUAGUCUUGCGACAUUUAGUGUCAGUGUUAUGGAUGUAUCAUAUUACCCUCAAUAUUCAUAACAUACGUCCCAUCGAUGAUGGAAGUAUGGCCCUUAUGUUAUUCAUAAUACUUAACAACAAUUGUUGUUUUUAUGAACAACUCUUUUGCAACAAACAUUGUGUAAUGGGCUAGAGUGUAUGAAACUCUAAAAUGAAUUAUGUAAGUAAACCCAGAGGUAUUGUAUUAUUAUCAAUAUUCAUAACAUACAUCUCAUUCAUAAUGAAAGUAUGGCCCUUGUGUUAUUCAUAACAUCGAACAUAAAAAGUUCUCUUAUGAACAACCUUCUUGCAAGAUGCCUUAUGCAAUGGGAUAGAGUUUGUAAAACUCUAAAUGAAUUAUGAAAAUAAAUACAGACGGCAAUACACCGAUGGAAGGUAUAGUAACAUUUACUAUGUUCCCUGUGUAUACCUUAACCUCAUUUCUAGCAAGUCUUUCAGGCCAUAGUAGUUCUUACAUCGAGUUGCAACAGAAUGCAAUCGAGCGGGCAUUUUUGUGAUGAACUCACAAUACCCAAGAAUUAGUGAUUAACAUGUUUAACCAUAAUUCGCAAGAACUAUAUCUUUGACCAGCCUUCUAUACAUCAAAAACUUGUAUGGCAUUCAUACAUGAGCUGGAUAUUCCAGUCUUCUUUCCUUUUGCCUUUAUACUUCUAGCAGUUUAACUUUUAGUAUUUCUCCUACUCUCAGAAGAAGCACCCAACUUAAGAGUGGCAUUAGCCCUGGACUUCCUAGGCGUGUAAGUCAUACUAACACCCUUUGGACACUUCCUUUCUCUUUAAGUUGUUGUUUUAUUCACCUUUCAUUAUAUGACAGGCGUUCUUCUGGAUCCCUUUCCCAACAGUCAAAUGCAUAGUAAACACUUUUACUAAUAUUUGCAAACAAACAUUGCUUUGUUUGUAUCUGAAAAUAAUUUCCAGUUCCAUGAAUAUCAUAUAACUAUCCCAACUUUCGAAGUUUGGGUUUCAUGGAAGCAAACAUAUUCCACUUGACCGUAACAGAAUUCUAGCUUUUGGAUCAAAGGACGAGAGUCACAUGAUCCAUAGCAUUAGCGGGAGGAUACGGAAAGCAUGCGAUAGGACAAAGUACUUCUCGGCACUUUUGAGGACAAUCCUCAUAUUACGUUACCAAUCGUAAAGUUUUAACCAGAUAUUUAACAGCUAUUCAAUUUUAACAGGGAAGGUGGAAACGCGAGCCAUUAUUCUACAACUAUUUUGCAUAUAACACUUAGACAAUGUUCAUAAUUAAUUGCACUAAGAAUUAAACAUGUUAAUUCAACAGUGUGCUCCCACUCAAUUCAAUAUCUCUCAAAAUUGAUUGUGAGUGAUACAAGACCCACAUUUCAAUUGUUCGCCAUUGGUGUAACACCAUUCAUGACGAAAAAUUACAACCGGUAGGCCAACUUGCCAAUCACAUCUCUAUGUGACUCUUGUUCAUCUUUUGAUGCGUGUGUUCUGAGCUCAUGACGGUCAUGCCUGAACGUCAAGACAACCAAGUGAUCUCGCUGCAAGGUCUCAACUCACCCGCCUCACACUUCUCUAGUCGUUCGUACCCGUGUGACACGGCGCACCCCGAAAAGAUAGGUGCCGUGACGGUGCUACACUUGGGAGAACACUAACUACUUGGUAUUUUAAGUGAGAGAUCACCCUAAUAAAAGCGACUACCGCGCAAUCUAGAAGGGUGCAUCAUAAGGGAUAAACAUCUCAGGCAAUUCAUAAUAGCAUGAUAUGGUAUAGCCCUUUCUGACGGAGAAGUCUUUCAUUUCUUCGUCUUCGGCAUUCGCGUCGGUGUUCACCUUCGCGAAGAUUGCCACCACCUUGUCGAUGCACCAGAUAAUAUUGCUAUCUCUAUAGCUAACAAAAUAAUGCAUUACAACAAGGUGGACACGUAGGUCAUUAAAGUGCAAUCAUAUGGCUCCAACCAUCAUGCCGAAUCAUGACACGCAGGUCAUGUUAAUCAAAUUACAUCAUAUAGUCAUCUCAUACAUAAUCGAAUUAGUAUGAGCACUGCUAUACCACAUCAUAUGCACAUCCUGCAAAACCAAGUUAGACGCCUCUAAUCGGUUUAUGCAAAAUUUAUUUUACGUGGCUUCUAAGGUUUUGACUUAAACCGCAGCGACCAACGUUUUAUCAUCAAGUAUGAUUAUUCAAGUUGCUAGAUUAACAUCUCGGGGUGUAUGAAACACGGGAUAAUUAAAUCUCGAGCCCCAUACUAAACUUCGUCAUACGCAUGACCCCCGUGCAGAUCAUAUCUGCAAUGCCCUUUCAUCUGCGAAUUUCAUCUUUCUUUUGACUACGGCAGAACCCAAAGAACUGAUAGCACUUCCAUGAUCAAUCAGGAUCACGGAUUGCUAGAACUUUGUCAAAUUCCACCAUGAUGUCUCGAGAUUGAGCAAACGCAAAUUCUAGGGAAGCAACAAGAACCUCGGGUAACAGAUUUCAUCUGUCACCCGCAUAAAUAAUUUUCAGCAAUAGAUCUCAUCUACUACCUAAUUAUAUUAUGCAAUACCCAUACAUCUCCAUGUAUUCUAGAUCGAAACCUGCAUCUACGCAUAGCACGGCUCUUGAUGCCACUGAAAGGGAACGCGACAGAAAACAAAAAUUUUCUUACCUACGCACCAGCCCAGGACCACUAUGGAGACUGCAUACAUGGUUUGAUCUUUUUCGUUACCGACUCGUAGCGCAGCGGGAAGUAGAGUCGAUGACGAUCGGCGGUGCAGAUCCCCGCAGCUAGGAUUUACAACCUCCCAACCGCGAGGAUGUAUACCCUCAUCUGCUCCUUAGACAGCCCUCCGGGAGGCGGUCGAACAGCCCCCCGGACGGUGUCGCGGACAGCCCUCGGGAGGACCUUCGAAACUCGAACGGUCACUCGGACAGCCCUUCGGGAGGACCUUCGAAACUCGGACGGUCACACGGACAGCCCUUCGGGAGGCACUCACGAACUAAGACCGAAACUACGAUCUCUCUACAGAGUUGCACACAUACGGUGUCAUCUAUCCGGCAGGGCUUCGCCGUCCAGAACUAGUGUCUGCCGGAACCCAGACAGCCUUACGGCUCUACGAAACUCUUUUCGUGGGAGGGAGAGAAGAAGCCAGAUAAUGCAUGGCAUGUGUAUGAGAGCAAGGGAUGAGUGUGGAGGGCUGCCCCUCCACCUCUAUUUAUAGGAAAUCCCAAGGGGGUAGGGUAGUUUCACAAAAAACCCAAAAUGCACAUGAAUGAAGUCCUUCCACAAGGACCUAGGAGUGAAACCAAGGAACAAGAGGGUCCCCAAGGGGGGAUACCCCAUGUGGCCGGCCACACCCCCAUGAGGGGCCCAAAAAAUGGCUCCUAUCCAUCCAUGUCAUCCCCAAGAUCUUUUGGAGCAAAGCCCCAAAAGGUGGCUUUCCAUAAAGUAACCAUAAAGCUGAUUUUCACUAUUCACGACGACAUUUUUCAGCGUCUGAUCGAACUGAAAAUAUUUAUGUGGGCUAAGAACAUUUCCAGUACCCACUAAAAUGAUUUUCAACGCGUUCCGAAACAAUUCCGGUUUUGUUCUCUUUUCUCGUUUCGUGUUCCGGCAUCCCCGUGAUCAAAUCACAAAGUGUCUGGCCAGACGAUGAUGGACACCGUAACACCGAGAGGGCCCAGAGAUAUCUCUCCAUCGUCGGAGGAGCAAAUCCCAAUCUUGAGCUAUCAAGUUACUUGACACACUUUUCCAUGAACCCGUAAGCCGCCGUAAUAGCCACCCAAUUACGGAUGACGUUUAACAAACCCCAAAGUUCAUGAAGCAAGCAUGAAGAAACUCGAUACUCUCAUGGUCUAAGGAAUCAUGCAAACGUUAACCAUCUCUGUGUUAUGUACCAAUAAACUUGUGACGAAUGAAUCUCAUAGCAUAACAUCAUGCCGGGUCGAUUCAACACAAAUGUUCUCUUAACAUUAUGCCCUCAAGGUUGCUGACAUAGACAUGCCCAUGAUCAGGAAAACAUAACCAUCAUGCAACACUUGAGCUAGUCUUAGAGGCCAGACUAGGAAUACAUUUUACCGUUUAUUAUUCCACACGUGCAUAUGAGUCUUCCUCCGAGCCUCGUGGUUAUUGCAGACUCGAGAACCAUAGCAGUUAUAGCAUGGAACAUAAACAUAAUUAUGAACUCGGAGAUAAAUAAUAUCAUUUAUUAUUGCCUCUAGGGCAUAUCUCCUAAAUGGUUUGAUUACAUCUCCACGGACUUUCCACUUGCAGUGGUGUUCCGGGAGGUGCAAGUUAUGAAACCCCUUUCACAACUCAUCAGACAUUCGCUAAACAUGUAACUCAAAUAUUCCUUUGUGCAAUCAAAUUGCAGAAACAUAAUUUUCUUGUUACAAUAACUUCUACUUCAUUUUUGAGAACCUUUCGAAUGAUUUCAAAAGAUCCAGACUUACGUCUCAUCAAGUAAAUAUCCAUAUAUCUACUUGAGUCAUUUAUGAAGAUAAAUAAAUCCACCACUAACAACACUUAUCGGACUACACACAUCAAAUGUAUGAUCACUAAUAAGUUUGUUGUUCGUUCCUUAUGGCCUGUGAACGGUAUUUUAGUCACUUCACUUUUCGGAGGAAAGUUGCAAGUGUCAGAUGAUUCAAAAUCAAAAAGACUUCAAAAUCCAUCAUAAUGGAAUUUUCAAUGCGGGUUUCUCCAAUGUGACCAAAUGUAGUGCCACACUUGUGUGGUAUUCUUUUAGUCUUGCGACAUUUAGCGUCAGUGUUAUGGAUGUAUCAUAUUACCCUCAAUAUUCAUAACAUACGUCCCAUCUUGGAUGGAAGCAUGGCCCUUCAUGUUAUUCAUAAUACUUAACAACAAUUGUUGUUUUUAUGAACAACUCUUUUGCAACAAACAUUGUGCAAUGGGCUAGAGUGUAUGAAACUCUAAAAUGAAUUAUGAAAGUAAACCCAGAGGUAUUGUAUUAUUAUCAAUAUUCAUAACAUACAUCUCAUUCAUAAUGAAAGUAUGGCCCUUGUGUUAUUCAUAACAUCGAACAUAAAAGGUUCUCUUAUGAACAACCUUCUUGCAAGAUACCUUAUGCAAUGGGCGAGAGUUUGUAAAACUCUAAAUGAAUUAUGAAAAUAAAUACAGACGGCAAUACACCGAUGGAAGGUAUAGUAAUAUUUACUAUGUUCCCUGUGUAUACCUUAACCUCAUUUCUGGCUAGUCUUUUUAGGCCAUAGUAGCUCUUACAGUGAUUCGCAAUUGAAUGCAAUCGAGCGGGUAUCUUUGUGAUUAACUCACAAUACCCAAGAAUUAGUGAUCAUGUUUAACCAUAAUUCCCAAGAACUAUAUCUUUGACCAGCCUACUAUACAUCAAAAACUUGUAUGACAUUCAUACAUGAGCUGGAUAUUCCAGUCAUCUUUCUUUCUGCCUUUAUACUUCUAACAGUUUAACUUUUAGUAUUUCUCCUACUCGCAAAAGAAGCACCCAACUUAAGAGUGGCGUUAGCCCCAGACUUCCUAGGCGUGUAAGUCAUACUAACACCCUUUGGACACUUCUUUUCUCUUUAAGUUGUUGUUUUAUUCACCUUUCAUUAUAUGACAGGCGUUCUUCUGGAUCCCUUUCCCAACAGUCAAAUGCAUAGUAAACACUUUUACUAAUACUUGCAAACAAACAUUGCUUUGUUUGUAUCUGAAAAUAAUUUCCAGUUCCAUGAAUAUCAUAUAACUAUCCCAACUUUUGAAGUUUGGGUUUCAUGGAAGCAAACAUAUUGCACUUGACUGAAACGGAAUUAUAGCUUUUGGAUCGAAGGACGAGAGUCACAUGAUCCAUAGCAUUAGCGGGAGGAUACGGAAAGCAUGCGAUAGGACAAAGUCCUUCUCGGCACUUUUGAGGACAAUCCUCAUAUUACGUUACCAAUCGUAAAGUUUUAACCAGAUAUUUAACAGCUAUUCAAUUUUAAUAGGGAAGGUGGAAACUUGAGCCAUUAUUCUACAACUAUCUUGCAAGAAACACUUAGACAGUGUUCAUAAUUAAUUGCACUGAGAAUUAAACAUGUUAAUUCAACAGUGCGCUCCCACUCAAAUCAAUAUCUCUCAAAAUUGAUUGUGAGUGAUACAAGACCCACAUUUCAAUUGUUCGCCAUUGGUGUAACACCACUGAUGAUGAAAAAUCUCAACCGGUAGGCCAACUUGCCAAUCACAUCUCUAUGUGACUCUUGUUCAUCUUUCGAUGCGUGUGUUCCGAGCUCAUGACGGUCAUGCCUGAACGUCAAGACAACCAAGUGAUCUUGCUGCGAGGUCUCAACUCACCCGCCUCACACUUCUCUAAUCGUUCGUACCCGUGUGACACGGCGCACCCCGAAAAGAUAGGUGCCGUGACGGUGCUACACUUGGGAGAACACUAACUACUUGGUAUUUUUGUGAGAGAUCACCCUAAUAAAAAGCGACUACCGCGCAAUCAAGAAGGGUGCAACAUAAGGGAUAAACAUCUCAGGCAAUUCAUAAUAGCAUGAUAUGGUAUAGCCCUUUCUGACGGAGAAGUAUUUCAUUUCUUCGUCUUCGGCAUUCGUGUUGGGGAACGCGACAGAAAACAAAAAUUUUCCGACCUACGCACCAGCCCAGGACCACUAUGGAGACUGCAUACAUGGUUUGAUCUUUUUCGUUACCGACUCGUAGCGCAGCGGGAAGUAGAGUCGAUGAUGAUCGGCGGUGCAGAUCCCCGCAGCUAGGAUUUACAACCUCCCAACCGCGAGGAUGUAUACCCUCAUCUGCUCCUCAGACAGCCCUCCGGGAGGCAGUCGAACAGCCCCCCGGACGGUGUCGCAGACAGCCCUUCGGGAGGACCUUCGAAACUCGAACGGUCACUCGGACAGCCCUCCGGGAGGACCUUCGAAACUCGGACGGUCACACGGACAGCCCUUCGGGAGGCACUCACGAACUAAGACCGAAACUACGAUCUCUCUACAGAGUUGCACACAUACGGUGUCAUCUAUCCGGCAGGGCUUCGCCAUCCAGAACUAGUUCCUGCCGGAACCCAGACAGCCUUACGGCUCUACGAAACUCUUUUCGUGGGAGGGAGAGAAGAAGCCAGAUAAUGCAUGGCAUGUGUAUGAGAGCAAGGGAUGAGUGUGGAGGGCUGCCCCUCCACCUCUAUUUAUAGGAAAUCCCAAGGGGGUAGGGUAGUUUCACAAAAAACCCAAAAUGCACAUGAAUGAAGUCCUUCCACAAGGACCUAGGAGUGAAACCAAGGAACAAGAGGGUCCCCAAGGGGGGAUACCCCAUGUGGCCGGCCACACCCCCAUGAGGGGCCCAAAAAAUGGCUCCUAUCCAUCCAUGUCAUCCCCAAGAUCUUUUGAAGCAAAGCCCCAAAAGGUGGCUUUCCAUAAAGUAACCAUAAAGCUGAUUUUCACUAUUCACGACGACAUUUUUCAGCGUCUGAUCGAACUGAAAAUAUUUAUGUGGGCUAAGAACAUUUCCAGUACCCACUAAAAUGAUUUUCAACGCGUUCCGAAACAAUUCCGGUUUUAGUGAUUUUCAUCUGCGAAACGCAUCUGAAGUGGCUCCGGCAGCUCCGGAACAUUUCCGGUUUUUAUCUCAGAAAAUUCCAAAAAGCUUCCAGAAUGAUUCUGGCAUCCUCCAAGAAUUAUCAGGCAUGUGCCGAAACCAAUUUGACUUAAUGGUGUAUCCUGAAACAACUUUUCGGUAUCAUCGAAACUUAUCCGAUGACCUCUCUCUGCGGUACGAUUCCGCUGUCCGAAACUUUUCGGUGUCCGAAACUUUUUCGGUGAUUUUCUCUCAGACUCCCUGUCUAGUAUUCAGCAGAUAGAUGACCCUUAAGCGUGUGACCCUAUAGGUUCGGUGAAGUAUAGACAUGAACCGGAACCCCUUCCGAUCAAUGAUCAACAUCGGAGCCGUGGACACCCAUAUUGACCCCUAUACCCACACGAAUAAAUAUUUGAGUGAACCUCCAGUUGCCGUGUGCUAUUCCUGUUGCUUCGCGAUAUGUUACAAAUACCCGAGGUGAGGCAUGUUGGCAUUCCCGUGGAUCAACAACUUGUCCACUAUGCUAGUUACCUCGUUACCGGUUUUGUUCUCUUUUCUCGUUUCGUGUUCCGGCAUCCCCGUGAUCAAAUCACAAAGUGUCUGGCCAGACAAUGAUGAACACCGUAACACCGAGAGGGCCCGAGUAUAUCUCUCCAUCGUCGGAGGAGCAAAUCCUAAUCUCGAGCUAUCAAGUCACUUAACAUACUUUCCCAUGAACCCGUAAGCCGCCGUAAUAGCCAUCCAGUUACGGAUGACGUUUAACAAACCCCAAAGUUCAUGAGGCAAGCAUGAAGAAACUCGAUACUCUCAUGGUCUAAGGAAUUAUGCAAACAUUAACUAUCUCUGUGUAAUAAACCAUUAACUUGUGAUGAAUGUAUCUCAUAACAUAACAUCAAUUCGGGUCGAUUCAACAAAAAUGUCCUUCCUGACAUUGUGCCCUCAAAAUUGCUUGGCGUAGACAUGCCCAUGAUUGGGAAAACAUAAUCAUCAUGCAACACUUGAGCUAGUCUUAGAGGCACGACUAGGAAUACAUUUUACCGUUUAUUAUUCCACACGUGCAUAUGGGUUCUCCCCAGAGCCUUUAUGGAUAUACGGGCUCGGGAACCACAUCAGUUAUAGCAUGGAACAUAAACAUAAUUAUGAACAGGGAGAUAAUCAAUAACAUUUAUUAUUGCCUCUAGGGCAUAUCUCCUACACACACGAGCAACUAGCUCAUGACGUGCAAGGCUAGAAUUACGAUUAGGGCCAGACAUCUAAAUACGCAGCGAGUGGAACAAUGACAACCAAUGCUAGCAAACAAGAACUUUGUUUGUCUUUUAUUCCCAAUCUUGAACUAGCACUUGGUCGGGGUCACACAUGAUGGUGCACGCCACUUUAUUUGUCAUCGUUACAUCGAUUGGUGCAUAAGCUAAGCAACGUUGACCUAUCUACCUUUUAGUAUAGCUCUUGCUUUUUUUUCAUUGGCCACCAAUGCCGGCGACUAUGCUGGCAAAUGGUGCCCUGAUGGUGGAGCAGUAAGGUGGGACAUACACGUUGCACAUGGUUGCAAGAGUUUGCAACACCAAUGACCUAAUCACCUCCAAUUGAGCUGGUUGUUGAGGUUGGAUGAUGCCCUGACCUUGGACGAGAGUACCUUGACCUACCUGUUGCUGUUGAGACAGUGGCACCAGGAUUUGCACACCCUGUCGUUGUUCUUGUUGUUCUUGCUGCAUGAUGAUGGAAUGCACGAUGCUAUGGAUGGCUGCACACUGGAGUUGCUGAGGAAUUUGUGCUAGUUGUUGGCAACAUUGUUGCCGCAUCACCUGGCAAUCGCUUCGUGGCAAGAUCAUUGACCAGAGGGAUGACACCAAGGACACAGGUUUGCAUUGUUGCAAGAGGAAAUUCUUGCAUGGGUUCAACUGUUGUUGUAGAGAUUGUUGAAUCAACGAUGGUUGUUGUUGGGGGAAUGAUUGUUGUGGUUGUUGGGGCUGCGGGAAUUGUUGUUGGGGCUGGGGAAAAGGUUGUUGUGGUUGCUGGGACUGGGGAAAUGGUUGUUGGGGUUGUUGAGUCUGGGGGAAUGGUUGUUGUGGUCGCUGGGGAUAUGUUUGUUGUGGUUGUUGGGGGAAUGGUUGUUGGGGCUGGAUAAAUUGUUGUUGUGGUUGCUGAGGCUGGGAAAAUUGUUGUUGUGGUUGAUGGGGGAAUGUUUGUUGGGGUUGGGGAAAUGUUUGUUGCGGUUGCUGGGAGAAUGGUUGGUGAGGCUGCGGGAAUGGUUGUUGUUGUGGCCAUGGUACUUGGCCGCUAGGGUCGACCUGCAUAUUGGCGGUGGCGAUGGUUAUUGCCAUCACGAGGAUUGUUUGGAUGAGUAAGGUCUUCAUGGUGGAUUUGCGUUAACUACUACCUACUUGGAUUUGAUGCUUGUGCUCUAGUUGUGUGAAGGAUGGAUGAUGGUAUGGAGUCUACAUAUUGUAGGCCUUUUUAUAGCUACCAUGGUUAGGUUUCUUUUCAUUAUUGCUUUCCUUUUUUAAAGUGAUUCGAUGCUUAUCGAACUAAUUUUUUUGGCGUGUUGUGUUUGGUGGCACUGCAUACAAGCGUAAUUUCGGAGUGAUCAACAAAGUUGCCUUUUUACCGCUCAUAUUAUCUAAGAGUGAGGAAAACUUGAUAAUUGGCACUGACUCAUCUUAUUCACUUUACAUGUCAAACAAUUAUCUGGAUUGCGUUCCUUUUGGAUCUAAGUUUGUCAUGUUAUACAAGUUGUUAGGCAUAAACCAAAUCUUCAUAGCUUGUGGGGGACUAAAUUUGUGUCCUUGUGCAUGUUGUUAAGAUAGAUCAGGCUAGUAUUGUCAUGUUCGUUCUGAACUCUUAUUCCUUUUUAAACUAACUCGUAGUGUUGUAUAGUAUGAUGGUAAGAUGAACAAGCUGAUAGUAAUGUUGUACACAUUAUUAAGAGAUGAGUCAUCAACUUCUCUUUUUAUGUCAACGGUAGUAAUGUUGUACACGUUAUCAAUACAUGACUCAUCAUAUUCCCUUUUUACGUCAUGUGUUGUAAUUUUGUGGAAGUUAUUACUAAAUAUUGGAUUAGUACUUGCUUUACACGUCUUAAUUGAUUCACUCUAAGUACAUUUCAAGGUUUGUUUUCUUGCUUCAAUAGGUUAACUUAUUGAACUAAGUUUGUAUGUAUUAUUCGUAACAUUUGAUGCAUUUAGUCGAAGUUGUUCAUGACAAUUGUUGUUACUAAGAUUUCCGAGAAUGAUUUCGGGCAUUUACAAAAUAAAUAGUGGCAUAUUUGUACGGAUAUUGUCUUUGGAGGCCGAGCUCCAUGGAGAUCGGUUUUGAAAAUUUUGAAUUUUGUCUACUUGCACAAAUUUUUUCAGAUUUUUUUGUAACCGAAAAGUUCGAAUUUUGAUUUGUUUUAAAAAAAAAGGCCUCCAUGGCUCCCGGGAGCCACACGUCCACUCUCCAUAUUUGUAUCCUUAGAUAGCUAAAAGCAUGUAUUAUUACACCACCUACUAACAUACCUUUAAUCUACACAGACUUGUCAAGAAGUCCUUUAUUGGCGUGUUUAUCUACCUGACCGGAAGCCCAUCAAGUUCUAGUGUCGUAAAAGGAAGCAAAGAAUAGGUGGUAAAAUUGCUCAACAAGUCAAUCUUCUUGUUUGUUUAAUUACCUAGAACUGACGGUUGACUCCUGAGAUCUUGUGGGCAUAUGUUUUCGAAAUAAAAAAUCCACUCAAGUUUUAAUAUGUUUGACAUGAUUCACAUUUUUAUCUGAGGGUGGGGGUGAAAUAUGAACCUACAUGUUGCCGGGUCUUGGUGUGUCUUCAGCCAUUUUUCUUGCCAGUCCUCCUUGGACAGGUCUUGCCACGGGAGCUCGCGGUAGCAGCAUGUAGCUCCUAGCGCCAACAUUGUGUUGCCCUUCCUGCUGGAUUCUGCGCCAGCACAGAAUCCAAUGCAUUCUUUUUAAUUCACCUGCAAAUAAUUCUUUGGAAAUAUGGGUCGCUGGCAUCUCUCGUCUCCUUUGUUGCCGUGUUUAUCUACCUAGUCACAAGCCCAUCGAAAUCUAGUGCUGCAAAAGGAGGCAAGAAGAGACACUGAAACUGUCUAGUCGAUCGCAAUGUACUCCAAUGGCUAACGCAACUAGGAUCGCACCUGGCUAAAUCUGAAAAAAAUAAUAUAUUUGGUAGAACAUAAAUCUUUUGUGUUUUUGCCUUGCAAUAUGAUGGAUAGUGGCACAAUAUCCUUUCAACAGUGAACAGUUGCACAAGAUAUGCAACUUGCCGUGGAUAUUUUGUCCAGUCAAGUUUGUUUUUGUGGAGAAUUACUCGAUGGACACAUUUUAUGAAUGGAAAAAUGGCAGAGGAAAAGGAUAGAAUCAGUUUAUCAAUCCUUGUGUAAAUCAACAAACAAAUCUAACGUGGGCCUGAUUAGAAACAUCUGACAUAUACUAUUUAAUUAGAAUGUGUAAAUCAACAAUCAAAUCUAAUGUGUGCCUCAUUAACAACAUCUGACAUAUACUGUUUAAUUAGAAUCAGAUGCAAGAUCCAGAACAGUCAAGAUGGUCACACAACUCAUAAGCAUUGCCAUCAAAGGUUUAAAUUGCAAUUAGUCAACUUACUUUAGUAUAGUAUAUUCUUCAACCGAAUCCAUGUUUCCAACACACUACUAGGGAAAAGCCUAGCAGUAGCGUGGGUUUUAGGUAUAUCAGUAGCCACUAGUAGAAAAAGGGGCUUUGGUUCAGCCAGAAAAGAGCAUUAAUACCGGUUGCACUACGAACCGGGACUAAUGGUCCCGGUUCGAGCGGCGAGGGCACCGUACAGGCAUUACUCCCGGUUCAAAUGGGACCUUUAGUCCCGGUUGGUGCCACGAACCGGUACUAAAGGGUGCGAUGCCCAUUAGUACCGGUUCGUGGCACGAACCGGUACUAAAGGUCUAACCUUUAGUACCGGUUCGUGGCACGAACCAGUACUAAUGGCGUUGAGACCUUUAGUACCGGUUCGUGCCACGAACCNNNNNNNNNNNNNNNNNNNNNNNNNNNNNNNNNNNNNNNNNNNNNNNNNNNNNNNNNNNNNNNNNNNNNNNNNNNNNNNNNNNNNNNNNNNNNNNNNNNNNNNNNNNNNNNNNNNNNNNNNNNNNNNNNNNNNNNNNNNNNNNNNNNNNNNNNNNNNNNNNNNNNNNNNNNNNNNNNNNNNNNNNNNNNNNNNNNNNNNNNNNNNNNNNNNNNNNNNNNNNNNNNNNNNNNNNNNNNNNNNNNNNNNNNNNNNNNUAUCGCCUUUUCAGUUUUGUAAAAAGCAAAACAAAAUGAUAAAAACUUCAAAAGUUAAUAUCCUUCGAGAUGUAGUUAUGUUACCACAUCUACUAGUUAGGAAAAUUUAAAAACUUAAAUUUGGACAUGUUUUGCAAAAAGUGUAGGGAAAAUGUAAAACGGCUAUAACUUUUGCAUACGAUGUCAGAAAAAACGUAUAAUAUAUCAAAAUGUUCAGCACGAAAAUCCGCAUCCGAUUUUGACGGCCUACGGCCUGUUUGCAAAUUUUUAGAAUCCUCAAAUUCCAAAAGGAAAAAAAGUUAUGCUCAAAUUUCAGUUUUUUUAAAUUUUCGUUAAAUCUGGUCAAACUAUGGUCAAACUACUUAUUCAAGAAUUAUUAGUGUUACUAAAUAAUUAUUCAAGAAUAUUAGUGUUACUAAAUAAUUAUUUCAGUUUUUUUAAAUUUUGGUCAAAUCUGGUCAAACUGUGGUCAAACAAUGGUCAAACUACUUAUUCAAGAAAUAUUAGUGUUACUAAAUAAUUAUUGUUUUUUAGAACAAUAGCUUCAAACUCAAACAGUGAAAUGUGUGACUUCAUGCUCAAGCUAAACUCCUGAGGGUUAAUAGGAUUGACAUCUUACUAUUGUCAGGAAAACAACAAGUGCAGACUUGGAAACGAGGGAGAAUAGAACCCGGAAGUUAAGCGUGCUCAGGCUGGGGGAGUGGGAGGAUGGGUGACCGUUCGGGAAGUUAGAUGAUUUGGAAUGAUGAGGGGUGAUUAGAGAUUAAAUUGAGCAGUGAUGAGGGGUGAUUAGAGAUUAGAGGUUAAAAUAAUUCAGAAAUUUGAAAAUCGGGAAAAUAUUUCAAAAAAAUUAAAAAAAUCCUUUAGUACCGGUUGGUGUUACCAACCGGGACUAAAGGGGGGACCUUUAGUAACGACCCUUUAGUCCCGGUUCCAGAACCGGGACUAAAGGCCCUUUUUCUACUAGUGAGCGCGGGUGAGGGCGAUACUGAUACGGCGCUACAACUAACAGGUAGUAGUAGCGCGGGUGCCACCCGCGCUACUACUAUGUCCGUUAGUAGUAGCGUGGAUACCACCCACGCUACUACUAACUAGUAGUAGCGUGGUUCUGCAUCCUCGCUACUGCUAACUAAUUAGGAGAUAAAAAAAAUAAAUUUCAACCACGGCUGCUGCUACUAGACGUCAUCGUCCUCUGCAUCCAUGGCCGAUGCUGAUCCUGGAGGGGAUGAAGUCAUCCAUGGAGAUGUUGCUUCCCCAUCCAACUCUUCUCCACACCUCUCCUUUGCUGCUGCUACAAAAAAAGGGACAAGGAUUAGAAGAAGAAGAGAGAGAUAGAGAGGAGUAGGUGCAGCAACUCACCAGUUGCCGCCGGAGUUGGAGCCGAACCCCUAGAUGAUGCCAUGGGUUGCGUCCAUCAGAGAUCUGGCCAUCAUCAUGGGCGGCGCUCUGCUGGAUCUUCCUCUCCUUCCAGCAGCGGAGGAGGAGGAGGCAGGAGGGGCAGCGGAGGAGGAGGAGGAGGAAGGAGGGGCUACGGUGGAAGAGGAGGUCGCGGAUAUGAGGGAGACGUCGCGGCGCGAGGCCGACAGUUGCGGUGGAGGAGGAGACGCGCAUGUGCAGGAGCGCCAUGGAGAGAGAGAGGAGGAGGAGGAGAGGGACGGGGGAGAGGAGUGAUUUGGACGAGGAGGUGGGGAUUUCAGGGCUGUUAAAAAACCCAGCACUUAGUAGUAGCGCGNNNNNNNNNNNNNNNNNNNNNNNNNNNNNNNNNNNNNNNNNNNNNNNNNNNNNNNNNNNNNNNNNNNNNNNNNNNNNNNNNNNNNNNNNNNNNNNNNNNNNNNNNNNNNNNNNNNNNNNNNNNNNNNNNNNNNNNNNNNNNNNNNNNNNNNNNNNNNNNNNNNNNNNNNNNNNNNNNNNNNNNNNNNNNNNNNNNNNNNNNNNNNNNNNNNNNNNNNNNNNNNNNNNNNNNNNNNNNNNNNNNNNNNNNNNNNNNNNNNNNNNNNNAGUAGUGAGGGGUAAAAACCCGCGCUACUACUAUCAACUUAGUAGUAGCGUGGGUUUAUAAACCUCGCUACUACUAUGGCAUGUCCCGGGGGGCACGGUAGAGACUGCUUAGUAGUAGCGAGGGUUAAAAACCCGCGCUACUACUAUCAACUUAGUAGUAGCGAGGGAUAAAAACCCGCGCUACUAGUAAGUAGCAGUAGCGAGGGGUAUAGACCCGCGCUACUAGUAAGCGUCUGUGUAUAAGCUUUUCCCUAGUAGUGGUACCUAUUGGUUAAGUUAUGCUCAUAUGACUUCACUACAGAAAUAGCUAGCCUAUUCCUCUUCCUCUCUUGCGCAUUUUUUUCAUCUUGGUUUUCAUCGUCGAUCACCGCUGCUCCUAGUUUUCCCAUUCAGCAUCCCUCCCUCCAUCCCUCUCUCUCUUCAACCCUGCGGCUACCGCAAUGCCAUCGGACAGUGCCAAAUUCUCCUCUUUACAAGCACUGCCUCCUAAUUGUUUCGCUUGCACGGUGACUUAUAUUGUCUUCUCCGCACCAUUCUAAGUAGAAGACACCUCUUGUGGGAGGCACGACAUACCAAUGAGGCCUCGAUAUCUGCAUCCACCGGCUCAUAAGAUUCCGCCUCCCAUAAUCCGGUUCAACGACAUUUACCAAGGUCUUUUUGAGCAUUUAUUUGUGGUUGGCGUGCUUAUGUAGGAUGGGGAAGAAGGACUGGUCCACGGUGAUCCUCGAGUGGAAGAAGUCAAUAAGCCGUAUGUGGUCAACCAAGCCACCAAUGACAAUUACUCCAUUAUCGCCUUGCGCCCGGACACAAUGGAAAGGCUAGAGUUGUUCCAUGGGGCCACCAUCCUCCUGAAGGUACUACAUGGUCUAACCGAGCUAAUACUUCUUUCAAUUUAAGCUAUCUUGUUGGAUUGGCUCGGGGAUCUAUGGCCGAUUUUUUUGAAUUUGUAUUCCAAAAAAAUUCAUAGCUUUAUCAUGGUGACAGUUGGUAUAAGGUAGAAUAGACUGUUUUGCUGAGUUUUAGUAGUUUGCUGGGUUAUUUGUUCAACAUUUGAGCAAACAUUCUACUCAAAUUUAUAUCCUACUAUUUGUUUCACACACUUGUCUUACAAAGUGUCCACUGGUUAUGUUGAUUUUUCAGCUUUAACUAUGUAAGGCACGAGUACAAUGUUGAGAGUGGAUGUCCUGCACGCAGCGGCAGCUGAACGCAUUCGCGUGGUGAUGCGUGCAAGUUGAUUUGAAAAAGGGGUAAAGCGGAGACACAUCGCUGAUACAGACAAAUACACUGCCUCUCGUCCGUCCAUUGGGCUCGGGCCGUCGUACCUUGUGACACGGGAGAGGGACGUGCCACGCACGGCGUGCAGAGUGGGACAUUGUUUUUCUGCUCCACGGGCCCGGGGGUCUGACCGGAGAAGCUCUGUACGGACUGGACCUGUUGGUGAGGACACAGGUUAGUCGCAUGCGCUGCGUCUCGCACGAGCCCCUUUCCGUCUUGGUGGCAAAGAACAAGCUGAGCUGCGAGAACAACACCGGCGAGAUGGUGUUCGGAGUUUGGAUCUGCCCACUGAGAUGGUGUUCUUCUCCCACGGACAAAUCUGCAAGGGGUGGAGAAGCAUCACGGGGGUUAGUCUAGUCGUGGGGGGAGCUGCGGAAAGCGCCGGGGGCCUGAGGUUCGCUGCGCGGCGGAGCCGCUGCCUGAUGCGUCGCCCGGCGAGGGCGUAGCUCGUGACGUACAGUGCCGCAAGCAGGGGAGGGGAUGGCCGCCGCAACGUGUGGCAGCGUUUCGUUUCAUUAAUUGCGGUAGCCGCGUGGUUGGGGGUCGGGUUAUGUUAGACCGUGCGUGUCCUCCUCUCCUCUGACAUGCGGUGCAUGCGCUUUUUGACCGACCGGCCGUUGCCACAUGUGCCCUCCGCACGCGUACGCAGAAAAGUCGUCGGUCGGGGUGUGCCUUCUGACACAUAACAGUACAAUUCCAUGUUUUAUUACAUCUAAUCGGGGAUUAACUAAAACAUUGGUGAUUACAUAAACAUGUAUUGCACCCCGCUGGUCGCACCGAGCUACUAAUGCACAAGGGACUGCUAAAUUCAUUAUUUCUACAAUCAUGCUCUUGUGAGGCACGGCGGCGUCGACGGAACGCGGCAACGCAGAGGUGCUUGUGUGCGUGCAAAACGAUCGGUACUGCCAACGGCUGGUGCAUGGGCCUUAAAUACAUGCAGCUGGGUAAAGUGUUUACGUUAUACAGUGCGCGGUGCAACGGUAGUAUUCCGUCCUCUCGACUGCACAUGCGCAGUGCUUGCAGUAGCUGCGUCAGUCCGGCUGUCACUGCACAGUACAACGAAUACAACAUAUACGAAACAUAACGCUCGUCGGCGGUGCACUAUACUCCAAGUAGCACUUUGGCUGGUCCUAAUCGGGAUGCUGUGCCAGCCGUGGAUGCGCUGCGUGCAGCGAUGGACUUCUCGUACAAUGUUAAGUUUGUUACUUAGGUCAAAAUAUCCUUCUAAGGAACUUCUACACAGAAUGAUUUCUCAUCUGUUUGGAGUCCAUAGCAGCAAAUGUAUUAUUUGCUUUGUGUUCCUAGAUUGAGAUAAGUCAAUAUCACAGUGCAUAUUUAAAGAAAUAACAACCAAGUCAUUCUACAGGUAAAAGAAAUUUCUACAAUCAAUUAGAACUGAUCCUACUUAAGUUUUGUUUGCCAUCUGUAAACUGUUUCCCUCUCUCCAAUAAUCCAUAAGAAGAGUUUAAUGGCAUGUUUGGCGCUAGCUAUUGUGACUCAAUAUUUCCUCUUGCUCGCCGCAUGCUUUAUCUUUUACCAUGUGGAAACUUUAGUUUGAUUUUCACCUCUUUGGAGUUCCCUGUAGAAUUGCUUUGAAGAAUGUGUCGGUGCCAUCAAACUCAAAAUUGCACCAAUGCAAAAAUAUCCAGAUUAACAUUUAAAGUGAUGGAUGGUUUCUAAUCAGGCACUUGUUUUUCUGCUAAAAUGGCCCUUUUACUUCUAGACAUUGAAAUACGUUGAAUUAUUAUCGUGUGCAAUGUUCAGGAAAUCACUAACUGAUAGCUGCUCGGUCGGCUUGGGAGCACCAAUUAAUAGAUCAAUCGGCCUAUAAACUGGAUCAUUAGGUCGACCAUUAAUCGGUAGAUUACAUAGGAACCUGCCGGCACGAGCAACUAGCUAUUGAUGUGUAAGACUAGAAUUGCAGUUAGGGAUGAAAAUCUAAAUACACAGUGAAUGGAACAAUGACAAGCGAUGUUCGCAAACUUGAACUUUCUUUGUCUUUUAUUCCCAAGCUUGAAAUUGCACUGGUCGGGGUCACACAUGAUGGUGCACGCCAGUUUAUUCUAUCAUCGUUACAUCGAUGGGUAAAUCAACUAAGCAACGAUGAUCCAUCUACCUAUUAGUAUGGCUCUUGCAUUUUUCAUUGGCCACCAAUGCCGGCGACUACGCUGGAAAAUGGUGCCUUGAUGAUGGAGCACUCAGGUGGGACAUACACGUUGCACAUGGUUGGAAGAGUUUGCAACACCAAUGACCUGAUCGCCUCCAAUUGAGCUGGUUGUUGGGGUUGGAUGAUGCCCUGGCCCUGGACGAGAGUACCUUGACCCACCUGUUGCUGCUGAUAUAGUGGCAGCAGGAUAUGCAUGCCUUGUUGUUGUUCUUGCUGCAUGAUGAUGGAAUGUAUGACGGUAUGGAUGGCUGCACACUGGAGCUGCUGAGGAAUCUGUGCUAGUUGUUGGCAGCAUUGUUGCCGCAUCACUUGGCAAUCGCUUUGUGGCCAGAUCAUUGACCAGAGGGAUGACACCAGUGACACAGGUUUGCAUUGCUGCAAGAGGAAAUUCUUGCAUGGGUUCACCUGUUGUUGUAGAGAUGGCUGAAUGAACGGUGGUUGUUGUUGGGGGAAUGAUUGUUGCGGUUGUUGGGGCUGCGGGAAUUGUUGUUGGGGCUGAGAAAAUUGUUGUUGUGGUUGCUGGGACUGGGGAAAUAGUUGUUGGGGUUGUUGAGUCUGGGGGAAUGGUUGUUGUGGUUGCUGGGGAUAUGGUUGUUGUGGUUGUUGGGGGAAUGGUUGUUGGGGCUGGAGAAAUUGUUGUUGUGGUUGCUGAGGCUGGGGAAAUUGUUGUUGUGGUUGAUGGGGGAAUGUUUGUUGGGGUUGGGGAAAUGUUUGUUGUGGUUGCUGGGAGAAUGGUUGGUGAGGCUGUGGGACUGGUUGUUGUUGUGGCCAUUGUACUUGGCUGCUAGGGUCGACCUGCAUAUUGGCGGUGCCGAUGGUUAUUGCCAUCGCAAGGAUUGUUAGGAUGAGUAAGGUCUUCAUAGUGGAUUUGCGUUAACUACUACGUACUUGGAUUUGAUGCUUGUGCUCUAGUUGUGUGAAGGAUGGAUGAUGGUACGGAGUCUAAUAUUGCAGGCCUUUUUAUAGCUACCAUGGUUAGGUUUCUUUUCAUUAUUGCUUUCCUUUGCAAAAGUGAUUCGAUGCUUAUCGAACUAAUUAUUUGGUGUGUUGCGUUUGGUGGCACUACAUACAAAUGUAAUUUUGGAGUGAUCAUCAAAGUUGCCUUUUUAUGGUUCAUAUCAUGUAAGAGUGAAGAAAACUUGAUAAUUGGUAGUGACUCAUCUUAUUCACUUUACAUGUCAAACAAUUAUCUGGAUUGCAUUACAAUUAUCUGGUUUGCAUUCCUUUUGGAUCUAAGUUUGUCGUGUUGUACAAGUUGUUAGACAUAAACCAAAUCUUCAUAGCUUGCGGGUAACUAAAUUUGUGUCCUUGUGCAUGUUGUUAAGAUAGAUGAGGCUAGUAUUCUAAUGUUCGUUCUGGACUCUUAUUCUUUUUCAAACUAACUUGUAGUGUUGUAUAGUACGAUGGUAAGAUGAACAAGCUGAAGUAAUGUUAUACACGUUAUCAAUACAUGACUCAUCAAAUUCUCCUUUUAUGUCAAGGGUAGUAAUGUUUACACAUUAUCAAUACAUGACUCAUCAUAUUCCCUCUUUACGUCAAGUGUUGUAAGUAUAUGCAAGUCAUUAAGAAAUAUUGAGUUAGUACUAGCUUUACACGUCUUAAUUGAUUCACUCUAAGUACAUUUGAAGGUUUGUAUGUAUUAUUCGUAACAUUUUUUGCAUUUAGUCCAAGCUGUUCAUGACAACUGUUGUUACUAAGAUUUCUGAGAAUGAUUUCGAGCAUUUACAAAGUAAAUAGUGUCAUAUUUGUUUCCUUAGAUAGCUAAAAGCAUGUAUUUAUUACACCAUCUACUAACAUACCUUUAAUCUGCAUAGACUUGUCAAGAAGUCCAUUAUUGGCGUGUUUAUCUAGUACCUCCUUUCCGGUUUAUAAGGCUUGUAUGUAUCCCUAGAUCUAUAAUUUGACCAACAUAAUAUGAGCUGCAUAGUCUAAAAUUAUACCAUUAAAAAGUAUAUGAUUUGAAGUUCCUAAUUAUAUAUUUUUCGUGAUAUAUAACUUGUAUUAAGUUGGUCUAUUUGUCAACCUAGAGAUACGCGCAAGCCAUAUAAAUCGGAAAGGAGGUGACCGGAAGCCCGUCAAGUUCUAGUGUCAUAAAGGAAGCUAGAAGAGGUCGUAAAGUUGCUCAACAAGUCAAUCUUCUUGUUUGUUUAAUUACCUAGAACCAACGGUUGACUCCUGAGCUCUUGUGAGCAUAUUUCUCCGAAAUAAAAAAUGCACUCAAGUUUUAAUAUGUUUCAAAUGAUUGACGGUUUUAUCCAAGGGUGGGGGUGAAAUAUGAAUCUACAUGUUGCCGGGUCUUGGUGUGUCUUCAGCCAUUUCUCUUGCCUAUCCUCCUUGGGUAGGUCUUGCCCACGGGAGCAGCACGUAGCUGCUAGCGUCAGCAUGGUGUGGCCCUGGCUGCUGGAUUCCGUGCUAACAGAGAAUUCAGUGCAUAUAUGGAAUUAACCCGCACAAAAUUCUUGGGAAAUAUGGGCCGCUGGCAUCUCUCGUCUCCUUUGUUGCCGUGUUUAUCUACCUGGUUGCAAAUCUAGUGCUGCAAAAGUAGGCAAGAAGAGACGCUGAAACUGUCUAGUCGAUCGCAAUGUACUCUAAUGGCUUACGCAACCAGGAUCAUACCUGGCUAAAUCUGAACAAAAGAAUGUAUUUGAUAAAACAUAAAUCUUUUGUGUUCUUUCCUUGCAAAGAUGGAUAGUGGCACAAUAAGCUUUCAGCAGCGAACAGUUGCACAAGAUAUGCGACUUGCCAUGGAUAUUUUGUCCAGUUAAGUUUGUUUUUGUGGAGAAUUACUCCAUGGACACAUUUUAUGAAAGGAAAAAUGGCAGACGAAAAGGAUAGAAUCAGCUUAUCACCCGCUCUAUAAAUUAACAAUCAAAUCUAACGUGGACAUCAUUAAAAACAUCUGACAUAUAUUGUUUAAUUAGUAUCAGAUUGAAGAUCCAGAACAGUCAAGAUUGUCAUACAACUCAUAUGCAUUGCCAUCAAAGAUUUAAAUUGCAAUUAGGCUUUACAACUUACUUUAGUAUAGUAUACUUCAACUGAUUCCAAUUUUUACACUGAUCAAUUAAGUUAUGCUCAUAUUACUUCAUGACAGAGAUAGCUAAUCUACCCCCCCCCCCAACCUGCUCGUGUUGUUUUCAUCUUGGUUUUUGUCCUCAAUCACCCAAUUUUUUUCCAUCCAUCACCUCUCCUCCCUCCCCAGUCCUCUCUCACUCUCGUCGUCCCUACGGCUACCACAACUCCACCAGAAACUGCCAAAGUCUCCUCUUUACACGCACUGCCACCGAAUUUUCUGCUCCCACGGUGACUAAUACUGUCGUCUCCGCACCGCUCUACCCCUAAUUAAAAGAUGCCUCUGGUGGGAGGCACGACAUACACAUGAGGCCUCUGGCGAGCAACGAUGAGGCCUCGACAUCUGCAUCUACCGACUCAUAAGAUUCCUCCUGCCUACAAUCCGGUUCAAUGGCAUUUGCUAAGGUCUUUUUGAGCAUUUAUUUUUGGUUGGCGUGCUUCUGUAGGAAGGGGAAGAAGGACUGCUCACGGUGAUCCUCGAGUGGAAGAAGUCAAUAAGCCAUCUGGUGGUCAAAGAAGCCACCAAUGAUUACUAGUAGAACGCCCGUGCGUUGCCACGGGCCAACAAAUGGAUCUAUCAUGAGCCCCUCAGCUUUCAGCCCUUCGACCAUUGUGUCAUUACUUCGCUAUGUUGUCACACUACUCCAAAUCCGUGUUCCCUCCAAAUCAAUCAAAUUGUCGAGUCCAUCAUCUCGAACUCAUGGACUAACAAAUGUAUGAAUCAUUUAGCUUAAGCUCUACAUUGCUACCCAGCUCAAAUUCGCAUAUGUUUUCUCCAAGUUUGCCAAAUUGCCAUAGGCAUUCCCAUCAUCCUAAGUUUGAAUGUCUUCCAACAUUUGCCACUCACUCCCUCCUAAAAGUUCUGACAAAUUAAACAUUUUUUUCAUAUAAUUUGCAAUGUUAUACAACAAAAGUCGCAAAUUCCUCUCAUUUUUCUUUUUAAGCAUUGCAUGAGAGCUGAUAGUUCGACUUGUACGAACCCUCCUACCUCAUGAUAAGAACCACCCAUGCAAAGGAAAAUAGCUAGAUCGUAUCAUAUGCAUAUAAUGAUCAGGGUGUAGCACUUGUGUUGUCGAAUUAGUUGUUAUAAAAACAAUUUGUUUCCACUUUACACAAAAAAUCACAUGAAACAAUUUCUUCUCGUUUGAAUUGAUGAUUCAUGCAACAUCUUUGUAUUCUUUUAUUUAAAUGAUUGCAUGCACCAUAAAAAUAGUAGAACUAUGACACCUUCUCGCCAAAAUAAGGAAACAAAGGCAACCUCGGCUUCGGUAUGAUGGUUUUAGUAUAUCCUUGCAUGCGUCAUGAUAAGUCCUGCGUGUUUUAUCAGAUUAUAAAGGAAGCAGUUUGCUGCAUACAUUGAACGAUGAUUUUAGAAUUCAGAAUGGAUUUUUUGUUCUUGUACAUGUUUUAAGUGUUAUUUUGGAGCAGUUUUCCAGGUUGUUAUUAGGCAUAAGCAUAUUGUUCUAGUACUGUAUUUAGUAUGUAUCAGGGACUCAAAAAGCUUCGGCAAAUCUUCUAUUUGCAUAUGUUUCCUAUAGGAACAAAAAAAUGUGUUUCUGAUAAUAGAAAUCAAAAGCUAGGUAAAGGAAACGAUCAAAAAGCAUCCCGGAAACUUUUGUUCUUCUUAUUUAGACCAAAAAAGUUUCUACAUAUACUGUGUCAAUGAUAAAUCUACAACCACAAUAAUAUAUUAAGAGCGAAAAACACUAUAGAAUUAAAAUCUCAUGAAUCAUAAAGGACAAAUAGCUCACCAAAUCCCAUUUUAUAAUGUAGUAAAGAUAUACAUCAUUUUGUUUUGACUCCCUCUCCCUCCCUCGCUCACACGCGCACAAGCUAGUCGUCGUUGUCGUUGUUGAUGUUCAUGGUCCUUUGCCCCUCCUUUUCCACCUCUCAUCAGUGCCUCUUCUUGUGCUGCAAAAGAGAUGCAUGUUGGUGGUUAUGUUUGCCUCCCUUUUCAAGUCGUGCCCACCUUUAGUGAGAGACGUAAAAUGAAGCCGCGAAAAAGAGGAAACAAAAUAAGGAAUUUGGAAUGUUAUGGCUAAUGGCCGAUCGAAAUAGAUCAACAGAAAGUCCCCAUCUUUCCAAAUCAACGGAGAUUGCACCACAAAAAGAACAUAGAAAAUCAUUGUAUUGUCACAACAAACCGGAUCAAACAAUCAAGCGAUUGGAGCAAACAUUCAGAUUAGAAACAUAUGAUAGCUCAUCACAUGUCUCUGCUACAUCUACUUGAGGUUAUUGUUGGAGCUCCACGCGAUCUCCAGCCUUCUUCAAUAACCUACUGACUGAAUGUUAAUGCGGACUUGUAUGAGAAUUUGUCAGUAUCAUCUGCAUAGUAAAUGCCACUACUAUUUAUGGAGCAAGUUUUCCUUUAUUAGUUCACCCGUGUGCUCACAAAAAGGAAGCUUAGAACCGUUUGCUCACGAAAGGAAGCUUAGAAUAUUUGAUGUCUAGAUCAAAGAGGGAGCAAUAUAAGCUUCAGUAUAACCGACAAAUAACUUAGUAACUUAGUAAUAAUAAUUAUUCAAACCUUCAAGUACUAACAAUUAAAAUAAGUAGCAAGGAACUUAAGGUAAGCACAUAGCUAAUCAAUAGUGACUACCAAGAAUUGUUCAGUUCUAUUUUCUAAACUGUGUACCAAUUAGCUCUGUCUCACAAUUGCUCGUGUUCUACUUAUGUCUGAGAUGAUUUGUUCAGCCAAAAAUCCUAAUGUAAGGUAUCAAAUUAUUUGAAAACACAGUCAGGGAAACUUAGAUACCUGUGAACUCCAAAUGCAUGAAAUUCCUGAACAACGAAUCAAUUCUUCAGAAUCUGCAGAAGCUAGAGCACCAAAAAAAGUAUUAUCACUCUUGAUUCUGAGAGGAAGAUGUAAGGAACCAUCCGAAUCUAAUUUUGUUUGUCAUCAUACCUAAGCCGAGCCUGACCUUGUUGUCCUGGCUGCUGCAUUCCACAACCACUAUCUCGAAUUGGUGCAAACAGAAGCAGGCCCUAAUCAGAACUGAGAAGAAGACAUCAGAGACCAAUUCAUUAGUAGUUUGGAAAGAUGUAUCAGAGGUAACACGUACCCGAAGCCCAGCCGCAAUAUCAUGGCUAGUGGAGACCUGAAGAACACAAACCACAAGCGGAGACUUGGAGUAGACCAGACGCGAUCAUCAUGAUGUCGCUGCCAAAUGAGGCGGUGCUAUGCGAGGUCUCUAGGCAGGCUCUAAACUCCUCAAUUUAUUGUUUUAAUUUACCACAGUGAGCAAGGAACCGUGUUAAAUCUGUACCAGUUUCUGAAAAUCAUAGUUAAAUCAAGAUUAUUUCAAAAAAACUCCAGAGCAAAUCAACCAACCCAAGACUCGUCACACAACUGAUAAUUUCUCCUACUUAAAUUCAGGCAAGUAGAAGCACCAGGGAAAAAGUACUACUACCUAGCCCUUGAAUCCCUCCUCCUCAAAUUUGCAUGCAAGGCACAUGCAACUACAAUAUGUCCACUGAAUCACAAUUCUGGGCUUCCUUCGCAUUGUCGAGUAAGCUGACAAUUGAUACGUCACAAGAUUUACAAAAGCAGACACCAACAAAGUACUUGACAUUUUUUUUUUGAAAUGGAGGAGGACCCCCGGCCUCUGCAUCUGGACGAUGCAUGCAGCCACUUUAUUAAUUAUUCACACAAGAUCUUACAAAGUCAUACAACAGUAAGGCUGAAGCCACCGUCUAGGCAACAAAAGUGUCGCUACUCCUAUCCAAGUGAUGAAGGGAUGCUGAUAGUCUGGGCCUAGUACCAAACACACCUCGCAGCCAAACCUAACAUCUAAGACCUGAGGUCCCAACCAGGACGCCUGCCGGGUAUGGGUCACCUACCAGUCCGGCGCACUCCUCAACCAGGACGCCUGCCGGGUCUGAGGCCGCCGCAGCCACCUGCCACCAAUCCAUCUUCAGAGAUGUACUGCUGCAUCUACCUUGCCCGGUCUAGCUGCCGUCGACGCCAGACCGCGUCACCCUCCUGUGCGAGUUCAUCUCCGCGCAUCGGACGCAGAGUCACCACAGCGCCAUGCCGCCGAGACCUGCCGCUAUCAAUGAGUGAGAUGCCACACCGCUCCACCAAAAAAUCCGUCCUCUGGUCUUGCAUCCAGCCGCUGCUCAAAAAAAUGAUGCCCCCAUGAGGGAAAACGACACCAAAAGCACCGCCAUCGUCCGAUCCGGAAACUCCGGAUCUAGGUUUUCACCCAUAGCAGCGCAAGCAAGUCGACAUAAGCUGCAGAGGCGAUGUCUUCAACAAGAUAACGACGCGAAAACGCCGCCAUCGCCCGCCAUGACCCGAGUGAUAGCACGGUUUUCACCGGCAGCCUCGUCUCCCCACUCAACGCCGGGACUGGAUGCGAGAAUCCACAACCAUCUAGCCGACCACCUCCGGCGAAGAAGAUGGACACCACCUCCACGCCCAGGGCCGGAGCCACCGACGUCCUCGUGUCGCGUGCCUAGUCCAGAGGCCGCUUGCCACGCCGGAACAAAGGAUGCGCACGACGGCUCGAGGAACCACCAUCCAGAUCCGAAAGGGAUCCAGAUCGGACACCAUAGCCGCCGCCGUGAUCUCUUCGUCGCCGCUGCCAGCACGACAACCCUGGUCGCCACCGGCCUGCGCCACCGCCCUUGAAUCGGCCGGAGUGGGUCGCCGCCACCCAGAUCCGAUCGCCGGCCGAGGAAGAUUGCCGCCGCCGCCGCUGCGGCCCGCAGGCUUAGCCUGCGAUGCCCUUGGGGGCGGCGGCGGGAGGAGAGGAGGCCCGGCGGGGAGGAGAAGGAGGCCCGGCGGGGAGGCCCCGAUGCGGCGCGGCGCCGCCGCACGAGGGGAGGAGGUCACGAGGAGAGGAGGCCCGGCUAAGUCCCUUUGCCUGAUGUACUUGACAUAACCAGCAUAUUUAUAUGUAUAUGGAGAUUCAGGAGGGACAAAAUAGGUGCAGAACAAUAAAUGCACAGUUGGCCUUGCAGGAUCAAAAGAACCUACAAUAUAAUGCACCAUCAGUUCAUUGCUAACUGCUUGCAAGUAGUAUUCUUUAACAUCUAGCAUAAAACAGUAGAAUCACAGUACCAUUGCUCUCUUUCCGACAGUUGAUAUUCACUUAAACGACAUGUUUUAUAAUCUAGCAACAACAUAACCAUCCCCAAUUAGCCAUUGAUCUCUCUCUCUCACACACACAUACGCAGCAAAGCUGGCACAACAACAAUAGGUAGCACGAUGCGGCCUCAUCCCAUCAUCUCAUCUCCGUAAGAAGGUGAUGCUGCUGCAUUACCAUGGAGCCCGUAGAAAGGCUUGACGGCACAACACACAAACACCACCAAAUUGGGCGGCCAUUCGUGACCUUCGCUUUCCUGCUUCCCAAGGCCUCAAGGUUAAUUUCUUUUGUCUAGGUCAAGAUUUUCAAGAGAAGAUAACCUCACCUCCGAGCCACCAUGUCCAUCAUACACGACGAGCAUCUCUCUUCCGGUGACUUGGCCUAUUACUAUUGUUGUAACAACAAUGUCAUCCCAGUACUUGAUGUUCUUCUUGUUAUUAUCUCGAUGGAAUCAUUUGAGUUUUUCGACCAAAUGGUUGUCUGCGUUUGAGGAUAGAUUGGCUGAGACAAACAAGUAAAUCAGUUCAAAUGAAUAGCAUCAUAAAUUGAGCACUGAGGCAAGUAAUCUCAUUACCAAUCUUGCAUCUUCUUCCGAUGUCCAAGCCAUACGGUGUGCGAUCCUACCGGGUUUUGAAUCCCCUUCAAGACUGACGACAACAUUGGUGGUACUUGGUCAGCUACUGCGGGCAGUUUAAGGGAAUUGUGCAAAUGGUGUUAGACACAUAUUAUUUAGUCCUUCUGAUCUAUCCUCCGCACAACACAUAGUGGAAAUAAAUUCUAUUAGCUAAUCAAAAUAGAAAAUCUGAACAUUUGCAAAAUUACUGUAUCAUGCAACCUGAAUAAACCGAAGUAGUGGACGAGCAUACAAACUGAACAAUCCUACUGUUAUUUAUCUGACUGCUCCGUGUUAACGGGAAAAGUUGGGAAAAGUGCCUUUCCUUUUUGCGGUUUAAGUGCAAGGAACUUGAAAUAGGAUCCUACUGCGUUUUUAGUGGAACGCCUUUUAAGGCAGAUUCCUUUAGUAAUAUAUAAUCUAUACAUUCAAUUCAUCAACAGAGAGGGGCUACAUAAUACCACAUUCUCUGAAAAAUAAACAACACAAGGAUGAAUUUGAGAGGGGGAGAGAUGACUUGCUCAUUAGUCAUUACCUUCUGGCUAUGAUGAAUGGACCAGCACACAAGGUGGAGAUCAGGGCGUACAAGGGGGAGCUGGCUGCAGGUAGGAUGACUCCGGCAGAGAGAAGAUCCUGGUGGGAGGUGUGGGUUGAGGUUGUGCCCACUGGGGUGCCAGUCUCGAACUUCACGACACGGGGCGGUGCGAUGAUGGGCUUCUCGAGGUCCUGUUGGUCCUCGUCCAUGACAAGCGCCUCGACGCCCGGGCCAUAGACCUCGUCGAUGACAUUUGUUGUUGAUUAUUAUUAACAAUAUUGGCAAUGGCAAUUCAGCUUUCUUUCUCAUCAAGUAAUUUAUUGGGAAGUCGUUGAAACAGAGAUCACAAUUAUCAAUCCGUAAACCUGAAGAUUCCGUCAAGAGCAAGGACGGAAAAGCAAAAAAGAUUAGCCAUACCAGCCUAUGUUCAGUCACAUCCAAAAGUUUAGGACAUAAGCACUCACCAACUAUGAGUUCUGAGCUCCAAAGUAAUAACCCUGCCCUACUAAAGUCCUGAUCAUGUUCAGCUAUGCCAAUUUCAUAUUGACAGAUAUUGGUUUAACCUACGAGAGCACAAAUAAAAACCAUUUUAUGGUCUACUCUUCAGUCUUCACUGAAUGAUAUGUUCUGCAGAACAAGUAUGCUUGUCAAGCCUCGCGAUAAUGCAUGACCAAUAACUAUAGCCAUACCCUGCUAUCAAGUUUUUGAAAUCGUUAACAUCACCCUCCUGAAAACUGAAGGAAAACAGAUGCAUGACAAAUGCCAAUGGAACGGACAAAGCAUGAGAUGAAGGCAACUAAAAUGAAGAUAAAAUCGAGAGUUUACAUCCCAUAGCACAUACCCAGGGCCGGCCCUGGGGCAGGGCGAACGGGGCGGCCGCCCCGGGCCCCCUCCCGUAUGCAUGUGUAGUAUUGGGGCCCAUGUUUAGAACGAUAUUUUUUGAAACCCAGGCUUGCGCGUACUGCGUACAUAGAAUGAAAAGAGAAAAAGGCCUGGCCCAUGUUCGCGUGUAGGCAGAGACGAACGUGGAAACUGGAAACCAAAUGGCUCGUUUCCGUGUUUUUCGGAUCACGGGAUCGAUCAGACCAUGCCCUUUUUUUAAAGAAAGGCCAUCAUGGCUAGCUUUAUUGAUUAUGGAUAAUGUUUACAUCGUCCCACUAGUGCAAAACAGGCCUUUAUCACCGGUUCGUAAGGGCUUUUAGUGCCGGUUCUGCAACCGGCACUAUGAAGUGGAGACUAAAGGCCCCCCUUUUAGUACCGGUUCGGCACGAACCGGCGCUAAAGUGCCACCACGUGGCACGAGCUAGGCCCGGAUGCUGAUAGACCAUUACUACCGGUUGGUAGCACCAACCGGUACUAAAUGUUUGGGGGGUUUUGGUUUUAAUUUUUAUUUUUCCAUUAAUUUUGUGUUUUCCAUGUAAUUCUUUUUUGUUUGCUGGUAUUUUACGAUACUACAUAUUGUACACGUUAUGCAUAUAUAUAAAUAGAUUUUCUCGUAGAACCGAUUAUAUAUAUAUAAUCGAAUGUCUCACAACCACCAUUAAUUAUUCACACAUACACAUGUAUAUAUAUACAAUUUCUCCUACAUGUUGCCUUGGUGCCUUCGGAGCACGAUGACAAGUGGUUCAUGGGGCGGUAGCGGGUAAUAGUAUUCUUCUUUGGAUCUAUGAUCUGGUCGAGCAAAAAUCCCGCUAUUUCCUCUUGAAGUGCUCGUAUGCGCUCCUCUGAUAGGAGCUUGUCCCGCACCUCUUUGAACGGUUAAGAAGGAGAUCAAUAUGCAUGUGUAUUAGUUGUGUGACUAGAUAUCGACAAUCAUGUAACAUUUGUGUAUAGUGUUCUGGCAAACGUACCUAGUUCUGUCUAUCAGAUCUGCUCCUUUCGGACGCCAUCAUGCGAAUGUUCUCGCAAACGUAGUAUGCACACACUUCAGUCCCCGGCGCCUGCUUCAGAGCCUUUACGACAAUAGAACUUAAUCAGAUAAUAAUUAAUCAAGCAUGUUAAUUAAUUAAUGGUAUUGAAACAAGAAUUAAAGAUAUGGUAGCUAGCUAGCUAGUACUACUUAAUUACUUACCUUGGGUCGAUACCAACUUAGCUUUUGUCGCCAUUUUCCUGAAGUCACCUUGAUGUACUUUGCCCAAGCCCUGCCCGCCGGCAAAGAAAAUUAAUAAAGGGGUUAUUAAAAAUAGUUCAUAUCAGGAAAUGACGAACUAAAUAGGCCGAGAUAUAGUUAAUAAUGAUUGAAAUAACCUGUCGACUAUCCCCUUCACGAUGCUGUAGUCACUAUUUUUUUUAAAUAGUGAGUUCAGUACUUCAACUUUUCCUUCUUCAACUUUAAUGUCUAACAAGAUCCAAUGGAAGCUGUAUGCGCAUACGUUUGCAUGUAUAAAUUAAGCGGGCAUGUGCAUAACACUAAUCAACUAUAACCCUAAACCCUAUACACUUAUUAACAUCUAGCUAGUAAGCAAAAACAGAAUUUGUAGUACAAAGACAGUGUGACUCACUCGAAGUUGUAAGGAAGUAGUAUAUCUUCAUUGCUAUUGAGGCGCUUCAAGAACUGUAGCAUGCAUUUCUCUACAUCUUGUCUACACCAUUCCAAUUUCCAUGUGUAUUCAUUAACGGUAUUUGGGUCAAUGAACCCAAUGCCAUAGCGUCCAGCUUUUUUCAUUUCAUACAUCUUCAUCCUGCAUAAUACCACAGAAAAGAAUAUAUAGUGAGGAUAUAUAAUUACAGGUACUUAAUGAUCAAUCAAUGAGCACUAGAGCUAGCUUGAGACUUAAAUUACAGAAAGAAAUCACUUACAGACAAUAGCAACUGACGAUAGAUUUGUCGAGUGCAUCUUGAUUGAAUAACUGAAAUAGUUCUGAAUACUCAACGGCCAGAGCUUUCUUAUGGAAGUAAUGAUCUUCCUCGACUUGCACCAUGAGGGACUCUCGAUUGGAAAUCUUGGUAAUUUUCAUGUACCAAUCAUGCAAUUCAUACAUUCUCGUUGGGAGGUUCUUGACCUCCUCGGGCUCGACCAAAGGUUGGCCCCGGACAUAUUUCCGUUUUAUUUCCUCCUCUCUAAGCGGAGACAUGGGCUCGAUCUUGAGGAGUUGUCCAACAGUGAUCUUGAGCAUUUCAGCCUGCAUUAUAUGUUCCUCGGUUAUUACCACAUCGCCCAGCUCAGGAACGUAAACGGUUUGCCCACAAUAAUAUAGGGCGCGNNNNNNNNNNNNNNNNNNNNNNNNNNNNNNNNNNNNNNNNNNNNNNNNNNNNNNNNNNNNNNNNNNNNNNNNNNNNNNNNNNNNNNNNNNNNNNNNNNNNNNNNNNNNNNNNNNNNNNNNNNNNNNNNNNNNNNNNNNNNNNNNNNNNNNNNNNNNNNNNNNNNNNNNNNNNNNNNNNNNNNNNNNNNNNNNNNNNNNNNNNNNNNNNNNNNNNNNNNNNNNNNNNNNNNNNNNNNNNNNNNNNNNNNNNNNNNNNNNNNNNNNNNNNNNNNNNNNNCUGCUUGUUGGCUCGAGCUCGAGCUCGCUUCUUUCUGUAGUCGUGCUCGAUGUGCCUUCCUGAUUUGGCGCUCAUAGUCUGAGUCAACAGGCUUGGGAGCUGGUGGUCUAGCCAUACGAAUGAAGUGGUCAAUCUUUUCCUCAGACACUUUCACCCUCGUCGGCGUUGCCGGUUUCGGUCGAAAAUGAGCGUCCACUUCGGCCCGCACUAUUGCAUCGUUUUGCUCCUCGGUCAUGUCGUAAGGCCUCUGAGGAAGAGGAGCGAGGAUGCUUGGACCAUAUUUAUAUCGCUUGUCUCCGCCUGUACUUUCUGUACUACCUCGACUCGUACCGCUACGCACCAUAGCUGCGGCGUGUCUCUUCUGCGAUUGCUUAGGCGGCGGAGACGGCUGACGUGGCUUAGUUGGAGCAGGAGGAGUGGCCUGACGCUGUGCCGGACUUGAAGGAGGAGGUGUGGCCUGACACGGUGUCGGACUUGAAGCAGGAGGUGUGGCCUGACGCUGUGCCGGACUUGAAGCAGGAGGUGUGGCCUGACAGAGUGUCAGACUUGAAACAGGAGGAGUGGCCUGACGCUAUGCCGGACUUGAAGCAGGAGUCUGCUCACGCGUUCGUGGACUUGGAGGAGCGGGAGUCUGCUGACACGGUGGCGGACUUCGAGGAGGAAUCGGCAGACGCGGUGUCGGUGGACUUCGAAAGAUGAUGCAAUCCUUUUUCCAUAGGAUGAAACAAUGUAUGGCCUCUCCCAGUGUUUGCUCGUCGUCACCUCCAGGAAUGUCAAGCCUUAGCCCCGAAUAUGGGCCCACCACCUCAUCAACCAAGACACGAGCAUAGCCCGCUGGAAUUGGGGCGCAAUGGAAGGUUGCUUCGGGGGUAAUUGUAAAAGCAACGGCGUUCGCCACCUUCAUGGAUAUGUUCUUCAUUUUGAAGUGUAGCUCACAGUUAGUGUUCUCUAUGAUGUCAUCCACAGGGUAUGUAUCCAGCAGUGCGUCGCCCGGGGCGGAACCAACGCUGCUUCUCGGCAUGGAUGGGACGGUGCUAUCCAAUGCUGGAUGAUCAUCCGCUUGCUGCUGCCGCUGCUGAGACCCCCUUUCCUGGCUAAGUGAGUCGAUCUGCUGCUGCUGCUGCUGCGGCUGGAAUUUGAGUGCCAAGUCCGCGUGCCUUGCUUCUAGGCCUUGAAGGCGUUCCGCGUCCUGCUUCCGCUGCUCCUCCUCCAGCUUCCUCUUCUUCUCCUCCUCCAUCUUCUUUCUUGCACGGGUCCUGUAGUCGUCGUUCCAUUCCGAAAAGCCCUCAUACCAGGGAAUAACGCCCUUGCCUCGUGUUCUUCCCGGGUGUUCAGGAUUUCCCAGGGCGCGCGUAAGCUCGUCGUUCUCUCUGUUGGGCGUGAACACCCCCUUUCGAGCAUCUUCUAUUGCGUCAAGUAACUUUUGUUCUGCUCCGUUUAGACUUGCCUUCUUCGAACCCAGGCCUGUCUUCGGGUCCAACGCCCCCCCAUGCGCAUAGAACCAAGUCCUGCACCUGGGGGGCCAGCUCCUAGUAACCUCCUAGUAACCAGAGUGACCCCUGCAUCCUCCAUCUCUUGCUCAGACUUAUCCCACUUAGGCAUUGCCACCGCGUAGCCACCUAGACCCAGCCUAUGGAACUGCGUCUUUUUUGCGGCAUUGGCCUUGUUUUUUCUCGACCGUUCCUUAGAUAAUUCUGAUUCCUUGAAUUUCACGAAAGCGGGCCAGUGUUCUCUUUGUUUCUCCAGUGUUCCCUUGAAUUCUGGAGUCUUCCUUUCUGCAGCAAGUUAGUUGGCCCAUACAGUUUUCUUGUGGGUGUUGAAUGCAAUUGCCAUCUUCUUAAGAGCAGCGUCCUUGACUUUCUGCACAUCUGCAUCAGUGAAAUAAUCUGGUAGGGUGAAAUGUUCCAUCAGAGAUUCCCAAAGCUUUUGUUUUGCUCUGUCGUCGACCCAAGUAACAUCUGGGCGUUUAGUUUUUGGCUCUUUCCAUUCUUGAAUGGAGAUCGGGAGUUGGUCCUUCACAAGAACUCCGCACUGACGAACGAACUUGCUCACAAUGUUCUUAGGCGUGAGGGGUUCGCCACUAGCUUUGAUGGAAUCGAUGUUGUACUUUACACCCUCCUUCAACUUUUUGCUCGGGCCGCGCUUUGUCCUGCUGUCUGUAGAAGCAGAUUUGCUCGAUCCGGAGGGCUGAAAGAAGAAAGAUUGAUUCGUUAAUAUAUCUUCAAAUAAAAAAAACAUGUGAUGAUCAAUAGAUGCCUGCUUAUAUAAAUAUACCUCGCCGGUAAGUCUUUGUUAUUUCAAGAUCAACAUUGUAUUCGUCAUCAUAAUCAUUGUCUGCGUCAUCAUAAUCAUAAUCAUAGUUCAUGACUUCAUCAGCUCGGUCGUCGAGAUCGAAAAAUCUUAUCAUCACCCUCCCCGGUAUUGUUCAGAUAUUGGGAGCCGUCAUUUGCUUCAUUCAGAUCAUCUGGCCUUCUAGGGCUGCGUAUGAUCUCGAACAGGGCCUCUUCUCCCUCUCUGCCGGUAUUGUCCGCCAUAGCUUUUAUUUAACUAAUACAGAAGAAAUAUAAAACAAUUUAGUAUUCAAAUUACAAUGCAUGGAUGCAAUCAAUAAGGAAAAACUGAAUCAUAUAGUACAUAAUAUGCAUCGUCUCGAAUAAUAUAUAAUCUCGAAUACAUCGUCUUGAAUAAUAUAUAAUCUCGAAUACAUCGUCUCGAAUAAUAUAUAAUCUCGAAUACAUUGUCUCAAAUAAUAUAUAAUCUCGAAUACAUCACUGGCUAGGUAGCUAAUAAAGAUCGAAUACUAUAGAAGAAUCUAGGCCACUCGCGGUUCCUGGGGCGCGGGCGGUGGACACCCAACCAUCACAGGAUCAUAUCUCCGGUCAUCUGCCCAAAGAACCUGCCAGGUAUUGGAGAACCUGACGUCCAUAGCAGCCAUGUAGCGAUGGACGUGCUCGUCCUACUCCCUGACACGACGACGCACCACCUCCGACGGGGCCGGCUCCCUCUGCACUGAGUGUGGCCCACGCGAACGCCACCAAAGGAGAUCAGGGUCGACGACGGGACCCGAGGCCGGGUUCCUCACCAAGCGUCGCGCCCCUCCAGGUAGCACCUCCCAGUGCCAGCCCGGCGGAGCCCAAUCCCGGACAUGGGUCCUCUGAAGCAGGACGUCGUCGCGAACGGGUCGACGGUGAGGAUGCGGGCCGGGCAUCGUCGACAACAAAUACUAUAUGCCGCAAAAGUAAAGUAACAUUUUUUAAAUGAUUGGAUUGUGAUUUCUUAUAUGCAAAUUCUAAAUUUUAUAACUAAAAAUAUAAUCAACUAAAAAAACAUCGACCAUAUCUAAAACUAACAUUUCUAUAACUAAAAUUGUAUAACAAAUUUUUCUUUAACAUUUCUAUAUAACAAACAUUUCUAUAACAUUAAUAUAGAAAAAACUAACAUUUCUAUAUAUAACUAACAUUUCUAUAUAACUAACAUUUCUAUAACAUUAAUACAGAAAAAACAAAAAAAACUAAUAACUAAUAACUAAUAACAGAAAAACUAAAAACUAAAAACUAUAAAACUAAAAACUAAAAACAGAACAAAAAUUGUGUAUGUGUGUGUGUGUAUGGUGUGUGUGUGUGUAUUUGUGUGUAUGUGUUGUGUGUGCAGGCGACGGCGACGGCGAGCCAAGGCGACNNNNNNNNNNNNNNNNNNNNNNNNNNNNNNNNNNNNNNNNNNNNNNNNNNNNNNNNNNNNNNNNNNNNNNNNNNNNNNNNNNNNNNNNNNNNNNNNNNNNNNNNNNNNNNNNNNNNNNNNNNNNNNNNNNNNNNNNNNNNNNNNNNNNNNNNNNNNNNNNNNNNNNNNNNNNNNNNNNNNNNNNNNNNNNNNNNNNNNNNNNNNNNNNNNNNNNNNNNNNNNNNNNNNNNNNNNNNNNNNNNNNNNNNNNNNNNNNNNNNNNNNNNNNNNNNNNNNNNNNNNNNNNNNNNNNNNNNNNNNNNNNNNNNNNNNNNNNNNNNNNNNNNNNNNNNNNNNNNNNNNNNNNNNNNNNNNNNNNNNNNNNNNNNNNNNNNNNNNNNNNNNNACGGGGGCGGCGCGGAGUCGACGGGGACUGGGCGACGGCGGCUGCGACGGCGCGGGACGGGGCGGCGGCGAUGAAGCAGAGAGAAGUGGGAGGAAACUGACGAAAUUUUCGUAAGUGUUUCUUAUAUACGAUGGUCCUUUAGUACCGGUUGGAGCCACCAACCGGUACUAAAGGUCGAUUUUGGCCAGGCCAAGCGUCGGGAAGCGCCCACCUUUAGUACCGGGUGGUGGCACCAACCGGUACUAAAAGGUGGCCCUUUAGUACCGGUUGGUGCCACCACCCGGUACUAAAAGGUGUGCGCUGCCAGGCGAGGGGCGCAGAAGUUUAGUCCCACCUCGCUAGUUGAGGAGCGCCAGGACCAGUUUAUAAGCCCCGACGCGGGCACUGCAUUGAGCUCCUCUCAAUAGCAGGCCUUCUGGGCCUACCUCUCCUACUCUGCCUAUGGGCCUACCGGGCUUGCGGGCCUGCAUCCUGGCCCAACUACAGGUUGGGUUUCUAGUCGUAUGCGGGCCUGCAUCGUGGUCGAUGGUGUAGUGUGUGAUGUAGUUUCUGUUGAGGAAGUCGCUAAGUUUGAUGGUGUCGUGGUCGAUGUCGUCGUUGUGCCCGGGGGAAGACGUUGUAGUAAGAGCGGAAGGCGGUUGCAGCGGUAGUCAAUGUUGGAAAUAUGCCCUAGAGCCAAUAAUAAAGUGCUUAUUAUUAUAUUUCUUAUGAACUGUGGUUUGGCAAGAAACCUAAGCUGUCGUUCCUUAAGGUUUGGGGCUGCGAUGCUUAUGUCAAAAGGCUUCAGCCAGAAAAUCUCGAAUCCAAAGCGGACAAAUGCGUCUUCAUAGGAUACCCAAAGGAGUCGAUUGGGUAUACCUUCUAUCUCAGAUCCGAGGGCAAAGUGUUUGUCGCUAAGAACGGGUCCUUUCUCGAUAAAGAGUUUCUCUCGAAAGAAUUGAGUGGGAGGAAGAUAGAACUUGAUGAGGUUGUUGAACCUUUACUUCAACCAGUGAGUAGUGUAGCACAGAAAGAUGUUUCUGUGACACCUACGUCAGUUGAAGAGGAAGCUAAUGAUAGUGAUCAUGAAGUUUCAGAUCAAAUUACUAUGGAACCUCGUAGGUCGACAAGGAUACAUACUACUCCUGAGUGGUACGGUAACCCUUUCUUAGAGGUCAUGUUGUUGGACAACAACAACGAUGAACCUACGAGCUAUGGAGAAGCGAUGGUGGGCCCGGAUUCUGACAAAUGGUUAGAGGCCAUGAAAUCCGAGAUGGGAUCCAUGUAUGAAAACAAAGUAUGUAUUUUGGAAGUAUUACCUGAGGGCGAAAGGCCAUUCAGAAUAAAUGGAUCUUCAAGAAGAAGACGGACGCGGACGGUAAUAUCACUGUCUAUAAAGCUCGACUUGUGGCAAAGGGGUUUUCACAAGUUCAAGGAGUUGACUACGAUGAGACUUUCUCACUUGCAGCGAUGCUUAAGUCCGUCAUAAUCAUGUUGGCAAUAGCUGCAUUUUCAAUUAUGAAAUCUGGCAGAUGGAUGUCAAAACAACGUUUCUUAACGGUUUCCUUAAGGAAGAGUUGUAUAUGAUGUAACCGGAAGGUUUUGUCGAUCCAGAGAAUGUUGACAAAGUGUGCAAGCUCCAGCGAUCCAUUUAUGGGCUAGUGCAAGAAUCUUGGAGUUGGAAUAUUUGCUUUGAUGAGGUGAUCAGAGCGUUUGGGUUUAUACAAGUUUAUGGAGAAGCUUGUAUUUACAAGAAAGUGAGUGGGAGCUCUAUAGCAUUUCUAGUAUUAUAUGUGGAUGACAUAUUGCUGAUUGGAAACAAUAUGGAACUUUUGGAAAACCUGAAGGAAUAUUUGAACAAGAGUUUUUCAAUGAAGGAUCUAGGAGAAGCUGCUUUCAUAUUAGGCAUCAAGAUCUACAGAGAUAGAUCGAGACGCUUAAUACGACUUUCACAAAGCACAUACCUUGAUAAGAUUUUGAAGAAGUUCAAAAUGGAUCAAUCCAAAAAGGGGUUCUUGCCUGUUUUGCAAGGUGUGAAAUUGAGUCAGACCCAAUGCCCAGCGACUACAGAGGAUAGAGAAAAGAUGAAGGUCAUCCCCUACGCCUCUGCCAUAGGCUCUAUCAUGUAUGCGAUGUUGUGCAUAAGACCGAAUGUCAGCCUUGAUAUAAGUAUGACCGGAAAGUUUCAAAGUAAUCCAGGAGUGGAUCACUGGAUAACGGUGAAGAAUAUCCUUAAGUACUUGUAAAGGACUAAGGAAAUGUUUCUCGUUUAUGGAGGUGAUCAAGAGCUCGUCAUAAAGGGUUACGUCAACGGAGGCUUUGACACUGAUCUGAAUGAAUCUAAGUCUCAAACCGGAUACAUAUAUGUUCUGAACGGGGAAGCGGUAAGCUGGUGUAGUUCCAAACAAAGCAUGGUAGCUGAUUCUACAUGCGAAGCGGGGUACAUAGCUGCCUUGGAGGCAGCAAAGGAAGGUGUCUGGAUGAAGCAGCUCAUGACAGAUCUUGGAGUUGUGCCCAGUGCACUGGACCCGAUGACUCUGUUCCGUGACAACACUGGUGCCAUUGCUCUAGCCAAGGAACCAAGGUUACACAAGAGGACCAGACACAUAAAGUGACGCUUCAAUUCCAUCCGCGAUUACAUCAAGGAGGAAGACAUAAACAUUUGCAAGAUACAUACGGAUCUGAAUGUUGCACAUCUAUUGACUAAACCUCUUCCACGGGCAAAACAGGAUGAACACCAGAACUCUAUGGGUGUUAGAUUCAUUACCAUGUAAUAGUAGAUUAUUGACUCUAGUACAAGUGGGAGACUGUUGGAAAUAUGCCCUAGCUAGAGGCAAUAAUAAAGUGGUUAUUAUUAUAUUUCCUUGUUCAUGAUAAUUUUUUAUUAUCCAUGCUAUAAUUUUAUUGACCGGAAACUCAAAUACAUGUGUGGAUACAUAGACAACAAUAUGUCCCUAGUAAGCCUCUACCGGACUAGCUUAUUGAUCAAAGAUGGAUAUGGUUUCCUAGUCAUAGACAUGAGUUUUCAUUUGAUAACGGGAUCACAUCAUUGGGAGAAUAAUGUGAUGGACAAGACCCAAACUAUAAACAUAGCAUAUGAUCGUAUUAAGUUUAUUUCUAUCUUUUUUGCAUGUCAAGUAUAUGUUCCUAUGACCAUGAGAUAAGCAACUCACUGACACCGGAGGAGUACCUUGUGUGUACCAAACAUGGCAACGUAACUGAGUGACUAUUGAGUUGGCAUGGAUCAAGACUGGGAUUUGUCACUCCGUAUGACGGAGAUGUGUCUCAGGGCCCACUCGGUAAUACAACAUCACAAUGAGCUUGCAAGAAAUUUGACUAAUGGGUUAGCCAUGAGAUCUUGUAUUACGGAACGUGUAAAGAUACUUGCUGGUAACGAGAUUGAACUAGGCAUGGAGAUACCGACGAUCGAAUCUCGGGCAAGUAACAUACCGAUCGACAAAGGGAAUUGCAUACAAGAUUAGCUGAAUCCUUGACAUCGAGAUUCGACCAAUAAGAUCUUCGUAUAAUAUGUAGGAACCAAUAUGGGCAUCCAGGUCCUGCUAUUGGUUAUUGACCGUAGAGGUGUCUCGGUCAUGUCUGCAUAGUUCACGAACUCGUAGGGUCUGCACACUUAACGUUUGGUGAUGAUAUAAGUAUAGUUGAGUCAUUGUGGUUGUUACCGAAAGUUGUUCGGAGUCUUGGAUGAGAUCCUGGACGUGACGAGGAACUCCAGAGUGGUCCAGAGGUGAAGAUCGAUAUAUAGGACGAAGGUCAUCGUAGUCCGGAAGUGUUCCGGAGGUACUGGGUUGAGACCAGGUGAGCCAAAAGGGGUUUCGGGUGGGCCCGACAAGUGUUUGGGGGCCCCAUGGACCAAGGGGAGGGGGCACACCAGCCCACUAAGGGGCUGUGCGCUCCCCCUCACCGCAUCCUACAAUGCCAUAGCAGGUAGGGGCGCCCCCCUAGGGCAGCCGACCCCCUUGCCUUGGGGGCCAAGGCUCCUAGGGGGGCGCACCAAACCCAUCUAGGGUUUCGCCCUGGUGGUCAUCGGCCCCUCCUAGGGAACCCUAGGGCGCCAAUCCUCCUCCCUUCGCCCUAUAUAUAGAUGAGGAGAGGGAGGGAAGCCGCACCCUGAUACGCCACGGCGCUGCCCCUCCUCUCCCUCGUAGUCUUCUUCCUCUCCGUAGUGCUUAGCGAAGCUCUGUUGAGAUUCCACCACCAUCGCCGCCAACACAACAUUGUGAUGUCGGAGGACUCGAGCUACUACUUCACCAUCGCUCGCUGGAUCGAGGAGGUGAAGGCGUCAUCAAGUCGUACGUGUGUUGAACGCGGAUGUGUCGUCCAUUCGACACUUGGAUCGGGAGUUCGCGGGACAGAUCGUGAUUGGAUCGCGAAGACGUUCGACUACAUUAACCACGUUUCUUAAUGCUUCCGCUCAGCGAUCUACAAGGGUAUGUAGAUGCAAUAUCUCAUGUCGUAGAUGGUCAUCUCCUAGAUUAAUCUUGGUGAAUGUAGGAAUUUUUUUUUUGUUUCCCAUGCAAUGUUCCCCAACAGUCAACACUAGGUAGUCGAGGUAGGAUCGAUAGUAGAUGCCGGGGAUUGAACAUGUACUAUCCACAUGCAAGAUCUCUUUCGCAGUAUUGAAGGCGAGGUAGUAGAUGUCGGGGAUUAAACCCGAGUCAUCAGCGUGUAGGAGCGCGGGGGACUUGAUAGAAGGUGCCAUGACCCAUGUAACUUGAAGAUCAUCAAUAAUAUCUGAACAAAACUAAACCAAUGAUGUUAAACUAUAAUCCUAAACACCGGUGUUAAACCAUAAUACUAAACACUGGUGUUAAACCAUAAUCCUAAACACUGGCUUUUCAACACUGGUGUUAAACCAUAAUCAUAAACCCCAAACUACCAAACAACACUUAGAGAUCAUUCGUUCUAUCCUUUGAUAGAUUAGAUAGUAUCUUUUCAUGUGAACUUUGGUUAGCGUUUAGCAGUAUGUUUUCCUGCCUUCAAGGAUAGGAAAAAAUCCAGUCGUACGUUGCCACCACCAGCUUUGUGCAACUUUGUACUUUCUCAUCUUAUAAACUGCAAGCAGCCCAUGCAUGUUUUCUUAAUGGUGAAAAGCCGGCCAUGCCUGUCCCGCUAACCUUGUUCUCACUGUUUUCCACAAAACCAUCGAUGACGUGGUUGGAUUAUGGCUCACCUAAUAUGCAGUUUUUCUCAAGUGAUCGCAUCUCUUCCUGCAUAGCAGCUCCUCCAGCACUUCUUGCAAAAUAUUGUUAGAUAGAUGAAGAUGAAUCAUAGACUUAGCGUUACGAUCUUUGCGCUUCUCAUCAUCGGUCCAUGCCCUCUGUUCUUCUCCACCGAAGCCAUCUAGCGCCUCGUCCAGAUCAGGAUGUGCCAGCACAGCCCGCAUCUUCACUUGCCAUAAGGAAAACAUCGUUCCAUAGUUCAACAGUGGAAGAUCGAACUUCAUCGAUGCCAUGUCGUGGAAACCCUAGACAGAAACAAGGCUCUGAUGUCACUUGUUGGAGAUACGAUAUGCAAAUCAAAGGAUGAAGAACGAAACCUACACAGAAGACACACGAUUUUAAUGUUGAAAACCCCUCCAACACGAAGGGGAAAGGACCACAGGCGCCAGCCAGCAAAUCUUCACUACAUCGGGGGAGCUUACAAACGCUGAGGAUUUAUAAAGGAUAUAUAUAACACAGGUGACCCAGGUCAAUACUGAUCGGUUCCUACCUUUGGCCCAAGACUACCGGCAAUGAGCCUCGCUCCGCUCGCUCGUUAGAAGUUAGCAUUUAUCUUUAUACUUGAAUUUGGAUCACAACAUAAAAUUUCACACGGGAAAUGUCACCUGUCGGUACAAUUGUGAUAUUACAUCAGUUUCGAGGUCGUUGGCUCAUGGAGGCUAAAAAUGAAAUUUGUACUUAAUCUGGUGUCACGGUGGUGCUCCGUAAUAUUACGUUACCAACAAGAAAAGUUACCUCGUCUAGCAUAUGCUAUUGUAUUAUAUUUGUUUUUCGUCUUCACAUUAAUACCUACAAGUAAUUGCUUGCCUCACUUCUCGGAUUUAUUUGGUCUUUGCACCAUGUGCGCAAGAGGUCAUCUAGUAAUGAAGUGAUGAGGGGCUUACUGGCUGUCUAGAAUAAAACUAUGAAUGAAUGUAGCCGGAGCUAAUGGUGUAGCUUUUUGAUUUCAUUGGAAGAGAAAGAAAUACAAAAAAGAGAUAGAGAGAGGCAGGCUAGACCACCACAGAAACAAGCUACACUGAUGUUCAUAGUUUAACUGAAAGCUAGCUCACUUGCUUAUUUCGUGCACACGGAAGUAAGCUCAUAGAUAGAUGGAUUUAAGCCUCCCACAUCUGUGAACCAGACAAUAUGGUGCCUGCUAAGGAGUCACGCUUUAAUUCAUAGACUUGCGACCUCGACUCGUGAAAUUUGUCGGAGGCCGACUUUGGCUUUUCCUUGGGCUUCAUCCGUGGAUCGAUCAUGGCCGGUGCCCAUCGAGCCCUGCUUUCAGUUCAAACAUUGCACCCCACCAAGACAGAGCUAAUUAAUGAUGCAUGUCACCCGAAAAUUAAGCUUGAUGUUUUUCAUUUUGUUGUCAAAAAGCUCAUGGUAGUGCUUGCAUGCUUUGUCAGCAUAGACGGUGGGUGAAAAAAGUGGCAUGUGCACAAAAAAGUGUCCUAGUUUGCGCAUUCUUUUUAUUUUAUUAGAGGGAAAAAGGUUUGCGCUUUGUUGAAGAUCGUUGUAGCAACUUGUCGGAUUCAUCAUUCGAUCUAUAUCUAACAAUCCCCUUUGUACGGCAGCGCUACUUUCAAUUAGUACACCACCAUUAGCUGCCGAGGUUUCGUUUAAGGUGAGAAGGACAACUUUAAACUGGCCCUGCCCAUGCAUUGAUGCAUGUUCGUGUGAAACAAAACAUACGCGCGUCAAGUCAAUGAAUCUAAGCAAUUUCCCUGAUGCAUCCAUCAAAUUAUCAAGUAUCAUAGGUUAGGUACUGUACGUCUAGUUUCCAUCAUACCUCAUGACGUGUGGGAAUUGACGUCACCCUGCUAGAUGACCUUUUAUUAAGUUGAAAAAAAAGCAGAAGAGGCCGUGUCCCCACUGAAAAUUGCAUCCUAGAGCGUGCAUGCAAUAGCAUGCGUGGCCGCGGUUCCCCUCCCUUUAUGAUGAUGCGCUUGCUAUUGAUUGUUUUUCCUCCACCCUUCAUGUUGCUUCGCUGAAGAAAAGGAUACCAUGUGUCCAUGGGGGUUGCUACUACUGCUAUGUUCUCUCUCUUUAUUUGUCGAUAAAUUCUUUUUCUGUUAUCCGUAAAGCUCCUUCUGUGUUGCCUUCGCCAUGCCCUGGUUUGGUAUUGUGGCUAUUCCGGGGCCCAUGUGUUUCUUAUCCUGCGGGCUAGCGGCUGGCUGGUGCUUUGUGUGUGUGUGUGUGUGUGUGUGUGUGUGUGUUCCCUGCUGUUAUCUCUGCUCUGUCUCUCGCAAUGGGUUUGUGUGGUGUGGGGUGGCGCUCAGCGCGCUUCUUUCGUUCUCGUUUCAACAUACGUACACUCGGAAACGGUAGGGGACUGGGCAAUAGGGAAUGCCACAAGGCACGUUUCGUAUUUGUCACCAGCUUGUCGAGUUUAUCUCACCGAACUCGGCAGGGCUCUGUGCCAUGUGGCAUCUCCGUCAACAUCCAGCCCCGUCUGACGGUCUAGUUUGCCGACUUAUGUUCCCCCGAAACUCGGCAAUGCGUGCUUAAAUCUUCAUCAAAUUACUGAUAAUAAGAACUCACCUAUUUUAAUGAUUGUUGACCCAUGUCCAGUCGAGUCAUAUUCACUGAGUACUGACCUUCAUAGUGGGUAGUGUUAUAGGUGUGGUAAUGUAGAUGUCUUCAUUUAUUACUUUGUAGACUCAUUUUGCACUGGGAAGCGCUAUGCGAUGGUAACAUAUUAUGUUAUUUUAUUUGCCUCUCUCCUCAUUAACUACUUGCCACAUCACUAUUUUUGCUUAUGUGGCAUCUAUAUUAAUACCUAUGUUACUCCCACUAUGACCAGCCUUUGGAAGUUCACACUAACUGCUCAACUUGAUAGGCAUAGAGGUUCGUUGUUGAGCUACAAACUGGUGACCCUAAAAUUAGAUUUGACCUUGCUAGUUGAUUCCUUCGUUCAGGUUGAGUAAUUUCACUCAUAUUUUGAAUCAAACUUUAGCUAUAGAUUUGACUAGCAAAAAUUCAAUUAUAUCCAUAUAAAAUUGUAUUGUGGUCCUGGUUUGAUGCAAAAUAUGAGGAGAACAAUAAACCUGGACGGAGGAGGUGCAUGUGAAGACAUAUCGCAACUUCUCACUCUAUCGACAUCUCUCUCUCUCUCUCUCUCUAAUUUAACAAAUUGUCCGAGGGAAGCGACGAGUCGAAAGCUAAUUAACGAUAAAUCUUUAUCAAAAAAUUAACAAUAGAUAACGGAAGGUAGCAAGCACCUGCAUGCCUGGCGCACAUGACAUUGUGUUGCCCAUGUUGAAGAGAUCAUAUAUGAGCAAUUUCUCAGAUGCAUGCGUCGUUCGCAUUCUAUCCUUAUAAUAGUAUCUUCCCAUGUGAACUUUGGUUAGCUUUUAGCAAUACCUUUUCCAGCCUCCAAGGAAAGGAAUAAUCCAGUCGUACGUUGUUACCACCAGCUUUGUGCAACUUUGUACUUUCUCAGCUUAUAAACUGCAAGCAGCCCAUGCAUGGUUUCUUAAUGGUAAAAAGCCGGCCAUGCCUGUCCCACUAACCUUGUUCUCCACAAAGCAUCGAUCACAUGGUCGGAUUAUGGCGCACCUAAAAUGCAUGCAUGAAUGUCAUGGUAGGUUCACACUAAGCGCCUCGAGUAUAGAUCGUGGUUCAUUCUAGUUUCAAAGGGUGCAAGCUAGGCAUUGUUGACCUGCUGGCCAUAUUUUUGAUCUAGCUACCUUAAGAAAACAUCAAUCUACAUGGAUUCCCAACCGCACUACAUUUAGGCCCUGUUCUAAACGAACCUAAAUUUUCAUAGUCCAUUCUUCGAAAAUGUAUUGAAUUUCAUGCGCCAACCAUUUCAUUCGAAAUUAUGCCGGAGCCAAUGGAAUAGAAUGAGCAAUUUAUUAUUACAUAAUUUUCCUUCAUGUCUAGCUAGCCUCCACCUGGGCUAGCUAAGACAUCCUACCAAUGUAGGGCACCAAUUUUUUUUAUCAAAUUCUUUGUCCGACCAGUUAUGAGCAAGAGACCUCUUAGCUCAUCAGACCACAUUGAAUUUCAUGUUCUAGCAGUUCGUUCAAAACUCUAGGUUGUGUCAUCGAUGCACAAGUCUGCGUAGGUCAGAAACUCGGGAUGCCCCAUCGCUGCACCAACCUGAUAUUGUUAUACUGCCAUGGAUUAAUCAGCCAUGGAAAUGAGCAAAGGGCGUGGUCAAUCAGGGAAAGCAAACGAGGCGUGUGUUCAUAUUGAUUCUUUAUGUCACUUGAAUACUCUUGUAUCCGCGUCUUGGGUUUGGGAAGGGCAGUAAGGGGGAGAGAGAGAGAGAGAGAGAGAGAGAGAGAGAGAGAGAGAGAGAGAGAGACUGGUGAGAAUUAUGUUCAUGGGUACCAUUCGUUAGUGUUCAUUAGAUGGACCGAACAUAUAUAGUGGUUAUCAGAAUUAACUGUUAUUCUUAGUCUCCUUAUCAAGUUCUUUUUUUGCAGGUGUCUCCUUAUCAAGUUCUAAACAACCACUUAGAAAAAUUUCAUGUGUUUUCUAAACAUUUUUUUCCACCUAAAUUUCUAUUAAAUUCUUACAGUUUUUCUAAUACUGUGUCUUGUCUAUCAUGUGUUUCAAGCACGGCCCUAGAGUUCAAGAGCUAUAUCGUACUUGUAGCAACUUCUCGGAUGCACCGAUCUAACCUCUAUGCACGGCAGCACCAACGUUAACUAGUACUCCCUCCGUCCCAUAAUUCUCGUCGUGGUUUUAUUCGAACUAAAAGCACGACAAGAAUUACGGGGCGGAGGGAGUAUACACGUUGUAACCAUGACACCACCACCAUGGGGAGGUUGAUGGCAGAUAAUAGAUGGGUUUUAAAGGUGGGAGAAGGACAACUUUAAAGGCUCUGCCCAUGCAUUGAUGCAUGUGUGUGUGAAACAAACAUAUACUUGUUAAUGACUCUGUGUGCGCGUCAAGCUAAUGGAGCCCAUCCAUCAAUCUAUCCUUCGAUAGUACAAGGUAUCACGUGAGGUUUUGGCUUUUCACCUUUUUCCAGCCUUCAAUGAAAAGGAAAGGGAAUAAUCUCACGUUGUCACAGUCAAAACCCAGAGCUGCUUUUUUAUGGUGGAAAGUCCAUAUGUCCCGGUUCGGUUGAAAAUUAACGGUUAGAUGGAUAGAUGUUAUUGGUGGAGCUGCUUUGACAGAGUACCUCGCCUUCCAGCGAAAGAAACACUAGCCUUUGCUAUAUAAGGAGUCUAGAAGAGCUCAGGACCUUAUAUCUAUCCAUCUAACCGUUGUUGUUCCAAUCUCAUCGAGAGUUUUGAGGCGGGCUAGCUAGCGUACCGCAGGCAUGGGCAACAUCUUUGGUGGUCGGCCGCUGACUGCACCAGAGCUCCCUCCGGAACGAAAGCCGUCGGCGGGUGAAAUACUACCGCUCCCACCGCCUAGGUGUGGGAAGCUCAUUACGAUUCUGAGUAUCGAUGGUGGCGGGAUACGCGGGCUGAUCCCCGCGGUCGUCCUUACCGGCCUCGAGGAAGAGCUCCAAGUAAACCAUCAUCUCUCCUUGUCGUUUGAGAACACCGUACGUAUUUGUUGUGUUAUAUGUAACUUGAUAUAUAUCAUUCGUGUUCAGCUUGAGGAGGGGCGCAAUCGAGGGAAGAAGGAUAGGGACCAUGAUUACCAGAUAGCAGACUACUUCGAUGUGAUUGCGGGCACGAGCACGGGCGGCCUUAUCGCAGCAAACAAUGUCCACGGACGGCCAACAUUCACCGCCGAGCAAAUCGAGGAGUUCUACGUGCUGAACGGGCCUCUGAUCUUCCCUCCAAAGUGGAAUUACGUGUAUCUGCAUCUGCCUAUCUAAUUUUCCCUUCAAGCCUAGAUAAUUUGUAGUGAUUCUCCUUGCGUUGUCACUUGCAUGGACAUUCGCUCGCACAGGUGGUUGUCUUGGUGGCCCCUGGGCCUGGUGCGUGCGUUGUGGGGGCCAAGGUACGAUGGCAAGUUCCUGCGCAAGGCGAUCGAGGCAGUCACGCGCGGAAAGCGCAUCAACGAAACCUUGAGUAAGUUAGUGGUGCCUACGUUCGACGUGCAUAGCCUGAACCCUCGCACCUUCACCUCAUACAACGAGGACCCAAAUGAGGAGAAAGCGCUCCUGUCGGACGUCUGCAUCGGCACGUCAGCCGCGCCGACCUUCUUCCCUGCGCACCACUUUGAAUGCCCACGCCUCGACGACAAGCCGCCAUCACAAUACCACCUCAUUGACGGCGGUGUGGUCGCCAACAACCCAACCAUGACUGCCAUAACGAGCGUUACAAGGCAGCAACUGCACGGGAAUGAUGACUUCCACAUCGAACCCGUGGAUUACAAGAAAUACCUCGUCAUCUCCGUCGGGACCGGGGUUGAAGUGAAGGAAAAGGGGACAUACACAGCCAAAGAAUGUGCCAAGUGGGGUGCCUUAAAAUGGGUGCGCAACAGGGGCGACAACCCGAUCGUCAACAUCUUCUCCCAAGCCAGCGCCUUCCUGGUCGACUGGCAGGUCCGCUUGCUCUUACGCAAGCCCCCAAAGCAGGAGCAGAACUACCUCCGCAUCCAGGCUCAGGUACGUAGUACUCCCCACUAUGGUAUUUAAGUACAUCGAUGUCCGUACAAAAACUAACGCAUUCAUGUAUGUAUAGCCUCCGUUGUUCGUUGAGGACGUGCUGAAAAUGGACAACGCCGAUCCUACCAACAUGGGUAAACUCGUCACCAUCGGCAAGCAGCUGCUGGGUGAAAAUGUGGCUACGAUGCACUUAACCAUGGGGACGUACCUGCCCGACCCAAACGGGGGCACAAACAGAGAAGCGCUCACGCGCUUCGCCAAGUUGCUCGUCAAGGAGCGCAACCUGCGCCUUGGGGGAAAAAAAGAAGACAAGGUGGAUACUCUACGGUCUGACCCAUCAACGUCUACACCGCCAGUUACAAAUGACACGCAAAGUGCAGACCAAUCUUCAGAGGCUCCCAAGGAGAUAGAGUUUGAAACGGAUACUCUACUUUUUAUGGACAGAGUCUUGGGACGAGGGCAAUGAGUAUGGCAUUCUGGAUUUAUUUCUGUAUAAUUACUACUUUGCUACUCAUUGCGCCAUGCAGCGUGUGCGUGUACACGAAUUGGCUGCUUUCAUUUCUUUCUUUCCGUGUGGUGUGCCAGAAGCGUGCUGCCAGAUUUAUCACUUCGUGGGAAAGCACGAGCUCAAAGUGAUUACGCAUGGCCGCAUUGCAAUGGAGGAGGACCGAGUAGCUGUGGGAUGGCACAGCCGGUAACCAGCUCAGUCCAACGCCCAAAUUUGAAUUUGUGUCUCUCUUUCCAUUUGUAUCAGAUCCGACGGCUUGCUAUAUGAGUCCUGUCGAUAAUUUAAAAGAACAGAAAAACAAAGAAAAUGCUGCAAGUUUUAUGCAGCGCCAAUCGGCAUGUGUCUCCUUCAACCACCUGUAUUAUGUAUGCAUGAGUUUAUAUCCUCGUAUGUGUUUGUGUUGUGUGUUUGAUACAAUUGGCGACUGCAUAUAUGGCACCCUGAGCCUUUUUUUGGGUGUUGCCCAUGUUGCUUGUAGUUCUCUCUCUAUCUCUCUAGAGUCUAAAUUAUUAGACAGAGCGGAGCGACGACUCAAAAGCUAACACAAUAGAUAAUGGAAAGUAGCAGGCACCUUUGUCGAAAAAGCAGGCACAUGCAUGCUUGGCGCGCGCGACAUUGCGUUGCUCAUGUUGUGUGAAAUAUCGGAGCAGUUUCUUGGUUGCAACGUGGCUUAGACCUCCAAUAAAUGUAGGCACCAAUAUUUUUUAUCUAAUUAUGUGUCCACAUAUAUACCAUAUGUCUUCGUUCGUCAAGGAUGAGCCAUCGCUGCUGCAACAUGUCUUCCGAGGCUGCUGGCGGUAUGGCACGUCCCCUCCAUCUAUAGAUCGGGUUUGAUGCGGCUCAAGAGGUGACACAUGCAUCUCUUUCAGAGUCGUCGUGCACUGCGCGUCGCUACCGGCGGAUGCUACGCAUGACGUCUCAUGUGGGGACGUCAAGUCAUGCCUGCUACCGGGACAUGCUGCACGGUGGCCCUGGGUGAGGUCUCAUGUCUAGCCUAUUGCUGCUGGACUGAAGGUGGUGCGGCAGUGGCGGGAGGCAGGCAAUAUGGGACGCCUGUCUUCUGGUGUCUCCUUCAGAGGUAUCCGAUUAUCGAGGCGCCGGUAUCCGGAUAAGGUAUGAUGGUACAUACAGCUUCAACUAAGACUUUAUGCACUCUGGUGGAAACACAAGAUCUUUGAUUAGGCUAUGCCGAUGCGCCAUCAUCGGAGAAGGUGGUGGAUAAUGCUUGGCUUUGGGGAUGAGAAUCCAGAAUUCAACCUUGUGUUGGACUCACCAUCAUCGGCGCACGUGCAGCGAUUCCUUCGUGACGGCGUAGCCUAGGAAUAGUGUAUUUUUUUAGUUUUGUCGUCUUGGAACAUAAGGUUAGUGAUUAUUUAGUGGAGUUACUAUCGCGAGGCAUGCGGCCUUCGGUUUUCCUUUUUGCUUUAUUUCCGGGUCAAUGUUGUUCGGCUGCUGAAUUCUGCAUUCUUAAUAAUAUAUGACUGUAUGCAUCGUCCUGAUACAGAGGCCGUGGGUUAUCGUCCUUUCGAGAGAGAGAAAAAUGACAUGGAGAAAUCCGUCAGGGAAACGAGCAAAGCGUGUGGUCAAUCAAAGAAAGCAAAUGAGGCAUGUGUUCAUAUGGUACUUUAUCUCACUCAAGUUCAUCCGGUUCUUCGGUUUGAAAAGAGCAGUGAAGGUGAGAGGGAGACAUGACUAGGUGAGAUUAUGCCAUGAAUGAUCAUAGUUAUAAAUUGUUACUUUUCUGUCUAUUGUCCAACCGUAAUUUGUUAGCAUGCCACUACCUGUUGUCAAGAGAUAUGCCACUAGUGAAACUAUGGCCCUUUGCGUUGAUUCCUUCACCAUAAAAUCUCAUAUAUUCCAAAAAAAUCAUAUUAAAUAGCCAUGGUGUUUUGACCUUCCUAGAUAUUGAUUUUCUGUAAAACAAAAAAAUGCAAAAAAAUUGUAACUGCUAAUGGGCACUAGAUUAAUAGAUUAGUCAAAAAUAAUAAUAUAAAAGUGCAUCAAAACCAUUAAUAAAUGAUGUAUAUACAAUAUGAAUACUUUGGAAAUUAUAAAUAUGUUGGAGACGUAUCAGUGAUAAACCUCGACUUCUAAGUAUGAUUGUGUUAUGAACUACUAUGUAAAAUUAUCCACUAUGUGGUCUUAAUCUAGUUUGAAACUUGAGUUUUGAAUAAGAUGUGUGUGCAUAAUUUUGAUUUUAGGAUUUAAAUUUUAGGGUCAGUUAGCUCCACACCUUUUUAAGUCAUCUUAUUUGUGAAGUUAAGAUUUGAGGAAAAACUUGAGGGAAAUGUUUUGAAAGUUUGGUUAGAUUUGCCAUAAGUCAACACCGUGUCGCUCCGAGUAAGGGUCUGAGGUGUUGGUCGGCCAAUCCUAUUUGCCGCUUACUAAAAUUGCCAUGAAAUCACACAGUGAACGUGAGAUUGGGUAGGCCCAUUUAGCUACCUACAUGCUACAGGAAUCCCGGUUUUUCCCAGAACCUUUUAGAAAGUUCCGGUAAGAUUUUUUUUCAUUUGUUUUUCUUUUCACAAUUUUUUUAGUACACUUUGCCUUCUAUAAAAAAUAGUUAUUUUUUGAAGAAAAAUAAAAACCAACUCAAAACCAAAAGAACCACUCGUGUCAAUAGCGAGGCUACUACAGUAUUUCACCAAACGUUCUUAUUUAUUUUGCUUUCUUAUCUGGUUUUCUUCAUAUUUUGUUUGCUUAAAUUACACAUCUUAGAAAAUAUAAAAUGUUCACAUAUGUCCAAAAUGUUUGAGGAUGUAAAAAAGUUCCAUACGUAUUUCAAAAAGUUUUUAUACGCCUAUUUGAAAAGGUUCAUCAUGUGAUUAGAAAAAGGCCCCACUGGUUAUUAAUUCAAGCAUGGACUUUAGUAUAACUUCUGAUUUGGAUUUGGAGGGACCGCCUCUCCAUCAUCUUCUAGCCAGCCAGCCAACUCUUAUUAGAGAAGGCUGUCGAGGUACUCGUCAACGGUGUACCUCACGUCGGGGUACAGCUCCGUGGCCUUUGACUCAAUCGGUGUACAUCAUGUGAUUUCACACUCUGAAGAAUGAACCAUCUCCACAAGCUCCCUAACCAGAAUAUCAGGAGGCUCAUGCAACCAAACAGAAGAAACCUUAUUACAAUAACUGAAGUUUGCUAUCACAUGAGCUGCACGGUUAUAAUAACGUAAGCAGUGCUUGUAGAUGACCUUCCCGAUCGAUGAACUUAAAUCGACACAUUCUGCAAAGAGCGCUGCCGCUUCAUCCCACCAUCUUGUUUGACCCGAACAGAAAUUGAUAACUUGUAAAGAGUCAGAUUCCGCCUCCAGACAGCUAAAUCCCAGUGAGUUAGCAAAUACCAAUCCGUCCCUCAUUGCCAUGGCUUCUGAUGUAAUCGCAUCCACUGCCACUGGGAGGAGCUUGCAUUGGGCCGCAAUAAAACUUCCCCUUCCAUCUCGUAGGACCACCGAGGUAGCACCCACCCCUUCAUCUGAGAAGAAGGCCGCAUCAACAUUCAUUUCAACGGAACCUGGGUUCGGUUUUGUCCAUUUCGCUUCAGGCACGCUCAAGGGACCUGCAUGUAUUGUUGCAAAGUUACGUAUUAUAGAGAGGACCAAAACAGGCCAUCUCCAUGUUGGCGGAACCUGUUCAUUAUGAGUAAUCUGCCUCCUUAUCCACCACAGAUACCAUGCCCCCACCAUCAGACCUUGCUUAAACUCGACGUUAGGGUGUAUGGAUAGUUGAUUCUCCGGUAGAGAUAGAAUGUGUUCAACAAUAACAGACCCCGACCGAUCAACCACAGCUGAGUGAUCGAUGACAUCCAUCAUACCCAGUCGCCUCCACAACUCCUUUGCAUUAGUGCACAAGAACGAAAGGUGUUUAGGAUCCCCCGCUCCCUGAUGACAAAUCGGACAGGCCCCAUCCGAUCCUACAUGCCGGUUCAUUAGGAUUGAUUUUAGUGGGAUGAUCCCUCACAAUAUUCUCCAACCAAAUUUGAACUUUACGUGGCACCUGAAGUUUCCAUAGAGUAUUCCAAAUAUCCAAGGGUGCGGAUCCAGUCGGGCUCUCUACCCUGUUUGCAUGCGCCCUGAAAGUAUGAUUCCACUGAAGAUGGUAGGCCGUUUUGACAGAGAAAAUCCCUGUUCGGUUAGGUUGCCAAGCAAUGAAAUCUUCGAAGGCUUGCGGGUAUAUGGGAUUUGCAUAAUCCUCCGUACAUCCACUGCCCAAAAUAUAUCUCUUAGUAACUCAUCCCAAGUUCCAGUCAACGGAUCCAUCAAUUCACAAACUCUUGUCAGAAGUGUUUGGUUAUGAGGGGUGAUCACUUUCCUGUCUGCGCUGGUAGGGAUCCAUGGGUCGUUUCAGAUAUUCACAUGUUCUCCCGUACCAAUUUUCCAAAUAUAUCCUCUUUUGAAUGUUUCUAAUCCUUUCAGUAUGCUUUGCCAUGUGAAGGAAGACCCGUUUUUCGGGGUAGCUUCUAAGAUACUCCCAUUAGGGAAGUAUUUAGCUUUCAACACACGAGCCACUAGGGACUCCGGCUCUGUUACAAUCCUCCAGCACUGCUUUGCAAGCAUUGCAAAGUUAAAAAGAGUAUAGGUCUCGAAAUCCCAUUCCACCUUCACUUUUGGGGAUGCAAAGCUUUCACCAUGCCAUCCAAUGCAUCCUCUUGUGAUCCUCACCGUCCCCCCACCAAAACUGAGCUAUGAUAUCUGUAAUCUCUUUACAAAUCCCCUUUGGAAUACAGAAAACUGACAAAGCAAAUACUGGGAUAGCUUGUGCAACAGCUUUCAGUAAAAUCUCUUUGCCCCCAACAGAAAGUUGUUUUUUCCAUUCACCCUAAUAUUUUUUUAUCCUUUCAACAAAAUGCCUGAAAGAAUCACUCUUAUCUGCCCCCACAAUAGCUGUAAGACCCAGAUAUUUGUCUAACAAGGCUUCUAUAUCAAUAUGAAGUAUUUGACCAAUUUCUGCUUUUGUUACCUCACUGGUAUUAGGGCUGAAAUAUAUGCUUGAUUUAGCCAGGCUCACCAUCUGUCCAGAACUUGCACAAUAGGCAUCCAGAACUUGCACAAUAGGCUCACCAUCUAAUCCCAUCCAUGCCACCAACUUCUUCUUCAUACUGCAACAUGCUGGAUAAUCCUUCUGCACAUAGAAGGAACAAAUAGGGAGAAAGGGGAUCCCCUUGUCUAAUCCCCCUUGAGGGAAUAAAUAUUUCAGUUUCUUGAGAAUUUACCCUCACCUUGUAUCUUACCGAAGAGACACACACCAUGAUCAUAUCUAUCCAUUGUGUGUUAAACCCCAGUUUCUCCAUCAUUCUCAUGAGAAAGAUCCAUUCCACUUGAUCAUAGGCCUUAUGCAUAUCUAGCUUGACUGCACACAGACCAGCCACCCAUGCCCUCUUAUUCUUGAUUUUAUGAACACAUUCAUAGGCAAUCAAAACAUUAUCUGUGAUAAGUCUCCCAGGAACAAAAGCACUCUGAGAAGGUGAUAUGAUCUAAGGUAGGAUACCCUUCAGUCUACCAGCCAACAUCUUGGAAAUGAUUUUAUACAGCACAUUGCAUAAGCUUAUAGGUCUAUAUUGUGUGAUUAGUUUAGGAGAAUCAACUUUGGGAAUCAGCGCAAUAGAUGUAUCAUUCCAUUCCUCUGGAAUCUGCCUUCUGUUAAUAGCAAACAGAACUUCUUGGGUUAUCUCAUCUCCUAAUAUGCCCCAAUAUUUUUUGAAGAAAAUGGCAUGAAGGGCAUCCGGCCCGGGGGCUUUAAGAUCCCCAAUACCGAACACAGCUUUUCGCACAUCGUCAGCAGUAUAAGGGGCCAUUAACAUAUCAUUCAUUUGAUCUGUCACUUUAGUUUGUACUUUAUUUAUAACAGCAGGGUCUACAAAAUUAACCUCGGAUGUAAACAGGUUACUAAAGUAGCCUCUUAUAUGUGGCUUUAGGGCGUCCAUACCUUCCAGAAUAUUUCCAUUCUCCUCCAUCAGCUUUUUAAUCAUAUCCUUUUUACGUCUAGCACUUGCAUAGGCUUGGAAGAACCCCGUGUUGCGGUCUCCAUGUUUCAGCCAUCCCGCUCUUGAUCGCUGCAUGUAAUGAAUUUCUUCUAACUCAAGCAAGGAUUCGAUAAGCUCUGAGAUCUCCUUCCUUUUCUCCUCACUGGCUUCAUCCAUUGGACCAGUCAUAACUUCCUCAAGCUCUCUUUGCGCUUUCCCAAGUCUCUUCUUUGGUUUCUUCAGCACCCUUUGAUCCCAGUCAUGAAACGAGGCAUGCAUGCUGUUUAGUUUCUCCUGGAUGGUUGUGAGGUUCGGAUUCAAAUUUGCUGCAUGCCAUGCCUCUUGUACUAUCUCCGGGAAAUCUCUUUCCCUUAGCCAUCUCGCACCAAACCGCUUUGUACGUUCUCCACCACCGUGCGCUGGAGCAUAGUACUCUGUAUCAACCUAAAUUGGACGGUGGUCCGAGUGAUUGUAUAGCAUGUUUUGCAGUGCCGCCGAUGGGUACAUAGCUUCCCAAGAGGCGUUGAUUAGCCCUCUGUCCAACCUCUCCCUGAUUCCACCCCUCUGCCACGUGAACCGAUCGCCUAUAUAACCCAUGUCCCGCAAUUCACAGUCGUCAAUCACCGAUUGGAAGGCCUGCAUGUACUGCGGCGGUCUCGGGUUUCCUCCUUCCUUUUCAGACAAGAAUUGAAUUUCAUUCAGGUCCCCAAUCAGUAGCCACGGCAUAUUGUUGUCUUGGUGCAAACGGCGCAUUCUCUCCCAUGUUUUAUAUUUGUGCGCCCACCUGAAUUCACCAUACAUCCCCGUACACCUCCACACUGAAUGUCUUUCAUCCUCCACUUGUACAUCAAUGAACAUUGGGUCUAAAAUUAGUGGAAGAAUCUUUAUUUCCUUUUUCCAUAGCAUCACCAAACCUCCCUUUCUACUAUCACCAGGACAAACUAUUUUAUGAUCCAUCUUCAGUCUUCUCCUCAAACAUUCACCCGGAAAGCUUUCUAGGCGUGUCUCCGACAAAAACAUCACAUCUGGGCUACAACUUCGCUGGACGUCCAGCAAAGCACGAACUGCCGGGGCGCUCCCAAGCCCCCGACAGUUCCAACUUAAUAGUUUCAUUGCGCCCGGCGGUCCCCUCCGAAAUGGGCCGCCGAUCUCUCAUAAUCUGUUUCUUGCUCUAUCUCCUCUACGUUGCUCAGCACUUCUCCAUUCACUCCUUUGAGCUUCUUCCUGUUGGCAUUCUUUUGGGGGGUAAUUGCUUGGUUCUCUGAGCAGCUCGGUUCUUCAUCCUCUCCUUCAUAGCGAUGUAUUAAGUUUGAUACGACCGAUUUCGCAGUUUUGCCCACCAGUACCAUGGCUAAGUUUUCUGCCCCUGCUGCAGUCGAAUCCUCCAUUGUUCUUUUUCCCAAACAGAUUCCCGCCCCUACUAUGUUCUCAACAUGUUCCAAUCCUCUGGUAUUACUUGCCUGGUGUAUUGCCAACGAUUGACCCGUUUCUACAGCCUUCAUCACUCUCACAUCCUAACUCGGGAUGGUGGUGCUUGGGUUUAGCAUAUUCUCAUCCUCAUCCCUUGCACUCCUCAUUGCCGUUUCGCCCGCUGCAUCAGACCAUGACCUUGAUUCCGAUCAUUCCUUGACUUCCGUCCCUUCCUUCUUUUUGAUUACCUGUUCGAGUGUUCGUCAUCUUCGACGGCUCGACCCCUGGUUCGACUCUCCUGUCUUCUCGUCCUGAGGAAUGGCGGCGACACGGGCACACAUCGCUACGCAACUACGGCAGGUACGACUGUACGAGCACGUCUCCUUGCGCAGUCGCGCCUAACGCCCAAUGCUUUCACCUGUACUGUUUUCCUAUUCUUCCUGUUUCUUUUCUAGUCCUAAAUUCUCGAAUCUCGAUUGAUCUAACAGGGAAGGGAAUUGUCGCAUACUCGCAUUGUCGGUGCUCGCGCUCGAAUCAUUGCACACGGCGCACAGAAUAAAAUUGUAGCCACAUUAAAUUAGAGAGAAUGUACUAUACUAUGCCCUAGACUUCAAUAAUCGAUCUUGUGUCUAACAUAGCUUUUUGCUAAUUUUAAAAGCUAAUUGUUCCUUUUAAUUUCAGAACCAUCAUGUCAGGCUUAGGCAGAAAUUAUUCAGAAAGAAUUGCUUGAUGAAAAUGAUAUUGAUAUUAUCAUUAGAGAUUUUGCAUCUCGGAACAUUAAAAGCAAUUUUGAAGGUAUUAUGUAAUAUUUUAUUCUAUAUGCCCACUAAUUUUGGAUGGACUUGAUUGCUUUCUUUGGUACAAUUUUUAUAUCUUCAUAUGUUAAUUACUAUUAAAAUUUAUACUAAAGGCCUCGAAGGGUCCCGGAUUAUUGUUUCGUCCCGGGCCCCUGAAUUCUCAGGACCGGCCCUGCACAUACCUUGCCAGGGUACAUGUUAAUGAUGGAACCUAGUCCUCACGUCGACCACAUCCAGAGCGUUGUCGAUCGCCAUGUUCCACUAAUGAACUCAACCCCGAUCCCGUCCAGCUGCCGACUACAGCACGGGAAGACAGGCACAACACGGCUUGGGCACGCGUCCUCCAUCUACACAGCGCGGCAGCAUGUCACGGCGAACAGUACAGCGGCGCAGUCCCACGUUGCCUCCGCUCGCCCUACUUCGCAGGCAUCAAGCCAAGCCGUCGCGGCCGUGUCCCAGAGAUGAUGUGGCGUUUGAAUCCCAACCCACAGUGGCUAGGUUCGCCGACACAAGGCGGCGACCGGCAGGGAAGGCCAGGACCAGCAUGGAAGAACCAGCGGGGUAGGAAACAAGAGAGAGAGGGACAAGGGCGGCGAGCGAGGAUGGAAGCGGGAGAGAAGGGGAGGGGAGAGGCAGGAGGGCCAUGCAGCGGCGGCGCUAGGGGUAAUCGGGGAGAGGAGACGUCCAGGCCCAGAAUGAAGGCGGCGGCAGCUCCUCUCGGACCUCAACGUCGGCGAUUGCGGACCUCGGCGGUGUGUCCGGACGGCGACCUAGAAGUCCGCAAUGAAGACGGCGGUGGCUCCUCGGACCUCGGCGGUGGCGAAGUGCUCCGCUAUGGCCGCUGGGGCGUCCUUAGCGAUCAACCUAGGGAACAGAUUUAUUUUCUUUUUUUGCGGGAUAACAGAUUUAUUUUCGUUACAUGCAAGGUGGAGAUGAAAAAAAAACAGAUGGUGGUGGAAAGAGAGACAGAAAAAAUGAAACGAAGAUGGCAGAUGAGACAAAAAAACCCGUGGAACGGAGACUAACAACUCCCCCUAUUGAACAUCUGACACAAAAGGGGGAGUUGUUCCCUCUUUAGAAGUAGAGAUUGAUGGAACAGAAGGCAAGAGUAAUUGACCACACAAAUGUGGGUUCGGUGUUACCUCAUAUAUAUAGACAGAUAAUCAUGGAAACAAAUCAAUACAAUCAUAACCAUAAUGACCCGAUUUAUAUGCAAAUAUAGGAGCACUACAUAUGGCAGGCUAUGACCAGAUCGGAUUGCCUAACAGCCCCCCGCAGUCACAACGGAAGAUUCUCGGACGCUGAGACUGGACCGAAAAUCCAAGAACAAUGGCGAUGGCAAGCCUUUGGUGAAGAUGUCCGCGAACUGUCGGGAAGAAGGCACAUGAAGAACUGGAAUGUGCCCAAGCGCAACACGAUCUCGAACGAAGUGAAGAUCGAUCUCGAUGUGCUUGGCAUGCUGAUGCUGAACGGGGUUCGUGGACAUGUAGAAGGCGCUGACAUUGUCGCAAAAAACGACUGUGGCAGCAGGGAGAGGUCGGUGAAGCUCCUGGAGGAGUUGGCGAAGCCAACUUGCUUCAGCGACGGCAUUAGCGACAGCUCGAUACUCUGCCUCGGCGCUAGAGCGGGAGACGUGUGCUGGCGCUUGGAGGACCACGAGACCAGGUUGUCACCAAGGAACACACAGUAGCCAGAGGUCGGUCGGCGAGUGUCAGGACAACCAGCCCAGUCUGCAUCAGUGUAAGCAACAAGGCCGUGGUGCAGGGUACCUGUCGGGGAUAUGUCCCGCGGUAUGACCCGGCUGAAAUUGGCGACUCACUGGUGACCCGCCCGGAGCUUGGCGAUUCAUAGAUAACCUGCCCGAUCUUGGCGACUCAUUAGUAACCCGGCGGGCGGGUCAGAUAAAAGACUAGGCCCAAGGCCCAGAAGGCCGGCUCAUGUUAUGGUGGGCCGGCUUAAGAAGGAAGGGAUGACGAAUAUUUCCUUUACGAGGAAGCAAGACCCGGACUUGUAAUUAACUUGUAAGAGAAGAUAGACUAGUCCUAGUCCUACUAGGACUCCACAUGUAACCCGCCCCUCUAACUUAUAUAAGGAGGGGCAGGGCACCCCAAAGAGGGACAGGCAACAAGAAACAAUCUCUAAGGCUAGACACAAAGAGCCGGCUUACCGGCGACUCUCUCAUGAGCAUAAUGAGACCUAGCCUCAAACAGCACGUAGGGUUAUUACCGGAUGAUGUUUCCCGGGGCCCGAAGCUGUCUAAACCCUUGUCUUGUGCGUUGAUCCGCCCUGCGUCUCUUAUCCCAAUCAACCCCUCUCAAGCUACUACAUAGAUGCGCUGGCCUCACGACUAAGUCCUUACACCUAGGACAUCUGACGUGUCAAUUCCACGACAGUACCCUUGACAUAGCGGAGAACACACUUGACCAAGGUCAAGUGCUGGUCACGGGGAUCAUGCAUGUGAAGACGAAUCACGGGGAUCGUAUUCGAAUCAGCAUCGUUAAAACAACUCUCAAGGUCAUUUGGGGGCUUCCUGUUCAAACAUAGGUCGUAUUCGAAUCAAAGAGAACAUAGCCGUCGGUACCCUCUUGAUCGGCAACGCCAAAGCCACUGGGGGCUAUAUGAUCGUAUUCGAAUCUUAGCUUAACCCCUUUGGGACGGUUUUCUGAUCGUAUUCGAAUCAGAAGCCUCAAAAUUGUUGAAGUCUCUUUUUGCAAACAAUUUUUGGAUUUUAUUUGAAGCUCUUUUUCAUAUGUAAAGUGUAUAUGAGUGGUUUCUAUUUAAACCCGGCUUGAUUUUCGAUGAUAAGUCGCCGGCUUAUGACCAUCAUCAUAUAUUUGGAAGUAUUGGCUUCUAAGGAUUGGGUUAUCACCCUUACUGCAUAGGUCAUGUAAACCAGCAGUACAAAUUCAAUAUCACAGUGGUUAUAUGUGAGAUAUUAUGACCCGCCCUGCGUAAACCGCCAAGGGUUCUUGUGAUCUACUUGCGUGCAGGAUAAGACUACAUUUGGGUGGUUACCCGCCAUGGUUUUUGACGUUAAGUCGCCAGGGCAUAUGUUGUUUAAACUUUGCAGGAUUUACAGAGCUAUGACUUACAUAAAUGAUUAAAUUCAAGCCCAUCAUAGAUGGAAAUUGGUGUCUCAAAAGGGUUAUCAAUUCUUAAUUUUCUCAAAGGCUAUAAGCCGCCGGGUUGUACAAAUUCCGGCUUACAAUGGAGGCGUAUUAAAUCGGCAUCGGCCAAGAGCCGCCGGGUAUUUAAACUCCGGAUUGGCCUAUCAGCAGAUGAGGUAUUCAAAGUCACUUUGGCGCAAUGGCUAUUAUUUUAUCAAUUGAUAUGAUUUAUUCUACAAUGGAAAGAAUAGUCCCGAGUCGCUACAGGCUUACGACCCGGCACUUGGGGACUACAUUAUUCAAAUUGAGAUUACAUCAAAUGUGCAAGUCCCAUGUCACUGCCAGCAUGCACCAUGGCACUUGGGGGCUAAUGCAAGAUUACUUUUUAUUGGCCUUGUUGAAGACCCGACUCAUCAUAUUAUGAUAAACCGACCCUUGGGGGCUACCAAUUGCUCCUGUCAACAAUUCAAGGUACAUAAGUCUUAAUCCAUUAUAUUGAAGGAUCCACUGUUUAGUUGGUAAAGCACAAAGCUCUUAACCUUGUGGACGUGGGUUCAAGCCCCAUGGUGAGGGUUACAUCAUAUGAUUAUUUUCAAUGAAAAGUCCCAGCUCAGUAUUAUCUUACUAAGCCGGCCCUUGGGGGCUACACAUUGCUGUUCAAAUUUACAUGAUCAUAUUUAUAAAGUCCCUGCUCAUUAUUGCAUAAUGACCAGGCCCUUGGGGGCUACACUGGUUGAAAUUUUUGAGAAUCAGGCAAUUACAAGUCCCAGGUUGCUGCAAGCAUGACAACCCGGCACUUGGGGGCUACAUAAUAUGGAAUAUUCAGUUUGUACUAGUGAUUGGGAUGAACAACAUGGAUUUCUUCAAAGUGGCAGUAUUCAUAUUGAAGCAAGUCUUAAGCCAUCGCUUUGUUCUGCUCAAGACUUGGGGGCUAUAGGUAUUAUAUUAUUAUCAAAGAAAUAUCUUCAAUUUCUCUGUUUUGAGCAAAACCAGAUUGAUCCGGUGUCACCAAUCAUUAUGACCCUGUGUCUGUAAACCGGCGUCAUUAACAAUCAUAAACCGGCGUCGGCGACAAUUAUGACUUGGCAUCAUCUAUUUAUAACCCGGCAAUUUUGGUACUCAUAAACCGGCAAGUUUUAUAUCUUUAAGCCGGAUGAAUAUAAGUUGAAUAUUUGAAGACCAAUAUUUUUGUCAAGUCAGAGCAUUGAAAGCCGAUUCAAGUGGAUUGUUUCUUACAAUAUUUCUCUACAAGAGACCAAUGCCAGCAAAUUGACUCUGAAGCUGGCCUAUUGACCCGGAUUUCUCAAAAGAAGUAUCUGGAUUUUUUGCAUUCACAAAGUUUGAACAUAUCUAUUAAAGGAGAUUUUCUAUGAAUUCAUGGGCAUGUAUCAAGAAAGAAAUGACAAGGAUUUAAAGAUGAUCAGGUGCCGACUUACAAAAUUUAACCCGGAGCACAACCUAUCAAGUAUGUUCUUGUGUUUAUUUUACAGGAUCAAUUUAACAUGGAUAAAUCCAAAUUAAACUGGGGGCUAAUGUCGGGGAUAUAUCCCGCGGUAUGACCCGGCUAGAAUUGGCGACUCACUGGUGACCCGCCCGGAGCUUGGCGAUUCACAGAUAACCUGCCCGAUCUUGGCGACUCAUUAGUAACCCGGCGGGCGGGUCAGAUAGAAGACUAGGCCCAAGGCCCAGAAGGCCGGCUCAUGUUAUGGUGGGCCGGCUUAAGAAGGAAGGGAUGACGAAUAUUUCCUUUACGAGGAAGCAAGACCCGGACUUGUAAUUAACUUGUAAGAGAAGAUAGACUAGUCCUAGUCCUACUAGGACUCCACAUGUAACCCGCCCCUCUAACUUAUAUAAGGAGGGGCAGGGCACCCCAAAGAGGGACAGGCAACAAGAAACAAUCUCUAAGGCUAGACACAAAGAGCCGGCUUACCGGCGACUCUCUCAUGAGCAUAAUGAGACCUAGCCUCAAACAGCACGUAGGGUUAUUACCGGAUGAUGUUUCCCGGGGCCCGAAGCUGUCUAAACCCUUGUCUUGUGCGUUGAUCCGCCCUGCGUCUCUUAUCCCAAUCAACCCCUCUCAAGCUACUACAUAGAUGCGCUGGCCUCACGACUAAGUCCUUACACCUAGGACAUCUGACGUGUCAAUUCCACGACAGUACCCUUGACAUAGCGGAGAACACACUUGACCAAGGUCAAGUGCUGGUCACGGGGAUCAUGCAUGUGAAGACGAAUCUGCUGGACCGCGUAGGCGAUGUCAGGACGUGUGAACGUUAGGUACUGAAGAGCACCAGCUAGACUCCGAUACUCCGAAGGAUCAGCAACAGGUGAGCCGGCGGCAGCGGCCAGCUUAGGCGAUGUGUCCACCGGUGUUGAGGCAGGGUGGUAGGAGCUCAUGCCAGCACGCUCGACAAUCUCGAGAGCAUACUGUGUCGGCGAGAGGAACAUCCCACUGGAGUCACGACGAACAGCAUGGCCGAGGAAGUGGUGUAGCUCGCCCAAAUCAGUCAUGGCAAACUCGGCACUGAGAGCGGUAGUGACGCGCUCAAGCAGGGUCGAUGUAGAAGCUGUGAGGAUGAUGCCGUCGAUGUAGAGGAGAAGAUAAGCAGUCCCCAUGGAACCGUGCAGAGUGAAUAGUGAUGUAUCCGACUUGGAGCAGGUGAAGCCGAAGGAGGUGAUGAAGCUCGCAAAGCGGUGAUACCAUGCACGAGGGGCUUGCUUUAGGCCAUAGAGUGCACGGUUGAGGCGGCACACAUGGUCAGGGCGAGCGGAGUCAACAAAGCCAGUUGGCUGGUGAUAAAAGACCACCUCAUUAAGACGCCCAUGAAGAAAGGCGUUCUUGACGUCGAGUUGGCGAAUCUUCCAGUUGGAGGACAGGGCGACCAAGAGGAUGACCCGGAUGGUAGCCGGUUUAACCACCGGGCUGAAGGUCUCAUCGAAGUCGAUGCCGUGUUCCUGAGAGAAUCCGCGCAACACCCAUCGAGCUUUGUAGCGAUCGAGGGUGCCAUCCGGCUUGAGCUUGUGACGAAAGACCCAUUUGCCGGAGACGACGUUGGCGUUAGCUGGCGGGAGGACAAGUUCCCACGUGUCGUUAGCGAGGAGAGCACUGUACUCGUCGGUCAUCGCUGCGAGCCAGUUCGGGUCUUUUAGAGCACCACGAACAGACUUGGGAACCGGUGAUGGAGCAGCUUCGGUGUCGACGUGGAGGUUAAGACGCUCACGCAGACCGAUGGUCUUGCCAGCUUGGCGGUGGGUCACCAUGUGGUGAGGAGCAGCCACAGCUGGUCGACGCGUUACCGGUGGAGGAGGGAAGACCAUAGGUGCCGGGGGCGGCGAGCACGGCGGUGUCGUUGUCGGAGACGAACGGGGCAUGGAGGAGGCAGCGUCGAAGGCUGCGGAGCCAGAAGCCGCGGUGUCGGAGUCGGCGGCAGAGGCCGCUGGAGAUGGGCCGCGGUCGAGCGAGACCGAGGCAGACGAGGCCGGAUGGGCCGGUGAAUGGCCCGUCGCAGGCGAAGCCGGAUGGGCCGGUGAAUGACCCGGCGUGCGCAAAGCUGGUGUGCGCGUGACCGACGUCCGCGCGGCCGAGUGGACCGGCGUGGACGGUGCCGAGUGGGCCGCCGUGCGCGAGGGUGAUGAGGCCGGCUCGGAGGUUGUCGGUGAGGAGGCGAGGCGCUGUCCAGCGGACCGAGACGACCCAGCGGAGGGACGCAACCCAACAUGCAUGGGUGGCACGACGACUGAGUCGAGUAUGUCGAUCGGAUCAUCGUCCGAGGGAGGUGUAUAGGCAUGCUGCUGCAUGUUAGAGACAGAAAAAAAGAGGAGCGAACGGGAACCGAGUUUCGUCAAAAAUCACAUGGCGAGAGAUGAUGAUGCGACGAGUUUCAAGUUCCAUGCAACGAUAGCCACGGUGGUUAGAUGGAUAGCCACGAAAAACACAUGCGACUGAACGGUGUGACAGUUUGUGAGACAUAGUAGACGCGAUGUUGGGGUAGCAUAAACAACCAAAAGUAAGAAGAAGGGUGUAGUCUGGUGUUCUGCUAAAAAGAGUGAAGAAAGGACAUGAAGCCGCAAGGGCUUUGGUGGGUAAUCUAUUGAGAAGAUAGGUGGACGUAUGGAGAGCUUCAACCCAAAAUUUUGGAGGCAUGCUCGCUUGAAAAAGCAAAGUACGAACUACGUCGUUGAUAGUGCAAAUGAUGCGUUCAGCUUUACCGUUUUGUGGAGAGGUGUAGGGGCAUGAGAAACGUAGGAGGAUCUCGUGCUGGACGGAUAGAUCCUGAAGGGCGCGAUUGUCGAAUUCGCGGCCGUUGUCGCAUUGGAUCGCUUGGAGAGAAAGAGAGAACUGUGUAUCGACAUAAGUACGAAAGUUAGACAAAAGAGCAAAAGCUUCAGAUUUUUGCCGCAUGGGAUAUGUCCAUGCAUAGUGAGUGAAAUUAUCUAAAAUGACAAGAUAAUAUUUAUAACCAGAUACACUCUCAAUAGAUGAAGUCCACAAAUCACAGUGAAUUAACUCAAACGGUCUAUGAGUAUGAGUGGUAGAAGCAAAAAAAAGGUAAACGGACAUGACGGCCAAGUUGACAAGCAUGGCAUAAACUAGGAUCCUUGUAUACUUUAUUUAUAGGAAGCGAGGAUGACGAGACGAGGCGCCGGAACGCGUCAUGACCGGGGUGGCCGAGGCGCCGGUGCCAAAGGGUGGACUCGACGGUGAUGGCGGUGAGAGCUUGCGGCGAGGUAGUGAGCGGAUAGAGGUCACCCGAGCUACUGCACCUGAGAAUCACGCGCCCUGUCCUGAGAUCCUUCACAGAAAAAGCCCAAGGGUCAAAUGCAACCGAGCAAUAGUUGUGAGUGGUAAAUUGACGAACUGAGAUUAAAUUCUUAACAAUACCAGGAGUAACAAGGACAUCACAAAGAGUGAGAUGAUGAGAGGUGGGGAGACGAACAUGUCCAGAAUGAGUGACAGGAAUAGAAGAACCAUCACCAACGAUGACAUGUUGAUGUGGAGGUGUUCGACGCGUUUUUGUCGCAAUUUUAUGAAAAUAUGGCACCAAUAGAAAGGUACAAGCGUGUAUAUGGAAGUGACAAAGAUGUUGAUGUUCUUUGAAAAAUAAUAUCGAAACCAACCGGCGGAGAGCAUUAUGUAUGCCUACCUGUACGUAGAUCUAAUUAACUUGAUUAGCUAGCUGUGCAUGCAAUGAGCCAUGCAUGGCUCACGUGCGCUAUGAAGAAUGAAGUAUAUUAUGUGUGUAUCCAUGGAUGUGUCCAUGUGGUACGUGCUAGUGUAUAUGUACAUAUCUAAUUAAAUGGCCAAGUUGUACCGGAAGCAAACGACCAUACAUUCAUGUAUGCCCGAUCGAUCAGGUCGUGGUGCGCCGCGUGCUUAGUCGCAUACAUGCGCGUCAACAACUCAAUGACCAGCCGGAUAAGUACCAAAGAACAGAUAACUAUGAUCCUCACAAGUACGUACUUAUCUGUCCCAAGAAAAUCGGCAACAACAUCAACUAGCCCGCGCGGCUCUCUGCCUAUAAAUACGAGAGAGCAGAUUGAUUGGUGGGGAGGCAGGAGAGGAGACGCGUCCGUGGCGGCUGCGUCGUGGAGAUCAGGCAGCAGUGACGCGGCCGCGUGUGGAGGACGCGCCGGCGUAGCACCUGCCUCCUGUCCAGCUGCAGCGGCCGUGGUGUACUAGCAGGAGCUCAACGCCGGCAGCCGCGGCAGAACGCCCCCUAUCGAAGAAGGCGGCAGCGCGGCGCCGAAGACGGCGUUGGCAGUGUCCGAUCCUCAAGACGCGCCGGCGUGCGGCAAAGGUGACAUGGCCGUUACCACGUCCAAGCUAUCAUUCGUGGUGCCUGCAGGCUGCAGCUACCGGAGGUGUCCGAAGACAUCAUGCAUGGAUGUCCAGCUUCUCUGCAUCCAUGAUACGUGUAUGUUCUUUUCUCCUCUCGAUCUCCCAUCUAACAGGUACAGUACAUGGAGGCGACCCAGGGAGGCGAGGACGACCCCGCGGCAGCGCGCACGGCGCGUGCGCCCGGGACAGCCAAGAAACCAGAGGCUGGACGGAGGAGAUGCGUGAGCCCUUGGUGGCGUGCGACGGCGCCCCCACACAUGCGCCCAUGCAAAGGAAGCAGCGGCGGCAGCGUGCCGGCCGCCGGAGUCAACGAUGGUCGUGUCCGCAAGGCCGGGAAGUUGCGCCGCCGGCGGUGGCGCACACUUGGCGCUUCAUGUGGACUUGUCCAAGCUAGCUCCACGGAAAUAAUCAUCACGAGACAUCUCAUGCGGUAUAUACAUAUAUCUCGUUCUCUCGGCCCCUAAUAUUUCAGGUAAUCGCCAUGGAGAAAAGCAGUGGGAGGAGACCUCAAGACCAUCGGGAGAUUGCACCCGGAGGAGGGACCCGGCCAAGAGGAGACGCGCCUGAGGUGGGAGCGUCGAGAACCGGAUGACGCGUCGGCGGCCGCGCGCGCCGAGCACGGCGACCUCACAUACGCAUGAAGGCCAACACAUGACCAGUUGAAGAUGCUCCCACGGCCGCGGCGGCGAGGAGAUCGCGAGGACGUGCCCAUGGCAAAGGCAUGCUCCGCGAGCAUGCCAUACACCCUGGUCGUCCGGCGGCUGCAGAUACAUGAAGGAGCCCGCACAACAGGCCCUAGCACUCAGGGCGGCCGCGGGCGCCACCCAUGGUGCCUUCUUCGAUCGGCGUCUUCAUCCAUCUACACCACCACAAGGCUGGCGGCGUGUAGCACGACACCAACUCCACCUUGGCGGCGACAUCGGGGAGGCCAGCGGCAUCCGGCCCGACAUCAUCUACACCACCAUGAAGAAAAAGCUGGGAUGCCAUCUCCACGUGGUCGAUGAGACAGUUGCGGCAGCGACGUAGUACGUGCCACAACAAGGCUCAAGAUGGCGGCAACCUAGUGCGCGCCCAUGAAGACCGCGGCGACAACGACGAACGUCAGCAGUGGUGUACAAGCCGAAGUGGGGAGGCCGUCGUCCAAGGCUGUACCAUCAUCCACCUUAGCGAGGGAAGAUUAAAAUCACGUCAUCUAUCUUCUUUAAAUGGCAUGCGUACAUGCAUCAUUUUAUCUUUAUCUUUUCAUAUCCUUCUCAUUUCAGUGCAUCCGAAUCACGAUCGAGAUGGAUGGAUAAUCAGCGCUCACCCGUGUGCGAACGAAGAAGACGGAGGAGGAGCUGCUCACCGUCUUCACAUCUACAUCAACCUCGCCAGUGCCGUCAUCACCAAUCCUGGGCUCGACGAGGAGGGCUUCUACAUCAACCUGGCUUCGCCAUCUUCAUCAACUUCUCUCCCGGCGAGGGCACCGACUGCCUCGACACGCCACCCGGCUACAUCGACAUGGCGUCGCCAACUUCAUAAGCUCUACAUCUGACGAGGAUGUCGUGUACAUCAGCGCCACCGGUCGUCCAUAUGUCGUGACCAUCUUCUUUGACUUUGCAUCUAAGCGACGACAUCGUCUACACCGACAUAUUGUCAUUCUUCUAUACCAAGUGGAGGCCGUCCCUGUAACUGCGACGGUCUGAGGUCUACAUCGAUGUGCUCACAUUGUCGUCAUCUUCAAGCAACGCCGCCACGCGGAGACACUCGAGUCUACUCCAAGUUCUACAUCAACACACUCCCCAAACCCCGUCCAAGCUCCGACGAGGCGAAGCCACUUCACCGACAUGUCUUCUUCCGAUGAAGAUACCCAGAUCUUGCCGGGCACUAACGAGGCGAAGGCAAGACACACCAUGUCCGACACCGACGAGGCGGACACCACCAGGCCGGGCACCGACGAGGCGAAGGCCGCCAUCUGUCUGAGCUAAUGAGGCCAGACAUCUUCAUCAUCGGACAUCGACAAGCCAGAGGGAUGUGGCUAAGCAUCGUCGGAGCGAUGGACGUACCGCUCCACUCUUCUAUUCCACCAUAUCAUCACCAUCGUCUACACCGAGCACUUGGAGAAGACGAGACUUGAAGACGACGACCAUUGCAGCAGCUUCAUCGGAGGUGGUUCGCGGCUCCGGCUCGCGGACGUAAUUAAUCGGGAGCCUUCCGAGGCCCCGUGAACCAGAACUUCACAAUCGCCGAAGUAAUCUUGGCCGAGCUAGCAGGCCAUUGAGCGCUUAUGUAAAGGGAUCAUGUAAUUUGUUUUCUCCCACGAGAGAUUAAUAAAGCACAAGUUUCCCUAUGUUUUCUUUGUGUACUUGGUACACUGGCACGCCCGCAUGUUUAUUUCCCCUGGCGCGUAGAGAGAUAAUGACAUGACAACCGUUUGUUGUUUUUAUUAUUUCUCGUGUCAAACAGGAGGAGUUGAAGAGAGGGAGGUGAGAUUACCGGCGUCCGAAGACAUGUGAGCGGCUGCUCCAGUGUCCAUGAUCCACUCCAUAGGAGCCUGGAGACUCAUGGUAUUGAAGUAGCUCGCGAGGGCGGACGGAUCCCACGUCUGUGCCGAGGAGGAGCCGUAGGCGGGGUAGCCGGUGUAGGAGUACGUCGCCUGUGGGGUUGGAGGCGAUGGGGCAGGCAAGGCCAUGUAGCCCUGAGCAGGAGGGUGAUGCAGCGGCGCCGAGGGGCGGGGUCCCGGUCCGAGGAUGCUGACGGUGUAGGAGAUAUGCCCUAGAGGCAAUAAUAAAUGAUAUUAUUUAUCUCCGAGUUCAUAAUUAUGUUUAUGUUCCAUGCUAUAACUGCAAUGAUUCUCGAGUCUACAAUAUCCACGAGGCUCAGAGGAAGACUCAUAUGCAUGUGUGGAAUAAUAAACGGUAAGAAGUAUUCCUAGUCUGGCCUCUAAGACUAGCUCAAGUGUUGCAUGAUGAUUCUGUUUUCCUGGUCAUGGGCAUGUCUAUGCCAGCAACUUUGAGGGCACAAUGUUAAGACAACAUUUGUGUUGAAUCGACCCGGAUUGAUGUUAUGCUAUGAGAUUCAUUCGUCACAAUUUUAUUGGUACAUAACACACAGAUGGUGAACGUUUGCAUGAUUCCUUAGACCAUGAGAGUAUCGAGUUUCUUCAUGCUUGCUUCAUGAACUUUGGGGUUUGUUAAACGUCAUCCGUAAAUGGGUGGCUAUUACGGCGGCUUAUGGGUUCAUGGAAAAGUGUGUCAAGUAACUUGAUAGCUCAAGAUUGGGAUUUGCUCCUCCGACGAUGGAGAGAUAUCUCUGGUCCCUCUCGGUGUUACGGUAUCCAUCAUCGUCUGGCCAGACACUUUGUGAUUUGAUCACGGGGAUGCCGGAACACGAUAACGAGAAAAGAGAACAAUACCGGUAACGAGGUAACUAGCAUAGUGGACAAGUUGUUGAUCCACGGGAAUGCCAACAUGUCUCACCUCGGGUAUUUGUAACAUAUCGCGAAGCAACAGGAAUAGCACACGGCAACUGGAGGUUCACUCGAAUAUUUAUUCGUGUGGGUAUAGGGGUCAAUAUGGGUGUCCACGGCUCCGAUGUUGAUCAUUGAUCGGAAGGGGUUCCGGGUCAUGUCUAUACUUCACCGAACCUAUAGGGUCACACGCUUAAGGGCCAUCUAUCUGCUGAAUACUAGACAGGGAGUCUGAGAGAAAAUCACCGAAAAAGUUUCGGACACCGAAAAGUUUCGGACAGCGGAAUCGUACCGCAGAGAGAGGUCAUCGGAUAAGUUUCGAUGAUACCGAAAAGUUGUUUCGGGAUACACCAUUAAGUCAAAUUGGUUUCGGCACAUGCCUGAUAAUUCUUGGAGGAUGCCAGAAUCAUUCUGGAAGCUUUUUGGAAUUUUCUGAGAUAAAAACCGGAAAUGUUCCGGAGCUGCCGGAGCCACUUCAGAUGCGUUUCGCAGAUGAAAAUCACUAAAACCGGAAUUGUUUCGGAAUGCGUUGAAAAUCAUUUUAGUGGGUACUGGAAAUGUUCUUAGCCCACAUAAAUAUUUUCAGUUCGAUCAGACGCUGAAAAAUGUCGUCGUGAAUAGUGAAAAUCAGCUUUAUGGUUACUUUAUGGAAAGCCACCUUUUAGGGCUUUGCUCCAAAAGAUCUUGGGGAUGACAUGGAUGGAUAGGAGCCAUUUUUUGGGCCCCUCAUGGGGGUGUGGCCGGCCACAUGGGGUAUCCCCCCUUGGGGACCCUCUUGUUCCUCGGUUUCACUCCUAGGUCCUUGUGGAAGGACUUCAUUCAUGUGCAUUUUGGGUUUUUUGUGAAACUACCCUACCCCCUUGGGAUUUCCUAUAAAUAGAGGUGGAGGGGCAGCCCUCCACACUCAUCCCUUGCUCUCAUACACAUGCCAUGCAUUAUCUGGCUUCUUCUCUCCCUCCCACGAAAAGAGUUUCGUAGAGCCGUAAGGCUGUCUGGGUUCCGGCAGGAACUAGUUCUGGACGGCGAAGCCCUGCCGGAUAGAUGACACCGUAUGUGUGCAACUCUGUAGAGAGAUCGUAGUUUCGGUCUUAGUUCGUGAGUGCCUCCCGAAGGGCUGUCCGUGUGAUCGUCCGAGUUUCGAAGGUCCUCCCGAAGGGCUGUCCGAGUGACCGUUCGAGUUUCGAAGGUCCUCCCGAAGGGCUGUCCGCGACACCGUCCGGGGGGCUGUUCGACCGCCUCCCGCAGAGCUGUCUGAGGAGCAGAUGAGGGUAUACAUCCUCGCGGUUGGGAGGUUGUAAAUCCUAGCUGCGGGGAUCUGCACCGCCGAUCGUCAUCGACUCUACUUCCCGCUGCGCUACGAGUCGGUAACGAAUAAGAUCAAACCAUGUAUGCAGUCUCCCUAGUGGUCCUGGGCUGGUGCGUAGGUCGGAAAUUUUUUGUUUUCUGUCGCGUUCCCCUUCAGUGGCAUCAAGAGCCGUGCUAUGCGUAGAUGCAGGUUUCGAUCUAGAAUACAUGGAGAUGUAUGGGUAUUGCAUAAUAUAAUUAGGUAGUAGAUGAGAUCUAUCGCUGAAAAUUAUUUAUGCGGGUGACAGAUGAAAUCUGUUACCCGAGGUUCUUGUUGCUUCCCUAAAAUUUGCGUUUGCUCAAUCUCGAGACAGCAUGGUGGAAUUUGACAAAGUUCUGGCAAUCCGUGAUCCUGAUUGAUCAUGGAAGUGCUAUCAGUUCUUUGGGUUCUGCCGUAGUCAAAAGAAAGAUGAAAUUCGCAGAUGAAAGGGCAUUGCAGAUAUGAUCUGCACGGGGGUCAUGCGUAUGACGAAGUUUAGUAUGGGGCUCGAGAUUUAAUUAUCCCGUGUUUCAUACACCCCGAGAUGUUAAUCUAGCAACUUGAAUAAUCAUACUUGAUGAUAAAACGUUGGUCGCUGCGGUUUAAGUCAAAACCUUAGAAGCCACGUAAAAUAAAUUUUGCAUAAACCGAUUAGAGGCGUCUAACUUGGUUUUGCAGGAUGUGCAUAUGAUGUGGUAUAGCAGUGCUCAUACUAAUUCGAUUAUGUAUGAGAUGACUAUAUGAUGUAAUUUGAUUAACAUGACCUGCGUGUCAUGAUUCGGCAUGAUGGUUGGAGCCAUAUGAUUGCACUUUAAUGACCUGCGUGUCAACCUUGUUGUAAUGCAUUAUUUUGUUAGCUAUAGAGAUAGCAAUAUUAUCUGGUGCAUCGACAAGGUGGUGGCAAUCUUCGCGAAGGUGAACACCGACGCGAAUGCCGAAGAUGAAGAAAUGAAAGACUUCUCCGUCAGAAAGGGCUAUACCAUAUCAUGCUAUUAUGAAUUGCCUGAGAUGUUUAUCCCUUAUGAUGCACCCUUCUUGAUUGCGCGGUAGUCGCUUUUAUUAGGGUGAUCUCUCACUUAAAAUACCAAGUAGUUAGUGUUCUCCCAAGUGUAGCACCGUCACGGCACCUAUCUUUUCGGGGUGCGCCGUGUCACACGGGUACGAACGAUUAGAGAAGUGUGAGGCGGGUGAGUUGAGACCUCGCAGCGAGAUCACUUGGUUGUCUUGACGUUCAGGCAUGACCGUCAUGAGCUCGGAACACACGCAUCGAAAGAUGAACAAGAGUCACAUAGAGAUGUGAUUGGCAAGUUGGCCUACCGGUUGAGAUUUUUCAUCAUCAGUGGUGUUACACCAAUGGCGAACAAUUGAAAUGUGGGUCUUGUAUCACUCACAAUCAAUUUUGAGAGAUAUUGAUUUGAGUGGGAGCGCACUGUUGAAUUAACAUGUUUAAUUCUUAGUGCAAUUAAUAUGAACAUUGUCUAAGUGUUAUAUGCAAAAUAGUUGUAGAAUAAUGGCUCGCAUUUCCACCUUCCCUGUUAAAAUUGAAUAGCUGUUAAAUAUCUGGUUAAAACUUUACGAUUGGUACCGUAAUAUGAGGAUUGUCCUCAAAAGUGCCGAGAAGGACUUUGUCCUAUCGCAUGCUUUCUGUAUCCUUCCGCUAAUGCUAUGGAUCAUGUGACUCUCGUCCUUUGAUCCAAAAGCUAGAAUUCUAUUACGGUCAAGUGGAAUAUGUUUGCUUCCAUGAAACCCAAACUUCGAAAGUUGGGAUAGUUAUAUGAUAUUCAUGGAACUGAAAAUUAUUUUCAGAUACAAACAAAGCAAUGUUUGUUUGCAAGUAUUAGUAAAAGUGUUUACUAUGCAUUUGACUGUUGGGAAAGGGAUCCAGAAGAACGCCUGUCAUAUAAUGAAAGGUGAAUAAAACAACAACUUAAAGAGAAAGGAAGUGUCCAAAGGGUGUUAGUAUGACUUACACGCCUAGGAAGUCCGGGGCUAAUGCCACUCUUAAGUUGGGUGCUUCUUCUGAGAGUAGGAGAAAUACUAAAAGUUAAACUGCUAGAAGUAUAAAGGCAAAAGGAAAGAAGACUGGAAUAUCCAGCUCAUGUAUGAAUGUCAUACAAGUUUUUGAUGUAUAGAAGGCUGGUCAAAGAUAUAGUUCUUGCGAAUUAUGGUUAAACAUGUUAAUCACUAAUUCUUGGGUAUUGUGAGUUCAUCACAAAAAUGCCCGCUCGAUUGCAUUCUGUUGCAACUCAAUGUAAGAACUACUAUGGCCUGAAAGACUAGCUAGAAAUGAGGUUAAGGUAUACACAGGGAACAUAGUAAAUGUUACUAUACCUUCCAUCGGUGUAUUGCCGUCUGUAUUUAUUUUCAUAAUUCAUUUAGAGUUUUACAAACUCUAGCCCAUUGCAUAAGGCAUCUUGCAAGAAGGUUGUUCAUAAGAGAACUUUUUAUGUUCGAUGUUAUGAAUAACACAAGGGCCAUACUUUCAUUAUGAAUGAGAUGUAUGUUAUGAAUAUUGAUAAUAAUACAAUACCUCUGGGUUUACUUUCAUAAUUCAUUUUAGAGUUUCAUACACUCUAGCCCAUUGCACAAUGUUUGUUGCAAAAGAGUUGUUCAUAAAAACAACAAUUGUUGUUAAGUAUUAUGAAUAACAUAAGGGCCAUACUUCCAUCAUCGAUGGGACGUAUGUUAUGAAUAUUGAGGGUAAUAUGAUACAUCCAUAACACUGACACUAAAUGUCGCAAGACUAAAAGAAUACCACACAAGUGUGGCACUACAUUUGGUCACAUUGGAGAAACCCGCAUGGAAAAUUCCAUUAUGAUGGAUUUUGAAGUCUUUUUGAUUUUGAAUCAUCUGACACUUGCAACUUUCCUCCGAAAAGUGAAGUGACUAAAAUACCGUUCACAGGCCAUAAGGAACGAACAACAAACUUAUUAGUGAUCAUACAUUUGAUGUGUGUAGUCCGAUAAGUGUUGUUAGUGGUGGAUUUAUUUAUCUUCAGAAAUGUCUCAAGUAGAUAUAUGGAUAUUUACUUGAUGAGACGUAAGUCUGGAUCUUUUGAAAUCAUUGGAAAGGUUCUCAAAAAUGAAGUAGAAGUUAUUGUAACAAGAAAAUUAUGUUUCUGCAAUUUGAUUGCACAAAGGAAUAUUUGAGUUACAUGUUUAGCGAAUGUCUGAUGAGUUGUGAAAGGGGUUUCAUAAACUUGCACCUCCCGGAACACCACUGCAAGUGGAAAGUCCGUGGAGAUGUAAUCAAACCAUUUAUGACAUGGUAAGGUCAAAGAUGACAUAAAUAAAUUUGCCAUUAUCCCUUUUAAAGUGAUGCUUUAGAGACUGCGGCUUUUACACUGAAAAGAGCUACAUCGGGUCUGUUGAAAUGAAGCCAUGGUAUGGUACGCCCAACCAUGUUAUAUCUUUUCUUAACAUUUGGAAUAUGGGGCUUGUGUAAAAGGUUACAAACCUAUUCCAAAUCAGACAAGUGCUACUUUGUAGGUUAUACCAAAAUGUUGGGUAUUCCUCCCUCACUAUACCGAGGCAAAUAGUUUUGCCGCGAAACGGUGUGCUUUUAAAGAGAAUGGUUCUUUCUAAAAGGUGAGUGGGAGAAUAGUGCAACUCGACGAGAUAAACAGUAUCUUCAUCAGACCAAAGGAAAGAGACCUUGGAAGAAAUUCCAGAGUUUCCUACUGCGACUGAUACAGAAGUCUCUACAAUAAAAUGUAUGAACUUUGGUCGAACUUGCAGCUAAACCACGUAGGCAAGGCUCGUGCAAACCUCUCAGGUGCGCAAACGAGAUAUUGUUGUUAGACAACAUUAUACGUACGAUACACAAGGAAGCGUUGAUGGGCCGUGACUCCGGAAUUGGCUAAAUGCCAAUACAACCCGAGUUAGUUUCCAUAUAAGUGAUUCAAGAUUAAAACCUUGAUACACCUUUCGGAAGACUUAGAGUCUAACGAAUAUUUAUGGAACUUAAAACUGAUACGGAUAAAAUGUUUUAUCCAUAAAGCUCGACUUGUUGAAAUAAUACGAUGAGGUUGUUUUCAUCAUAGCAAUGCUUAAAGUCGGUUUGGGUUGAACUAGCAAUUAAUACAUAUUUCAAUCAUGAGAUAUGAAACAUGGAUGAUAAAAGGAUUUCCAUCUGAUGGAAAUGAAAGCUAGGACUUGUAUAUGAUACAGUCCAAAGUAAUUUGUUGAUCCAGAGGAUGCUAGUAGGUAUGCAAACUUCAGAGUUCCAGCAAUGGACAGAAGAGAGCAAAAUGGAGUUGGAAUCUUCGUGUUUUGAUGAAAUGGUCAAAGGGGUUUUGACUUCAUCAAUGGGUAACGAAGAUGCUUGUAAUUCAAGAAAGUAAGUGGGAGCGUAAUAAUAUUUCUAAAAACCUUAUGUGCUUGGCACAUCGGUAAUUGGAAAUAAAUUUCUUGACACAAAUUAGGACUUCAUUUGAAAAUAGUUUUUCGAUGAAGUGCUUAGGCUAAAUAGCCUCAAUAUUAGGCAUGAUGAUCUAUGGAGAUAGCUUUACCUAAUGGGGCUAAGCAAUGAAUACAUAUUGACAAGAUGCUAAAACCUUUUAGCAUUUAAAAUGCCAAGGAGUGAUUCUUGCCAAAGUCACAUGGAAAGAGUUUUUGCAAGACUCGGUGUCCCAAAACACUGAUGAGUAAAAUACAUGAUGCAGAUUCCACACACUUUUGUGUUUGGAUUAAUCAUGUAUUCCAUGGUAUGUAAAACAACCAGAUAUGUCCGAUACUCCCAAGGUGUUGCGAGUAUGGAUACCAAAGUGAUCAAAUUACUGAUCAUGGGACAACAGUGAAAGAUGUCACAGAGUACUAGAGUAAGUACUGAUGACAUGGUUUUCUCGCAAGCAGAGAUCAUGAAGAGUUCAUUGUAAAAUGUUACAUCGAUAGAGUCUUCAUCUUUUCUCCAUGCGAUUUUCGAUUUAAAUUAAGGGUUUUGUGUAACACACAAUGUGGUGGCACAGUUAGUUGGAAUUUGUUCAAACUAGUUACUGUGGCGAAUUCUAUAACAAGGGCUAAGUAUGUUGACGCUUUAGAAGCGACAAAGAAGAUGUUGAAUCAUAUAGUUCAUUCAUGAACUUAGUAUAGUUCCAAGAUGGCUUUUGACAAUGGGACACUACUGCAGGUAGUUGCUCCAUAACUCAGUCUGAGGAAUCCAGGUUNNNNNNNNNNNNNNNNNNNNNNNNNNNNNNNNNNNNNNNNNNNNNNNNNNNNNNNNNNNNNNNNNNNNNNNNNNNNNNNNNNNNNNNNNNNNNNNNNNNNNNNNNNNNNNNNNNNNNNNNNNNNNNNNNNNNNNNNNNNNNNNNNNNNNNNNNNNNNNNNNNNNNNNNNNNNNNNNNNNNNNNNNNNNNNNNNNNNNNNNNNNNNNNNNNNNNNNNNNNNNNNNNNNNNNNNNNNNNNNNNNNNNNNNNNNNNNNNNNNNNNNNNNNNNNUGUAGGAGAUAUGCCCUAGAGGCAAUAAUAAAUGAUAUUAUUUAUCUCCGAGUUCAUAAUUAUGUUUAUGUUCCAUGCUAUAACUGCAAUGAUUCUCGAGUCUACAAUAUCCACGAGGCUCAGAGGAAGACUCAUAUGCAUGUGUGGAAUAAUAAACGGUAAGAAGUAUUCCUAGUCUGGCCUCUAAGACUAGCUCAAGUGUUGCAUGAUGAUUCUGUUUUCCUGGUCAUGGGCAUGUCUAUGCCAGCAACUUUGAGGGCACAAUGUUAAGACAACAUUUGUGUUGAAUCGACCCGGAUUGAUGUUAUGCUAUGAGAUUCAUUCGUCACAAUUUUAUUGGUACAUAACACACAGAUGGUGAACGUUUGCAUGAUUCCUUAGACCAUGAGAGUAUCGAGUUUCUUCAUGCUUGCUUCAUGAACUUUGGGGUUUGUUAAACGUCAUCCGUAAAUGGGUGGCUAUUACGGCGGCUUAUGGGUUCAUGGAAAAGUGUGUCAAGUAACUUGAUAGCUCAAGAUUGGGAUUUGCUCCUCCGACGAUGGAGAGAUAUCUCUGGGCCCUCUCGGUGUUACGGUAUCCAUCAUCGUCUGGCCAGACACUUUGUGAUUUGAUCACGGGGAUGCCGGAACACGAUAACGAGAAAAGAGAACAAUACCGGUAACGAGGUAGCUAGCAUAGUGGACAAGUUGUUGAUCCACAGGAAUGCCAACAUGUCUCACCUCGGGUAUUUGUAACAUAUCGCGAAGCAACAGGAAUAGCACAUGGCAACUGGAGGUUCACUCGAAUAUUUAUUCGUGUGGGUAUAGGGGUCAAUAUGGGUGUCCACGGCUCCGAUGUUGAUCAUUGAUCGGAAGGGGUUCCGGGUCAUGUCUAUACUUCACCGAACCUAUAGGGUCACACACUUAAGGGUCAUCUAUCUGCUGAAUACUAGACAGGGAGUCUGAGAGAAAAUCACCGAAAAAGUUUCGGACACCGAAAAGUUUCGGACAGCGGAAUCGUACCGCAGAGAGAGGUCAUCGGAUAAGUUUCGAUGAUACCGAAAAGUUGUUUCGGGAUACACCAUUAAGUCAAAUUGGUUUCGGCACAUGCCUGAUAAUUCUUGGAGGAUGCCAGAAUCAUUCUGGAAGCUUUUUGGAAUUUUCUGAGAUAAAAACCGGAAAUGUUCCGGAGCUGCCGGAGCCACUUCAGAUGCGUUUCGCAGAUGAAAAUCACUAAAACCGGAAUUGUUUCGGAAUGCGUUGAAAAUCAUUUUAGUGGGUACUGGAAAUGUUCUUAGCCCACAUAAAUAUUUUCAGUUCGAUCAGACGCUGAAAAAUGUCGUCGUGAAUAGUGAAAAUCAGCUUUAUGGUUACUUUAUGGAAAGCCACCUUUUAGGGCUUUGCUCCAAAAGAUCUUGGGGAUGACAUGGAUGGAUAGGAGCCAUUUUUUGGGCCCCUCAUGGGGGUGUGGCCGGCCACAUGGGGUAUCCCCCCUUGGGGACCCUCUUGUUCCUCGGUUUCACUCCUAGGUCCUUGUGGAAGGACUUCAUUCAUGUGCAUUUUGGGUUUUUUGUGAAACUACCCUACCCCCUUGGGAUUUCCUAUAAAUAGAGGUGGAGGGGCAGCCCUCCACACUCAUCCCUUGCUCUCAUACACAUGCCAUGCAUUAUCUGGCUUCUUCUCUCCCUCCCACGAAAAGAGUUUCGUAGAGCCGUAAGGCUGUCUGGGUUCCGGCAGGAACUAGUUCUGGACGGCGAAGCCCUGCCGGAUAGAUGACACCGUAUGUGUGCAACUCUGUAGAGAGAUCGUAGUUUCGGUCUUAGUUCGUGAGUGCCUCCCGAAGGGCUGUCCGUGUGAUCGUCCGAGUUUCGAAGGUCCUCCCGAAGGGCUGUCCGAGUGACCGUUCGAGUUUCGAAGGUCCUCCCGAAGGGCUGUCCGCGACACCGUCCGGGGGGCUGUUCGACCGCCUCCCGCAGAGCUGUCUGAGGAGCAGAUGAGGGUAUACAUCCUCGCGGUUGGGAGGUUGUAAAUCCUAGCUGCGGGGAUCUGCACCGCCGAUCGUCAUCGACUCUACUUCCCGCUGCGCUACGAGUCGGUAACGAAUAAGAUCAAACCAUGUAUGCAGUCUCCCUAGUGGUCCUGGGCUGGUGCGUAGGUCGGAAAUUUUUUGUUUUCUGUCGCGUUCCCCUUCAGACGGGGCCGGCAUGACCGUGCGUGGGCGCGCCUGGACCCAUCAUCGGGUACAUGUGGAUGGCAUCGGCCCAGGGGUUCUGCAUGUUGGGGAAGAUGGGGGCGCCACCACCCCAAGUCUUCUUUUUCUUCCCCUUGUAGCAGCCGGUACCGUACCCGGUGGGAGCACCGUAUGGCGCCGGAGCACCGAGACCGGCCGGUUGUGGUGGUGGAGGUGCAAAUCCCCCGCGAGGCCACCAUUGGCAGGAGCGGAGUAGAAGACCACGGGCGACGUAGAGCUCAGGGAGGACGGCUUAAGUUCCUGCAGAAGAAGCAUGUCGCAAAAUUCAAGGAACGUUGGGAACGGCUUGAUGAGAGGCGCGUGGUUGCCGAUGUCCAUGUAGUGGUCGUUGAGGCCCUUGAUGGUGUUCCACACCAGAGCGUCGUCGGAGACCGAGGCAUUGACGUCGGCGAGAGCAUCAGCGACCGUGUUUUGCUCGAGGCAGUAGGCGGUGACGGUCUUGUCGCCUUGGACGAUGUUGUGGAACUUCUGGACGAGGUAGACCACACGCGACUGUUGGUUGCCGCGGAAGAGGGAGGUGAUGCCAGCGAAGACAGCGACAGUCGUGGUACCGGCUGCCAUGACCAUGUCGGCGAUGUCGGGGUUGAUGGAGCCGUACAGCCACCGAAGGACGGUGGAGUCCAUCCGCAGCCACUCCGCGUCAGCUGGAGGGGGUGCCGGUUCAAGAUGAUCGGCGAGGGCGAACUGGUUGACGGCAAUGGUGAGGAAGUUGCACCACUUGGAGAAGUUGGACGCCUUGAGGUCGAGGGUGACUGGGAUGAGGCUCUUGAUGUUCUGGAUGGAGUUGUCUUGCGCCCAUAGGGCAGCGUGGGGAUGGAGAGGGCCGGCGUCGGGCAUGACGGCGGCGGCUGGAGGUGGAGAGGAGGGGCGGCGGCAGAAGUGGAUGGGGAUGGAAGAGAAUCGUUUGGCUGAUACCAUGAUGGAAACAUAAGGCAAGAGUAAUUGACCACACAAAUGUGGGUUCUGUGUUACCUCAUAUAUAUAGACAGGUUACAAGAUAAUCAUGGAAACAAAUCAAUACAAUCCUAACCAUAAUGGCCCGAUUUAUAUGCAAAUAUAGGAGCACUAAAUAUGGCAGGCUAUGACUAGAUCGGAUUGCCUAACAGAGAUAACUCCGUUAUCGCCCUGCGCCCGAACACAAUGGAGAGGAUGUAGUUGUUCCAUGGGCCCACCAUCAUCCUCAAGGUACUACAUGGUCUAAGAGCAUUUACACCUGGGCAUCCCAAACCAACUUCAAACGCCCGGGCGAACGGCCCGGUCACAGAAAAAUGACCCAGACGGGCCUCAAAUGCCUGGCUAACCAACACCUCUCAUAUUCAGCCCAAAUCUAGGACGAAUAUGGGGUGCCUACGCGCGUUCUCCAUGUCGGUUUCGGUCCACGCUGGCCCACCCGACCCCACAUAUAUUCCUCCCCAUCUGCUUGCCAGACCAAACCCUAGCCACUUCAUUCCACUCCCUGCCGCCAGCCAAGCUCCCGUCCGACGAUCUUAUGGCCUUUUCCGGCAUGGCGGGUGGUGGAUCCAAGUCCUACACCUCCAUAUCCAUCGACCCCGAGCUCAUCCCACGCGGAUCCUAGGAGGACUUGGUCGUCCGGCUUGCGCUCCACCGCUCCCGGGAGGAGGCCGCCCGAUGGCAACGGCAACGCUCGGACUCGUUCGCGGGGAAUCCAUUGCGUCCGCCCAAAUGAUGCAUGGAUCUGGCGCUAGGUGUGCCAUCACUGCCUCACCGAAGGCGGUGCGGUCCAUCUGGCGUUCGAACGGGUGGCGAAUGUGCAACCCCUCCAUUGGCGCGAAGAGGCCAUGGACGCACCAUGGGAAUCACCCGAUGCAAAAAAUAGGUCGGCGCGCCCGUCGUGCGAGGCAGCGGGUGUGGGAGGUGGCGGCUGUCCUCGCGACGGUGGGCGUUGCGGAGGCCGAGUCGUAUUCUCCGGCUCUCCAUAUGGUGCACCAGUCCGGGCACCGCAACCGCAUGGUGGUGGAUGUUGCUAGCUCGUCCCAGGAAUGAUCCAUCAUCGAUCUGACGUCCACCGGCAGUCCGAGUUCCGGGUUACGAAGGGGCAGAGUAGGGCACGGAGGACGGCGGCGCCUCCAGUUCCAUGAGCCGCCUCGUGUCCCAUGCCCUACUCUACCCUGUCGGUGACUGGAGCAACACUCUGGGGAGUGCAUUCGACCGCCGGACGUGCUCUUCUUAAAGAACGAUUUAUGUUGCAUGUCAUAAUAUGGAUUUGAGGUUUCUAAUUUGAGGUAUCCGGUUGUAGAAUGAAAUAUUUGAGGCGUGACCACUUACUGCCGGGCGCGUCCGUGGGCGUUUGAGGGGUCAAAUUUGUCAAGUCCUUCUGUAGGUGCUCUAAUCGAACUAAUUCAGCUAUCUUGUUGGAUGGGAUCGGGGAACUGUGGCUGAUUUUUUUGAACUUGUAUAAGUUCUAGGAUACAUAUUUGUCAAAAAAAUCAUAGCUUUAUCACUUUGAUAGUUCGUAUCAGGUAGAAUAGAUUGUUUUGCUGAUUUUUAGUAGUUUGUUGGGUUAUUUGUUCAAUACUUGAUCAAACAUUCUACAAAAAUAUAUAUCCUACUAUUUAUUUCCCACACUUGUCUUUCAAAGUGUCCAAUGGUUAUAUUGAUUUUCAGCUUUAACUUUGUAAGACAGGAGUACAAUAGUAAAUUUGUUUGGGUCAAAACUAUUAUAUCCUUCUAAGGAACUUCUACAAAAUGAUUUCUCAUCUCCUUGGAGUUCAUAUCAGCAAAAUGUAAUAUUUUCUUUUUGUUCCUAGAUUGAGAUAAGUCAAUAUCACACUGCAUGUUUAAAGAAAUAACAACCGAGUUAUUCUACAAGUAAAAGAAAUUUCCACAAUCAAGUAGAACCGAUGCUACUUAAGUUUUGUUUGUCUCUCUAAAUUUCCCCCAUCUGUGCACGAAACCAUAUGAAGAGUUUAAUGGCAUGUUUGGCGCUUGCUAUCAUGACUCAAUAUUUGCUCUUGUUCGCCGCAUGCUUUAUAUUUUACCAUGUGGCAACUUUAGUUUGAUUUUCACCUCUUUGGAGUACCUUAAAGAAUUGCUUUGAAGAAGGCUUCGGUGCCACCAAUCUCAAAAUCGCACCAACGCAAAAAUAUCCAGAUUAACAUUUAAAGUGAUGGAUGGUUCCUAAUCAGACGCUUGUUUUGCUGCCAAAAUGGCCCUUUUACUUCUAGACAUUGAAAUAUGUUGAAUUAUUGUUGUGUGCAAUGUUCAGGAAAUCGGUAACUGAUAGCUGCUCGGUCGGCUUGGGAGCAUCAAUUAAUAGAUCAAUCGGCCUAUGAACAAGAUUGAUAGGUCGACCAUUAAUCGGUAGAUUACAUAGGAACCUGCUGGCAAGAGCAAGUAGCUAUAGAUAUGUAAGCCUAGAAUUGUAGUUAGGGAUGAACAUCUAAAUACACAGUGAAUGGAACAAUGACAAGUAAUGCUGGCAAACAAGAACUUUGUUUGUCUUUUAUUCCCAAGCUUGAACUAGCACUGGCCGGUGUCACACAUGAUGGUGCACUCCACUUUAUUUGUCAUCGUUACAUCGAUUGGUGCAUCAGCUAAGCAACGAUGAUCCAUCUACCUAUUAGUAUAGCUCUUCAGUUUUUCAUUGGCCACCAAUGCCCGCGACUAUGCUGGCAAAUGGUGCCCUCAUGAUGGAGCACUCUGGUGGGACAUACACGUUGCACAUGGAUGGAAGAGUUUGCAAUACCAAUGAUCUGAUCGCCUCCAAUUGAGCUGGUUGUUGUGGUUGGAUGAUGCCCUGGCCUUGGACUAGAGAACCUUGACCCACCUGUUGCUGCUGAGAUAGUGGCAGAAAGAUAUGCAUGCCUUGUUGUUGUUGUUGUUGUUGCUGCUGCUGCAUGAUGAUGGAAUGCACGACGCUAUGGAUGGCUGCGCACUGGAGCUGUUGAGGAAUCUGUGCUAGUUGUUGGCAGCAUUGUUGCCGCAUCACUUGGCAAUCGCUUUGUGGCCAGAUUAUUGACCAGAGGGAUGACACCAAUGACGCAGGUUUGCAUUGUUGCAAGAGGAUAUUCUUGCAUGGGUUCAACUGUUGUUGUAGAGAUGGUUGAAUGAAUGACCGUUGUUGUUGGGGGAAUGAUUGUUGCGGUUGUUGGGGCUGCGGUAAUUGUUGUUGGGGCUGGGGAAAAGGUUGUUGUGGUUGCUGGAGCUGGGGAAAUGGUUGUUGGGGUUGUUGAGUCUGGGGGAAUGGUUGUUGUGGUUGUUGGGGAAAUGGUUGUUGGGGUUGUUGAGUCUGGGGAAAUGGUUGUUGUGGUUGCUGGGGAAAUGGUUGUUGUGGUUGUUGAGUCUGGGGGAAUGGUUGUUGUGGUUGUUGGGGGAAUGGUUGUUGGGGCUGGAGAAAUGGUUGUUGUGGUUGCUGAGGCUGGGGAACUUGUUGUUGUGGUUGAUGGGGGAAUGUUUGUUGAGGUUGGGGAAAUGUUUGUUGUGGUUGCUGGGAUAAUGGCUGUUGGAGCUGGGGGACUAGUUGUUGUUGUAGCCAUUGUACUUGGCCGCUAGGGUCGACCUGGAUAUUGGCGGUGCCGAUGGUUAUUGCCAUCGCAAGGAUUGUCAGGAUGAGUAAGGUCUUCAUGGUGGAUUUGCGUUAACUACUACGUACUUUGAUUUUCUGCUUGUGCUCUAGUUGUGUGAACGAUGGAUGAUGGUAUGGAGUCUACAUAUUGUAGGCCUUUUUAUAGCUACCAUGGUUAGGUUUCUUUUCAUUAUUGCUUUCUUUUUUAAAAGUGAUUUGAUGCUUAUCAAACUAAUUAUUUGGUAUGUUGUGUUUGGUGGCACUACAUACAAACGUAAUUUCAGAGUGAUCAUCAAAGUUGUCUUUUUAUUGUACAUAUCAUCUAAGAGUGAGGAAUACUUGAUAAUUGGCAUUGACUCAUCUUAUUCACUUUACAUGUCAAACAAUUAUCUGGAUUGCAUUCCUUUUGGAUCUGUACAAGUUGUUAGACAUAAACCAAAUCUUCAUAGCUUGCGGGGGACUAAAUUUGUGUCCUUGUGCAUGUUGUUAAGAUAGAUCAGGCAAGUAUUCUGAUAUUUGUUGUGGACUCUUGUUCUUUCUAAAACUAACUUGUAGUGUUGUAUAAUAUGAUGGUAAGAUGAACAAGCUGAUAGUAAUCUUGUACAUGUUAUCAAUGCAUGACUCAUCAAAUUCUCCUUUUAUGUCAAGGGUAGUAAUGUUGUAUACGUUAUCAAUACAUGACUCAUCAAAUUCUCCUUUUAUGUCAAGGGUAGGAAUAUUGUACAAGUGUAACACCCCCGAUGUCAUGCUACAGUAAUCUCAUGCCUAAUGAUGCUAUGUCAUCAUAAUCAUUUUACUAAUCCUCUUUCCGUUUCAAACCAAAACUCAAAUCCAAAUUCGAAUGCCAAGUCGAAUUAUAAUUUUAUAAAAAAUAAAUUAAAAAUGUUCCUUAGGUUGAAAAUAUUCACUACAUAACUGUCAUACAUUAGCAAAGUUUUUUCUGGAAACUUUUAAAAUGCCUAUGAAUAUUAAACUGUGGACCAACGACACCCUUUUAGCUCUUUUAAAUGCAAUUAUAAUUUAAGUGAUUUCAAUUUGGCCCCAAACUUUUUGUGCCACCCCAAAAUUGUGUGCUUGAUUUAUGUGCCAAGUUUCAGUUAUAGCAAAAGUCGUUUGCUGCAUAAACUAAAUGCAAUAGAGUGGUGGAAAUAUUACAGGAGAUAAAAAGGGAAAAUAUGGAAGACCUGCUGUGCACAUGGGCCUACUAUAAACUAUUGUGGCCCCGCCCACUUGGAGGAUCCCAUCUCCUCUGUUCACGGAACAGAGGCGUGGAGGCCGUCCGAGCCUUGCGUCCGGCAAGCCCCUGCUUCCCCGAGCACAACCCCGACCUCCCAAGUGAAUAUCGCUACCCUAUAUAAGUAUACAUAAUUAUUCAAAUGUUUAUAUAAUUAAUAUUCAUUAAUUUAAUUUUCAAAACUAUUUUUAUUCUAGAUCAUAAAAACAGUUUCAUACUUUGUAAUUAAUAUAUUAAUUAUAUAAUUUUUAAAUAAUACAUGAAUAUUUUUACAAUCUACUUCAAUAUUUUCUAAAUAAGUUAUUUUAUGUCUAUGUAUAAUAUUUGUAGCACACAAAUAGUUGAACUUUGUUUUUAUUACUCUCAUUAUAUUUUACGUACUUUUUUUACAAAUUGCUAAAAAAAUAACAUGUGUAAAAUGGGCCGCACUAACUAAGGGCCAUUUAAGCCCAGCGGGCAUGUUCCUUUAUGUCACAUUUUAUCGUUUCAUCCUUACUUUAUAUACAUCAAAACAGGAAUUCCCUAAAAAAAUCAAAACGGGAAUGGUCGAGGGUCUCCUGUUCGAGUUCUUGUGAUUUCCACUAUUUUUUGUCAAUUUUACCUUUGGACUAACAUGUGGGACACAGUGGCCACAUCUAUGCAAGCCAUCAUGUUCCACCGUCGCUAAGAGCAACUCCAGCAGCGCCCGAAAAUCGGCCCAGUCGCGUCCCCAGGAGCCUGUUUUUCGCCGGUUCGGGCCGAAACUAGCACCGGCGGACUCAGACCGAACCCGGCGCGCUGGGGGCGCUCGGGGGCGCAGGGGAAUCGUUUUUGGCGGGAACGAACAGCGGGCCUGCCAAGUCAGCGACCCCCGCCCCCCGCCUCGUCGUCCUCACAACGCCUCGGUUUCCCGUGGGGAAUCAAUGCCAAGGCUGCCGCCGGUCAGCCUUUCAUUGAUUCCUCACAGGCGGCGCGAUGCGGCGACGCGCCCCCUCCCGCCACGCGUACACACAACGCCGCCCCUCCCAGGCCGCUAUAUAAAGCAACACCUCCCUCGCCGGUGGACGCACCCGCCCGCAGCCCCCUCUCUCCCCGUGCACAACCAUCGCCGGCGAACUCUUUCCUCUCUCUCCCCAUUCACAGACGCCGCCGACGAUGGGCGAGAGGUUCCCAGGCGAUGGGGCGGCAGCCAAUGGCUUCAGCCACCGCUCGCUGCACGAGUGGGAAGCCCACCUCCUGUAUGAAGCCAACAUCCCGGCGCCUCCCGACAUGCGCGCGCCGGGGCGGUGGAGGCUCAGCGUCGGGGGCGUCCCCGUCCCCCCCGUUGCCCGACGUGACGCGCCCCGAAUACUUCAACGACGAGGUUGAGCGCGUGUGGGCGUCGCUAACGGAGGAGCAGCAGGCCCUCCCGGAGUACGCCGCCGGCAACCACAAGGCGGGGGCGACGUACUUCGAACGCCGGCAGGCGGAGCGGCUGUCCUCCACCAACAACGCACCAGUGGUGCGGGGGACCAAGAACAGCGACGGCCGCCACCUGUGGAGGGGCGCCCCCGGUCGCACACUCCAGCCGUCGUCCAGCACCUCAAGGGCGGCAAUGAGCCGCCGUUGACGCACCCUGCCGCCCCUCCCCCUCCCCCGCCGGAGCGGCGACCAAUGGAUGUCGAGGAGGACUGGCUCCUCUUCCUCCUCCUCCUCGCCUUCCUCUUCCCACUCCUCUGGGUCGCCGGCGCUCUUCAGCGUCAAGGCCGAGCCUGCAGAGACGCCGACAUCGUCAUCAAUGAGGGCGGGCGCGCCUUUACCUCGGCUCCUCCCCGCCUCGUCAAGCCGGAGACGGAGCCGGGGCUCACCGCCGUGAAGACGGAGCCAGGGCUCAUCGGCGUGAAGACGGAGCCGGGGCUCGACGACGCGGCGGCCAUGAAGUGGGCGUGGCAGGACUGGGCACGGCUGCAGUUGGAGCGCCAGUGCCACGCCCAAGAGGAGAUCGCCGCUCGGCACCAUGGCCGCGACGAGGGAGCCGUCGUCGUUCUCGACGACAGCGACGACGACGUGCCGCCACCGGUCCGCCAGGGCGACCCCGGGCAGGGUCCAGCAGGGGCAGCCGCGUGAAGCAGGAGAAGGACGACGAUGGCGGCGGCGACGACGGCGACUACGCCAAGCUUAGCGAGUUCUUCGGCCUGUAGUCGCAGCCUUUGUUUUUUUAGUACAUUUCAAGUUUGCUAUGUAAAAACUGUUUAAGUCGCCGAAUUUUAUGUCCUGUUUUGCCGAAUCUUUGUCCCAUUUGCCGACUUUUAGCCCAAGUUCUUUUCAAAAAAGUUUAAAAUUGGCGUCUGGACGCGACCCUGGGCGCGGCGGCUGGGAACCCGAUCGGCCCCAAGCAGAUUUUAGCGCCGGUUCACCUCCAGGCGGCGAUUUUUUGAGCCCCCUGGAGGGCCAACGGCUGGAGAUGCUCUAACACCAUAUCUGCACGCUUGGUUCCAAGGUUUGGAAUCGCUUAUCUGUUCGCAAUUGCAGCUACUAAAGUGAACAUCCAUGCCAAGCUUAAGCACCGAUGGUGCAAUUACCUCUAGCUCCUUAGGCCUCACUUUAAUAGUUCUUCAGUUGAACUCAAGUUUCACACUUGUUAAUUCUAAAAACCCAAGUAGUUAAUGUAGAUGGUUGAUGUUGUGGUUAGGAUGAACAGCUAAACAUCACAUGAAUUUCACAAUGAACAAGCAAUGUUAUGCAAACAAUAAUUUGGUUGCCGUUCUUACCAAGUUUGAACUUGUACUGAUUGGAGUCGCACAUAUGAUGGUGCACAAUUUUUUUUUUCAUUUCUACAUUGAUCGUCCAAUUGUGUAAACAAUCAAGGUCCACCGAUCUAGUAGUACAACUCUUGUCAUUUCAUUGUCCACCCAUGCAAGCGGUCAUGCUACCAAAUGGUGUAGCAACCAGACAGCACAUACACGUUGCAUAACAUAGGCAGAGUCUGAAUCACAAGUGACCUAACGAACUUAAACUGGGCUAGUUGCUGAGGUAGGAUAAAGCCCUGGCCCAAUUGCUGUUGAGGUUGCAUGGGCAUUCCCAGGCCCAACUGUUGUGGUUGCACGACGAUGGCAUGCACAAUGCUUUGGAUGGCCGGGCAUCGGGACUGCUCACUGACAUGUGCAAGUUGGCGACAACAUUCUUGUCGCUUCAACUGGCAGCUAUUCUGUUGCGAGGUCUUUGGUCGGAGGAACGGGGUCACCGAAUAGAGUAACGACGCCUUCUCCUCCGGGUUGCACUGCCUCAAGAGGAACUCCUUGCACAAGUUCCAUUGUUGUUUUUCCUCUACAAAAGGUUGUUUCUGAGCCAAUGGUUGCUCUUGCGGGUAUGGUUGUUGUGUUAAUGGUUGUUGAUAUUGGUAAAAUGGUUGUUGUUGCAGGAAUGUGGUUGUUGUUGAGGUUGCGGGAAUGUUUGUUGUUGCUGUGGAACUUGCAUCUGUCGUGGAAAUUGUUAUUGUGGCGGUUGCUGCGGAAAUAGAUGUUGUUNNNNNNNNNNNNNNNNNNNNNNNNNNNNNNNNNNNNNNNNNNNNNNNNNNNNNNNNNNNNNNNNNNNNNNNNNNNNNNNNNNNNNNNNNNNNNNNNNNNNNNNNNNNNNNNNNNNNNNNNNNNNNNNNNNNNNNNNNNNNNNNNNNNNNNNNNNNNNNNNNNNNNNNNNNNNNNNNNNNNNNNNNNNNNNNNNNNNNNNNNNNNNNNNNNNNNNNNNNNNNNNNNNNNNNNNNNNNNNNNNNNNNNNNNNNNNNNNNNNNNNNNNNNNNNNNNNNNNNNNNNNNNNNNNNNNNNNNNNNNNNNNNNNNNNNNNNNNNNNNNNNNNNNNNNNNNNNUGGCUCUUGCGGCGGGAAUGGUUGUAGCCGGGGAAGUGGUUGCUGUUGCGGAAAUGAUUGUUGUGGCCUUUCUAAGUCAUGGGCAUUAGGGACAAGCUGCGCAGUGGUGGUGGUGAUGAUCGUUGUGGCAACCAGAAGGGCAAAGAGCAAGAAGAUCUUCAUGGUGGAUUUGUGGUUACUCUUGAUUGUUUAGUUUGCAUGUUUGUGCUCUAAAUAUGUGAAGGAUGGAUGAUGGAAGGGGGUCUUCAUGGUGUAUGGCUAUUUAUAGCUGACAUGAAAUGAUUUCUUUUUGUCUUUACAUUUGCUUUCUUCUAAAGUUCUACUACUCUUAUGAAACUAAUCCUUUGGUAUGUUUUGUUUGGUGGCGCUACUUACAAGUGUAAUUUUGGAUUCAUCGGCAAAGUUGCUUUGGUAUGUACCUUCUGUUUGUAUGGCCAGCGGUUCAACGACAUCCCACAACUUUGUCUUGGAGACCAAAGCGCAGGGCAAGUUUCCCGCAGUUAUCAAAUACCGCGUUCCCAUGAAGGCUGCAGUCAAGGCUUGUUCCAUUUUACGCGAUUCAUGCGUUGAAUGCUUUAUGUCUUACUAGAAAACUGAGCUGGCAUGUUCAGAAAAUCAGUCACACUGUACCAAACAUCAAUCAGGAUUCGGAUUGUUAUAAAUGUUAGUAGAACAUGUGACUGGUGAUUUGUAGUCAGCAUUCGAUGAGCUUUACUCGUUGUUUGGUUACGCACACUCAGAUGUGAUUCACUAAUCCAUGGAUCUGUAGUGAGUAACUGAAUAUUUUCAGCUAAAUCUCAUUAUGUGCUGUGCUAUUUUAUAAUAUUAUGUUCCCUGAACUUAAUAGCUUCUUUUCCUUUUCUAAAGGAGGCAUGUUCUACGCCCGUCCUUUCCGUUUGAUAUUCUCGCUGAGAAACCUCCGCAGCAGAAGUUUGAAUUGGUUAGUUUAGUUAUCAUAUCACUGCAUUCAGUUCAAGGCGAAACCUUUCAUGAUUCUAAUGUUUGGAUAUGCUAUAUCUUUGGUGCUGACACUUCACACGUGGGUAUCCACCUUAAUUUGGCACAUGGAACUUUUCAGGCUAAGGUAGUUUCACUAUACUCUGUUUUUGGACCAACUUAUCUAGUAUUACAUCCAAAUAGGAAGCCUGAGUCAACCAUCAUUUAGCGACUGAUGGAUCAACCGUUCAUCUGCAGAGCAUUGUUGCGAAGUAUGGGCCACUGGCAUCUGUUGUUUCCUUUGUUGGCGUGUUUAUCUACCUGGUCGCAAGCCCAUUGAAAUCUGGUGCUGCAAAAAGCAGGCAAGAAGAGGCGCUGAAACUGUCUAGUUAUACUCAAUGUACCCUAAUGGCCAAUGUAGCCAGGAUCGUACCAGCGAUGCAAUUUUGGCUCUUGUACUUAACCAUCUCAGACAGGGUCUUACCUGGCUAAUUUAGACAGAGUUAUGUUUUGUAAAACAUAGAUUUCUUUUAAUGGAUAGUUGCAGAAUAUCCUUUCAGUAGUGAACAGUUGCACAAGAUAUGUGACUUGCCGGGGAUAUUUUCUGUCCAAUUAAGUUUUUUUUUGAAACUUCGGCCUCUUUAUUAGAUCAAACAACCGUUACAUCAUCCACCAGCCACCUUACAAUAGAUGCCGGUGGUUCCUCAACCCACAACCCGGGUGGAUUAAAAACCGCCAGCCUAGCUAGCUCAUGAGAGACACAGUUUGCCUCCCUAGGGCAGUGAAUGAAAGACACCGAAGUAUAACCUACUGAUAAAACGUUGCAGUCUGCGUAAAUUGCCGCCGCUCCUGUUGCAGUGAAGCCACCCGAGUUCAUUGUACUGAUCACCUCCACACAAUCCGCCUCCACCACCAGCUUGUUUACUCCCAUCUGUUGCGCUAGGAGGAGGCCAUGCCUCAAUGCAUAUGCUUCUGCUGAUGCUGCAUCCGACACAUGCUCCAGUUUGUCGUUGGAGGCUGCUAAGAACCCCCCUUUGUAAUACCUGAGCACUGCCCCAACUGCUCCAUUCAGAUUCUGUGCAUAAAAUGAUGCAUCAACGUUGAGCUUCACGAAUCCCUCCCUUGGCUUGGUCCAUCCUCCCUUCUUCACGCCCAUCUCCUUCUUUCUUGCGUUCGUGUAGUUGGUCGCUAGGGCAGAAAUCGACAGCGCCGAUCGGGCUGGCGUUUGUACUUCCUCUCCAUGGACCUUUUGCCUUCUCUCCCACCACACAUACCACACUCCCACAAGGAUUAGGGUCUGCGCACUGACAUCCGGAAGUAGACUUCCUCUCCGCGGUGCACAUAAGAUAUAGUCCAGCACCGAUGAACCAGCUCUAUCCACCUCGCUUGCCUCCUCUAUAAAGCCAUCCAAUUUCAGGCAUCUCCAUAUCUCAGCCGCUCUUGGACCCGUAAACAACACAUGCUUUAUAUCCUCGCAUCCUCCUGCACACAUUGGGCAAUUCGUGGGCAUAGCUAUAUGAUGAUUCGCGAGGACUCCAAAACAUGGCAAAAACCCAUGCAGCACUUUCCACGCAUGUAUCUUGACUUUACCCGGCAGUGAAGAUCCCCACAAUUUUGCCGAGACUGGAUAUUGUUGUGAUGGUUGGCCUUCCGUUUGCUCGAACCAGCGUCCGAACUAAUGAUCCCACUCAGCGUGAUAUGCCGACCUAACCGUGAAAAUGUUAUUCUUUGUGAACCUCCACGCUACAAAAUCAUCCAUCAUCCCGGACGGCGCCAGCGGAAUAGCAAGGAUUCUCUCCGCAUCCACCUGCCAGAACGUAUCCAUGAUAAGCUCGUGAUCCCACACUCCUGUCGUCGGGUCGAUCAGGUCAGAUACCUUCGACAACAGGUUUGCUCCUCUCGGGGUGACUACACGUCCAUCCGCGCUCGCUGCUAUCCAUGGGUCAGACCAAAUAUUAACUUGUGACCCAUCUCCUAUCCUCCAAAUGGCCCCUCUUUUGAAGGUAUGAAUACCAGCGCAUAUACUCUGCCAUGUGAAUGAACAUCCAGGCUUCAUCUUCGCAUCCAGAAGUUUCCCGUCCGGGUAGUAUCUCGAUCUUAGGACCUGCGCACACAAUGAGUCCGGAUUUUCACAAUCUCCAUACUUGCUUGGCCAGCAAAGCAAGAUUGAAGCUAUGCAGAUCUCUAAAUCCCAUCCCUCCUUUGUUCUUCGGAAUACAAAGUUUCCACCAAGCCGCCCAAUGUAUCCUCUUAUGGUUAUCGUCGUCACCCCACCAGGAUCUUGAUAUGGCAUCCGUCAUCCCUUUGCAGACUUUUUUCGGGAUAUUAAACACCGACAUCGCGAAUACUGGCAUGGCUUGAGCAACAGCCUUGAUGAGCACAUCUUUCCCUCCUAUAGAUAGCAUCUUCUCUUUCCAUCCGCUCAACACCUGAUUGAUCCGGUCGAUGAGGUAUUCAAAAGCUUCGCUCCUGUCCGCCCCCACCAUAGCCGGUAGACCCAGGUAUUUAUCAUUCAUAGCUUCCAUGAAUAUACGCAGAUUCUGACAUAUUACUACUUUUUCUUCCACUGCCAAAUUCGGGCUAAAAUAUAUGCUGGACUUGGCAUCACUUACCAACUGCCCCGAGCUCUCACAGUAAGCGUCCAAAAUAUCCCGUAGACAUUCAGCAUUAGCCCCAUCGGCACUAAUCAUAAUUAGGGAGUCGUCCGCAAAGAGUAAAUGUGAAAUUUGUGGUGCAUCUCUACAGACUGUCACACCUACUAGAUUCCCAUUGUUCUCUUCCCUUUGUAGCAAACUUGACAAGGCCUCAGCACACAACAAAAAUAGGUAAGGAGACAAGGGGUCUCCCUGCCUUAGCCCUCUGGUCGGGUGGAACACGUUCGUGGUUGUCCCGUUGAAGCAAACAUUGUAUGAAACUGAUGACACACAAGCCAUUAUCAAUGAGACCCAUCUGUUAUCAAAACCCAACCUCUCCAUCAUUCUUUUCAGGAAGCACCAUUCCACCGUGUCGUAUGCCUUAUGCAUAUCUAAUUUAAGUUUGUUUUUGUGGAGAAAUUUUUGUUGAACACAUUUUCAGAAAGGAAGAUGGUGGAGGAUAAAGAUAGAAGCAGCUGAUCUUUACCAAUGUAAAUAUUCAAUAAAUUCUAACAUAUACUAUUUGUUUAGAAUCACAUACAAGAUCCAGAUCAGUCAAGAUGGUCACACAGCUCGUUCUCAUUGACAUCCAAGAGUUGAAUUGCAAUUAGUCUCCACAACUUAGUUUAGUAGUACAAUAUUUAUAAAAGAAGGUUGCUACAGACUUAUCUGUUGAGUAUAUGUGUUAUGUGCAUAUUGUGUAUUGCGUCCGCCUCCUAGUUCCUUGUAUAGUUGAGGUCCGUGGCCCACCUUUGUACAUUAUAUAUACGUGCCUAUGCACGAAGAGCAAUAUAUCGUGCAAUUCACAUAUUCUACAUUACCUAUAUGUACUACAUUUCGGGGAGGGCGUUUUGGCUUCCGGGUGCUUUGCACCUGCAUGAACAGUAAAUUCUUAAAAAUAGUAUAAUUUUUAAAAAAGCCUGAUAUUUUUAGAUGUUCGUGUUUAGUGUCGCAAACAUGCUUGACAAUUUCAUGCAAAAUGGAGCAGCAGGGUUUCGUCGGUGAAAGAAAACAAAUUGAGGUGUAAUAUUUGGUGUUCAAUUUGUGUGUUUUUUUUUGCGCAUGACAAAAUGCUUAACCUUUUGACCUAAAAACUUUCAGGUAGCAUUUGGAUGUGACUAUGAACACAUCAAAUUUUUGUUGCGAUUUCUUUUAACAUUUUAAAUCAUUUUUCACAUGUAGGAGCACAUGCACCUGGGAGCCGAAUUGGAUUUCCGCUACAUUCCUUCCUAUUGCGUGCACUAAAAUCAACUGGUUAUACAGGCUGACUAAUGUAGAGUAAUUUCAACUAGUACAAUCAGCAACAGGGAAAUUAGAUGAGGAAGAUGUGCAAAAGAAAAAUGAUGGAUUGUAGUUUCUAUUGGAGAAUACUGCGAGACACUAGUUUUUUUCUUUUUGAACAUGGGUUAACCUCUGGCCUCUGCAUCAUUGCGAUGCACACACUCAUAUUUAUUAAUUGUAUCAUAACGAUGCACACAAUCAUAUUUAUUAAUUAUUCAGAAGAGUAUGAAACGAACACACCCAUGGCCGAACCAUUACAAGAUAUGAAAUAAAUGCCUAGCUACGACUAAGUCGACAGCUACAACUAAGUCGACAUCUUCCAUAGCAGCGCCUUCAAGAAGGGAUAAAGGUCCUCGCGCUAUCGUCUUCAUGUCCAACCGGAGAGGACCCAAACAAUAAUUUUCAUCAUGGUCGCCAAGAUCAGCCGAUGAGGACCAGUACAUUAGCAAGUAGACAAAGCCUUCAACAAGGUAAUGCCUCAAGUUUGUCGCUACCGUGACCGACCACCGACCAAUAAAGGUCACGACAGGAGUUUUCACCCCGGUCAUACAACGGUGUUUUAGUCAGCAUUCUGAAAACGGAUCAUUCCAUAGCCUCCUUCGCCAAGACUCCAUGCUAGGGACUCCUUGCCACUUUAGACCAUUGUCAAUUUGUCAUGACCACCGACAAGACACCCAUGUCUCGGCACGGAAAUGUAUGCUGCCACUCCACACCGAUACACAGGUCACACUCUAGCAUCCACCAUAACACUGAAGUCGAUGCUCCGGAGCUAGAAGUCGAAGGAGAACCACCAGUGCAACCCUUGCUCAUCGGCACUAGAGUCCACCAAGUGCCGCAGGCGACCAUCGCCGAUGUGCAUGCAUAUAUACUGAUGCGCCGCGCCUGGAUAUGCACUGUUGCAGCGCUUGAUCUCAUUAUCACGGUCAUCGAGGACCUCCACCGCAAUGACUACCUACGCAUCCAUUGCUGGCACCACCAGCUCCGCCUUUGUCGCACACCAAGACGCUGACAUUGAAGCAACAUUGUCUAGAUCUUCACUAUCCCCGGGCGCCCCCGAUACGGCGAUCAUAGAUGUAUGUGCAUUAUUCCCCAGUUACUGCACCCGAGUCCAACCCAUCCUUCACCACAGGUGCACUGCCGUCAUCAAAGAUCUGACUCAAAAGCCGCAUCUAACAUGGUGGCAUCAUUGUUUCUCGAUGUGACCUCCACAGCAAUGCAUGAUAAAGUGUCGAGAGGCGUGGCGUUGGGAUCUUCAUGGCUGCGUACUCACGCUUUGACACACCGGCGGUGACAUCCUUCAUCAAGGAAUGCCACACUCGUUCACGGUGUUGUAGUGCAGGCAGCCAGCACGCUGGCACAAUUAGGAGACAACGUAUGGCACGAUCCCCUCUCCCGGCGGCACUCACCACUACAGUUACCGACGGCCAUGCCGAUGGCUACAUGGGUGAGUAUGGGGUUGGGGAGGAGGAGGUGCCCUGGCUAGCGCAGCAGCUAGUACCCAGACAUGGACGAGGGACGUGGGAUGGCUCACCCUCGUGCCCAGACAUGGACACACACGAUGAUGCCGUGGCCAUGACCAUGCCCUCCCCCACAAAUCCGCGAUCGAGCCAUUGUGAGUCUCAUGACACCCUCCAAGCAGCACUGCCACCCCCGGAUGUCCCUCUCCACCCCAUCGCUGAGUGUCAUGACCCGGUCGUUGGAAUGAUCGAGGUUGCACAAAUGAGCUCAGCAUUUGGAUAGAUUUGGGAUAUUUUGGGAGAAUUGGGGUGAGGAAUCAGUGAAAGGAGGUGAGGACCAGAAGAAUAGGAGAUAGGGUUCCGAACAUUGAUUCAUUGACAUGCCUCUCAAAGCAAAUGGUCCUGGCCUUUAAAGCCGUAUGCACACACACUGCCCUCUGGGCUCCAUUCCUAUAUGUAGAGAAUGAUUUGGUGCAUCCAUAUCUCAUUGAUCGUGCACUAGGCACAUAAUAUAGGUACAAGGGAUGCGACCGGUAUCUUGUCUCCUAAGAUACACAUACAUACAGAGGGAGACAGACAUUACAGGUACAACAUACAAAACCCAGACCUACAUAUAUGUACACAUGUUCAACACCCCCCGCGGUCGAAGCGUCGCCGGUGACGCAGAGACUGGAUCGAAAGCCCUCAAACGUCGAGGUGGGUAGUCCCUUGGUCAUAACAUCGGCGAACUUCUGAUCGGUGAGCACAUGCAGAACUCGAACAUGACCAAGUGCGACGUGCUCCCCGAUGAAGUGAAUGCCGAGCUCAAUAUGCUUCGUCCGUCGGUGGUGAAUAGGGUUGGCAGCGAGGUACACUGUGGAAACGUUGUUGCAGUAGACAAGCGUGGCCUUGGUAACCUCACAUAGCAACUCCUGAAGUAGCUGUCGUAGCCAAGAGCACUCCGCUACGGCGUUGGCCACAGCCAUGUACUCGGCAUUGGCGCUCGAUCGUGAAACCGUGGGUUGUUGUUUAGACGACCACGAAAUCAGAGAGGGCCCGAGGUAGACACAAUAGCCGGAAGUGGAGCGCCGAGUGUCGGGACACCCAGCCAGUCGGCGUUGGAGUAGGCGACGAGGCUGGUGUCGGGUGAUGUCGUCAGGGUGAGACCCAUAGCUGUGGUGCCACGUAUGUACCGGAGAAUACGUUUCACCAGAGCCCAGUGAGUAUGAUGAGGAGCAUGCAUGUAGAGGCACACCUGCUGGACAGCAUACUGAAUAUCCGGACGUGUCAGCGUGAGGUACUGAAGAGCACCGACGAUGGAGCGGUAGAAGGGAGCGUCAGACGCCGGAGAACCCUCGACGGCGGACACCUUAGCCUUCGUAUCGACAGGCGUGGGAGCAGGCUUGCGGUUAAGCAUGCCGGCUCGCUCCAGAAGCUCGUAGGCAUACUUCUGCUGAUGCAGGAAGAAGCCAGUGGCACGGCGAACAACCUCGAUGCCGAGGAAGUAGUGAAGAGCCCCCAUGUCCUUGAGGGCGAACUUGGUGCCGAGGCGAGCUGUGAUCUGCUGAAGGAGUGCAGGCGAGGACGCAGUCAGGAUGAUGUCGUCGACGUACAGGAGAAGGUACGCGGUGGUGGUGCCCUGGUGAUAAACAAACAGGGAGGCAUCGGACCGUGUGGACCGGAACCCCUACCGCUGAAGGAAGGCCGGGAUCCGCUGGUACCAGGCCUGAGGUGCCUGCUUCAACCCGUAGAGAGAACAGGAGAGCAAGCACACGUGGUCCGGAUAGUCGGUGUCGACGAAACCAGUAGGUUGCUGACAAAACACCUGCUCGUCGAGAUGGCCAUGCAAGAAAGCAUUGGACACGUCGAGCUGGUGAACUGGCCAGGCGCGAGAGACAGCAAGCUGGAGAACAGCGCGAAUCAUGCCCGGUUGGACAACCGGGGCGAAGGUGUCGGUGAAGUCCACGCCGGCGCGCUGGCGAAAACCGGGCACGACCCAACGCGCCUUGUAGCGCUCAAGAGAACCGUCGGGGUGAGUCUUGUGGCGGAAGGCCCACUUGCUAGUGAUAACAUUGGCACGGGGAGGCCGCGGGGCAAGCUGCCACGUGCGGUUGCGCUGUAGGGCGUCAAACUCCUCACGCAUGACAGCAAGCCAGUUCGGAUCCCGAAGGGCUGCGCGGGCGGAGGUGGGGAGCGGGGAAGGGGCCGACGUAGACGCGGCACACGCGUACUCAUCGGAGGUGUAGCGCGUGCUGGGACGAAACGUCCCAGUCCGAGCCCGAGUAACCACACCAGUGAGAGGUGCGGCCGCAGUAGGCGGAGCCGAGAGGGGGACCGGCGAGGAUGAGGUCGAGCCGGUCUCCGAAGACUCCGAGGGACCACCCGCGGUGGCGCCAGAGGGCGCGACGGGAGCGGCCGAGGGGGCCACGGCGUCGGGGGCGGCCAGAGGAGCCGCGGCGCUGGGGACGGCGGAAGGGGCGCCGGAGGCCGCGGUGGCGGGGGCACCCGAGGGGGCAGCCACACCCGAGGCGCCGCGGGAGGGCGCGGUCGCCGCUGGGAGCGCGGGCAGGGCCGGGCCCAGUGCUCAGCGUGGGGGCAACUCGCCAGAGGUGGUAGCAGGGGCGAAUCGCGCCGCGGGAGAGGCCGAGGGUACCUGCUAAAACGGGAACAUCAGCUCAUCAAAGUACACAUGCCGCGAAGUGAUAACGCGGUGGGACACUGGAUCAUAGCACCGGUAACCUUUGGUGUUGGGAGGAUAGCCGAGGAAGAUGCAAGGAAUCGACCGGGGAGCGAGUUUAUGAGGAGUAGUGGACGCGGUGCUAGGAUAACAGAGACACCCGAAAAUGCGAAGACCGUCAUAAGACGGAGCCGCGCCAAAGAGGAGCUGGUGAGAGGAGUAGUUCCAGCAUGGAUGACAUGGACGAAUGUUAAUAAGAAGGCUGGCGGUCGAGAGGGCGUCCGGCAAAAACCGAGGAGGCACGUUGGAGUGGAAGAGCAACGUGAGGACACAGUCAUCAAGAGUGCGGGUGACGCGCUCAGCGCGGCCAUUCUGCUGCGACGUGUAGGGGCAAGUGAGCCGAAAGAUAGUGUUGUGGGACACAAGGAGAUUACGAACGGUGACGUUGUCGAACUCUUUUCCGUUGUCAGUUUGCAAGGCAAGAAUAGGACGACCAAAUUGUGUGGUGACAUAUGAAUAAAAUGCGGUGAGUGUGGCGAGAGCGUCGGACUUGCGACGGAGAGGGAAUGUCCACACAUAAUGAGAAAAAUCAUCCAAUAUCACCAGAUAGUAUAAAUAACCCGUGUUGCUCGCAACCGGGGACAUCCAAACAUCACUAUGCAAUAAUUGAAACAGAAAAGUGGAAAUGUGUGUAGACUCGCUAAAGGGGAGAUCAACGUGCUUGCCCAGACGGCAGGCCUCACAAGAGUGGUCGUCAACCUUAUUACAUGACAAUGAAAAACUCUGAAGAAUCUAACGCAAAACUGUGGAGUUGGGGUGACCGAGGCGGGCGUGCCAAAGAUCGACAAUGGCGGCGAAGGCGGCAGGACGGGUGGUGGUGGCGCCAGAAGGAUGCACCGGAUAAAGCUUGUCCGGACUGUCACAUCGGUGGAGUACCAUCCCUAUACAGGCGUCCUUCACAGAAAAGCCAAUAUCAUCAAAUUCAACAGUUAUAGGAUUCUCACGAGCAAGGCGACGAACAGUGACAAGGUUGGUAACUAAGUCUGGAUAGACAAGAACAUUAGACAUGUUAAUGGGAGUAGAAGUGGAAGGAAACGACAUAUGACCAACAUGUGUAACGGGUAGAGAGGAACCGUUACCAACGGUGAGGCGAGUGGGAGUAUGAACGGGAGUGGAAGACGUGAGGUUACCGGGACGAGUAGUCAUGUGAGCGAUGGCGCCCGAGUCCAUGUACCAGUCACCUCCGCCACCGUAGUUACUCGGUGACGGAGCCGAGUGCAGAGCGGCGAGGAGGGCCGGGUCCCACGGCGGCGGCACCUGGGGAGGGAAAAACCCUCCAUAGGCCGGCGCGGCGUCGUAGGUGGGCGCGGGCGCGGCGCCGUAGCCGCUGUAGGGGGCGGCGUUUCGCGUCGCAAAUAGUGCCUGGUGGCUCGCCGAACGAGGCCCAAUGCUGCCCGGAGCAGGAGCCCGAAGGACCGGCAUCGAGUACACGUGUACGACGCCCGUCCACGGGUUGGUGUCGUAAGUCCAUGGAGGGGUGGCCUGCUGCUGCUGACGAGGGGCCCCCCAUGCGCCUGUUGCUGCUGCUUGCUCCUGCUGGGGGGCAGCGGGAGGGGCGGGAGGCGCGGGCGGCAAGGGGAAAAACCCCGGGGGCGCAGGGGGCGGUGGGGCAGCCGGUGGUGGGGCGCCACGCGAGGUGCCGGCGGCGAGGGCAUGGUGCUGCACGCGCUUCUUGACCCCUUCAUCUGGCGCUCCUCCAACCGCAAGUACGCCAGAAACUUGGGGAAGGAGGGCUCCAGCAUUAAGGAGAGGUUGGAGGCGGCGUUGCCGAAGUCCUCAUUGAGGCCGGAGGUGAGCCUGCUGAGGAGGAGGUCGUCAUCAACCUUGGCGCCGAUGUCACGGAGCUCAUCCGCCAACGUCUUCGGGCGGCGGCAGUAGUCAUCGAUAGACUGAUCAUCCUGAUGACAGUCAAAAAAUUCCUGCUGCAGAAAAACGCGAGGCUGAAGCUUGUUGUCGGUGAAGAGGCCGUUGAGCUUGACCCACACCGCGCAGGCGUCAUCACCAUCGCUCACGACCGUGUGAAACAGGUCCUUCGAGAUGGUGGUGAAGAACCACCGGAUGAGCAUGGCGUCGAUCGCGGUCCACUCGGAGUCGCCCACCAUAGUACGGGAGUCGACGGUGCCGUCAACGUGAUCCACAAGAUUGUUCUCGCGGAAGAGCAGCGAGAAGUAUGUCUUCCACGCGAAUUACGUGGAGUCGGUGGCAUCGAGGACGACGGGGACGCGUUCGUGAAUGUUGAUGUCACGGAUGUCAGCGGUGUCCAGCCAGGCGAAGGGGUUGGAGUAGGUGGGGGCGGUGGAUGACAUAGCGACAGCGCGGUGGGAGAGGAAGGGGCGGCGGCUAGGGUUUGGGGAGGAGGAGGUGCGGCGCGGCGCGGGGAGGGGAGGCGCGGUGCGGGGAGGGGAGGCGUGGCGCGAGAGGGAGCGGCGGCUCCAGAUGGCGGCGGCGGCCCUAGGCGGCGGCUGCAGAUGGUCAACACUAUACACCAAAUCCACACACGAACACAUUUUUUUCCAAAAAGGUCACACGACACAUGCUGGUACAAGUCAUGGACCGGGACAUGACAUUGAGAUCCUACCUCCACGCCGUCGUCAACGGACUAUGGUGGCUGGGGGGAUUAGAGGCAUGAGAUCCCUGAACUAAAUUUUCCGGAUAAGGAGGUUCCUUUUUUGACAUCACAUGGUGGGACUGGGUUGAUAUACCUAUGAAAAAAAUGAUACAUAAUCGAUGGAUUGCAGUUCCUAUCAAAGUAGAUGUGCAUGACGUGGAAUAUUUUGUUUGCCUUUAUUCCCAAGUUUGAACUUGUACUGGUUGGAGUCACGCAUAUGAUGGUGCACGGCAUUUUAUUUUAUUUCAUUGCUACAUCGAUCGUCCAAUCGAGUAAACAAUGAAGGUCCAUCUAUCUAGUAGUACAACUAUUGUGAUUUCAUUGUCCACCAUUGUAGGCAGUCAUGCUACCAAAUGGUGCAGUAAUGGUGUAGCAAUCAGACGGGACAUGCACGUUGCAUAACAUAGGAAGGGUCUGAAUCACAAGUAACCUAACCAACUGGUACUGGGCUAGUUGUUGAGGUAGGAUAGAGUGCUGGCCCAAUUGAUGUUGAGGCUGCAUGGGCAUUUCCUGGCCCAACUGUUGUGGUUGAGGCUGGCCGAAACCUCUAUCCACAUGUUGUUGUUGCAUGACGAUGGCAUGCACAAUGUUGUGGAUGGCCGGGCAUCGGGACGGUUCACUGAUAUGUGCAAGUUGUCGACAACAUUGUAGUCGCUUCAACUGGCAGCUGUUCUGUUGCGAGGUCUUUGGUCGGAGGAACGGGAUCACUGACUGGAGUAACGACAGUUUCUCCUCUGGGUUACACUGCUGCAGGAGGAACUCCUUGCACAAGUUCAAUUGUUGUUUUUCCUCUACAGAAGGUUGUUGUUGUGGCAAUGGUUGCUCUUGCGAGUAUGGUUGUUGUGUUAAUGGUUGUUGAUAUUGGGAAAAUGGUUGUUGUUGCGGGAAUUGUGGUUGUUGUUGUGGGAGUUGUUCUUGUUGUUGUUGUUGUUGCGGGAAUGUUUGUUGUUGAUGCGGAAGUGGCAUCUGUUGUGGAAAUUGUUGUUGUGGCGGCUGCUGCGGAAAUAAAUGUUGCUGGGGAAGUUGUUCUUGGGGAAGUGGUUGUUGUGGAUACGGUUGUUGUUGCUGGUAUUGUGGCUGCUGCAGCGGAAAUGGUUGUUGUGGCUCUUUUUGCGGGAAUAGUGGUUGUUGUGGCUCUUGAGGCGGGUAUGGUUGUUGCUGGAUAAGUGGUUGCUGUUGCAGAAACGAUUGUUGUGGCCUUUCUUGGUCAUGGAUGCGAGGGUCGAGCUGUGCGGUCGCGGUGGUGAUGGUCGUUGAUGCAACGAGGAGGGCAAAGACCAUGAAGAUCUUCAUGGUGAAUUUGUGGUUACUCUUGAUUGUUUAUUAUGGAUGCUUGUGCUCCAAAUUUCUGAAGGAUGGAUGAUGGAAGGGGGUCUUCAUGGCGUAUGGCUAUUUAUAGCUGCCAUGAAAUGAUUUCUUUUCGUCUUCACAUUUGCUUUCUUGUAAAGUUCCUCUACUCUUAUCAAACUGAUCCUUUGGUAUGUUUUGUUCGGUGGCGCUACUUACAAGUGUAAUUUUCAGAUUGAUCGCCAAAGUUGCUUUCUUGCAGCACACAUCCAUGGAGUGCCAGGAAAGCUUGAUAAUCGUAAUGACUCAUCAUAUUCAUUUUACAUGCGAAACACUUAUCUAUAUUACACCCCUUUCUAAAACUAAGUUUGUAAUGUUCUGCAAGUUGUUAGGCACAUCUAGGUUGGCAUAGCUUGUCGGGAACUAAGUUUAUAGUCUUGCUUGGCGUUGUUAAGAUAGAUCAUACUAUUAAUAUGAAGAUUGUUCUAGACUAUUUCUUUCUGAACUAACUUCGUAGUUUUGUGUAAUAUGAUGGUAAGAUGAACAAGCAUACAUGACUCAUCAAUUCUUUUUUUUAUGCCAAUGUUAGUAAUGUCGUAUGAGUUGUUAAUAGACACUAGAUGAUUCCCAUGCAUUUCCGCGGGAACACCAUGAACAUGAUAUUAAACCCUUUGAGGAACUUUAUACUUGGUUCGAUAGUAGAUAUAUUGUCACCAGAAAAAAAAUAUUGCACACGGUGUAUCAAAUACAAUGACGCAUGUAAUAGCAUGCAAUGUGAAUUAGAGUGCGUUGAGUAUACUGUGGAAUAGCAUAAGGCCAACUUCAACGCAAUGACUCAAACGGACACGAAUUUUUGUCCGCUUUUUGUCCGUUUGGGUCGCCAAAACGGACAAUGGACGCAGACGGAGAGCCGGACACCACCAGUGUACCCAACAUGGAAGACCCAACUGAAACGGACACGGUUGUUGAGGGCUUGGUGUCGCUCGCGCGCCCGCAUAACAGCCCGAGCCACCCAGCACCGCCGCCUUGGCUCCUACUACGACCCGCAGCAGCACCAGGCUGCCGCCUCCUGCUCUCUUCACCUCUCACCACCCUCUCACUUCUCUUCUCGAGCAGGAAGGAGCACGGCCGUCAACCAUAGGACGCCUCCACCGGCUGAAGCCGCUGCCGAUGACACCGGUCUCCUCAACCUCGCUGCCGCCAACUGUAGACGCACAGUUCAUGCAUAUAACAAACGGUAAUCAUAAUUGGCAAUCGUUUGCUGGGAGAGAGGUGGCAAACGAAACUCUUUCGAUGGCAGUUUCGGUUCCGAGACAAGAUCAAACGAUGCCUAUUUAAAACAACAAUUUGCCUUCUCAAAAAGAAAUUGUCAUGUCGCCCUGAUGUAAACUUCCAUCCCUCAAACUAAAACUGCCAGCGAAUCAUUCGCAAAUGCCACCCCCUCCUGGCGACUAUUCGCCAGAUAAGGGGGUCCAUAACAAAAGAGUUCUUCCUGCAGGCAAGUAGAAAGUACAAUGUUUCAAAUUAUGGAAAGGCAGCUUGUGUAUAAAUUUUUGAUAAAUUACAACAGGGGAUCUAGCAGACGUGUAAGGGAGUAGGAAAAACAUUGUCUGUUGAAAUUGACAUUAUUACAAGUAGCUAGUCAAUAACAAUACUGGUCAGUCAGAAGGUUUCAGCAAACCUACAACAAAAUUGAGAGGAUUCUUGAGGACAACAGACAACAAACGAAAGCCAUGAAACAAUGGUAAACCUUCAAUUCAAGAAUAUUAAUGGAAGCAUACAAAGUAUCAAGUUGAUUGAUAGACAAAUCAACUUGAGAUAUAUUUUCGCAGCAACAUUCAGUAAAAUCGCUAAUCAAUAGAUUGCUAAGCAUGAAACUGAUAUGCAAGGGAUAAAUGAGUCGCAAAAUAGAAAGGAUAACCAAAUAUUUCAUCACACAUCAGUGCGGAGGAGAGAAAAUGAGAAAUACCGAAUACGGAUCUGAAGGUGUUGUGGCCUUAGCAGCACCAUGGACACGGCAGGGGAAGCACAUACGGUUUUUGUACCAUGCAUAUAUUCAAAUAGAAUUCCAGAACAUGUGUUCAAUCAAGCAAAAUAAGAUUCAGGUCUGGAUCAAGCGAACGAAAUCCAUAAUAGGUGAAGAUAUGCAAUCCUGUAUAUUCGAUCAAUCAAGAUUAAAUUUAAAUAUUAAGCCAGCACAGAACAUUCAAAAUUAGCAAUGGAUGGGAACAAUACGUACAUAUAGGAGCCGUAAAUCCGAGGCAUAUGUAUGUAGCAAGGGGAGAAUAACCAAGAUGACGGCCUGGGCGUCCAAGUCAUCGAGCACCUGAGGGAAUCCAAUUUGUUUGUUCAACCAGCAAUAUGUCAUCGGGAAUGUCGAGGAAAGGGGAUGGAGUUGCUCACCAAAGGCAGAAGUAUGAGCGUCCUAUGGCAGAUGUCCACUCAUAAUGGAGGAUGAUGGGAACAAAAUGAACUGGAGUGUGUGGGUGCGACUCUAAAUGGUCACCUGUUAGUUUCUUGUAGAGAUCAUGGUGAGAGGAAAUAGAGCGUCAAGCAGAAGUUUUUUUGUUUGUUUUGUUUUAUGAGGUUGUUUGGUGGUCGUAGAUGGCAACAAAGAUGAUAAACAGUGUGAGGCGUUUUGAGAAUUGGGCUGCAUACGGGUCGAAGCAGUGGGUUAUGUACGUUUGCUGUGAGCAAAGCAAGAAAUACUGAAGAACAACAGGAGCACGGGACCUUCAACUGUGUUAGCUUAUAAUCUAGCAUGACAGGUCGAUCGCCGAGUAGUUCUGUAGGUUAGUUAAGCUGCAGCAGCAGCGAUGGCUUUUCUGUUUCAUCAGUCAGCGUUUUUUCUGUUUUCAGUUAGUCAGAGCCUGAGGACGCGGCAUGUGCGAUCCCAAGGCCUUAGCUCACGGCAUGAGCACGCCCAUGAUCGUGGGAUGGCACCAUCCAGUAGUGGAGGCUGUUCUUGAUCCUUUUUCCCGUUCAUGAAGUGAAUGAGAAGAGAGAAGCAGAAAAGCAGCAGAGUUGAGCGCUGCACAAAAUUCAGUCUCUUGUUUUGCUUUCGCCAUUGACAGAGCUCCAAGCUCACACAUAACAAUUAGCAUCAGGGACAACACCGGCGGCAGCAAGUCGCCAUCGACACCGCGCGCAAGAAUCUCCGACGGCACAGGGCUGACCGUGGCAGAGAGAUCCUUGCCGCGGGUGGUGCGCGACACCGGCGGUACGGCAUGCCCGCAGCUGACGAGGAUGAACUACACGCCGUCCUCAUGCAAGUCAUGAUGGAAGGGCCGCACCUGUGGGACGCCAUGCUGACGGGCACGGCGGAGCGCUGCGACGAUCGGCUCCCACCCUCGCUGACAAGGCCAGGGCGAAGGAGGCGUGGGAAUCCGUCAAGACGAUGCCCCUUGGAGUGGCACGUGUCCGCGAGGCUAAACUCGCAACUCUCUCCAAGCAGUACAACGACAUACACUUCGCCGACGAUGAGACCAUCGACGACUUCGCCAUGCGGAUCACAAACAUGGUGGCCCAGAUGUGGCAGCUCGGGGAGACCGUUCAGGAGAAACGGGUCGUCCACAAGUUUCUCUCCGUCGUCCCGAAGAGGUAUUCGCAAAUCGCCUUGUCAAUUGAGACACUUGUUCACCUGGACACGCUCUCCAUUGAGGAGCUCACCUGUACGAGCUCGACCAGGUGGAGUCAGGUGUCGGGCGUCUCAUGUUCACGGCGGAGGAGUGGCACGCGUGCAUGCAGCGCAGCGAGACCAACGGAUCCGGAGGCAGCGGCUCUGGGUCAGGGCGUGGCGGCGGACGCCGUGGGCAUGGCCGCGGACGUGGCGGUGGGCGCGGCUCCGGCAGCGGCGCAAAGCCCACAGACCAGUGCCGCCACUGCAAGAAAUACGGGCACUAGGCGCACGAGUGCAAGACGCGUAUCCGCGAGGAGCGCGCAGAGGAGAACCUUGCCGAAGAAGGCAGGCACGCCACGGACGGCCACGACGAGGACCCGACGCUCCUCAUGGCGGUGAUCGCCGUGUCCCCACCGCAGGGUGUGGGGGAGCACGUCAUGCUCAACGAGGAGCGUGCAGAGGUGAACCUAGGAGCGGAGGAGGCGCCGUGCGACGGUCGGUGGUUUCUGGACACCGGCGCGUCAGACCACAUGACCGGCGACCGGUUGGCGUUCGCGGAGCUGGACGAGAGCGUCACCAGCAGCGUCAGAUUCGGGGAGGGCUCCAGCGUGGCCAUCCACGGCCGCGGCACGGUCACGUUCACCGUGCACAGCGGUGAUCAUCGCUCCCUCACUUACGUCUACUUCAUCCCACGUCUCAAGACGAGCAUCAUCAGCCUCGGGCGGCUGGACGAGCACGGCUGCACCACCAAGAUCCACGGCGGCGUCCUGACUCUGUACGACCGCCGCCAGCACGAGCUGGCCCAGGUAUGCCGAAACGGCAGACGUCUGUAUGUUGUACGCCUGGACAUCGCGCAUCCUGUCUGUCUGGCAGCACACGGAGACGACAGGGCGUGGAAGUGGCAUGCCAUGUUCGGCCACCAGCACUUCGACGCGCUCCGGCGCUUGGGGCGCGCUGACAUAGUGCGCGGGAUGCCGCUGGUGGACCACGUCGAGCAGAUCUGCGACGCGUGCUUGGUGGGGAAGCAACGGCGUGCCCCAUUCCCCUCCCAGGUGCGCUAUCGGGCGACAGGGCCACUCCAGCUUGUUCAUGCCGACCUGUGCGGGCCCAUCACUCCGGCCACCCACGGCGGCAAGCGCUACUUCAUGCUCGUCGUCGACGACCGCAGCCGCUACAUGUGGGUCAAGAUGCUGCCUGCGAAGGAUGCCGCUGCGGCCAGCAUCAAGCACUCCAUUGCCGACGCCGAGGCAGAGCGGGGAGCGCGGCUGCGGACGUUCAGGAUGGACUGGGACGGCGAGUUCACGUCUACUGCGCUCGACGAGUACUUCCCGGACCAAGACGUGCAGCGGCACCUGACGGCGCCCUACUCGCCGCAGCAGAACGGCGUAGUGGAGCGGCGCAACCAGACCGUCGUCGGCAUGGCCCGGAGCAUGCUUAAGGCAAAGCACAUGCCGAGCUGGUUCUGGGGGGAGGCCGUGGCGACCGCGGUGUUCAUCCUCAAAGAUCGUAAACCUGCAGCGUCGACGGCAAGACUCCAUACGAGGUGUGGUACGGCAAGAAGCCCGCCGUGCACUACUUGCGUGUCUUCAGGUGCAUCGCCUACGUCAAGAACAUGUGGCCCGGGCUGAAAAACCUCGACGACCGCAGCACGAAGAUGGUCUUCGUCGGCUAUGAUGCGGGCUCGAAGGCGUACAUGGUGUACGAUCCACUGACCAAGCGCGUGUACGCGUCGCGCGACGUGGUGUUUGAUGAGGGCGCGAGCUAGGAUUGGGCGGCCCGGCGUGCCCACGGUAGAGCCGCUCGUCGUCCGCCACGAGCUCCCGCUCACCACUCAGGUACAGGAGGUGCCCGCCACGCCGGACGACGCGAGUGGGGAGCGAGAAGGGGACGACCACACCACAGUGAGUUCACCAGCCACGCCCAAAAGCACGAUCGUGGCCACAUCUCCCGCCACGCCCGAGAGCGCGGACGUGGCCAGAUCUCCAGCGACACUACGAUCCGGCACGUCAACGGCCUCUCCGGACGGGUCUGGCGGCGGGACGCCUCCUGACGAGGCUCCAGAAGUGGAGUUUGUCACACCGCCUGCAACGCGGUGCGACUCGUACGACGCCGACAACGAUCCAUUCGCGGGGCACCGUUUCCGCCGUCUCGCGUAUGUGUACAGCGGGGCGGCCAAGUCAUCUGCGCCGGCGGAGCGCCUGCUGCUGGCCGAAGAGGAACCAACUACAUUUGUAGAAGCAGCGCCCCACGAGAGCUGGCGAAGCGCGAUGCUGGAGGAGCUCGCGUCCAUUGAGGAGAACGGCUGGACGCUCACUGAUCUACCCGCAGGUCACACAGCCAUUCGCCUCAAGUGGGUCUUCAAGCUGAAGAAAGAUGCGGCCGGUGUCGUCAUGAAGCACAAGGCGAGGCUCAUGGCGAGGGGCUUCGUACAGAAGAAGGACGUGGACUACGACGACGCGUUCGCGCCCGUGGUGAGGCUGGACCCAGUGCGCGUCAUGGUUGGCAUGGCGGUGCAGCGCGGUUGGGAGCUGCACCACCUCGACGUCAAAUCGGCCUUGAUCAACGGCGAGCUCAAGGAGGAGGUCUACGUCACACAGCCACUGGCUUCGCGCGGAGAGGCGAGGAGCACAAGGUGUUCCGACUCCACAAGGCGUUCUAUGGGCUGUGGCAGGCGCCGCGAGCUUGGAAAGCCAAGCUUGAUUGCACUAUGCAGCAGCUUGGGUUCGCGAGCUGCCCGUCAGAGAAUGCCAUGUUGGCACGAUUUUGGAUAUGCUGUCGGCGGUCGUCGAGGAGAUCACCCGGUAGGGCACGACCGAACAUACAGAUAGACGCAGAGAAGACCGGACAGGGCAACCCAACAGCCAAACUGAAUGAAAGGCCAACCACACAGCGAUGACAAAUUGUUAGGAAUAAACCGUAUGUGCGUGUGUGUCCCAGAUGGCGCGUGAGUCUGUGCUCGCGUUCGUUUCCACGGUGCAGUUCUAGUUUGGGUUGAGUCCGAGUCAGGCCGGUUUGUUGCCAGGCACAUGUGAUCGUGAGGCGAACGCGUUCGUGUGGAGCGGAAGCAUAGGCGCUGCGUUUCUGUUAGCUAAAAAGCUGGCUGAUCUCGUAUUUGUUACGAGAUGUGUGGUGCGUCCAGGUUGUUGGCGUUUUUGUAGCACCGGUGACGUGCGUCUGCCUAUAUAGGUCUAUGUAGCUCGUGAUUUGUUUACAGUUUGAGCUGGAGAAAAACGCUGUUUGUCAGCGAGGCGUUCGUCGCCGCAAAACACCUGUGCGUUUACGUCUUCUUCUACCUCUAUCCCUGAAAACCAGUUCGUGCUAUCUAGGGUUAGACCCCAACACAAAUCACCUCAACCAUGAGAAGGCCAAGCAACACAGAGGUGGGAAACGCUCCUUCACGUUCGCUCGUUGGAGCGGUCGAUUCGAUCCAAAGCAUGUUGUGGUGAAAAGGACGGACCAACAUGACAUACAUCAGGCGAUCACUCACAUGGGUCGUACCUGAACCAUGCGUGAUUAGAAUGCGAUGUACACACUAGUAAAAAAAGGGCCAUUUGUCCUGGUGCAUAAGGCCCAUUUGUCCCAACAAACCGGGACUAUAGGGUCGUUACUAAUGCCUAGUCCAAUAGGCAUCCACGUGGCCGGUGCUGCGAGCUCGGGCAGGAGGCCCUUUAGUUCCGGUUGAUGGCACCAACCGGGACCAAUAGGCAUCCACGCGUCAGCUCUUCAGCGGCUAGGGUUUUUGUUUUUUUUUUCUGAAAGGGGGUGGAUUUGGGGGUUUUAUAUGGUUAAUUAAGGUGUUUCAUAUAUUGUGUUAGGUAGCUAAUUAAUUAAUAGAGAGAAGUGUCCUCUCUUAUCUCCGUGCUUGGUCGACGCUACGUACUAUACGUAUAGAGAUGGCCACAUUGGUGGGGGCGGCGCGGCCCCCCACGACGACUCCCACUACCGCCGUCCGCGCCCCUCCCGCCACGAGGAUCCGGAGGACGACGACGAGCGCUCUGGCCGCAGCCGCUCCCCCUCACGGGACCCCUCUCCACCUCCGGGGCGUGGGGGCGCGGGUGCGGGCCGGUCGCGUGGGUUGACCUUCUCCGCCGAGGCCGCCCCCGCCACGCUUCCUGUCUCCUCUCCCUCCUCUUCGGCCGAGCUCAGCGACAUCUCCAGUGUCAGCCUCCUCGUCCUCCCGGCAUCUUCGCCGCGCUCGCCGUGCAUCCUUCCCGUGGUGGCCACGGCACCCUCGUCUCCGACCUCGGCUUCUUUGCUGCCUCCGGCCUCGCCGACGUCGGUGCCUCCCCCCCUNNNNNNNNNNNNNNNNNNNNNNNNNNNNNNNNNNNNNNNNNNNNNNNNNNNNNNNNNNNNNNNNNNNNNNNNNNNNNNNNNNNNNNNNNNNNNNNNNNNNNNNNNNNNNNNNNNNNNNNNNNNNNNNNNNNNNNNNNNNNNNNNNNNNNNNNNNNNNNNNNNNNNNNNNNNNNNNNNNNNNNNNNNNNNNNNNNNNNNNNNNNNNNNNNNNNNNNNNNNNNNNNNNNNNNNNNNNNNNNNNNNNNNNNNNNNNNNNNNNNNNNNNNNNNNNNNNNNNNNNNNNNNNNNNNNNNNNNNNNNNNNNNNNNNNNNNNNNNNNNNNNNNNNNNNNNNNNCUCGAGCCUCCCCCCCGGCUCCCUCCCCGGCCCCGGUGACGACGCGCCGGCCCCGGAUCCGCCGGCCCCGGACCCGCCCUCUCCUCAGGCGGUGUCUGGUGCCCGUAUGAUCCCUCCGGCGCCUGCUUCCCCGACUCGUCUGCUGCUGGUGGCCUCCGAGGAGGUGGUCACCCCCGUCGCCUCCCACCCGCCUCGGUCGGUGCCCUACGUCCUUCGGGCUCGGGCCUCGUCGACCCCGGUGAUGGCUUCCCGCCGCAGCGCCCGGCUCGACGCGGAUCGCCCGGCCGGCCUCCCGGCGCCGUUCAUCUCCGAGCGGGCUGAGAUCCGGGCUGCGGCCCGGAACCUCGAGUCAGCUUUGGCGGCCGCUUAGCCGCCCCCAGGACCGAGGCGUCAUCACCGCCCUCCUCUCCGAUCUUCGCUCGAUGGCGCUCCGCGUGGCUCCCCUGCUGCCGCCUCCUCCACCUGAGCCUGACUAGACCGUCUGGCGGUUAUGUGGUUUGUGGCGUGUGUGUUUUGGGUUUAGGGCUUGUUGUGCUGUCCCCUCAGCAUUGACCCUUUCGUGUACUAUUUGUCCCUGGGGACCUCCGUAUGUGUGUGCGUGUGUGUGUGUGUUGGACCUUGUUGGAUGCUUGUUGUGCGGUUGGCUUUAUAAUAUAAAGUGGGGCGAAAGCCUUUUUCGGUACGUAUAGAGAGGCCCUCGACAUGCUAGCUAGUAAGAAAAUGAAGGAAACCAUUAAGUACAGAAGUUCGUCAUGCAUACCGAGAGAAGUGAUCGACCUCUCCUUCUCCGAGAGAUUGGUCGAACAACAAGUUUUCGUAUUAUUUAUCCGACGCUACUGGCUACAUACAUAUACAAUAUGUAAGAUCUCUUACAAUCCCCUAUCAUUUGAACUCAAGUUUUACAUGGUAUUCUCCGGCUUUAUUGAUGACGUGGUCAAGAAAGAAUCCCGCCAAUUCCUCUUGAAUUGCUUUCAUGCGAUCUUGUGGUAGGAGUUCAUUCCGCAUCUGCCACAACUAAUUUGAAGAAGGGGGUCAAUACAUAUAUAUGAAUGAAACUCAACAGAAAUGAUGGUGUAAUAAAAUGAAAUUGUGAAUAUUAUUGCUUACGCACCUCAUAUUGUAUUUUAGAGUAGCCCCGCUUAUCUUUGCGAGUCGCGUUGUAGAUGAACUCGCACACGUAGUAUCCACAGUAAUCAUUCCCUUGUUCCUGCCACAAGCACUUUACGAGAAAUAGAGGUCAAUCAAACUGAUAAUGAAGCAUUAUAAAUAGCAUUGAUGAAAGUAGCUAGAAUCAACGGGAGAUGCGCGGAACUAGCUAGCUAGUAGUACUUACUUUCGGGUAUUUAUAUCGCAGCUCCUUCGGCAGACCCGAAACUUCUGCGGUGAACUCUUUCCAAACCCUGCAAGACAAAGAAAAUAAUUACUACUUGAGAUAUCAGGAAAUGAACAAAAAGUUGCCGAUAUGGUGCGAUAAUGAUCGAUUGAACUUACUUGUUGAGAAUUUUAGUCAUGUCCGCAUAGGUCUCGGGAUCUUUCCUUCUCGAGUCUAAGACGUUUACUAGUCCCUGCUCAAGCUUAAUUUCCAGGAGAAUAUAGUGGAAGCUGCGCACGCAUGCAUAACUCAUCAAUUACAUUACUAUAACCUCGCUCGAGUAAUAAGGGAAACCGAAUAUGCACACGACAGUAACACUCACUUGAAGUUGUAAGGAAAGAGUAUUAAAUCUUUGUUUUGAUUUAUUAGCAAUGAUUUGAGCAAGUUGGCAUCGGCAUCUUUGGCGCUCUUUUUAACCUGAAAUUCAUCUAUGAGAUUUGUGUUAAUGAACCCAAUAUCAUACAUUUCUGCUUUUCUGCACUCGACGAUCUUCAAAAUCCAUAAUAUAGUGAGGAUAAUUAUAAAUACAUGCAAUGAAAGAGCUGAGCUAUAUAUAAAGACUUAAUGACAGAAGUAGUACUUACAGACAGUAGCAAGUGACCGUUAAUUUAUCGAGGGCCUUUUGAUUGAAGAACUGGAAGAACUCCUCAAAUGGAACAGCCAACACAUCAAUUCCAACGAGGUCGUGCUCCUCUUUAACUCCCAGAUACAAAACGGACGUCCCCCAGACUCUCUGCAGGUUUUCAUAUACCAAUCAUGGAAUCUUCGCAUCAUCGUUGUUAGAGAUUUUUCAUCUUUGACAAGAGGCUUCCCGUACUCGUACCUGUGUCCGUCCACCUCCAAGAAAUCAUAAUGUACAUCGUUGGGCAGGUAAUCUCCAAGAUUGUUAUAACCGGGCACCAUCCUCAGAUCAUUAGCGAUGAUGUCGCUAGACACAUUGAGCGGGGGGUACGAUUGGUUCGCUUGUUCGCCGAGCUGGGCAAUUUUUUUCCCAGCUGCUCGUUCUUUUAACCUUUGAUCACUGACAGUACUUCCCGACCGCUCCUCUUCGAGAUAUACCUUUUCAGUAACGCGCUCAUAGUUGGUUUUCGGCGGAGACUUUGGUGGUUUCCUCAGGGCAUCGAUAUUGCGCUUUGCUUUCACCGGAUCUACCUUCUCCUCCGGAGGUGGAUGUCUCUUUGCUUUCACCCCUUCAAAGAAGUCCUUCACUUCGGUCCGCACGAUCUUCGUGUUUUCCUCCUCGGUCCUCUCGUACGGUAACUUCUCCAGAGGCUUGAAAGGUGGACCGUAUCUGUAUUGCCUUCCGCCUCUGGCUGUACUGUUAGACGCCGGAGCAGACGGAGCGACUGCGGCUGUCUUCUUUCAUGCUUGCUUACGAGGCAGAGGAGAAGGACUACGACGCGCCGGAGCAGCCGGGGCGGCGGCGGGUCUCUUUCGCCCUUGCUGGCGAGGCGUAGAAGGAGGAGGCUGGUGGCUGCUCGGGCGCGCCGGCGCAGGCGGAGAAGGAGGCGGAGUGCCGCCACGCGCCGGAGAAGGAGGCUGAGUGCCCUGAUCUCUCGCCGGAGGAGGAGGCGGUGGAGGAGGCAGAGUGCCCUGACUCGCCGGAGGAGGAGGAGGAGGAGGCGUCCAGUUCGGAAGGUUGAUGAGCUCCUUCCGCCAUAGGCAUGGAGUCUUCAGACAAGAACCCAGCCGAGUCUCCCCGUCACCCGUAGGGUGGUCAAGCUGGAGGUCCUCAAAUCCUUCUGUGAUUUCAUCCACCAUCACCCAAUCAUAUCCUUCUGGAAUCGGUCGGCAGUGAAAAGUUGCGCCAGGUUCAGGAGGUGCAACAGAGCCAACAGCCGCCUUGACUUUCAAUUCCAUCCACUGCGUCAUAAGGUCGCAAUGCUGAGACUCCGUGAUAGCAUCCACGGGGUAGCUAGCAGGAGCCGUGAAGACAGGCUCCUGAAGCAGCUCCGUGGAAGCCACGUUGCUUCUCCGCUGAGAUUGCGGGGUAGCUUCGGGUGUAGCUUCGGCAGGUCGCGUGCUGCGAACUGCGUCUCUUUCCUCUAGUGCUUGUACCCUUGCGUGCAGCGCCUGUAGUUGGGUCAACUCCUUUUUCUUCUUCCUCUACCGGAGUUUGUAACCGCCUGCGUCGGGAAAUCCAGCCUUCCACGAAAGGGAGCCUAGCGUGCCUCGUGUCUGUCCGGGGUGCUCAGGAUUCCCGAGGGCCUCUGUGAGCUCAUCGUUCUCUCUGUCCGAAACGAACGUCCCUUGCUGCACUUUUUCGAUAUACUCCUGAAGCUUCUCGAUGGGUGUGUUCAGCUGCUCGUUGGUCCAAACGCAUUUCCCUGUUACAGGGUCCAAUUUUCCCCCAACCCCGAAGAACCAACUCCUGCAACGGUCUGGCCAGCGUCGCAUCUCUGGUUCGAUCCCUUUAUCAAUGAGGUCAUUCUCAGCCUUGUCCCACAACGGCCGGGCUUUCAGGUAGCCACCUGACCCCGUGCGAUGGUGAUACUACUUUUUUGGAGCAUUUAUCUUGUUUGUCGCUGACAUCUUCGCUGCUCUCUCAGAUUUCUUUUUGGUGACAAAUGCGGGCCACUGAUCUUUGAUCUUCUCAAAUCGGUCGAUGAAUUCUGGAGUCUUGUCUUGGUCGACAAACGAUGAUUUCAGCUCAUUCUUCCACCUCUUGAAUAGCUCAGCCAUCUUCCUAAGAGCAUAAGCCUCGAUCAUUGGCUUUUUAACUGGAUUCUCCGGAUCUUCCUCUGGCGGGAAGGUGAAAUUUUCCUGCAGCGCGGUCCAAAGAUCAGCUUUCUGCCUAUCGCUGACAUAAGACACCUAAGAGUCUAUGUCCUUAGGCUUCAACCAUUGCUCGAUGCUGAUCGGGAUCAUGUCCCUAACUAGAACCUCGCACUAAGCAUUAAAUUUUUGCUUGGUCUGGAGGGGUUCAAUCGGUUGGCCAGCGUGAUCAAUCUCGAUGAUCGUGUACCUUUCAUCCGUGCGCAACUUUCUCUUCGGGUCUCGUCUCGUUACCGAAGUGUUGCUCGAUCUGGAGGGCUUGAAAAGAAGAAAAAGAAGAGAGUUAAUAUGUGUACAUACCAAAAACAAUUAAUGCAUCAAUUAGCUAUAUAGUCAGCACAUGCUUAAUUAAUUAAUAUAUAUACCUGGCCGGACUCCGUUCGGUCACCGGAGCCAUCAUCAUGGUGUCCUUCCCCCUCCAUUCGGUCACCGGAGCCGUCAUCACGGUGUCCUUCCCCCUCCAUUCGGUCACCGGAGCCGUUAUCACGGUGUCCUUCCACCUCCAUUGUUUGAUAAUCGUCGUAGCCUGCUUCUUCAUCCUGUCUUUCCAGACCAUCGGUGCAUGUCUCGUUGAGAAACGACAAGACGGCAUCACUUCCGUGUGCGAUUAUCUCCCCCAACACCGCUUCUUUUGCUUCGUCUCGGGGGUGCGGAUCCACAGUUUUUGCAAAUAUUUACAACAUGGCAAUUAUUAUUCAAACAUGACAGAUGGAUAUAUUAGUGGCAAACGUUGAACUAGCUAGCUAAGCACAAUAAGGAAUCAUAUUAGUUGCAUGGCCUCGACGCUUCUCUAGGGUUUGGGGUGGUCUCGGCAACGCUUCAAGGGUUUGGGGUGGCCUCAACAACGCUUCAAGGGUUCGGGGUGGCCUCGACGACAACGCUCUUUCAACUUGGUAAAUAUGGAUGGCCUCAAGAGAGUUUGUCGAUCGGUUAGGGGCGCGGUGGGAGGGGGUAGGAGACUGACAUCGUUUUUUUCUAGGGUUUGGGUGUCCUCGAGAGUUUUGGUCGAGCGAGAGGGCCGAGGGGUGCUCCGGACGUCCCCGUCACUUUAACAAAGAACUACCUUAAAAAAGGACUUGCUUCGCCGCGGGUCCUUCUUCAUUUUUUCCUUUGUUUUUUCUUAUAUGUUUGUUUUCGUUUUCAUUCUACAUUUUCGUACAUAUGAAAAAAAUAAAGUUUCUAUACAAAAGUGCACAAUUUUUAUGAACAAAUUACAACAUCUAAAUUAACUAUACAUCUAAAUAAAUAUAAUUAUACAUCUGAAAUUUCCUAAUCUUAAAACUAAACUAAACAUAAACUAAAAUUAUCUAAAAAACAUGUAAAAACAUCUAAAAAUAGCAUCUAAAAACAUCUAAGAAAACAUCUAAAAACAUCUAAAAAUCUAAUAGCUAGCACUCGGCGGGGGCGGACGGGCACGGCGGAGGGGCCGGCGUCGGCGCCGGUGGGGCAGGGCAGGGUCGCAGGGGCGCGGGACAGGGGAGGGGCGCGGGANNNNNNNNNNNNNNNNNNNNNNNNNNNNNNNNNNNNNNNNNNNNNNNNNNNNNNNNNNNNNNNNNNNNNNNNNNNNNNNNNNNNNNNNNNNNNNNNNNNNNNNNNNNNNNNNNNNNNNNNNNNNNNNNNNNNNNNNNNNNNNNNNNNNNNNNNNNNNNNNNNNNNNNNNNNNNNNNNNNNNNNNNNNNNNNNNNNNNNNNNNNNNNNNNNNNNNNNNNNNNNNNNNNNNNNNNNNNNNNNNNNNNNNNNNNNNNNNNNNNNNNNNNNNNNNNNNNNNNNNNNNNNNNNNNNNNNNNNNNNNNNNNNNNNNNNNNNNNNNNNNNNNNNNNNNNNNNNNNNNNNNNNNNNNNNNNNNNNNNNNNNNNNNNNNNNNNNNNNNNNNNNNNNNNNNNNNNNNNNNNNNNNNNNNNNNNNNNNNNNNNNNNNNNNNNNNNNNNNNNNNNNNNNNNNNNNNNNNNNNNNNNNNNNNNNNNNNNNNNNNNNNNNNNNNNNNNNNNNNNNNNNNNNNNNNNNNNNNCCGGCAGGGGCGCGAGGGUCGACGCCGUCGUCGGGGCAGAGGGCGUCAGCGGCGGCGGCGGCGACGUUGAGCAGCCUGACAGCGUCGGUGGUGGCGGCGACGGCGACGUCGAGCAGCCAGACGGCAUCGGUGGCGGCGGCGACGGCAAGGUGGAGCAGGGGCGUCGGGCGGCGACGGCGAGGAGGAGCAGGGACGUCGGGGGAAGAAGUGAUGGAUUUGGUCGAAACUGCUAAGUGUUUUCUUAUAUACCCAGGGCAUUGGUCCCGGUUGGUGCCACGAACCGGUACCAAUGCACCCCUUUAGUCCCGGUUGGUGCCACCAACCGGGACCAAAGGCCUAGUGCUGUUGCGCCCGCGUCGAAAGUUUAGUCCCACCUCGCUAGUUGAGAGGGGCGCGCAGUGGUUUAUAAGCACCACUGUCGCACCCCUCUCGAGCUCCUCUCCAUUGCAGGCUUACGGGCCUAAUUGUGACUGCUAUGCCUGAUGGGCCUACUGGGCCUUAUGCGGGCCUGAAUCCUUGCCCAUGGAUGGGUUUCUAGUCGUAUUCACGCCGUGGUGGCCCAGUAGGUGGCAAAUUUUUUAUUUUUUCCCAGUUUUUUUGUUUUCUUUUUUGCUUUAUUUUUUUGUUUUGUUUCUACUUACAACAAAAUACUUAUUUAUUUUAUUUUAUUUUGUUUCUAAUUACUUAUUUAUUUUAUUUUAUGAUAAUUCUUUUCGCUAUUAAAGUUUCUAACAAACAAAGUUCUUUAUGAAAAUUCUUUUUGCUUUUAAUGAUUUUGAACAGAAAAUACUUUGAUAAUUUUAUUUGCAUCAAUUUUAUAAAAUUUUAGUUUCAUAAAUUUUAGAGGUUGCUUAUAAUGUUUUGAACAGAAAAUACUUUGAUAACUUUAGUUUUAUAAAUUUUAUUUAUGUUAUUAAAUUUUAUUUUAUUUUAUUUUAUUUUGUUUUGUUUCUACUUAUAUAUUUUAUUAAAGUUUAUAUUAUUUUGUUGCAAAUUACUUAUUUAUUUUAUUUUAUGAUAAUUCUUUUUGCUAUUAAAUUUUCAUGCAUUUACUGAUUAUUUUGAGCUAUAAGACCCUGAAAUUGAAAAGCAUUUCAAAUGAACUCUGAAAAGGUUAAAAGUUGGCAUGGUAUCAUCGUUUCACCCACAUAGCAUGUGCAAGAAAGUAGAGAGUGUUACGGCAAAAACUGGAUGCACUUCGUGUACAAAACGGACAAUCUCUUUCGAAGUAUCGGGGUUUCAUACGGAAACUCGUCUGUUACAAAAGGAUUUCAUUUUUUUGAACUUAUUUGAACUCCAUACUUUUUAUGUGUUCAAAAUGCACCAUUCAAAGCCACAUCAUCAAUUUUCAACCCUUUCUGACUUCAUUUGUUAUUUUUCAUGCAUUUACUGAUUUUUUCAGCUAUAAGACCCUGAAAUUGAAAAUCACUACAAAUGAAUUCUGAAAAGGUUGAAAGUUGGCAUGGUAUCAUCAUUUCACCCACAUAGCAUGUGCAAGAAAGUAGAGAGUGUUACGGCAAAAACUGGAUGCACUUCGUGUACAAAACGGACAAUCUCUUUCGAAGUAUCAGGGUUUCAUACGGAAACUCGUCUAUNNNNNNNNNNNNNNNNNNNNNNNNNNNNNNNNNNNNNNNNNNNNNNNNNNNNNNNNNNNNNNNNNNNNNNNNNNNNNNNNNNNNNNNNNNNNNNNNNNNNNNNNNNNNNNNNNNNNNNNNNNNNNNNNNNNNNNNNNNNNNNNNNNNNNNNNNNNNNNNNNNNNNNNNNNNNNNNNNNNNNNNNNNNNNNNNNNNNNNNNNNNNNNNNNNNNNNNNNNNNNNNNNNNNNNNNNNNNNNNNNNNNNNNNNNNNNNNNNNNNNNNNNNNNNNNNNNNNNNNNNNNNNNNNNNNNNNNNNNNNNNNNNNNNNNNNNNNNNNNNNNNNNNNNNNNNNNNNNNNNNNNNNNNNNNNNNNUUUUUCUGUGUUCAAAAUGCACCAUUCAAAGCCACAUCAUCAAUUUGCAACCCUUUCUGACUUUAUUUGUUAUUUUUCAUGCAUUUACUUAUUUUUUUCAGCUAUAAGACCCUGAAAUUGAAAAGAACUACAAAUGAACUCUGAAAAGGUUGAAAGUUGGCAUGGUAUCAUCAUUUCACCCACAUAGCAUGUGCAAGAAAGUAGAGAGGCUUACGACAAAAACUGGAUGCACUUCGUGUACAAAACGGACAAUCUCUUUCGACGUAUCAGGAUUUCAUACGGAAACUCGUUUGUUACAAAGGGAUUUCAUUUUUUUGAAAUUAUUUGAACUCCAUAGUUUUUCUGUGUUAAAAAUGCACCAUUCAAAGCCACAUCAUUAAUUUUCAACCCUUUCUAACUUCAUUUGUUAUUUUUCAUGCAUUUACUGAUUUUUUCAGCUAUAAGACCGUGAAAUUGAAAAGAACUACAAAUGAACUCUGAAAAGGUUGAAAGUUGGCAUGGUAUCAUCAUUUCACCCACAUAGCAUGUGCAAGAAAGUAGAGAGUGUUACGGCAAAAACUGGAUGCACUUCGUGUACAAAACGAAUAAUCUCUUUCGAAGUAUCAGGGUUUCAUACGGAAACUCGUCUGUUACAAAGGGAUUUCAUUUUUUUGAAAUUAUUUGAACUCCAUAGUUUUUCUGUGUUGAAAAUGCACCAUUCAAAGCCACAUCAUCAAUUUUCAACCUUUCUUACUUCAUUUGUUAUUUUUCAUGCAUUUACUUAUUUUUUCAGCUAUAAGACCCUGAAAUUGAAAAGCACUACAAAUGAACAUGGAUAGAGAUAAGUGACCAAAUUAAUAGUAGUUCAUCAUCACAUUAAAACCAAAGUACAUACAUAGUUCAAAUUGAACAACAUAUAGCUCUCCAGAGCAUCUAGUUAAACCAUACACUGAAACUAUGUAAAACCUUUUAAUGCAACAACAAAUGCGAUCAUAAUCACAACUAAGGUAACAAUUGAUCCAACGGCAUAAUGAUACCAAGCCUCGGUAUGAAUGGCAUAUUUUCUAAUCUUUCUAAUCUUCAACCGCAUUGCAUCCAUCUUGAUCUUGUGAUCAUCGACGACAUCCGCAACAUGCAACUCCAAUAUCAUCUUCUCCUCCUCAUUUUUUUUUAUUUUUUCCUUCAAGUAAUUGUUUUCUUCUUCAACUAAAUUUAACCUCUAGACAAUAGGGUCGGUUGGAAUUUCCGGUUCAACCACCUCCUACAUAAAUAAAAUCUAUGUCACGUUGGUCGGCAUAAUUGUCAUAAAUAAUAAAUGAACCAAAUAGUUAUAAAAGAUAAUAUAUACCAUAUCCCAAUCAUAGACAGGACGAGGGCCGACGGGGGCGGAUACCAGAACCAUCGCACUAUAUAAUAACAAGGAAUAAUAAAAGUAAGAAAAUUAGACAAGUAUCUAUCUCAAGUAAGAAUUUUUUUUCUUUCAGAAAGAAGAUAAGAACAAGAGGCUCACCACGGUGGUGCGGCGACGAGAUCGGCGGGGGCGAUCGACGGCGGUGAAGACGGGGACGGGACGUGACGGACCGCUAAACCUAGAAAAAUCUUGGGGAAAAUGGAGCUCGGAGGUCGAGUUUCGAGAGAAGAAAUAUUAACUAGUGUGGCUCGGACAUUUCAUCGAACACUUCAUGUGCAUAGGAAGUGAGCUAGAGCACCCAAAUGCCCCCCCCCUCGCCGGUUAGCAAAAAACAGAGCAGUGUGGAGUGCUCUGCUCGCCGGCGAUGGGUUAUAUAUAGGCAAAUCAUUUGUCCCGGUUCAUGGCUGGAACCGGGACCAAUGGAUGUGGGCUAGGAGCGAGGCCCAUUGGUCCCGGUUCAUGCCUAGAACCGGGACAAAUGGGUCCAGACGAACCGGGACCAAAGCCCACGAGGCCCCGGCCGGCCACCUGGGCUCACGAACCGGGAUGAAUGCACCCAUUGGUCCCGGUUUAUAUAAGAACCGGGACUAAUGGGCUGACCAGACCCGAACGAAAGCCCCUUUUUCUACUAGUGACAACAAGCUUGUUGUUACCGUUCGAGUCAGCCGCAUAUUGUUUGGCAUCCCAGCCAUUCAUCGGCUUUGCGCGGACAACACGGCGGAAGGGGCAAAAACGAAAUGCAACCAAGAAGGUUGAUGAACUAUUUGAACAAUGUUUUUCUUAUUCUUCUUAUUAUUUCUUUCAACCUCAAUCAACCCUCUCUUUAUAAAUUCCUUUGUUUUCCUGAGUUACAUCCAAAUGAUUAUGCUUAUACUGUGUUUGUAUUUGUCUUGUACUUAACUCUAAUUGUUUGGCAGGCAAAAGAGUAGGAGAGGUGGCUGGUGACGGUGUAAUACACACUGAUUGGUAAUACACCAGGGGUGGCUAUGAAAGAAAAGAGGUGAAGCGUAUACCUCCUGGCAGGGAUGCGUGCGUGUUAAAUAGCAAAACAAGAUUACAUCGAGGGUUGGCAGGUUGUUGUGUUAGCUUGACCCCUCAUCCAAGACUAUACAAGAUAAGGAUCUCUAAUCUCCAACAACCUGCCCAAGUUACAACACACGCACACAAGUUACACCCCGUGACAUAUGUCACGUUACGACUACAGCCAUAUCAUUUAACAUCCUCCCUCAAUCUAAACGUGUCAAGGUUGAGAUUGUUCUUGAAAGCUUGUAGUUGUCGAAUCUGUAACGGUUUUGUAAAACCAUCCGCCACUUGGUCUCCUGUUGGGAUGAACCUGAUCUCCAACAGUGUUCUAGCAACCCUCUCUCUGACAAAGUGAAAAUCAAUCUCUAUGUGCUUCGUCCUUGCAUGAAACACUGGAUUAGCUGAGAGAUACGUUGCUCCAAGAUUAUCACACCAUAGGCAAGAAGUGCUUGUUCUUCUUACUCCUAGCUCAUCUAAUAGAGUUUCCAUCCACAUUACCUCAGCUGUUGCAUUUGCCAUAGACUUAUAUUCUGCUUCAUGCAAUGAUACGUUUUCUGUUGUAGAUAAAGGUGUACUGGAGGGUUUACAGUCUCUCAUACCUACACGCUUGAGUAUAUCCUUGGCAUAUUUUCCUGAGUCAGCAGUAUACCAUCAUGUACCUGUUUUACUUCUAUGCCAAGGAAAUAAUGUAAUUCUCCCAAGUCCUUGAGAGCAAAGUCAUUCUUCAAGUUUUUAAGUAAAGCUGACGUGGCUUGUGGAGAGGAGCUAGCAACAAUUAUAUCAUCACAUAUAUAAGCAUAUAAAUGAUCACCUUCUAGUUUUUGAAGAAAAAGAGAGAAGUAUCUCCCCUUGAGGGUCGGAAACCAAGUUAUUGAAGCCUUGUGCUUAGUCUUGAGUACCAAGCCCUGGGUGCCUGUUUCAGACCAUAUAGUGCUUUGUCCAAUUUACACACAUGUUGUGGUUUGGUGCCAUCCAGAAACCCAGGUGGUUGCUUCAUGUACACCUCCUCCUCGAGAAUGCCAUGUAAGAACGCAUUCUGUACAUCCAAUUGGCGAAGAGUCCAUCCCCUAGAAACAGCAAUAGACAGAACAAGUCUAGUAGUAGUUGCCUUAACUACUGGACUAAAAGUGUCUUCAUAGUCAAUUCCAUAACGUUGUUUAAACCCCUUUGCUACUAGUCUAGCUUUGUAUCUAUCUAUUGUACCACCAGAAUUCCUCUUAAUUUUGUAUACCCAUUUGCAAUCUAUAAUGUUUCUACCUUGUUUAGGUGAGACUAGAUGCCAAGUUUGAUUUUUCAUAAGUGCAUCAUACUCUACCUCCAUAGCUCGUUUCCAGCUAAAUCACGAGGUUCACCAGUAGCAGCAAAGUUUAUUACCUUGAAAUUUUUACCAUGCCUGACCGUUCCAUCUUUAGGAACAAGUGGUUUAAAAAUGCCUCUUUGUGACCAUGUAUUGGGUCGCUCCGGUUCAACAGCCACAGAAGAUCCUGACGUUGCAGAAGAUCUUGCAGCCGGUUCUGGAGGCGAUCGGACCUGGGGAUCGAUCCUGUCGGGAGAGACAGCCCGAGACGGCGACAUCGGUCCAGUUGGCGAGGCGGAAACGCGUCCAAGCGACACACGCCCGGGAGUCCGCGCCUCCUCAUCAUUCGGUGAUGGCGACGCGUUGGACGCACCUGCGCCAGCCCGCGCACCCGACCGCGAGCCUGGCAGCGUGUCACCCGUGGAUGAGCUGCCUGCAUCAGGUGGGGUGGCCGCGCCAGCCGGAGUGCGCGGUUCCGCCUCUGAGUCCGUGCGCGCGCCAGAUGCAGCAGCGCCGCCAGAUCUCUCGGGAUCCACGUGCGCAGGCGAAUCUGCCCUGCCACCAGAUCUCUCGGGAUCCGUAUGCGCAGGAGGAUCUGCUCCGUGUUCCGAGCGAGGCCGGUUUGGCUGUAUCUGCUGCAUAAAAUCAUGACCAAAACCAGUGUUUUCUGCUGCAUUUUUUUCACUGCGGCUUCCUGCAUCAUCAGAACCAUUAGUAGUCCUAUUAAUCAUUUGAUCAUCAACUAUUUUUCCCUUGAUCAGUAGGAUUAAGUAGGUCAGGAGGAAGUAAAAGAAUCUCAGCCCUUAGGCGAGCACCGGCAUUAGGAUGAAGGGCCGCAAAAGGAAAAAUGUUUUCAUCAAACACCACAUCCCUAGAAAUGUAUACACGCCCUGUAGAGAUAUCAAGGCACUUGUAGCCUUUGUGCACGUUACUAUAACCAAGAAAAGCACAUUGCUUUGAUCGAAAUUGAAGUUUAUGUGUGUUAUAGGGACGUAAAUUGGGCCAACAAGCACACCCAAAAAUUCUAAGAGAGGAAUAGUUGGGAGUUUCACCGAAUAACCUAGUAAGAGGUGUUUCAUGAUUUAUGACCUUGCUUGGAACCCUAUUGAUCAGGUAGGUUGCGGCAAGGAAGGCCUCAUCCCAAAACUUCAAGGGCAUAGAGGCUUGAGCGAGCAAGGAGAGGCCGACCUCAACAAUGUGACGGUGUUUGCGCUCAGCUGACCCAUUCUGCUGAUGAGCAUGAGGGCAUGAUACGUGGUGUGAAAUACCAAUUUUGGUGAAGAAAGAGUUCAACUUUUCGUACUCCCCUCCCCAAUCUGUUUGGAGAGCAAGAAUCUUGCGAUCAAAACGUCGUUCAACAAGGUUUUGGAAGUCAUGGAAUUUCUAAAAAAACUUCAGAUUUGUGCUUGAUGAGAUAGAUCCACGUGAAUUUACUAAAAUCAUCGAUAAAACUCACAUAGUAUUUUUUUCUGCCUACUGUUUCAACAGCAGGACCCCACACAUCAGAAAAGACAAGUUCCAAAGGAAAUUUAGAUUCACUCAAGGAUUGAGGAUAGGGUAACUGGUGACUUUUGCCCUUUUGGCAGGUGUCACAUACAUGCUUAUUGCUAUCAUUAUUGACACACGGGAGCUUAUUCUCACUAAGAAUCUUCCUAACAACAAUGGAAGAAGGGUGACCUAAACGUCUAUGCCACCAAUCCAGAGGUGGUUUGGUGACAUUGAGCACAUGCUUCUGGACGUUUCCCCCGGUGUGUUUGACAGGAUAGAGCCCUUUUCUACCCCUGCCUCGAAAACCUUCCUCGUUUCCAGAUCCUUGAUGAGAAAAAAAUGAGGGUGAAUUUCAACAAUAGUAUUAUUGUUAAGAGCAAGUUCACUUGCAGAAAUCAAAUCUUUUGUUGCCUCCGGAACAUGAAGAACACCUUUUAGAUGAAGAUUGCGAUCUGGGUAGAAAUAGUUGCAUGACCAAUAUGAUCAAUGGACAUACCUGAUCCGUUUGCAGUAUUACAACUACAACCAUAUCAUUUAACAGGCUACUCGGUCGGGAGCUUGGCAGCAGACCCGUCUCGGAGUCCAUGAAGCUAGGCGAAGAUCUAACUACAAGAGGGAUUCCCCGACCCCGCAUAGGCGGCGUGGGAGCCUGGUGCUGGAGAACAAGCUCGAGGUGCUAGCUUUCGCAUGUGGGAUCUCGAGGUGUUGGCCGGCGAUGGGAGAACCUGCCGGAGACGCUGGCUGAGCUGGAGGUGCUGGGGAUCGUGGCGGGAGCUUGAGGUGUUGGCCGCCAGCGGGAGCACCUGUCGGAGGCACAAGCAAAGCUGCAGGUGCUGAGGAUCGCGGCGCACUAGUAGAAAAUAGGGCUUUGGUUCGGGCCUGACCAGCUCAUUAGUCCCGGUUCAUUCACAAACCGGGAACCAUGGGAGGCAUUCGUCCCGGUUCGUGAGCCCAGGGGGCCGACCGAGGCCUCGUGGCCAUUGGUCCCGGCAGCGGGAGCACCUGUCGGAGGCACAACCAGAGCUAGAGGUGCUGAGGAUCGCGGCGGGAGCUCGAGAUGCUGGCCGGCGGCGGGAGCACCUACCAAAGACGGUGCCUGAGCUGGAGGUGUUGGGGAUCGCGGCGGGAGCUUGAGAUGCUGGCCAGCGGCGGGAGCACCUGUCGGAUGCAUGACCAGAGUUGGAGGUGCUGAGGAUCGCGGCGGCAGCUCGAGGUGCUGGUCGGCGGCGGGAGCACCAGACGGAGGCAUGACCGGAGCUGGGGGUGCUAGGGACACUAGUAGAAAAAGAGGCUUCCAUACGCCCCCAUUAGUCACCAAAAUAAUCGAACCGCGACCAAAGGGGUCUUUAGUCGCGGUUCGGGAGGAGACCCGCGACCAACUAUCUGGGCCCAGUGCGCUCGGUCGACAGCUGGCGGACGGGAGGGGCUUUAGUCCCGGUUGGCCUGGCCAACCGGGACUAAAGGUCCUCAGGCUGGCCCGAAGGCCUUUAGUCGCGGUUGGCCAGACCAACCGGGACUAAUGGGAUUUGAGGCAUUAGUACCGGUUCAUGGCACGAACCGGUACUAAAGGCCUCAUUUUCAAACUCUACCCCCCCUCCCCCCCCUCAGGAUCGCCUUUUCAGUUUUAGAAAAAGCAAAAGAAAAUGAUGGAAAUGUCAAAAAAAUAAAAUAAAAUAAGUUUCCCAUGUGAUAUGUGGUCUAAUUGUUGGGAAAAUUAACAAAUAUGAAUUUCGACUUUAUUUGCAAAAUCUCUCUGGAAUUUCUUAAAAUGGGCAUAACUUUUGCAUACGAACUCGGAUGAAAAAGUUUUUUAUAUGAAAAAUCAUCUACUCGAAAAGUUACAUCCGAAUUUUAACCGGGGGGACCCCAUUAAACAUUUUCAAAAUCCUCAAAAACCUAACAGAAAAAAAGAUACGGGGCUUUUAAGAUCUGGAGAGGCAAAAAAAUUCAAAAAAUUUCAAAUUGUGGUCAAACAAUGGUCAAACUAAUUAUUCUAGAAUAUUAGUGUUACUAAAUAAUUAUUUCAGUUUUUUUUUUAAAUUUUGGUCAAAUCUGGUCAAAAUGUGGUCAAACAGUGGUCAAACAAUGGUCAAAGUAAUUAUUCCAGAAAUAUUAGUGUUACUAAAUAAAUAUUGUUUUUUAAAACAAUAGUUUCAAACUCAAACAGUGAAAUGUGUCACUUCAUGCUCAAGCUAAAUUCCUGAGGGUUAAUAGAAUUGACAUCCUACUAUUGUCAGGAAAAUAACAAGUGCAGACUUGGAAACGAGGGAGAAUAGAACCCGGAAGUUAAGCGUGCUCAGGCUGGAGUAGUGAGAGGAUGGGUGACCGUCCGGGAAGUUAGAUAAUUUGGAAUGAUGAGGUUAGAGAUUAGAGGAUAAAUUGAGCAGUGAUGAGGGGUGGUGAUUAGAGAUUAGAGGUUAAAAUAAUUCAGAAAUUUGAAAAUUAAAAAAAAUUAAAAAAUUCGCAAAAAAAACCAGGUUUAGGGGGGCUAAAACCCUAAACCUGCGGAGGAGGCCUUUAGUCCCGGUUAGCCACGAGAACCGGGACUAAAGGUCCUCCGCCCCGACGGCCCCCUGGCGCCCACGUGGACGGGCCUUUAGUCGCGGUUCGUAAGAGGCGCGACUAAAGGGGGGGCCUUUAGUCGCGCAUAUUUAGUCCCGGUUGCACAGCCAAGGCUAAAGGCCUUUGCGAACCGGGACUAAAGGCCCAUUUUCUACCAGUGGGAUCACGGCAGGAGCACGAGGUCUCGGCGAUUGCGGUGGGUUGUGCGAAGGGGAUCACACGGAGGGGACUCGGGAUUUUUAUGUUACUUUUUGAAUUGGAGUGGUGUAACGUAAAGUGUACUUGUUCACUCAAUUUCCUUCCCUCGUGUCAAGUAAUUCAAGACACUCCCUCGUGUCAAGUAAUUCAAGUAAUUCUAGACAGAGGGAAUAUAUGUAAACAUUUUUUUAAACCAUCCGACCGCUGAUUGGUUCUCAUUACAUAUUUUAAAUAUAUAUGGGAAAUAUACGAGACACCUAUAGGUGCCUGGGCAUAUAAAUUUGUUAUAAUAUUUUUUGCAAGAACAUGUUUUCGAAAUAUAUCUUUUAGCGAAAAUGUGGGGAUGUCCACCUAUUGGAAUUCCUACCUACCAGCGAUAAAUCGCGAGUGGACUUGCCACCACGCACUGCCGAAAUCCACAUCGCAUGCUGCCGCGCGAUGCGUGCAACUUUAAUACCCUUCGGCCGUAUAUUGACUUCCCCUUGUCGUAUAACAAUCGGGUAUAGCCACGUCUUUGCAGCUGACACAUGCGGUGCAUGGCCCGCGAGGCAGUGCCUGCAUUGAACUAGGUGGUGGGCCACUAGCUCCAGGACACUCCCCCGUGCCCUUUUUAAACAACCGGAGUGCUUGUAUUCACAUCCCGUUCAAGUUUUCAUAUCAUCUCUCCUUCUCUCUGCCUCACAAGCAUGUGUUCAUCUAAGCCCAAGCAAGUACUAAUGAAGACCACUACCCAGCUUCUCCUAAUGUGAUAGUUGAGCUUUGCAACGUUGUACUUAAGGUCCACCAUUAGCACUUGCCUGCCUUGGUCACAAACAGUAAGCAUUGGUAUAUUAGGAUAAAUCUCCAUCUUCGCAUACAAUCAGUAUCAAGGAAAUGACAUAAUUUGAUUGUCUCUAGCAAAACAGCCAUAUAAACAGUCACAUGCGGUCAAUAUGCGUUUAAUUUUCGUGAAGCUAGUGGUUUAAUGGCUUGCAGGCUAUCAAUUCACCUAUAAUGAAUUAAUAUUCAGCCAGUGCAUUGAAAGCACAUACACUUUCCUUAAUGGUUGACACAUGCCGUCGGGUCAAUAUCUCUACUUCUAAUGGAGCAGUUGAUAGUCUCGCUUCCAGGUUUUUUUUCGUCCCACCUCUCAUGGUUUUUUUUGGUACCUCCUCCCACCUUCGCUAGUUUUUUUUAGAGUUUUUUUCGUCCCCUCCCCCCACUUCAUCGGUUUAUUUUCACGUCACCCUCUCACACAAUGAAAGAAAUCUGAACAGAUCAGAACUUUUCAUACUGGCGCAAGUUAUUUAGUAAUGUAGAAUCAAUCACGAACAAUCUCUAAAGAUCAAAUCUAAAUUAAUUAACCUUACCUUAAAUAACUCAAUCACGUUAAUUAGAAAACAAGUAAUUGAUUUUCAGAAAAAUCACUCAAUCACAUUAACCUUACCUUAACUCACGGAUGGUAAUCAAUCUCCAAACAAAGGAAACAAUACAUCGAGGGAGCAGUAAAUAAACUCCCUUUCUUAUGACAUGUAUAUGAUCUUCCCUUCCCUCUCCGUUAUCGUGCGUACUUGAUUCUCGAGGCCGAUGCUUGGGCUGCGUCACUGGGUCGCGUCGGUGCCGGAGGACGAGGACGGCGAGGCCGGGUGCCGCGGCCGGUGAAGGGGGCGAAGAAGGGCGGCUUCCCUGGCCCUGGCCGUGGUCAUGGCCGUGGGAGUUGGUGCGGUGGAAGCGGCACUUGAAGGACCCGGCGAGGGUGGCAGGCGCGCGGACGCACUUGGAAGCGGGCCCGUGGCCAGCGCCGGACAGCGCCGACGUCGACCCGGGCCACCUCCUCCGCGUAUUCUUGGAGCUGUGGCUAGCCGAUUUACAUGAAAUUAAUUCCCUCAGUUGUGGUGGCAAAUAUAAUACACAUAAUCCAUAUUGUUAUGCACUGGCGUGUGUGUGUGUGAAAUAAAUGGAUUAUGGUACCGUACCCAAUAAGAUGGAUAUGUGUGUGUGUGUUAGAGAGAGAGAGGGAGAGGGGGAGAGAGAGUGAGGAAGAGGGAGGGAGAGAGUGUGUGUGUGAGGAUUUGAUGAUAAAAAAGAUCGCCAAUGUCACUUGAUAUGUAUGAGAAUAUUAAUAUUGAACUCUUAAAGUUAAUGUGGCCCCGUUGCAAAAAAAAUUCCACGUAAAUGAUUAACCAUAAUUUGUUAAUACCAGUGACGGAAGACAUACCCCACAUACGUGAUUAACAAUAAUCUCGCAUACACUGUUCACUAGUAGGGCGUGUCGUCUUACCUGUGGGGUUUCUUGGAAUCUAGACUUUGGUCCGAGGGUCCCAUGAACUACACAAGGCACACCGUCCCCGUCCUUGAUGGGUGCGGAAUGAUGCUCAGUCCAUGAUGUCGACGUGGUUUUGCUUCAAGUUUAGAUGAUUUUCAUCUUCCAACCUUCCCGUGGGGCAUCUGUGAGGGGUUUGACUAUGUACAGUGGGUUUUCACUCAGGACCUCAGGGCAUCCACUCCCGUAGGGAAGGCAACAACCACAUGAGCUAACGUUCAGUUUUGCUACAAAACAGGGUUCGUAUCUAAUAGUCCCACCUCGAUUCUUUAGACUUAAUUCCACCAAUUUAAAUACGUCCAUACAUUAGUAGAAAAUAUGCCUUUAGUCCCGGUUCGCAAAGGCCAUUAAUCCCGGCUGUGCAACCGGGACUAAAUAUGCGCGACUAAAGCCNNNNNNNNNNNGUGGCUAACCGGGACUAAAGGCCCCCUCCGCAGGUUUAGGGUUUUAGCCCCCCUAAACCUGGUUUCUUUUUAAUUUGUAGUGUUUUAUUUCUUUUAUAUUUUAUUUUGUGUUUUAUUUUAAUUUUGACGAAGUUUCAGUACACAUAUUCUACGCUACUAUAUACAUGCAUAUGAAAUUUCAAACAUGAAGAAUUCAAGAGGAAUAUAUAAUAUAUAUUCAAUCUCGGGUGACCAUAUACAACUUCGAACAAGUUUCCAUACACAAUUAGGAUGGAUGACCAUAUACAACUUCGAACAAGUUUCAAUCUCGGGUAUGCAUAUAAAUUUCUUCGUCCUCGGUAUAGUGUUCUCCUUUAGGAUUGAUGACUUCCCUCAUGAAAAAUCCUGCUAAUUCAUCUUGAAUUGGUCGGAAGCGAGCUUCUGGACUAAGCCUCCUCCGCAAGUUAUCCGUCGCCUUCCGCACACUAUCCGAUGCCUUCCGCUCAGAGGUGUGUCUCCGGAUGUUCUCACAAACAUAGUAUCCACAUAGAUUGGUCCCCGGUGGCUGCUUAUCCACAUUAACUAACCUUCUAAAAUCUAGCUCAUGUUUGAAUUCACCGACAGUUUCUUCUGAGAACCGUCUCCAAACCCUACAGGGCAAAGAAAAUUAAAUGAACAAGGGAGUUAUUAGUUACUUGAUAUUAGGAAAUGAACGAAAGAGACCGAUCGAUAUAGAGCUCAAAUGAUUGAAAAUAAUUACUUUUGCAGCAUUUUUUCUCAUGUCGGCCCAACGCUUUGAAUCCGAAUCCAUAGAGUCCAUGAUUAGAACUCUGGAGGUGUGAAGUUCAAUAUUUAGCAGAAUCCAGUGGAACCUGCGGACACGUUACAUGCACAGUCAUGCAUAACUCAUCGAUUAGACAUACCAUGCAUGGAGUAAACAAAAGAGAAUGGGCACAAGACAGAAACACUCACCCAAAAUGGUAAGGAAAUAGAAUAUGACUUUUGAGUUGAUGCUUUCUAAGAAACUUGUACAAGUCUUUCUCCACGUCUUCGGGGUGAUUUUGUAACACAUGUCCAUUAACGAUACGUGGGUCAAUGAACCCAACAUCAUGGAUGUUUCUUAUUUUGCAUUCCCAAAUCUUCAAUCUGCAUAAUAGCGUACGCAACAAUAUAGUUAGGACAAUAUAUAUAUAUAUAUAUAGUGCAGGCAAUGAAGAAUGAGAUGAGGUAGAAAUAAAUCACUUACAGAACGUAGCAACUCAGGAUAGAUUUGUCGAGCUCGCGCAGAUUGAACAGCUGGAACAAUUCACUCAUAUGAACUUGUACAGAGUACCGUUUGGUGUGAUGCUCCUCUGUAACAUCCGCAUAAACAUAUUCUUUGUCGGCCCAUGUUAUGAAAUGCUUGUACCAACGUAGCAGAUUUCGCAUUUGUGGUGGUAGACUCUUUUCCCGCGCAGGCUCGACGAGAGGCCCAUUCCGCACAUAUUGUAAUGCUAUCUCACAUACUGGCGCAUCCUCAAGGCCUAACGAGGCACGAAGAGUCAAACCCAUCUCGGAUGCUUGUUUCAUGGCACUCGCUACAGUCAAUCCAAGUGCUGCCGCAGCUGCUAUGAUCUUGGGGUCCUCUUCCGAACCGGCUUUCACUAUGAGCGGGGGGUCGAUUGUUUAUUCUGCAUCCCGAGCUGGUCAACUUGUUUCCCGCUUUUUUUACUUUCUUCUUUCUCCUCCUUCAAUAUUUUUGCUUGCCUACGAAGUUCAUGUCCAUAGUCGUCAGGCAUAUUCAGCUCGGCUUGGGACGGUGUCGUCAAAAAAUGCUUAGCCCACUUCUUUUGCUUCUCAGUGAAUACUUGCUUGGGCUCAGGCUCUUUUAUCGCCUUCGUAUCCGCCUUCCAUUUCUCAUAAUGAGCAGACGCGGCCAAUUUGGUUUCAGCUUCACUAAGUUCCCAAGGCCUUGGGAGGAGAGGCUUCAGUGAUGGCUCCGGUACCCUUGUGGUCUUAGGUACAUAAGGGUCCGGGUUAAUAGUCCAGGAGCGGGUUUCCUUGCUGUCCGCCUGCUUCUGCUUCUUCGCCGGAGGUGGAUUGGGGGGCGUCGUACCCGCCGGAGGAGGAUUGGGGGGUGUCGUACCCGCCGGAGGAGGAUUGGGGGGCGGCGGCUGCUUACCCGCCGGAGGUUGUGGAUCGGGGGACGGCGUCGAAUGGCGUGAAGGAGGUGUAGGUGAACCACCACGACCACCACCACCGCCACCACCACCACCACCACCAUCGGAGGGGGGUGGACUUGUUAGCCUUGGCGCCUCGCCUGGAAACACUAUGUACUUCUUUUUCCAUAGAAUGAUCUGGCGCUUGACAUCUCCAAGUCUUCUCUCCCCUUCGGGUGUAGCUUUGUCAAUCUCCAGGUCCUCAAACUCUUGGACUAUGUCUUCCACCGUGACACGAGCAUAGCCAUAUGCAAUGGGGUUGUUGUGGUGGAGUGCUCCAGGUGUACAGGGUAAAGCACUGCCGGUAGCUACCUUCGUGGAAACGUUCCCCACGGGAUAAUGCAGAUCACAUUCUUUCAUCUCCUUUACAUCAUCCACGGGGUAGUGAGGCUCCGGUGCACGAAUCUCGAUCGUCGGUGCAUUAGCACCAGGCGGGGCAUCCGUGGAAGCCACGCUCCUUCUCCGCUGCUGGCUUCCGUGAUCCGCUUCAUGAUCUUCAUGCGGCCCUGCAGCCGAUUUUUCUUUUACUGGUUCAUGCACGGUCUGCUUCAACUCAUGGAGUUCCGAUGCAAACUUCGCCAAAAGAUCUGCAUCCCGUUCCGUCUUUCUCUUACGGCUUCUGUAACAGUACGGGUCAUUAUCCUGGGAAAACCCUACUUUCCACGGCAUUCUGCCUUUGCCUCGUACAUGUCCUCCGUGUUCAUCAUUCCCGAGGGCUGUUGUCAGUGCGUCUUUCUCUCUGUUGAACUUGAUCAAGCCCUCUUGAGCUUGGGUCAUUGCUUCAAUAAGGGCUUGGGUGGGAGCAAACUUUUUCUUCCGGUGAACACACACCCCUGUCUCCGGGUCUAGCGAUCCCUCAUGCCCGUACCACCAGCUUUUGGCCCUUGGGUCCCAUCCCUCUGUACCUAGAGGGAUUCCUCGCACCCUCAGGUCCUCCUCCAUCUUCUGCCACUUAGGCUCCGAAAGGCGGUAUCCUCCUGGCCCCAUAAUAUGAUGGUACUUUUUCUUACUCGCAUUAUCCUUAUUUUUUUUCGAUAUUUCCUUGAAAUGCUCCGAUUUCUUUUGCCUCACAAAUUCUGGCCAAUCAUCUUUCAGUUUCUCAUGUUGUCCAUUGAAAUCCGGAGUCUUGCCCUUGUUUCCGGAAUGCUUCGGCCAUCUUCUAAAGAGCGAACUCUUUAACUAGCCUCCUCCUCUCACGUCCACCCGGAACCUCGUUACUGAAUUCAUCGACUUUGUUGUAUUCCGGAGGUAGAAUGAAAUGUUCCAUAAGCUUUCUCCAGCAAUCCUUUUUCGUUCUCUUGUCGACAAAACUGAAACCAAGACGUGCCUUCUUUGGCUCCUUCCAUUCCUGGACGGUGAUCGGGACGUUGUCUUUAACAACGACUCUGCAUUGGUUGAUAAACUUUGAGGUGUGAUGUAGGGGCUUGCCGGUUUCACUGACAAAAUCAAUGGUAUAUGUUUCUCCUGUUUUCAUCGCCUUGGAUUUGCCACGCUUUGUCGUACUCGAUCCGGCCGAGGGCUAAAAAAAGAAAGAGAGUCGCGCGCGUUAAUACAUGUGUAUUCACAUUUCAGUAAGUUUGUAUCACGAGAGGCUCAAUGUAUAUAUAUACCUCGCCGGAGGUGGUUGCUACUUGCAAUUCGAGAUCGUCGUUUGUUGACGGUUGACCUCCGUCGACAAUGUCCGUUCCUUCACCUUUUUUAUCAUCGACAAUGUCUGUUCCACCGUCAAGGUUCAGAAAUAAAGAGACUACAUCCUCUUCUUGCUCAUAUUCUGAGCCCGGCACAUAAGGAAUCUCGUUGUUUAUGAUGCCCAUUAAAUAACGUUCAGCCUCCGGAUCCCUAAGCGGCUCGGCUCUAUCGUCCGCCAUAUGUCACUCCUGCAUGUAGUAAAAAUUAAUUAAGUAUAAAGGAAUUAAAAAAUAAGAUUAAGGGGACAUAGAGGAGGAGCAGCAACGGUUGAAUGAUUAAGAUCUAUUAAAAAAUAAAAUUGAUGUUUUUUUGGUCAAAUUUAUACAAUUAUUCCCAAAUAAAUUUCCUUUCCUUUUUCCUUUUCUUUUUCCUCUCUGCUCUCUCUUUCCUUUUCUUUUUCCUUUUCAGUUUUUUAUUGAGCACUAAUUUGCAUAGAAGUUUUUGUUUGAGCACUGCCAAGUAUUUUGUUUUUCCUUUUCUUUUUCCUCCGCCGCCGCUCAAAUUUAAUGAUUUAUACAAUUAUUCCCAAAUAAAUUUCCUUUUCUUUUUCCUCUCUGCUCUCUCUUUCCUUUUCUUUUUCCUUUUCAGUUUUUAAUUGAGCACUAAUUUGCAUAGAAGUUUUUGUUUGAGGAGGACGGCAGGCGGCGGCGGGCGGCGGAGGACGGCAGGCGGCGGCGGGAAGCGGAGUACGGCAGGCAGGCGGCGGCGGGCGGCGGAGGACGGCAAGGCGCGCAUCCAGUACGCGGCGACGAGGAGGACGGCAGGCGGCGGCGGGCGAGAAGACGACGGCGGCGGUCCCCUCUUCUUCUAGGCACGCGAGGAGGACGGCAGGCGGCGGCGGGCACCUACCGGAGACGAGGGCGGCGCGGAGAAGACGAGGGCGGCGGCGCGGAGAAGACGAGGUCCUGGCCGGAUGCGUUUGGUGGUUAGCGCGGAGAAGACGAGGGCCGCGGAGAAUAUAUAGGGCAAGCCUUUAGUCCCAGUUGGGGACACCAACCGGGACUAAAGGGGUACCUUUAGUCGCGGUUGGUGUCACGACCCGCGACUAAAGGUUCUUUCGCGCCGUUUUCGUUCCCGCGCGGAAAGAGCCUUUAGUCGUUGUUCGUGUCACGAACCGCGACUAAAGGUCCUUUUUCAAAUACUUUUCAUUUUAAAAUCUUAAAAAUACAAAUAAUAUAACAAAAAAUUCAGAAAAAUAAAACUAAUUCAUUUUAAAAUCUUAAAAAUACAAAUAAUAUAUCAAAAAAUUCAGAAAAAUAAAACUAAUUCAUUUGAAAAUCUUAAAAAUAGAAAUAAUAUAUCAAAAAAUUNNNNNNNNNNNNNNNNNNNNNNNNNNNNNNNNNNNNNNNNNNNNNNNNNNNNNNNNNNNNNNNNNNNNNNNNNNNNNNNNNNNNNNNNNNNNNNNNNNNNNNNNNNNNNNNNNNNNNNNNNNNNNNNNNNNNNNNNNNNNNNNNNNNNNNNNNNNNNNNNNNNNNNNNNNNNNNNNNNNNNNNNNNNNNNNNNNNNNNNNNNNNNNNNNNNNNNNNNNNNNNNNNNNNNNNNNNNNNNNNNNNNNNNNNNNNNNNNNNNNNNNNNNNNNNNNNNNNNNNNNNNNNNNGGCGCUUUGGAUCAUCGCAUGAUGUACUGAUCGUUUUCUUAUCUUUCCGUUUCCUCGGUUUGCUACUCAUGUCCUUCAAAUAAAAAACCUGAGCGACAUCUUUGGCAAGGACGAAUGGUUCGUCAAGGUAACCAAGAUUGUUGAAAUCCACCAUUGUCAUUCCGUAUUGCUCGUCCACCUUUACCCCACCUCCUGUUAGCUUGAACCAUUUGCACCGGAACAAAGGGACCUUAAAGGAGGGUCCAUAGUCAAGUUCCCAUAUCUCCUCUGUGUAACCAUAAUAUGUGACCUUUUGCCCAUUCUCGGUUGCUGCAUCAAAGCGGACACCACUGUUUUGGUUGGUGCUCUUUUUAUCUUGGGCGAUGGUGUAAAAUGUAUUCCCAUUUAUCUCGUACCCUUGGAAAGUCGUUAUAGUCGAAGAUGGUGUCUUGGCCAACAUGUACAGCUGAUCUCCAACAUCAUUGUCAUUCAUUAAAUGUUUUCGCAACCAACUGCCGAAAGUCUUCAUGUGGGCCUUUCUAAUCCAGGAUUCAGGCUUCCCCGGGUUGUCCGAGCGUAAAAUAUUCUUGUGUUGCUCGAAGUACGGAGCCACCAAGCUGGAAUUUUGCAGAACUGUAUGGUGUGCUUCAGUCAUAGAAUGACCGUCCAUACAUAUCGUUGAUUUCCUUCCGAUCGUGCCUUUUCCACUUAGUCUCCCCUCGUGCCGCGAUUGAGGAAUACCAAUCGGCUUAAGAUCAGGAACAUAGUCAAUACAGAACUCAAUUACCUCCUCAUUUCCAUAGCCCUUGACGAUGCUUCCUUCUGGCCUAGCACGGUUACGAACAUAUUUCUUUAUACUCCCAUGAACCUCUCAAAGGGGAACAUAUUGUGUAGAAAUACAGGACCGAGAAUGGAAAUCUCUUCGACUAGGUGGAGCAGGAGGUGCGUCAUAAUAUCGAAGAAGGAUGGUGGGAACACCAACUCGAAACUGACAAGGCAUUGGACCACAUCGUUCUGUAACCGUGGUAGAUCUUCUGGAUUGAUUACCUUCUGAGAGAUUGCAUUGAGGAAUGCACAUAGCUUCACAAUGGCUACUCGAACAUUUUCCGGUAGGAGCCCCCUCAAAGCAAUCGGAAGAAAUUGCGUCAUAAUCACGUGGCAGUCGUGAGACUUCAGGUUUAGGAACUUUUUGUCCGCCAUGUUUAUUAUUCCCUUUAUAUUCGACGAGAAGCCAGACGAGACCUUCAUACUGCUCAGGCAUUCAAAAAAAAUGACCUUCUCUUCUUUGGUAAGAGCGUAGCUGGCACGACCUUGAAACCAUUCCGGAUGCCGGUCAUCUGGGUCUUUCAAAAGUUGCUGGUCCUGCCGUGCUUCCUUUGUAUCAUUUGUCUUCCCAUACACGCCCAAGAAGCUUAGCAGGUUCACGCAAAUAUUCUUCGUAACAUGCAUCACGUCGAUUGCAGAGCGGACAUCUAGGACUUUCCAAUAUUCUAGCUCCCAAAAUAUAGAUUUCUUCUUCCACAUGGGUGCGUGCCCGUCAACUCCCCGUGACACUGAUUGUCCGCCAGGACCCUUUCCAAAGAUGACUUUCAAAUCCUUGACCAUAUCAAAUAUCUCAGCACUAGUACGUUCCGCAGGCUUCGGCCGGUGAUCUGCCUUGCCGUUGAAAUGCUUGCCUUUCUUUCUUACGUUAUGAUUCCGGGGAAGAAAUCGACGAUGACCCAGGUACACGUUCUUCUUACAAUUACCCAAACGUACACUUUCAGUCUCAUGUAAGCAGUGCGUGCAUGCAUUGUAUCCCUUAUUUGUCUGUCCCGAAAGGUUACUGAGAGCAGGCCAAUCGUUGAUGGUUACAAAAAGAAACGCUCAUAGGUCAAAUUCCUCCUCUUUGUGCUCAUCCCAGACACGUACACCAGGUCUGCCCCACAACUGUAAAAGUUCAUCAACUAAUGGCCUUAGGUACACAUCGAUGUCGUUGCUGGGUUGCUUUGGACCUUGGAUGAGCACUGGCAUCAUAAUGAACUUCCGCUUCAUGCACAACCAAGGAGGAAGGUUGUAGAUGCAUAGAGUCACGGGCCAGGUGCUAUGGCUGGAGCUCUGCUCGCCAAAAGGAUUCAUGCCAUCAGUACUUAGACCAAAUCUUAUGUUCCUUGCGUCAGCUGCAAAAUCUUUGAACACUCCGUCGAUCUUUCUCCAUUGCGUUCCAUCAGCGGGGUGUCUCAACUCCCCGUCGGACUUACGGUCCUCUUGGUGCCAUCGCAACGACUUGGCAUGCUUUUUGUUCCUGAACAGACGUUUCAACCGUGGUAUUAUAGGAGCGUACCACAUCACCUUGGCGGGAACCCUCUUCCUGGGUUUCUCGCCCUCAACAUCGUCACCAGGGUCAUCGCCUCUGAUCUUAUAACGCAAUGCAAUGCAUACAGGGCAUUCAUUCAAAUUCUCGUAUUCACCGCGGUAGAGGAUGCAGUCGUUAAUGCAUGCAUGUAUCUUCAGAACCUCUAAACCUAGAGGGCAGACAACCUUCUUUGCUUCGUACGUACUGGCGGGCAACUCGUUAUUCUUCGGAAACAUAUUCUUCAACAUUUUCAGCAAAUUUUCAAAUGAUGAGUCAGCUACACCUUCCCGUGCCUUCCAUUUUAGCAAAUCCAGUGUGCAGCCCAGCUUUUUCAGACUAUUAUCGCAUCCUGGGUACAGCGACUUUUUGUGAUCCUCUAACAUGCGAUCCAAAUUCUCCCUCUCCUUGUCAGUUUCGCAGCGUCUCCGUGCAUCAGCAAUGGUCCGACCAAGAUCAUCAGCAGGCUCAUCAUGUGCCUCUUCUUCACCUUCACCUAACCCUUCCCCACCUUCAGCAUCAUCCUCCAUGAAAGUAUCACCGAAAUGAUCAUGAUAGUUGUCAUCGAUAUCAUCCCCUUCUUCAUCUUCUUCCAUUCUAACCCCUCUUUCUCCAUGCUUGGUCCAACAAUUAUAGCUUCGCAUGAAACCGUGCCGAAGCAGGUGCAUGUGAACGUCUCUUGAGGAGGAGUAACCCUUCUGAUUCUUACAGACAGCACAUGGACAGAUAAUAAAACCUCGCUGCUUGUUAGCAUUUGCCACUACGAGGAAAUCUUUCAAACCCGUAGUGAACUCGCCGGAGAGUCGGGGACCGUACAUCCAUUGCCGAUUCAUCUGCAUUAUUAUUAUAUAAAGUAUAUAAUUAACCAUCAUGCAUUUGUUAAACUAACUAGCUAGAAAUAAUACAAAUUAAACAAUGAACUACACACAUGCAUAUUUUAUCAAUGACACAUGAAAGGUUCAAGUUGCUAACCGCGAUCGCGGAGGAAAAAUAAAUGAGAAAGCUCAAGUGUGGCUCGGACACUUCAUAUCAUGUUUGUUUCAUGCUCUCGGGCAUUUCAUCGAACACCUUGUGUGCAUAGGAGGAACCAAAAGCAAACCCACCACCCCCCUUCUGAAUAUUGUGAAUAGAAGUGGCACCAAUUGUGGCUAAGUGAAGUGAGCUGAGUCCUAUAUAUAGGGAUGGGCCUUUAGUCCCGGUUGGCCUGGCCAACCGCGACUAAAGGCCUUCGGGCCAGCCGGAGGACCUUUAGUCCCCGUUGGCCAGGCCAACCGGGACUAAAGCCCCUCCCGUCCGCCAGCUGUCGACCGAGUUCGCUGGGCCCAGAUAGUUGGUCGCGGGUCUCCUUCCGAACCGUGACUAAAGACCCCUUUGGUCGCGGUUCGAUUAUUUUAGGGACUAAUGGGGGCGUAUGGAAGCCUCUUUUUCUACUAGUGAUAAGUUGUCUUGAAUAUCAAUAAAGCCGCCCCGAGAACCAAGAAAUAAAAAAUCGAGAAGAAAGACCCAAUGAAAGAGGCGAAUUAAAUGAGAGCGGGACUUGCGGGGAGAAAAGGAUGGUAGCCUCUAUCUAUAUCUAUACCUAGUAAUAAAUGGGCUAUUGCUUUUAGCGAUACGUCACGGAAAUUUCCCUAAAGUUACAAACUAUUACCCUACAAACUUUGCGAACAUUCUUUUAAACAAUUUUCUUGAAUCGACGACCAUUUCUAGAAUUGAUGUACAUUUUUCUGGAAACAAUUUUUGAAAUUCGUGACCAUUUUUUGAUUUAAUGAAUUUUUUUGAGAUGCAUGGUCAUUUUUUGAAUCAGUGAACAUGUUAUGAAUGAAAAACUACUUUGUAAGAUCCGAUUUUUUUAAUUUUUUAGAUAUUUUAAAAUUUAUUAACAUUUUCUGUAUUGGCGAUAAUUUUGUGCAAUUUCAUAAACUUUUUUUAGUACUAUAAGUUUUUGAAAAAUCAUGAACAUUUUUUAUUUUCAACAAUUGGUUUUCCAAAAUUUCAAAACAAAAUGUUUACAAAAUCAGAAAUAUUUUUUGAAUCGACAAACAUUUUAUGAUUUACUAAAUAUUUUUUUUUCAAAAUUCUCAUUUUUUAAAUUUCGCAAUUUUUGAAGUACCAAAUUAUUUAAAGUAGAAAAAACGACAACGUAAAAUAAAAAGAACAAUCAAAACAAUAUAUGAAAAACUGGCCACCCGGAUAUGUGCCGGCCCAAAGAGUUAUGAUGCAUCAUCUCCCAGGCGGGGGAUUUCCCUGUGUAAAAUGUUUUUUGGGGCAUUUAUGAAAUUUUGAAAACAAAUGUUCGGGAAAUCAAAAAAUGUUUAUCAUUUUUAAAAAGUUUGUGUAUUACAAAACUGUAAAUUAAGACAAAGUUUUGCCAAACAAAGAAAGUUCAAGAAUGGAAAAUAUCCUAAAAUUUCAAACACUGUCCGAGACUUACAAACUAGCUUAUUCAUUCAUAAAAUAUUCGCUGAUUCAAAAACUGAUCAUGCAUUUCAAAACAUGUUCGUUAAAUCAAAAAAAUAUUCUUGAAUUUGAAAAAAUGUUUGACCUAUUUCAAAAAAAUUCUUCUUUGAUUCUAGAAAUGUUCACAGAUUCAAGAAAAUUGUUUCAACAGUAUUCACAAUUUUUUUAAAUGUUUGAAAACAGUAUAAAGUGCUCAUGAAUUCAAAAUAUGUUCUUGAUUUAAGAAAAUGUUCGAAAAGUUAUAAAAGUGUUCAUGAAUUUGAAAAACGUUCAUGAUAUGAAAUAUGUCACAACAAAGUAGACUAAAUAACGACACGCAUGAAGAGGACUAUAUGAACCCUAUUCGUCAACCUCUAGUAUAAGAUGGCACAUAUGAAGAGGACUAGGUUAGCAUCCUGCCCCAUUUGGAAAACGGUGAUGAACUUGUCCCCUUCCUCGCUAAUGCAUAUGUAAGAUAAUUACUAAACUCAAGUUGUAGUAAACUAUUUUAAACUCAAGUUGUGAUAAUUAAAAUCAAGUUAUACAUACUAAUUAAUCAAUACACUACAUACAACACUAAUUAAUCAAUCUAACUAAUCUAAUAAACUAGGUACAGUGGCGAAAUAAACUAAAUUUAACUAGCUACUUAAAUGAUCUAAGGUAUACACAUUGGUAGGAUUGAGGGCGGCCAGAUUUAGUUCACCACACCUGGGGAGCAGAUCAAGAGGAGGAGGGUGGCCGGAUCGAACUAACCACUAAUUAGACGUGUGCACACCGGCCGGCGGCAUAAAUGCCGCCAAUAAUCAUCGGCCAUAGAUUUCAAGAUGAGAAUGCAGGUUGUGGCAGGGAGAGGGCGCAAAGAGAUGGGGAGAGGAAGAAGAGAGAGUGAGUGGGAAGUUAAUAAAACCCGGGCAGGAUAGUUUGUAUGCAUACAAGCUAGCAGCGUGUGCGCCCGCAGAACACUGCUAGCUUACACGACGGUUUGUAUACCAAACACAAGCCACAUGUGCAACAACGACACAGGGCUAAUGAUGUAGAGGACUGGCAGCCUGGCAUACACAGGCGAACGCUACAAACAGUUUUUCAUUUGAAUUUAGAAAAAAUAAAUGCAUUUUAAAAUUCUUGAAACUUGGUGUACUGUCAUUAUAUGACAACUUGAACUAGCGGUUAAAAUUACAAAGUGUUAAACCAAAGUUUAGUAUAGAUUCCUCCCAAACCGAAGGUAGGUAUCACCAACGGUAAUCAGAAUAGUGCUGAAAAGUGUGCCUCCAAAAUUUUGUUGGCAUACCAUAUGCACCAUUUUAUUGUUACAUGUACACUUAUGGAUUUAUUGACUAUUGUUUUCAAUUUUCAAGGGGAUUGAAUAUAGAAAAUGGCUUAGUAGUGUGCCAUAGAGAGAACACGCUGCUAACAUCAGGGAAAGUAAAGGCAGAAAAAGAUCUAUUGAUGAAAUUGUGCCUGAAAAACAGUAGAGAGAGAGGGGCGGAAGGAGAAGAACGGGUACUCAAUUAUUGGGCGCAACAAUUAGCAGUUUUUGCCAUCCGCUGAAAGCUACGAAAGUUUACAAGUUAGCAGCGUGCGAGUAUAUAAACGCCACUAGUUUUUAAGACCCAUAUGCCCGUCGGUGCACAGAGUGUUAGACAUCAGAGUAGCAGCAUGCGGAGCAGAGCCACACGCUGCUAUAGGAGGUGACACCGGUGGCAUUCCCUCCAUCCGCACGCUGCCAGGGAUUAUGGCAAACCGUCUACCUUCAUGCACGUAACUAGCAGUGUUUCAAAUGGAUGAACGCCACUAAGUCCCUCACUACUGCCGCGUUCUGGUUUUCCCCGCACGCUGCUCGCUGUUACGCGAGUUAGCAGGAGCGUCCAUAUAGUUGUGGACGCUCCUAAUAGUGAAAUCCUAUAAGGGGUUUCCCUACUAGCGUGAGGAAGAUAAUAACGUUCUCUGUACCUGUGCAAUAGAAAAAAAAAUGAAAAUCAAGGGUGUUCUUUCGCGCAGAUGAUAUUAGUAUAUAAAAAGGAUGGAGGCAUGGGGCUUCUGUGAGCCCCACGCAUCCUAGGCCAUGCCCGGGACCCAAGGCAGGUGGCCAGGCACGUGGGCCAUAUAGGCCACCCCUAGGGCCAGUUUUCGGUAGUUGGGGCUAUUUUGCUCCAAAAACCUUUGAUACAUGUUUGCUUUAUUUUUUCCUUGCUCUAUAAAAGUGUUGUUCUCUUGUGAGAUCUUCAUUUUCUGGCUCCUGUUGCUUUUCGGUGCUCACUCCGGUGCAACCUUGCAAAAUGGAAAGAAAAUAUAGAUUAAAUUGUGCAAUGGCAAAUUUAGUUUGAUUUUCACCUCUUUGAAGUCCCCUAAAGAAUUGCUUUUGAAAAAUGCUUUGGUGCCACCAAACUCAAAAUUGUACCAACGCAAAAAUAUCCAGAUUAACAUUUAGAGUGACGAAUGGUUUCCAAUCAGGCGCUUGUUUUGCUGCUAAAAUUCCCUUUUACUUCUAGACAUUGAAAUACGUUGAAUUAUUAUAGUGUGCAAUGUUCAGGAAAUCCGUAACUGAUAGCUGCUCGGUCGGCUUGGGAGCAGUAACUAAUAUAUCAAUCAGCCUAUUAACUGGAUUAAUAGGUCGGCCAUUAAUCGAUAGAUUAUAUAGUAACCUGCCAGCUCAAGCAGCUAGCUAUUGAUGUGUAAGUCUAGGAUUGCAGUUAGGGAUGAAAAUCAAAAUAAAAAGUGAAUGUAACAGUGACAAGCAAUGCUAGCAAACAAGAACUUUGUUUGUCUUUUAUUCCCAAGCUUGAACUAGCACUGGUCGGGGUCACACAUGAUGGCGUACGCCACUUUAUUUGUCAUCGCUACAACGAUUGGUGCAUCAGCUAAGCAACGAUGAUCCAUCUACCUAUUAGCAUAACUCUUGCAUUUUUCAUUGGCCACCAAUGCCGACGACUAUGCUGGCAAAUGGUGCGUUGAUGGUGGAGCAGUCAGGUGAGACAUACACGUUGCACAUGGUUGGAAGAGUUCUCAAUACCAAUGACCUGAUCACCUCCAAUUGAGCUGGUUGUUGAGGUUGGAUGAUGCCCUGACCCUGAACGAGCUGAAACAGUGGCCGCCGGAUCUGCACGCCUUGUCGUUGUUCUUGCUGCAUGAUGAUGGAAUGCACGACACUAUGGAUGGCUGCACACUGGAGCUGCUGAGGAAUCUGUGCCAGUUGUUGGCAACAUUGUUGCUGCAUCACCUGGCAAUCACUUCGUGGCAAGAUCAUUGAUAUGAGGGAUGACACCAAUGACACAGGGUUGCAUUGCUGCAAGAGAAAAUUCUUGCAGGGGUUCAUCUGUUGUUGUAGAGAUAGCUGAAUCAACGGUUGUUGUUGCUGGGGGAAUGAUUGUUGCGGUUGUUGGGGCUGCAGGAAUUGUUGUUGGGGCUGGGGAAAAGGUUGUUGUGGUUGCUGUGACUGGGGAAAUUGUUGUUGGGGUUGUUGAGGCUGGGGGAAUGGUUGUUGGGGUUGUUGGGGAAAUGNNNNNNNNNNNNNNNNNNNNNNNNNNNNNNNNNNNNNNNNNNNNNNNNNNNNNNNNNNNNNNNNNNNNNNNNNNNNNNNNNNNNNNNNNNNNNNNNNNNNNNNNNNNNNNNNNNNNNNNNNNNNNNNNNNNNNNNNNNNNNNNNNNNNNNNNNNNNNNNNNNNNNNNNNNNNNNNNNNNNNNNNNNNNNNNNNNNNNNNNNNNNNNNNNNNNNNNNNNNNNNNNNNNNNNNNNNNNNNNNNNNNNNNNNNNNNNNNNNNNNNNNNNNNNNNNNNNNNNNNNNNNNNNNNNNNNNNNNNNNNNNNNNNNNNNNNNNNNNNNNNNNNNNNNNNNNNNNNNNNNNNNNNNNNNNAAUGUUUGUUGGGGCUGGGGAAAUGGUUGUUGUGGUUGCUGGGUCUGGGGAAAUUGUUGUUGUGGUUGAUGGGGGUAUGUUUGUUGGGGUUGGGGAAAUGUUUGUUGUGGUUGAUGGUGGAACGUUUGAUGGGGUUGGGGAAUAGUUUGUUGUGGUUGCUGGCAGAAUGGUUGUUGGGGCUGGGGGAAUGGUUGUUGUUGUGGCCAAUGUACUUGGUAGCCGGGGUCGACUUGCAUAUUGGCGGUGGCGAUGGUUGUUGCCAUCGCAAGGAUUGUUACGAUGAGUAAGGUCUUCAUGGUGGAUUUGCGUUAGGUACUACUUACUUGGAUUUGAUUCUUGUGCUCUAGUUAUGUGAAGGAUGGAUGAUGGUAUGGAGUGUACAUAUUACAGGCUUUUAUAGCUAUCAUGGUUAGGUUUCUUUUCAUUAUUGCUUUCACUUUUUAAAGUGAUUCGAUGCUUAUCAAACUAAUUAUUUGGUGUGUUCUGUUUGGUGGCACUACAUACAAACGUACUUUUGGAGUGGUCAGUAAAGUUGCCUUUUUAUUGUACAUAUCAUCUAAGAGUGGCGAAAACUAUAUAAUUGGCACUGACUCAUCUUAUCGACUUUACAAGUCAAACAAUUAUCUGGAUUGCAUUCCUUUUGGAUCUAAGUUUAUCAUGUUGUACAAGUUGUUAGGCAUAAACCAAAUCUUCAUAGCUUGCGGGGGACUAAAUUUGUAUCCUUGUGCAUGUUGUUAAAGAUAGAUCAGGCUAUUCUAAUGUUCAUUCUGGACUUUUAUUCUUUUUUAAACUAGCUUGCAGUGUUGUAUAGUAUGAUGGUAAGAUGAACAAGCUAAUAAGACUCGUCAGAUUCUUCUUUUAUGUCAAGGGUAGUAAUGUUGUACACGAAUCAAUACAUGACCCAUCAUAUUUCCUUUUUAUGUCAAUGGUUGUAAUUAUGUGCAAGUUAUUAAUUAAUAUUGGACAAGUACUAGCUUUACAUGUCUUAAUUGAUUCACUCUUUAGUACAUUUGAAGGUUUGUUCUCGCUUUAAUUGAUUAAUUUAUUGAACUAAGUUUGCAUGUAUUAUUUGUAACAUUUGAUGCAUUUAGUCGAAGUUGUCCAUGACAACCGUGAUUACUAAGAUUUCUGAGAAUGAUUUCAAGCAUUUAAAAAAUAAAUAGUGGCAUAUUUGUAUCCUUAGGGCAUUUCUAACCGAUCCUUUUAAAAUAACAUAGGAUUCGGCAGAGUAAACCUUUAGUGGAGUAUUUUUACUCCAUUAACUUUUGGUCGGACCUAGCCGAACUCUGAAAUCUAAUAGGGUAACAACCAAAUUUGCAUAAGUUAAAACUACAUUCAAUUGAAACAACUAAAGUUUUACACAUUUGUCUUGACAUCCCACGGGACGACCGAAAUUCAAUUUAAACAACCUAAACCUAAACCUAAACUUAUAAUUAAAACUAAACUUGAAAUUAAGCUAAACUACUCUUCAUCAUCAUCACAUGGUAGAGGUCGAGCCAAUCUUGGCUUGACAUUCUAGCGACCAUUGGGUCCGGGUUAGUGCCGUCGUCAUCAGAGUUGGGUAAGAUGCCUCUCCAUUCGUCGGCAUUGAACUCGUUCUCGUCCUUUCCACCUUCAUCGCCGCCUUCCACCUCGUCGUCGGAGAUGACGAUGACCUCCCCGUUGAUUGCCUGCUCCGCCUCCACGAGCUUGGGGCACUGGCGAUGGAGGUCUACCAUGUACUCCUCAUCGGUGGGCUCCACCGCGAUGUGCAACCUCGCCUCCCAGUCCUCCCAAGCCGUCGCCGCAUCCACCACCCGCGGUGGCAGUGAGUCGAGGUGGGAGGGUGCCGUCCCCCACGGGAAGUUGAGUUGCGUGUCCGCCACCCCCGAUGGGUCCCCAAUGGGAAGUUGAGCUGCGCGUCCGCACCGUGGAACCAGGCCUGCCACCGGUCAUAUUCCAGGGCGGCGAGCUUCGUCAUGUGUAACGACUCGAUCCACUUCUUCUUUUGGGUCUCCUGGUCGGUGAUCUCUGCCACCCAUGUCCCCCACGUUCGCUGGCGGACGCCGAGGUAUUUCCUCUCCGGCUGUUGCGGCGGAUUGAGGUCCGGUAAGUCGGAGAUGCAGGCGGGGGCCGCAUCGGCGGGGCAGCGGCGGUUCGAAGACGCGCGGCAGGCAUGGCAGCGUGGAUCCGCGCUACGGAUUGGCAGCGGGGAGCGCCGGCCAUGCAAUCCCGUCAUUGGGAGCAGGGCCUGCCCUGGCGUAUGGCCAGAGGGGCGACCGCCCAGGGCCCAGGCCUGGGGAGCGCCCCUAAUCUGGUCUGCGUGUAUACUUAGUAUUGUCCAGCAGAAAAAUAUAUAGGGAAAAAAUUAGGAGGGAAACGAAUAGAUGGGCUAUGGCCAAUUGACGUGGCUGGUUACGGCCGCACAUAGAGAUCAAUUACCUGAGGCUGGCCAUAGUAGGGGUAACAUAAGUAGUAUCAUGCACUUGAGACUCGCAAACUUGCUUAUGUGGCAGGCAAUUAAAGAAGAGAGAUGGUUAUAGUAACAUGGGUAGAUACCGUAACAUAAUAAAUGUGAUGUUACUAUGUGUCAUGCAUGGCAAUAAAUGAGAUCAUCUAUGAUACUAAUCUAUGAUAGUAUGCACUAUGAAUACAUGAUACUAGUGUAUGAUACUCCCCAUUAUGACCAGCCCGAUCGUUUGGAUAGACUUAAAAAAAACUAAUCAUUUGGAUUAGGCUAAAAAACACCCGAUCGCUUGGUUUACCCCUCAUAUAAAAAACUUGAUAGCUCAACUAAAAAAAAACCUGAUAGCUUCGUCUCUUCCUCGACCACGAACCACUCGGGCAUGCUUUCUCUUGCUGCCGCCGCGCGCGGCAGCCUAGUCGCUGGUGUUGCGCCGUGCGCCGUGCGCCCAUGUCGGCGACCCGGCUGCCGCAGUUGUGCGCCACCCGUGGCCGGUUGGCCCUCACGCCCAACCAUCCACGAGACCAUUAUCCAGUCUUUCGUAAAUACCUAACGAGAUUAGGGUUUAGAUGUACAAAUUUCUAGUUCUUCCUAUUCUCGUUUCUUCAUAAAUUUAGGACAUAGCAUGCCUUACAAUGUUAAAUAAAAAGAAGUAUUUGCUGGGUACUUUACAUCUUCAAGCAAUGUCUAUGUAUCACACAUACACACACACAACCUAGGGGCCAUGUCGUCAGGUUCGCCCUAGGGCCUUCCAAAACAUAGGGCCGGCCCUGAUUGGGAGGAGGGGGAGUCGGCGGCGAGGAUGGGGGAGGAGGAGAGGUAGAGGAGGCGGCUAGAGGGCUGAGGAAGUUUAACUCCACUAGCACCGAUUGGGGAUCGGCAAGGUCCCGAUUAGAGGAGUAAAACUUGGUUUUUAGUUCUCCAACUGGUUAUAGUGGAUUCGUUAGAAAUGCCCUUAGAUCGUUAAAAGCAUCUAUUUAUUACACUAUCUACUAACAUACCUUUAAUCUACGCAGACUUGUCAAGAAGUCCUUUGUUGGCGUGUUUAUCCACCUGAACGGAAGCCCGUCAAGUUCUAGUGUUGCAAAAGGAAGCAAGAAGAGGUGGCAAAAUUGCUCAACAAGUCAAUCUUGUUCUUUGUUUAUUAAUACCCUAGAACUAACGGUUGACUCCUGAUCUCUUGUGAGCAUAUAUAGUUUUCCAAAAUAAAAAAGUAAAGUGCAUUCUAGUUUUAAUAUGUUACAAAUGGUUCACAUUUUUAUCCACNNNNNNNNNNNNNNNNNNNNNNNNNNNNNNNNNNNNNNNNNNNNNNNNNNNNNNNNNNNNNNNNNNNNNNNNNNNNNNNNNNNNNNNNNNNNNNNNNNNNNNNNNNNNNNNNNNNNNNNNNNNNNNNNNNNNNNNNNNNNNNNNNNNNNNNNNNNNNNNNNNNNNNNNNNNNNNNNNNNNNNNNNNNNNNNNNNNNNNNNNNNNNAACCUGCAUGCUGCCGGGUCUUGCUGUGUCUUCAGCCGUUUCUCUUGCAUGUCCUCCUUAGGUAGGUCUUGCCACGGGAGCACGUGGUAGCAGCACUUAUCUGCUAGUGUCAGCAUCAUGGCCCUUGCUGCUGGAUUCCGUGCCAGCGCUCAGUCCACUAUGGCUGAUGGCGUCGACAUCACCCCUUGCCACCCCGAUCUGCGCCCGCGCCUACCGGAUCUCACUUCUUAGCUCAACAGUUGCAUACUUCGGCUACAUUUCUCUUAUUAUGUACUGUAAAUUUCAAAAAAUUGGUAUUUCAAAAUUUCAAAAAAGAAUAUAUUUCAAAAUCAGAAAUAUUUUUUGAAUCCACAAACACUUUAUGAUUUAUUAAAAAAAAAUUCAGAAUUCUCGUUUUUAAAAUUUCAGAACUUUUUUGAAGUCUCAAAUUUUUUAAAGUAGAAAAAAACGUAAAAUAAAAAGAACAAUUAAAAUAAUAUAUAAAACGCUGGCCACCCGGAUAUGGGCCGGCCCAAAGAGUUAUGCUGCAUCUUCUCCCAAAGAGCAGAGCGCGGUAUAGGAAGUCGCUACUGCAUAGGCCGGCCCUGGCGGGGGAUUUCCCUGUGUAAAAUGUUUUUUAUCACUUAUAGGUGCCAUUGGUGGGGCAUUUACGAAAUGUUGAAAACAAAUGUUCAGGAAAUCAAAAAAUGUUUAUGAUUUUUAAAAAGUUUGUAUAUUAAAAAAUGUAAAUUAAGAAAAAAAAAAUUCCAAGUCAAACAAUGUUCACGAAUGAAAAAAUAUCAUAAAAUUUCAAAAAUUAUCUGUGACUUAAAAACUAGCUUAUUCAUUCAUAAAAUGUAUGCUGAUUCAAAAAUUGAUCAUGCAUUUCAAAACAUGUUCUUUAAAUCAAAAAAAAUUCUUGAAUUUUAAAAAUUGUUCCACCUAUUUCGAAAAAAAUCUUCAUCGAUUCUAGAAAUUUUCACCGAUUCAAGAAAAUAGUUUCAAAAAUAUUUACAACUUUUAAAAAAUGUUUGAAAUAGUGUAAAGUGUUCAUGAAUUCAAAGUAUGUUCUUGAUUUUAGAAAAUGUUCAAAAUUUAUAAAAGUAUUCAUGAUUUUGAAAAAUGUUCAUGAUUUGAAAUAUGUUCACAACAAAGUAGACUAAAUAAACGCAUGAAGAGGACUAUAUGAAGCCUACUCGUCAACCUCCUAGUAUAAGAUGGCACGCAUGAAGAGGACUAGGUUAGCAUCCUGCCCCAUUUGGACAACGGUGAUGAAUUUUUUGUCAAACAUAAAUAUACAAAAUAUGAUUUUUUUAAUCUAAAAAAUCAUAAUUUGUAUAUUUAUAUUUGGCCAAAAAAUCUGAAAGAUUUAUCCUAGAUUCUAGAUAGAAAACUUUGCCACUCUGCAAAGGUUUGAACUUCAAAACAUGUUUUAUGCGAGAGAAACAAAAAAGAGAAAUGUGUUAAGUUGUUUGGUGUGCAUCACUAGACAAGGUUGUGCAUCAUCUGACCCAGAUUCACCUCUCUGAACUUUUUGUUGCCUUGACCUUUACUGCAAUGAUUUUCCUUUAUGACAGUCUAAUGAUGAUCUUUCGACGACAUCUUGUGAAUGAAACUUUAAUACUGCAGUAGGCACCACUUGUGUAUUAAUAUCAACCGUACGUAAUUCUGGUUGCUUAAUUUCUACUCUCUGUAGCCGUUUCUAAACCGGCAUAAGUAGGCCCCAAGGUUCCCUAUUUUUGUUGUGGAGGCACUAUAUGACUGUUUGGUGUUAUUUGUAUUAUUUAAGCAAAUGUCAUGGACCCUUUUUCAUCGUGCAAGUGAUUUUGAAGACAUAUAUCUCUGCCUGCUAUGUUCGCGUGGCAAUUUUGGUAUGGUCGUUAGUAAUAAUAUUAUGUCCAGGUUUUGAUGGACAUGUACGCAUGCUUGUUUUGUUGAUAUCAACUCUACCGGAGGAUGUCUUUGAUUGCUUCUCAAAAGUAUAGUGCUAGUUACCAGUAGCAUAAUUGUAGAUGUUUAGAUUCUAAAAUGGCCUGAAGUUGAGGAACAACUGAAACUACUGAAGGCCUAUAACAUAGAUGUGUGCUAAUUACAUUACAGGUAGGUAGUCACAUCAUGUCUUUGCUCUGGACAUCCAGCACUCAACAGCAUUUUCUUCUUACCUUUUUCAGGGGGUCGCAUCUCUUUUUCUACCUAUCAUGUGUUCCCUUGGUACAAAGAUUCAUCUCUUUUCGAGGGGUUCAGAUUUCUGAAUCAUUUUAUUUUAGCUCAAGUAACAAGACAUCUCGUUGCGUCAGUUCAGCUCGUAGGAACAACAUUUGCCUUGUAUUUGUACCUCAUCAAGAUGCCAACUUUGCUUUGCUGGCCAUGUACUUUAUACUGGCGCUAAAAUGAAAAAUGCGCCUUUCCCUUGCUGAAAAAAGGGAGAAUGAUUUAUUUAUUUACAUUAGCUCCUGCACGCCCUGAUCGUGGAAUAUUUACUAGUACAAAACAAACAAUGGGAAGAGUGAAACGACGGCUGAGCCGAUGAGCAGGAUGAAAGAGAGGAAGUAAGAAAUUAAUGCCUUGUCAUGUUCAGGGUUUUUCGUAGCAACUUUUCUUCAGCUGUUUGUGUGGCCAAGAUGCUGCUUGCUUCUAGAUGCCUUGAAUUCAACAAGGUGCAGCCAAACACACAAUUCGAUCAUGACUAGCUUUAUUGAAUUAAAGAACAAUUACAUUGUUCACUAGUUGGUGAAGUAAAAAACCUGGAGGUUCAUUAAUCUAACUAUCCUCACACUUAUUACAAAAACUGAAUUUCGCUAAGCUACAGAGUUUGCAUGACUGUCUAGGAAAUAUUUCACAGGAGAAAACUAAUCUGUCAUAUUUUUCCACAGGAGAAAAUAGAGGAUAGAUGGCGACACUGAAGAAGAAAAUUUUGGCAUGUCGGAUGUUACACGGCAACCAACACAUACGCGGGCUGGUAGACGUAAAGAAAGCGCCGGUAACCCACUUGUGUUUGUAUUUUCUUCAGUUUGUGUGGUCAAGAUGCUGCUUGGCUGCACGGGCUUUGAGUUCCAGAAGUUGCAGCCAUGGCCUCAUAUUCCCUCGGACACACGACUUCCAACAAGACUUAAGGUCCAGGAUUUGUAUUAAACAGAAUUCAACACUGAAACCUUUACUUCUACCACAGCCGGUGGAUAGAAUUCAAGCACGGAAUUUCCCCGCAAUUUGUAGUUGCGUUGCAUUGCGCCACCAGUCAUGAGUCCUUGAUCUAAAUAUUUGUUCUAUGUACCAGCUGAAAAGCGUAAAGAGAAACAUUUUUUAGGAUAGCUUAAGACAUAUAUACUAAAGCUGUUUUACAGUAUCAAAUAAACAAGGAAAUACUGCCAAAAAAUCACAGGUGAUACCAUCAAAGAGGUUGGAACUUCCAGUAGGGAUACCAUCAAUUGUUGAGUUCAGAGAACAGCUCCCUUUAUCCCUUUCUAAUAGAGAAGCAAAUAAGAGAAGUGGAUUUAUACCAGUUCAGAGUUCAGAGUUUAGAAACCAUUUCUAACAAGUUCAGAGUUCGGAGAACAACUUCCAACAUAAGACAACCAUGUACGUACUGAUAAGAGAGCGGAUACCAAUUCAACCUCGAAAAUCCAUCAUAGUUCAACUCAGCUAGUGAGGAUGUACAACUAACUACCGUAUGGCGAGCAGCUCCCAUUAUCACUCACCAUUAUUCUAAAACAAGUCUUCUUCUACAAGUGCCUUCUCAGAUUUUCGACUGGAAUAUCAGAGGUAGACAAGUGGAUUUAAUUUGCACUCAUUUGGUUACUCAUAAAUUAUGAAGGGGCAUACCUGGGAAUAUCGCCGUGUUAGAUGUUGCAAGCUAUCGACAACGUACGUGGGCCGGCAGGCGUCGACCAAGUUGAGCUUGGAUUUUUGCUUCAGUUUGUGUGGUGAAGAUACUGCUUGCUGUACAAGCUAUGAAUUCCACAUGACUUCCAACAAGACUCGUGUGGUUGUACAGUGCCACUUCAUCGUUUUCCUCGGACACAUGACUUCCAACAAGACUUGAGGUCCAGCAUUUGCAUUAACCACAAUUUAACACUGAAACCUUAGUUUUACCAGCAGGCAACAGCACGGGAUUUCCCCACAAUUUGUCCUUACGCUGCGCCGCCAGCCGAGUCCUUGAGCUAAAUAUUUUGUUCUAUGUACUGAAAAGGGAAACAUUUAGAGGAUAGCUCAAGACAAGCUGCUCCAAUUUAUUUACGGAAUUGCCAUAACUGAAGCAGUAACAGGUUACAUGAUCAAAUAUAAACAAGGAAAUAUUGUCAAAUCAAUCAGCAUCAAAUAAAAACUCCACUGCGAGUGUUAACUCAAGCCCAUUUUGCGCAUUAGAAGAAAGCGAGCUGCGGCACUGAAGACAGAGGAGAAUCGGGAAAGAUCUUGUGUCAUCUUUCUGCAUGGAUGAGAAAAGAAAAUAGAGGAAGAGAUGGCGACACUGAAGCUUGGAAAUUCCAGUAGAGAGAGACGGCGACACUGAAGAAUAGUCAUCCAGCGGCAGCUUAAGACACUGAAUACUUUAUUUUUACCAUCGGUAGAAUUCCACCACUGAAUAUUUCCAACGUUUAAUCAUUGUGUUGCACCACCGGUCACAGUUCUGAAAAGCGAAUAAGGGAAACAUUAGUACUGUACAGAACAGCUUAAGACAAGCUGCUUCAAUUUCUUUAGUGGAAUUGCCAUAACUGAAGUAGUUUCAAGUCACAUGUCUAAAUAAACAAGAAAUACUUUCAAACCAGGGUGGAGGACUAGAAUCUUGCAGAUAGAGCAACCGAGGGUCUUCUUCCCGGCAAGCCUCAUUCGCAGGGCUCUUGAUUUUAUCUUUUAAGAAUUCGUCCAGACAAUGUUGAGGUCUGAGACACCCGAAAUGCCCGGACGAAGGGCAAGUUCGCUGUAGUGCCGAGAACGCAGGUUGAGCAUGACAAAAAGAAAGGGUUUAGAGGUGAGGGGAUUUGGUAAUUCUCUGGACUUAAAUCAAGAAUGGAGAUGCAGAAUUUUGGGCAUCUACCAGGUUUAAUUAUUUUCAUCACUGCUGCGCACACAUUGGGAGGAAGCAGCUACCUGGCAUUGAUGUGGUUGUGCUUAUAUUUUUCCUUUUUCGCCUCAUCUCCAAACUUGUGCUUGCUUCAUGUAUGAACCCUGGUUUGUCCUUAAUCUGUAAAGCCGAGGGAGAGCCUAUUUCGAGAGAUUGGAUAGUUUGUACGUAAACUGAAUUUUGGCAUGGAGGUACCUAAGUGAAAUAGUUCGGUUCUACUGAUUAUUCUUCUCUAAAGUAUGCAAGAAAUAGUAACAAUUUCCACCCUUUUGAUUACUGAUAAAUUACAAAGGGCAUACCUGGGAAUAUUGGUGUGUCGGAUGUUACACGGCAACCAACACGUACGUGGGCCGGCAGAGCUGCAGAAAGCGCCAGUAACCCUCUUGAGCUUGGAUUUUUGCUUCAGAUUGUGUGGUCAUGAUACUGCUUUGCUGUACCACCUUUGAAUUCAACACAAAUUGCAGCCACAAUUCAACAAGACUUGGGGUCCAGGAUUUGUGUGAACCACAAUUUAACACUGAAACCUUUAUUUCACCACUGCCGGUGAAUAGAAUUCCAGCACCUAAUUUGUCAUUGGGCUGCGCAACCAGUCACGAGUCCUAGAGCAAAAUAUUCUCUUCUUUUUUCGUUGCAAUCAACAUACAUGGGCCAACAGACGUACAGAAAGCGCUAGUAACCCACUUGAGCUUAGAUUUUUGCUUCAGCUUGUGUGGUGAAGAUGUUGCGUGGUUGCACAGGCUUUGAGAAUCCACGAGUUACAACCACUACCUCAUUUCCCCUCGACACAUGACUUCCAUCAAGACUUGGGGUCCAGGAUUUGUUUUAAACAAAAUUCAGCACAGAAGCCUUUAUUUUUACCAUCGACAUAAUUCUAGCACGGAAUUUCCCCUCAAAUAAUAGUUGUGUUGCGCCACCGGUCACGAGUCAUUGAGCUAAAUCUUUUGCUCUAUGUACCAGCUGAACAGCGAAAAGGGAAGCAUUUUAGAAAAUAUAACACAAGCUGCUUCAAUUUCUUCAUAUUUGAAGCAGUUACCAAAGAAAUACUAUCAAACAAAUCACAGGAGAAACCAUCGAAUAAACAAAGAAAUACUAUAAAAAAAUUGACAGGAGAUACCAUCAAAUGAAAACUCUACUGCAUUAUUGUUGUUAACUCAAGUCCAUUCAGUGCAUAAGUUGUCGACGGAGAAUUGGGAAAGAUAUGUGUAGGCGUACCCAUAGGUAUUGCUUUCUAAGAACAAUUCAUGUGUGUGUUCUCCACAGGAAUGACGAAAGAAAAUAAAGGAAGAGAUGGCAACAUUGAAGAAGGAAAACAGGCGGCCCGGUAGCAGCUUCCAAAAGGGUGUGCUAGUUUCCAAACAAGAGCUUGGAACUUCCAGCAGGGAGAGAUGGCGACACUGAAGAAUGGUCAUCAAGCAGCAGCUUCCACUCAACUGUCUGUCUGUGUGUUCACGGAGGACCUCAUAACACUAUUUAAAUAUCAGUAGAGUUGCAAUUUAUAUUGAAUCUCAUCACCCAGCCAAACACACCAUGCAAACACUAGGCAGCAAGCCAUCUUGCUCAGCAGCUUUGUUCUACCUCUACUGCCUACUGUUAGUGUCAAGCCUUCAUCUCUUGGAAGAAGCACAUGCAGCACGGCAUGGAGGGAUCUCGCUGAGGUCUCAGCACAUGGCCCUCCUCCACUGGAAAGCUACACUUGUGAGUCCACCGCUGCAGAUGAGUUCCUGGCAGGAAAACACCAGCCCGUGCAACUGGACGGGCAUCAUGUGCACGGCUAUUCGCCAUGGUCGUCGCAUGCCCUGGGUGGUGACCAGCAUCUCCCUGCCGGAUGCUGCCAUCCGUGGCCAGCUCGGUGAGCUCAACUUCUCGGCACUUCCAUUCCUUACAAAUAUCGACCUUCAUAACAACAGUCUCCAUGGUACACUGCCCGCUAAUAUCAGCUCUCUGUCAGCACUUUCUGAUCUUAACCUUAAGCAGAACCAGCUCACAGGGGAAAUUCCUUAUGAGAUUGGUGGCCUGCAAAGUCUCAGGCAGCUUUCUCUCUCAUUUAACAACCUCACAGGAAAUAUCCCUGCAUCUCUGGGCAACCUAACAAUGUUAACUUUUCUUGCCAUUCACCAAACCAUGGUAUCAGGUCCAAUUCCAGAGGAGAUUGGACGGCUUGUAAACCUACAAAAUCUACAGCUAAGCAACAGCACCUUAAGCGGCAUCAUACCAAAAACCCUUGGAAAUCUGACCCAGCUAAUUGGUUUGUACCUGUUUGGUAAUCAACUCUCAGGGCCUAUACCCCAAGAACUAGGACGGCUAGUCCAUCUGCAAAUUCUUGAGCUUGAUUCAAAUUAUUUUUCAGGUCCAAUUCCAAUCUCUAUAACUAAUCUCACUAAGAUUAACGCAAUUUUUCUCUUUGAAAAUCAAAUCACGGGUCCAAUACCUUCAGAGUUGGGCAACUUGCUAAAUCUCCAGUCUUUAGUCUUAUUCGACAACCAAAUAUCUGGCUCUAUUCCUGACAGCCUAGGAAAUAUAACCAAGCUAGUAGUACUACACCUCUAUGAAAAUCAGAUAAGUGGUUCCAUCCCCCAGCAAAUUGGCAAUCUGAUAAACCUCAAAUCCUUAGCCUUGCACCAGAACCAAAUUUCCGGAUCAAUACCAAAAACUUUUGGGAAGUUGCAAAGCGUCCGAACACUGCAAAUGUAUGAUAACAAAUUAUCAGGUUCUCUUCCUCACGAAUUCGGAGAUCUCAUAAGCCUUGACAAUCUUGGGUUAGCUAACAACUCACUCUUAGGACCUUUACCCGCAAAUAUAUGUUCAGGUGGCAGACUUCAAAUUCUCACUGUCCAAUCUAAUAUGUUCACUGGCCCCAUUCCAAGAAGUUUAAAGACAUGUACUAGUCUGCUUAAAAUUAACAUUGAAAAGAACCAACUAACAGGAGAUAUAACUAGGCAUUUUGGUGUGUAUCCACAACUCACACUGAUGCGCUUGGCAUCAAAUAGACUCACCGGGCAGAUCUCACCAAAUCUAGGUGCAUGUACCCAGCUAACUGCCCUAACUCUAAGCAAAAAUAUGAUCACGGGUUCCAUACCUCCAAUCCUUUCUAAAUUGUCUAACCUAGGAGUACUAAAACUUGAUUAUAAUCAUCUCAACGGUAAAAUUCCACAAGAAUUAUACACUUUAACUAAUCUGUACAUGCUGAACUUAUCAUCGAACCACUUAUCUGGAUCCCUACCUACACAGAUAGAAAAACUAAGCAAUCUAGGAUAUUUAGAUAUUUCUGGGAAUAGACUGGGUGGAUUAAUACCUGAGGAACUAGGGGCCUGCAUACACCUACAAUCCUUGAAGAUCAACAACAACUUUUUCACUGGGAGUUUGCCUGGUACGAUUGGAAAGUUAGCGGGUCUGCAGAUCAUGUUAGAUGUGAGCAACAAUAACCUCAGUGGCAUAUUGCCGCAGCAACUUGGGAAGUUGGGAAUGCUAGAAUUUCUGAAUUUAUCCCAUAAUCAGUUCAGUGGCAGCAUUCCAUCCUCCUUUGCAAGCAUGUUGAGCCUUUCAACACUCGAUGUGUCCUACAAUGCCUUGGAAGGACCAAUCCCAAUAACACGACUACUCCAAAAUGCUUCAGCAAGUUGGUUUCUUCCCAACAAAGGUCUGUGUGGUAAUCUCUCUGGCCUGCCACCUUGUUAUUCAACUCCAGUAGAUGGUCACCAUAAACGAAAGACAUUAAAUGUGCUUUUUCCAAUUGUUCUUGUGGUGGGUUUCGGCAUUAUUGGUGCAAUUGUUGUCGUAAUAAUGCUUAGCCGAAACAAGAAUAAACCUGAAGAAAGUGUUACUCCUGAAGCAAGGGAACUAUUCUCUGUUUGGAAUUUUGAUGGAAGAUUAGCAUUUGACGAUAUUGUAAGGGCAACAGAAGACUUCGAUGAUAAGUACAUCAUUGGAACAGGAGGAUACGGCAAAGUCUAUAAGGCAGAGCUUCAAGACGGGCAGCUAGUUGCUGUGAAGAAGCUUCAUCAAACUGAAGAAGAGUUGGAUGAUGAAAGAAGAUUUCGUAGUGAAAUGGAAAUCUUAACACAGAUCCGACAACGAUGCAUUGUCAAAAUGUAUGCAUUCUGCUCCCAUCCAGCGUAUAAAUUUCUAGUCUAUGACUACAUUCAGCAGGGAAGCCUACGCAGGAUAUUGGAAGAUGAGGAGCUAGCAAAGGAAUUGGAUUGGCACAAGAGAAUUUCUCUUGCAAAUGAUGUGGCUCAAGCAAUAUCUUAUUUGCACCAUGAAUGCAGUCCACCUAUAAUCCAUCGAGAUAUCACGAGCAGCAACAUCUUACUUGAUACAACCUUCAAGGCUUUUGUCUCGGAUUUCGGCACAGCAAGGAUUCUUAAGCCCGAUUCAUCAAACUGGAGUGCACUAGCAGGAACAUAUGGCUACAUAGCUCCUGGUAUGUACUAGAAACCUUUCUUCUCACACUAGAAGCAUUCAUCUCAAUCCAUUUAUUCCUAAUUCUAAUGUUUUGAUUUUGUGCAGAGCUAUCAUACACAUCUGUUGUGACGGAGAAAUGUGACAUCUAUAGCUUUGGCGUGGUUGUGCUAGAGCUAGUCAUGGGGAAGCAUCCAAGGGAUCUAUUAGACGGUAGUUUACCAAGCAAGGAACAAGCUAUACUGGUAAAUGAUAUUCUGGACCAACGGCCGACAACACCAACCAUGUGGGAGGCAUACCACACACUCAUCCAGCGACCCUCUUCUAAUCCAUAUCCCGUGCCUUUCAGCGCACUUGCAUUAUGGCAAGUAAUGAAUGCAUGCUGAUAUAUGAUCCGAGUUCUAGUGAGAAGCCUGUGUCUAUUGUAGCGGAAGCCGUUUUAGGUUUUGGUUUUGCCUUGAGUCAUUCAUGCCAACUAUAUAUGUUGAAGUCUGUAAUCCUAUCAUGACAUCUCGUAGGUUUUAUUUCUAGCAAAAAUAAUGACCGAUCCAUGCAGUGUGAGCCUGUUACGGCCAUAGCGGCUUAGAACUGAGGCAUGGUCAAGGGACGUGGGAUGGCACGUUCGUGAAGCUUGGCCAUGGCGCAAGAUUAGUAUCUUUCUGUUAGUUAGUUAGUUGAGCUAAUGAGCUGUUUAAAUAAAGAAGAGAACAAAGCAGAAAAGCUACAAAGUUUUACACGACGCAAAUAUCCUAAGUGUUCACUAAUUCUUCUCCCACCCAUUUCCUCCAACAAUAUAUACCUCGGGAUGAGUUGGUGACUCAAUGUAAUUCUAUGUGUUGUAGACACUCUCCUAUUGUGUGCUCGUAGUUUUCCCCGCAAGGGUUUUCCACGUAAAAAAUAGUGCCCCAUGUUCUUGAUAUUUCUCCAUUUGUUUAGUUCCUGAUUUCUAACAAGGCAUAAAUAUAAUUUUUUUUUCGCUGGUUGCUUGUAAAAUGUAAUGUGUCUAUGCUUAUAUUUGUCAUUUUCUUUUGGCUGUUGUCUGCAAGGGUACUUGGAAUGGUGUACAAAUAUUUGUCUCUUUUUAUCUACUUCUGCUCCCAUGAACCUGAAGACGAAUUUGGAGUCCAAAACUGACGCGAUAUCAGGCGGUCACAAUGAUCAGGAUAAAAUACCUUGGACCAAGCAGGAAUGAUCACAAUGAUCAAGCGGUCGAUGCAUAAACAGGAACAAAUAAUGUUAGCACGCAGAGCUAGGUGCAUACAAAAAGGAAAAUUACCACAGUACUGAGUAAAAGAACUUAGAGAGGGUUGUAGGGCAUAAAAAGGGAAAAUUACCACUGUACUAAGUAUGAAGUUUUGAUCGGUUGAUGCAUAAACAUAAACAAAUGAAUGUAAACUUACGGAUCCAGGUGCAUAAAAGGGAAAAAUUACUACUGUACUAAGUAAAAGGACUUACAGAGGAUUGCAGUCCUUUUCCUUGGAGUCCUUGUCCUUAGGAUGGAGCAACAAAUGAUUUACUACUACAAUUAAUUUCAAACAUUAGUUAGCAAGAUUGACAUGGAACAAAGAUACAACCUUCUUUCUUCUUCAUGCCUAAUAAAAACUUAAGAAAGGAUGAGAUGAGAUGAUAUGAAAAGCCCCAGGUGACAGACAACAGUAAGAGCUAAGCUAGUGCAGUCAUAGACAAGAAGAGUCUGGUAUGAAAAUAUCCCAUAAUCUUUUUAACAGAAAAGUAGGUACGAUUCACCUCAAAUUCAACCAAGCUAGUGUAAUCACAGACAUACUAAGAACAAGAUGCACAGCCAAAUAGAGAACGGCUCCAUUUACCAUUGUUAAGCAACUUGUAGUGGUAUAUGUGAAAAGAUACAAAAAUUUGUCCAUGCACAAACAAAGCGCCGACCAUUUACAUCAAGAUCAAACCUACACCAUAGUUUUUUUUGGUUAGUUUCAGGUACGAAUUGACGUGUGCGGCACUGUAGGCAGUCCUAGUUCAUCCUCGAUCCUGCACAAGCAGAGGAAAUCAAGCAUAGAAAAUUAGUCUACUGGUUUAGACACAAGCAUAGGCAUUCAUUGAAACUGAAAUGAAGCAAAGUAUGUGCUGGCAUGAAAGGACCGAGAUGGUCAACCGGUAAUUGUUUCAAAAGCGCAGGAUCAAAUCCAUCUUAUUUUGCUAGUAAGAUCAAGCUGGAUAAGCUCAAUUGUUCACACCAACAAUAUAGGUAUGUACCAUGAAAUUAAGCACAAAACACACAAUUUAAGAGUUAAGAAAUACUUUCAUAAUGAUCUCAAGUAUCUAGGCCAUCAAUUAUAUCAUGUGACGAGAUAAAGAAACCCAUUUACAGCUUCAAGCAUGGUGACUGCAUGGAAAAUGACAAGAGUGGUCGAUUUCUUCCUAGGGACAUCAGCACCAGUAUGAGGAAAACUAGUUGAUUCAGUAUCUUUGAGGUGAUUAUAUUUGGCAUUUGAAUUAGCUGAGAAUAGCCAAGUAUGGAAUGAGAGCCAAGCCCCCCGUAAGUUCUUCCUCAUCGAAGUCAGCUGGGACAUUUUAGCUUCUACCAAGAUUUUCUUGUAUCUCAUUGCUCACAUCCAUAAGAUCCAUCAUCUCAUCUUGCACGCUCUGCAGAUUAUAAAAUCAGGCAUGGAUUCAGAUGCAAUCAAAACAAAAGUAGACCAGAAAGAUAUAUUUAAGUUGAAAAUCUUGAAAACAUGAAGAAUCUGGUAAACAACAGAGUGCUGCAUACAUCUAUAUCUUCAACCCUGACAGUCUUCAUCAUCCCUUUCAGCUCUUUAUUGGCAGCCUUCAUUGCAAUCAUCUGUUAAAUGAAAGACACUUCAACACAAGUCUAGGAGCUAGAAUCAGAAUGUACAUUGAACUAGAUAGAAACUAAGGCAACAUACAGUGUGUUGAGCGUCUUUAAUUCCCUCUGAUGCGUAAGCAACUUGGUCAAGAUUAUAAGUUUGGUUGUACAGCAUGUCACGCUGCCCUUCAUACCUGUAGAAAAAGCAUGCGCAGUAUAAAGGUUGGAGACUAGAACUAGAUUAAUAGGUUGCUGCCACAAAAAGAACAAUUAAAUCUUACAGGAUAAUCAGGUCCAUAUUUAACUAAGGGCAGGAGCAUGGAGAACUUGGUCUUGUCCAUGUGAAGAACUUGCUAGCGUUCGAAAUCAGCACUUUCUAUUAUAGCAAGUAACUGAAACUACACAAAAAUUACCUAUUAUUGUAAAGAAGCAAAAAAAUCUAAAGGUGUAUGAGAGUACAUCAAUCAGAUUCGGGAUUCAGCUAUACCUUCUCGGACAGCCUUUUAGACGGUGACUUGUCAACAUGGAUGGGUGGCAGCGUGGUCCUGCGAGCGCCCGUGAAGAGAGGGGAAGAAGACGUCGCUGCAGCGCGUUGUGGGCAUUUCAUCGAACAUGUGGUGUGCGGGAGCUGAUUUUUAUGGCCUCGCUCACCUUCUCCUCCUCUGAAUCCUCUUCCUGCCCCUGAAAUCGAAAAUCGACUCUGAAACCACGAAAAUCAGCAUCAACAACCCGAUUGCCUUCAUGCUGUUGAGUAAAUAGGCAAUUUCUCGAUUAAACUAAUCCACAAGUAAAUCACUAGCAUGGCAUUGAUACAUAUAAUCGCAUACUGAUAUUCAGUCAAACUAGCACAUACUACGCUAAUUGCAGAAAGAUCUACGUAUAACGCUAGCAUGGGUAAAACAGAAAACAGUAGGAGCGGGAUAAACGAGUUAUACCCUCCAGUAGGCCAUGCAGAGGCCGCGGCUUUGGUGACAGCAGCGGCGUCCUCGGCGGCCUUCUUGUCAGCUUCAGCUUUCUCGGCAGCGGCACGUUCGGCGUCGGUGGACAUGGUGAUGAUGAAGGCAACGCGGACAUAGAGGAAGUAGACGAUCGGAAGUGAGCAGUCGCGUAAUCGCUGCCCAAAAACCUAUUCGCCCCUCACACCGUACAGGAACCAGAAUGGCGUGGUUUCGGAGACCUGCUCUCCCAUCGACCAUGUACGCGGCGGACGGGAUGGAGUCACCGGCGGCAGCAGCAGCAAGGGAAUGACGGUGGGCGUGCGCUUGGAGCAGAUGUGAUAUGUUCGUGGCGGCUAGGGUUAGGAGACACCGCACACUUAUAUAGGCGCAGCCGCGUGGAGAGACAUGGGCUCGACCCACGUCCGAGUCCGUGACAGCCCACGAUCCGACGUCUCAGAUCGUGGCCUAGCUGUCAGAGAACUCUCCGUUAGUGACUGGCAAAAAUAAGCGUGUAGGUGUGAGCUCGGCUCGGCUCAAUCCCGCAACCCGUGGCGCGGCGGGCGGCGGAGGAGGAGUGCGCGAGGGCCUCUUCUCUUCUCAAGCUCCAAUAGCAUGCAGAAGAGAAACCUUAUAAGGAGGUCCAACUCCUCUUUCACUUCCGGGGUGGGACUAAACUUCCCACUACACCUAGUGCCAUAUAACCCACAUGGGCCCUUAGAGAUUUUUCAGAAAUUACUAUAUGGGCCUAGAGCCCAUCUCAAAUUUCAGCAAUCCCCCACCAGAUCUCGAGGGCCCAUUGUGUCCUCUGUUCCAAUUACUAUUUCGAUAUACCAGUGUUUUAGUGAAGACCUGUUAAGGUUGAGCUUCACCUAGAGCAAGUAGCUACACUCCUUCACAACUGAACAAUGGACUAUGCCUUGAAUUGUCAGUUUGGCGUAAAGAAGUUUCACCACAUUUCUCACUAGUACUGGGCUGCCGAAGGCUGACCCCUCGGGUGGAGCAUAUAAGUCACACUCCUGGCCUAUUCAUGAGCUUACUAGAGAUCACCCCAAUCUCAUAGACUGUGACCAGCAGUCGGGCUCAUAUAGGUGUGUUCCUCCAAAGAUCGCUCUGUAGGAUAGCAUCUUGCUUAUAUAAGCUUCGGAACACAUUAAGACAGUAGUCAUCCUACCAUACAGUAUCGAGAGUAUUGCAUCUCCAACGGAGUGGGUUAGUAUAGUUACUCUCCUCAGUUCACCACUGGCUUGUUUUCCCAAGUCCUAAUUCACGGGAUCUCCGAUCACAUAGGUUGGGUUACUACCAUGGCAACUCAUGUGGGUCUCAUACCCAUCUCCCUCAAUGCAUUAUCUAUCAAAACACGUGAUAGCCCUUUCGUAAAGGGAUCUGCCAGAUUCUUAGCCGUAUGGACAUAGUCCAACACUAUCACUCCGGAGUUUCUUAAUUUUCUGACAGCUUUUAAUCUCAUUCUUAUGUGUUUGCUGGACUUCAUGUUGUCCUUUGAACUCUUCACCUUGGUGAUGACAGUCUGAUUGUCACAGUUCAUAAGGAUAGCCGGAACCGGUUUAUCAACCAAUGGCAAGUCCAUCAAAAGAUCUCGAAGCCAUCUCGCUUCAACACCAGAUGUGUCUAAUGCCGUUAAUUCUGCUUCCAUUGUCGAUCUCGUUAAGAUCGUUUGCUUGCAAGACUUUCAGGAAACAGCGCCACCUCCAAGAGUAAACAUAUACCCAGUUAUGGCCUUCAUCUCAUCAGCAUCAGAGAUCCAAUUUGCAUCACUAUACCCUUCAAGUACCGACAGGUCUCUGGUAUAGUGAAGUCCAUAGUUCAUAGUACCUUUCAGAUAGCGCAUAACUCGCUCAACAGCAUGCCAAUGUACAUCACCCGGUUUGGAAACAAACCGGCUCAGUUUGCUCACAGCAAACGCGAUGUCGGGCCUCGUUGCGCUCGCUAGGUACAUCAGUGAACCAAUGAUUUGAGAGUAUCUCAACUAAUCUAUAGCCGUGCCUUUGGACUUUCGAAUCAACACGCUAGGAUCAUAUGGUGUUUGAGAUGGUGUGCAAUCUGAAUAUCCAAAACGAGUCAACACCUUCUCAACAUAGUGGGAUUGCAGAAGUGUAAUCCCACCCUCAUUAUCUCUCAGUAGCUUGAUGUUCAAGAUAACAUCAGCCACACCAAGGUCUUUCAUCUCAAAGUUCUGAGACAGAAACGACUUGACCUCCUCAAUGACUUUGAGGUUGGUUCCGAAUAUCAGUAUGUCAUCAACAUACAAGCACAGUAUAACUCCUUCGCCCCCCACCAUGGCGAUGGUAUACACAUUUGUCAGCCUCAUUAACAACGAAACCAACAGAUGUCAGAGUUGUAUUAAACUUAUCAUGCCAUUGCUUAGGUGCUUGCUUCAGGCCAUAUAAAGAUUUCAGCAACCUACACACCUUUCUUUCCUGACCAUCUAUCAUAAAGCCAUCUGGCUGUUGCAUGUAGAUUUGCUCGUUUAGCUCUCCAUUCAGAAAAGCCGUCUUAACAUCCAUCUGGUGGACGAGAAGACCAUGCGAGGCUGCCAACGAGAGUAAUACUCGAAUGGUGGUCAGUCUAGCCACAGGUGAAUAAGUGUCGAAUAAAUCUUCCUCUUCUUUCUGGUCAUAGCCCUUGGCCACAAGCCUAGCCUUGUACUUUUUAAUUGUACCAUCGGGCCUAAGCUUCUUCUUGAACACCCACUUACAUCCUAAUGGUUUGCAACCAUAGGGACGUUCAGUGAUCUCCCAUGUCCCGUUAGCCAUGAUGGAAUCCAUCUCAUUACGGACCGCAUCCUUCCACUAGUCAGCUUCUGGAGAGGCAUACGCUUCUGAAAUAGAAGUGGGAGUAUCAUCCACGAGGUACACGAAGAAAUCAUCACCAAAGGUCUUUGCAGUCAUUUGUCUCUUGCCCCUACCAAGGGUUUCCUCGUCAUCCUCCUCAGGAUUUUCAUCAUGUGUUUGUUCGUAAUAUUCCAUAGGGAUGGCAGGUUCAGGAGUCUCUUCAGAUUCCUGUCUAGAAGUGCUUUGCAUAUCUCUCAUAGGAAAAAUAUCCUCGAAGAAUGUAGCAUCCUUAGACUCCAUAAUUGUACCGACCUUCUGGUCAGGUACCUCAGAUUUCACUACUAGAAAUCUAUAGCCAACGCAGUUCUUAGCGUAGCCCAAAUUAACGCAGUCCACAGUCUUGGGUCCAAGCUUACGCUUUUUGGGGAUCGGCACAUUGACUUUCGCCAGACAGCCCCAAGUGCGCAAGUACGAGAGUGUUGUCCUUCUCUUUGCCCAUUUCUCAUAGGGAGUGAUCUCAUUAUCCUUUGUCGAAACUUUAUUCAGGACAUGACAUGCCGUCAAUAUAGCCUCCCCCACCAUGCCUUGGAUAAACCCGAUGUAUCUAACAUGGCGUUAACCAAAUCAGUUAGAGUACGGUUUUCCGUUCGGCAACCCCGUUUGACUGGGGUGAAUAGGGAGGCAUCCUCUUAUGAAUAAUGUCGUGUUCCGCACAGAAGGAAUCAAACUCACUCGAGAAGUACUCUCCACCACGAUCUGACCGGACUCGUUUAAUUUUCUUUUCAAGUUGAUUCUCAACUUCUGCCUUAUAGAUUUUAAAGUAGUGUAGAGCCUCAUCUUUAGUAUUUAACAUAUACACAUAGCAAUAUCUAGUGGAAUCAUCUAUCAAUGUCAUGAAGUAUUUCUUUCCACCUUUAGUCAAUACACCAUUCAUCUCACAAAGAUCAGAAUGUAUGAGUUCUAAUGGUGCCAAGAGUCUCUCCUCCGCGGCCUUGUGAGGCUUGCGAGGUUGCUUAGCUUGCACACAUGAAAGGCACUUAGAACCUUUGGCUAAAGUAAAACUCGGGAUUAAAUCCAACUUGGCUAGCCGCGUCAUAACACCGAAACUAAUGUGACAAAGACGUGAAUGCCAAACUUCAGAUUCAUUAACAUUCGAAUGAACAUGGUUCACGACUUAUUACAAAAAUCUGCGAGGGAAAGGCGGAACAUCCCUCCGCUCUCAUAACCUUUUCCAACAAAGAGUCCAUAUUUCGUAACAACUAAUUUAUUAGACUCAAAAACCAACUUAAACCCUUCUCUACAUAGAAGGGAGCCACUAACGAGGUUCUUCUUGAUGGCGGGGACAUGCUGCACGUUCUUCAGCUGCACGAUCCUUCCCGAAGUAAACUUCAGAUCGACCGUGCCAACACCAUGAACAGAAGCACUCGCGCCAUUCCCCAUCAAUACGGACCCGUGGCCUGUGACCUGGUAAGAAGUGAACAAUGACAUGUCAACACACACAUGUACACCUGCACCUGUGUCCACCCACCAAUCGGUGGGCUGAAACACUGAAAAAAACAGUAAAUAAAUUACCAUACCCAGGUGCACCAUUCUCAUUGUUGUCCAUAAUCAUGUUGACGGACUUGGAGUCCUGUCCUGACUUCUUGUACUUGUUUGGGCACUUGUUGGCCCAAUGUUCAACCGAACCAUAAGUAAAGCAGCCCUCGUCCUUCUUGUUUUUCUUGAAGGUCUUCUUACCCUUUUUCUUAAAGUCGGUAUUGUGUUGGACACCGUUCUUUCCCUUGGGCUUGUGGGAGUGGAAGUUCUUCUAGUUCACCAUGUUGGCGACAGAAGUCCCUUCGACCCCUUUCCCGUGCGAGUCCUUUGCCCUUGAAUUCUGCUCAACACUCAGAUGGCUAAUGACAUCCUCCACAGAGAAUUCACGCCUCUGAUGUUUCAGAGUGGUGGCAAAGUUCCUCCAGGAAUUAGGGAGCUUAGCGAUUAUGCAGCCCGCGACAAACUUGCCCGGUAACUCGCACUUAAGAAGUUCAAGCUCCUUAACAAUGCAUAUUAUCUCAUGAGCCUGCUCCAAUACAGGACGGUUUUCAACCAUCUUGUAAUCGAGGAACUGCUCUAUAAUAUACAUCUCGCUUCCGGCAUCGGCUGCCCCGAACUUAGAUUCGAGCGCCUCCCACAAGUCCUUGGCGACAUGCACAUGUAAAUAUGCGUCGACCAGUUUAUCUCCGAUCACGCUAAGAACUGCUCCGAGAAACACAACGGUAGCCUCCUUGAACGCCUUCUCCUGUUCAGGAGCAAUCGUUCCCGUGGAGACACCGGUGUCCCAGAACACGUUCAUAGCCGUGAGCCAUAACGUGGUCUUAGUCUGCCAACGCUUAAAGUAUGUACCGGUAAACUUAUCUGGUUUCAGUGCAGCGGCAAAGCCACUUGCCGAAAAAUUCCCUCCACAUAAUAGGUUUUUGGAUUGUUGAGUAAAUAGGCAAUUUCUCGAUUAAUUUAAUCCACGAGUAAAUCACUAGCAUGGCAUUGACACAUAUAAUCGCAUACUGAUAUUCAGUCAAACUAGCACAUACUACGCUAAUUGCAGAAAGAUCUACGUAUAACGCUAGCAUGGGUAAAACAGAAAACAGUAGGAGUGGGAUAAACGAGUUAUACUCUCCAGUAGGCCAUGCAGAGGCCGCGGCUUUGGUGGCAGCAGCGGCGUCCUCGGCGGCCUUCUUGUCAGCUUCAGCUUUCUCGGCGGCGGCACAUUCGGCGGCGGUGGACAUGGUGAUGAUGAAGGCAACGCGGACGUAGAGGAAGUAGACGAUCGGAAGUGAGCAGUCGCGUAAUCGUUGCCCAAAAACCUAUUCGCCCCUCACCCCGUACAGGAACUAGAAGAGCGUGGUUUCGGAGACCUGCUCUCCCGUCGACCGUGUACGCGGCGGACGGGAUGGAGUCACCGGCGUCAGCAGCAGCAAGGGAACGACGGUGGGCGUGCGCGUGGAGCAGAUGUGAUAUGUUCAUACCGCACACUUAUAUAGGCGCAACCGCGUGGAGAGACGUGGGCUCGACCCACGUCGUGGCCCAGCUGUCAGAGAACUCUCCGUUAGUGACCGGCAAAAAUAAGAGCGUAGGUGUGAGCUCGGCUCGGCUCAAUCCCGUAACCCGCGGCACGGCGUGACGAGGCGGGCGGCGGAGGAGGAGUGCGUGAGGGCCUCUUCUCCUCUUAAGCUCCAAUAGCAUGUAGAAGAGAAACCCUUAUAAGGAGGUCCAACUCCUCUUCCACUUCCGGGGUGGGACUAAACUUCCCACUACACCUAGUGCCAUAUAACCCACAUGAGCCCUUAGAGAUUUUUCAGAAAUUGCUAUAUGGGCCUAGAGCCCAUCUCAAAUUUCAGCACAUGCAUCGCAUAAAUCACAAGAAGUUGAGAAGAGCACCCAGCUUGUCAUAGCAGAGGUCGCAGGCGUGGUCGGUGGCGUUGUCGUGCAGCUAGCCGGCGAGCAGGCACGACAGUCGCUGCAAUCGGCGGGGGCGCGGCCCGAAGCUCGGUGGUGGGGGGUCGUGGCGCCUGGCGCGGCUCGGGGUCGACCGCCGGGAGCUCGGCCAGCGCCGCUUGGAGGACGGACGACGGCGAUGGGGCGGGCUGCCAGGGGCGAACCAACCCAAAGAAAAGGACGUGUGGCCCAAGUGAGUGAGAGGGGCCAGUUCUUGUUUUCCGCUCACUGCUAUGGGCUGGGCCCAUUGCCAGUUUCCCCUGUUUUUAUUUGGUUUUUAUAAGUUUUUAUUAUGUUGAUUACUUUUGGUUCAGGGUGGCUUUUUUGUUUUUGUUUUUUGUUGUUCUCGAAAUUAUCCUUUUCUUCGAUUUUUAUUUGUUUAUACUAUACGUGCAAUGCACGUUAAUUUGGAAGUAUAUUAAGUGCAUGCGGAUAUUAAAUACGAUAUUAUUUACGUGUUAUUAUGUGAUUAGCACUAUUUUUGAUAUGAAAUUAAUUGCACGCUAAACGUGUUGAGCGCUCGACAUUGAAGCAGUCUAGAUUGUUGGAUUGAUAUGAUUUGAUGGCCGAGAUUAAUUGGAUCUGCCCAUUUGGAUCUUUUUAUAUUGGUAUAGAUAUAGAUAUAGAUGUUUGUCUUCAUUUAUAAUUAUAACGCUGGUGUAUAUGUGAACAUUUUUAAAAAUAGCUUUUGUAAUACUCCCUCCGUUCCUUUAUAUAAAGUGUAUUUGUUUUUGAUAAUAUUUCAAAAUGUAAGGUGCAUUUCUUAUAAUUCCUCAUAAUUUCAUUGUUAGCCCUUUAGAAAAAGAAAAAUAUCUCUCUCAUGAUUGUCUGUAUAUCUUCUUGUAGCAAAAGAAGGAAAGUAUCUUUCUGUCGAUCGCAUGUAUCUCAUACUUUUCUGGACUAACUGAUUUAUUUGAUACUAACCAAUAAAUUUUUCAAGGGUAAUUUCUUCCUAACAAGUCGAUAAUUUGAUGCCUUGAUCACCGUGCCGAAAAUAAUACACGUUACAUAAAGGAAUGAAGGGAGUAAAUUUUUAAUAUAUAUUAACUUGUUUUAACAAUAUUUUAAAGACAUGUCUUUGAAAUGUAUAUUUUAAGAAAAUCCGCAUUCGCCUCUUGUAACUCCUAACUAGGGGUUAAAUAGGUUAUCCGCACGUUGCUACCUCGAUCUCUCCCUUCUAGAGGUAUCGUCGGCGGCCAGAGGUGCGGGGAGUUAAUUUUCAAUGGACAUGUUGUGUGAUGGUGUCUUUUUAUACUGAAAAAGUCUUUUGCCCCGCUUUAUAUAUCAAGCACCGACCAACAAGCAUCCAGUACAAACACACGUCACCGUAACACACGCACACACCCAAGACAAGAUACAUAGGCGCUGAGCGCAACAACACCACUCCUAGCAAUACUACAACGAAGAGAUGAAGUUACAUAUGACGAACCAUGGGCUCCAAGACGGCGCCUUCAGGAAGGGUAUGACACCGGAGCGCUGCCACCGCCCGAUCCAAGGAUCAGAGUUUCCCCUGGAGCCGCAUGACGGGCAAUGAGAGCCGCGACGACGCCUUCAAGAAGGGAACGAUCUUCGCCGCCGCCGGUCCGUCCAAAGAUAGAACAGGUUUUCACCUCGGCCACCACUCACCGCCACUGAACGGCACAUCCCGGCAACCACGCCGCCCACACGGCCAUGGUGACCGGGCAGCGCCAUAGCACGGGCUCUGUCCAAAAGCACCGUGCUACCACCACCAGGGCCGCGGCCCCGGCAUCCAAGACCUUUACACCACCUCACACGAGACCCGCCUCCACCCCAACGAAAGAGACGAGCGGAAAGGUCCCCCCCUUUCGCACCCCUGGGCGACCCCCAGCGUCGAGACCCGAUUGGCUGGCCAGAACUGGCAUCCACCGACCCGUCCUGCUGACCCGAGCGCGAGAUGAGCGCGGUCCUGCAGCACCAAGAGGGGGACGAGGUCAGUCCUGCUGCAACGUGCGCGAGACGAGCUCGAUCCCGCUGCACCGUGCGCGAGACGAGCGGUGGACCGCAGCUGGGUGAGGACCAGCCCUUUGAUGGGAGUAGCGCCCAGAUGACGAGGAGAUGGGGCGAAGGUCGAGAUGGUCUGACCGCAGACGAGCCGACGCGGGAGAAGCCGGCCGCUGCCGCGGGCAGAACCGCAACCACCGCCACUGCGCCGCCACCCCGACCACCCGAGAUGGCCCCGGUCGAGGCAGCCGCCCGCAGCCCUAGCCGAACGCGGCCCGCGCCGCCGAGAGGUCAGAUCUGGCCGGGCCACUUGCCGCCAUCCCCGACCCCUGGCUCGCACCACUACCACCCUCCUUGACCCGCGCCGACCAUGGCCCGCCCCGCAGGAGGUCAGAUCUGGCCGAGCUACGCCUUGCCAGCCGCCGUCCCCGACUCCAGCAGGCACAUCCACCGCGCCACCGCCCGCCACGAGCAGGAUCCGGCCAGGGCCGAGCCGGAUCUCGCCACUGCGGCCGCGACGGGGCAUACCACCGCCCAGCAGCCCACCAGCGACGCCAACAGCACCCGCCGUCGCCGGGACGGCCGUCACCGCCGCGCCGCCGCNNNNNNNNNNNNNNNNNNNNNNNNNNNNNNNNNNNNNNNNNNNNNNNNNNNNNNNNNNNNNNNNNNNNNNNNNNNNNNNNNNNNNNNNNNNNNNNNNNNNNNNNNNNNNNNNNNNNNNNNNNNNNNNNNNNNNNNNNNNNNNNNNNNNNNNNNNNNNNNNNNNNNNNNNNNNNNNNNNNNNNNNNNNNNNNNNNNNNNNNNNNNNNNNNNNNNNNNNNNNNNNNNNNNNNNNNNNNNNNNNNNNNNNNNNNNNNNNNNNNNNNNNNNNNNNNNNNNNNNNNNNNNNNNNNNNNNNNNNNNNNNNNNNNNNNNNNNNNNNNNNNNNNNNNNNNNNNNNNNNNNNNNNNNNNNNNNNNNNNNNNNNNNNNNNNNNNNNNNNNNNNNNNNNNNCCGGUCGAUGGUGUCUUUUUUCUUUGUGCCGGCUACUGUUUUCCUGGAUCAAUCUUACUUAGACACCACCGGCAAGAAAAAAACUGUUUUCCUUGAUGAAUACCAAAUAUGAUACACCUUUGGGUGUCAGCAUUGAGUUUGAAAGCUGGAAAAAUAGAAAUUGACUAGGAGCAUAGGCCCCACUCUGCCUAAUGUAGGUUUGCCAUGGUACCUGAUCAAGUCCUUACCGCCGCGGCUUGCACGAGGGUUAGGGAGUCAGGGGUGCGCAUGGGAGGUUGUGUUGGAACCAAGGAAAAAAACGCAUGGUAGCGGUUACCUGCCCCCAAGACGCUGCAUCCAGGGCCAUAUGGUCAACCACUCAUCACUAAAAGAUGCACGUAAAAAGGGUAAAUCCGAAGCAGUCAAAACGAACGGCCGAGGUGAAAAACAAAAUACUCUCUGUUUUCAUUCACUAUGCAUAUUUGCUUUGGUCUAAGUCAAACUUUAAAAAACUUGAUCAAGUUUAUAGAAAAUAAUAUAAACAUUUAUACGAACAAAUAUAUAUGAUGUGGAAAUAUAUUCGAUGAUCAAUCCAACAGUAUUAGUUGGUAUUGAAGAUGUUAACCUUUUUUUUCUAAAAAUUUUGUCAGAAUUUACAAAGUUUGACUUUAAAAAAAGAAGCUAAUAUGCCGAGUAAAUACAGACAUAGGCAGUACUUACUGCACAUGAAUCUUGCCAUUUGCAGCAGGUGAGCAGCAAGAUGUUCUUUCACUUUUAAGAGAAUGUAUAUAUACUUACUUAAGUUUUCCGAGAUUUUUAGUCCAACUGAAUGCAUAUGACAAGAUUGCAGCGUAGUAGACAGACAGAUGUCUACACAAAACAGAGCACAAGCAGAGCAGUCUUCCUUCCUGCACCACUCUGCUGCCUCUCUCGUCUCAGCCAGCCUUGGCAUGCAAUACAGUGCUUGCUUUCACCACUAUGUCAUGUGUAUAUACUGAUAAGAGAUUUUGAUAUCAAUUCAACCUAUAAACUCCAUCGUAUUCAACUCAGCAUGUGCCAUCAUAGUAGACAUGCUAACAACAGGAUGUACUGACAAGAGCUUCAUCGUUCAGAGGAUCAUAGAACGAAUCUCUCCAUGCACAAACCAAGGCGCCUACUAUUUACUCGAGAUCAAACCAACACCUAUAGAUUUGAAUCCAUGCGUUUGCUACUGUACUCUCCGUAGUCCCAGUUCAUCCUCCUGUCCUGCACAGGCAGAAAAAAAAAACAAGCACCAGGUCAGACAAAAGCAAUUAGCUGAGCACAUCAUUCUACUGGUGGAGAGCCAAGCUAGAUGUUUCAAAGCUCAAGAUAAUGUCUGUCCAUGCAUUAGAGGCUAGGUGCAUCGUAGCCUGUUUCUAUUUUCGCUGGCGGUGGCAUAUUUUCUUUUUCUUUUUGUCAAGCUCCGUUUGUGUGCCAGAUUUGGACCUCACACUAUGUUCCACACUUUAUUUAAUAAUAUAGUUGCAUUCAUCAUUCUGAUGCAGAGGCCUGGGAUCAUCCCCCUUUUGUAUAUUGCUCCUGGUAAGUGAAUAAAACAAGAUGAUAGGCAACAGAUGCUCAACAAAAGGCAAUUGUUUACAUUGCUCCUGGUAUGUACUAGUAUAACCUUGUUUCUCACAUCAGGAGCAUUCGUGUCUAUCCAUUUAUUCCCGAUUCUAAUAUUUUCGACGGUUUUGUGCAGAACUGUCGUACACAUCUGUUGCAAGAAGAGCUAGCACGGUUUCAACCAAGUGAUGGUGUUUCCGUUCAGCGAUCCCGUUUUGUUGGGAUGUGUAUGGACAGGAUAUGCGAUGAGAAAUACCAAUGCGCCGAAAAAAUGUAUGCAAGCAAUGCUUUUCGCCCACNNNNNNNNNNNNNNNNNNNNNNNNNNNNNNNNNNNNNNNNNNNNNNNNNNNNNNNNNNNNNNNNNNNNNNNNNNNNNNNNNNNNNNNNNNNNNNNNNNNNNNNNNNNNNNNNNNNNNNNNNNNNNNNNNNNNNNNNNNNNNNNNNNNNNNNNNNNNNNNNNNNNNNNNNNNNNNNNNNNNNNNNNNNNNNNNNNNNNNNNNNNNNNNNNNNNNNNNNNNNNNNNNNNNNNNNNNNNNNNNNNNNNNNNNNNNNNNNNNNNNNNNNNNNNNNNNNNNNNNNNNNNNNNNNNNNNNNNNNNNNNNNNNNNNNNNNNNNNNNNNNNNNNNNNNNNNNNNNNNNNNNNNNNNNNNNNNNNNNNNNNNNNNNNNNNNNNNNNNNNAUUUUUGCGUUGAGGAGUCGUUCAACAUGUGCUUGAAAAUUAUGGAAAAUUUGUUCGACAUCAGAUUUAUUCCUAAGAAGAUAAAUCAAAGUAAAACGACUAAAGUCAUUAACGAAGCUGACAUAAAAUUUAAAACAUCCAGAGGAGGCGAGGGCAGCCCCCUGGCCCACACAUCGGUAUGAAUAAGCUCUAGCAGUUUUGAAGAAACACGGGAAUAAUUAUUGUAAGGUAAUUGAUGACUUUUGGUGCGUUGACACGCAUCACAAACGAAAGUAUCAUGACCCGACGAACAAGGAAGUUUAUUUGACCGGGCGACAUAAUCAACUACAUUAUUUGAAGGGUCAUACACAUUAUUUGAAGGGUGAUGCAUUAACAGAGAGCAUCAUAUAUACACUCAGUGGAGGUCUCUACCAUGUCAUAAAGAUUUUGGGGAAGAUAACCCAUACUUUAUUCGACCGAACACACUUUGGCAUAAAUUCCAUGCACACACCUACUUGCGAAUAACACAUGUGUGUAUAUUUUUACAUGACAAAGUAAGAAAUGUGAAUUUUUAUUACGCACUCUAAAUAUUUUGACAACAUGCAUGGUUGUAUUGUCAUCAUUUUCCUGAAAUGCUCUAUGACUUGUUCCCUAAUCAUGAUUACAAUGAGAAGUAUAUAUGAGAAGUAAGAAAUGUAUAAUCCUUCACAUCUGAUUAUAUUAAGACAUAGACCCGUAAAAAGAAGAUUAGGUUAGACAUAGAUAAUUGAGACAUUUACAUUUGUGCCCCUCGAACUCACUACUCAGAUUUACUUCCAAUUUUGAAGCAUGCUCAAAUUUGUCCAUCUGCCAUUAAUUGCACUUAUAGAAAUGGCCUUAUGUGCCGUUUCCGUCCAAUCAAAGCUCUUUGACCAGUAUCUCACCGUUUCUUUGACAAUUUUACCUCUGUCUCCAUGUGUCACUUACUGGUGGGACCCACUCCCAUUUUUUUAAACACCCUUUCUCUCGCACACACUUACAUGUGGGUCCUAGCUAGGAAAACUAAAAUGAAAAGUAUAUCCAUGUGUUACUUACGGGUGGGCCACCAUCCAUAGAAAAAAGAAGCAAAAUUCUCGCUCUCCUCUCUUUCUUUCAAUUACAAGUGGGCCAAAGAAAAAAGGAAAAAUAAAAACUAUUCUCUUUCUCUCACCUCUCUCUCCCCCGAGGAAUAAUGGGCCGACGACACUCUCUCUCAACUCCGGCGAGAGUGCCGAAAGUGCCGCUUCCGGCGCUAGCCUCCCCUGACGCCGCAGCCCUCUUGCCCUCGUUCUCUCUCUCUGUCGCUCGCCCGAUUUCUCUAUCCCUCCCUCUAGCCCUCUCCCGCAAGCACGUCGGAGAGUGCCCAGUCGCCAUCGUCUGUCAAGAACAUAGCCAACAGCAACCCCAUGCCCCGCCACUUCGCCAGGAAGCUCUUACGACAUGAACUCAUCCUAAAAUCCUAUGAAUUCAACCAAAGAUGUCAAGGACUGAGCGCCAGGACGCAUCUUCCCCACCUCUGGCCUCGGACCGCCGCAUUCGAUUCGACGCCAUUGAGGCACACCGGCCGAUUCCUGCCGCUCAUCGGGCAUCGGGAUGUAUCAAAGAAUACAUGGGCGUCCUCCAUAGCAAGCCCCAUGACGUCGAGUUGUAUUCCCCGCGAGCUCCGAGCUUUGCCAUGGCCACCAUCGUCGANNNNNNNNNNNNNNNNNNNNNNNNNNNNNNNNNNNNNNNNNNNNNNNNNNNNNNNNNNNNNNNNNNNNNNNNNNNNNNNNNNNNNNNNNNNNNNNNNNNNNNNNNNNNNNNNNNNNNNNNNNNNNNNNNNNNNNNNNNNNNNNNNNNNNNNNNNNNNNNNNNNNNNNNNNNNNNNNNNNNNNNNNNNNNNNNNNNNNNNNNNNNNNNNNNNNNNNNNNNNNNNNNNNNNNNNNNNNNNNNNNNNNNNNNNNNNNNNNNNNNNNNNNNNNNNNNNNNNNNNNNNNNNNNNNNNNNNNNNNNNNNNNNNNNNNNNNNNNNNNNNNNNNNNNNNNNNNNNNNNNNNNNNNNNNNNNNNNNNNNNNNNNNNNNNNNNNNNNNNNNNNNNNUUUUCCCUCUCCCUCCCCUCGCAUGGAAGCUCACCUCCUUGCACCACCUAGAGCCGCCGCGGGAAUGGUUGCCGCCGUUUGCUCAUGGUCCUACGAGGAUAUCCCUGGACGCGGUAGAUCUAGGGCUAUCGUCUGGUUGCCUCUGCUGGCCUCCUUGCGGCCUCCCUGCGUGCCUCCGCCGCGGGAAUUUCUUGCCACGGGCAACCGUCAGCAUAAGCCACGAUUUUCUAAUUGAGCCAGCCUAACCCAACGUUAACUAAAACAAAAUAUUUGAGAAAAUAUGAUAAGUUUGACAUGUGGGCCUGAUAUUUUGUUUGACUAGUCCUUUUGUAUUUUCAUUUUAUUUCUUGUAGCUAGGACCCACCUAUAAGUGUGUGUGAGAGAGAGGGGGGUGAGAGAAAGGGUUUUUUCAAUAAAAAAAGUAGUAGGUCCCACCGGUAAGUGACACAUGGAGACUGGGGCAAAAUUGUCAAGAAAGGGUGAGAUACUAGUCAAACAACUUUGACUGGACGGAAACUGCACGAAAGGGCAUUUGUAUGAGUGCAACUAAUGGUAGAGGGGCAAAUUUGAGUAUGCUUCGAAAUUAGGGGUAAAUCUGAGUAGUGAGUUCAAGUUAGGGGCACAAAUGUAAAUGUCCCUACAUAAUUCAGAUUGGGGUUUGAUUAUUUUCACAUUUCUUGAUUAUUCUAUUUUUGAUACCAUGAAUGUUUUAGCGUCAUUAUCUCAAAAAUAUUCUAUGACUUGUAAUUAAUAUCCUUAAUCAUGAUUAUAAUUUAAGAAAAGUCCACUUUAGAACAUUAAACUUCUCACUUGGUUUAAAAUGCAACCCCUAACUUCAAAAUUGGUCAUCCCGCACCCUGAACUAACAAUCCAGCUUAGGAAUAAACCCCUCGUCCGGUUUUGACUCACUCGAAUGGCUUUGACCUUGUUGACUGUUGAGUCAGCACGACAUCGUCAGUUUUUGAACCUUUUUUCGACAUGUUUUUACCACCUCCCCCUUCUCUCCCGGCCGCUCAAGCAUCCAGCCGCCACCAGGCCAGCCCAUGAGCGCCUAUCUAUCCAGCAUGUUCUGGAAGCGGCCAUAUUCCUGAAAUGUAGAUACGGCGGCGGCGGGCUCCUGCUCGUCGGGCAAGAGGCCACGACGGCUGGUCCAUGGACCCGUGUGGCUGCUCCCUUCGCCCAUUUGACUCCACCCCCGGCAGUGCCCUCUUGCCGCUGGAGAAAGCCCAAGGUGGAUCUCGCUGGAAUAUGUCGGCUCGUAGGUGCAGGACGCGGCACUACACAAAUUCAUUGGCGGUGGCGGCGCGCAUCGUCGCUGGGAGCGGAGGCGCUGAGAUCUCCGCGUACUCCAGAGGCCAUGUAGAUGUGCGGCGAGAAGAGUAGCAUUCGUGGUGGUGUGGGUCAUGUGUUGUCGCGGCUCGAGUAAGAAGGUGUUGGCAGGUGAUAGGCGCCAGGGAGGGCAGGAGCGAUGCGGGGUGGGGUGUCGUAGCGGGGUGACAUGCCAGGGUGGUCCAGGGCACAUGUGCGGCGGUGCCUCAGGUCAAUGGGAAGGUAAGGUUCAAGCCGGAACGAUGUGAGAGGGGUGGUUCUGGUGAGAAGUGGAGGCGUAGGAUCCGGGGUUAGGUGGGUGCCACAUGUAAGGAGUUGACAUGGUGGGUCGACUCAGUAGCCAACACGGUCCAAGCCGUCAAAGCAGGGUUCAUUCCUAACUAAGAGUAGUUAUGAUCUAUUAGUUCUUAGGUCUCGAAACUGGAAUUAAGGUUGCGGCAACCCAUAUGAAUCUAUAAUACAUAAAUAGCUUAUCCCCACUAUCUUAUUUUUCUUUGACAUGCAGCCUAUUCACGUCAGCAAAUGUAUCAUGAAAUCACCUCAGUGUGUUGCAAGUUCUCGUAAAAGCGUGCAACCCAAAAACAGUCCACACAUCCAUGGCCGUGGCCACUGAUAUUUUACUUAUUGUAUUUUUCCUCUGCUUCUAUUAUUUCUUGUACUCAAAAGAUGCUCACAUGCUACGCAUUGUUUGCAACACGCAUCAAAUUAUGAGAGCAUCAUCAUACAUACAAUCAGUGGAGGUCUCUUUCAUAUCACAAAGAAUUCGGAGAAGAUAAUCCUUACUUUAUUCGACUGAACACACUUUGGCAUAGAUUCCAUGCACGCACCUACUUAUGAAUAAGAAUAACACAUGUGUAUAGGACGCAGAGUUUCUUAGCUCGGGUGAACAGUAAAAUCAAAACAAAACAAAAUCCAAAUUUUUUUUGGAACAAACAUUGACAAAAGUUUUAAGUGCUUGCGAAAAUUCAUCACGAAAUCACAUUCCUAGAAGGCGUGGUGAAAUUAAAAAACAAAAUCGAUACUCUGAAAAUGCUACUUCCGAAAGCAUUUUGGAGCAUUGAAUUUGUUUUUUUGCGCCACGCCUUACAGAAAUGUGAUUCCAUGAUGAAUUUUUGCAAGCACUUAGAACUUUUGUCAAUGUUUCUCCCAAAAAGAAUUUGGCUUUAAAAAAAAAUUCGAUUUUACUGUUCACCAGGCUCAAAUGAGCUCGGGAGCAGAAAGACACUUUCGCAUGUGUAUAUAUGUUUAUAUGAGAAAGUAAGAAAUGUGGAUUUAUAUUACGUACUCGAAAUACUUUGACACAGCUCGUAUUUUCAUCAUUUUUGUGAAAUGCUCUAUGACUUUAACUUGUAAAUAACAUCCCUAAUCAUGAUUAUAACUGAAUACUACUAGUAGUUUUCGCAUAUUGCAUUGCAUAUAUGGGUCAUUUAUGUUUGACAAGGUAAAUCUUAAUUACCAGGAGAAGUUAAACAAGUGAGGAUCAAGAGUUGCACAGCAAGCCGGCCAUGACCUUGUCGACCUAGCCAGCUAGCAAGCUCUCGCUUGGCUAUUUAAUGCCUGCCUUGGCUACCAGCGUUCCACAGCACAUACACGAAGAGCUAACAAUGGCAGAACGUGGCGGACUGCUUACGUUUCUCCUCCUGGGGCUCUUUCUCGGCCUCGCUGGAUCCAGUCCGCCGCCGGAGCCGGUAGAGUGCGCGCAUGGCACGUCCGACUGCACCGUCACCAACGUGUAUGGUUCCUUCCCGGACCGCACCGUCUGCCGCGCGGCCAACGCCACGUUCCCGCGCACCGAGGAGGAGCUCGUGGCAGCCGUGGCUGCCGCCGCCGCAGCCAAGCGCAAGGUGAAGGUGGCCACGAGGCACUCCCACAGCUUCACCAAGCUGGCCUGCCCCGGCGGCCGUGACGGCACGAUCAUCAGCACCAAGCGGCUCAACAAGACGGUGAGCCUCGACGCUGCCAAGGGGCUGAUGACGGUGGAGAGUGGCAUGGUGCUCAAGGACCUGAUCCAGGCGGCCGCGGAGGCGGGGCUGGCGCUACCGCACUCGCCCUACUGGUACGGAGUCACCAUCGGGGGCCUCCUUGCCACGGGUGCCCACGGCAGCUCGCUGUGGGGCAAGGGCAGCGCCGUCCACGAGUACAUCGUCGGGAUGAGGAUCGUAACGCCGGCGCUGGCCAGCCAGGGAUUCGCCGUGGUCAGGGAGCUCAGCGUGGGAGACCCUGACCUCGACGCGGUCAAGGUAUCUCUGGGCGUCCUCGGCGUCGUCUCGCAGGUAAUACCUGCUCCUCCGUGACUUUGCACAAAUCACAAAUGCAAGAUGAAAGUUCUUUCUCUUCUUUUUUUACGAGAAAGAUGAAACUUCUUUCGACUAAACGAUCGAUAGAUUUACAUUAAUCACUACUCAUCAUUCAUGGAAUGAAAACUAAGUAUAUAUUGGAGUACGAUUAAUUAACUACUCAUUGUUCACAAAUAUAACAUGUCUUGAAUAUUUCAAUAUGAACCACAUACGGACAGAAAUAAGUGAACAAACACUAAAACUUGUAUAUGUAUAUUUGUGAACCGAGGGAGAACUAAUUUUUGGUCCACCCAACCAGAAAAAGAAAAAACAAAAAAAGGAAGGCACUAACAAAAUUUGGGCUUCGAUAACUGCCACACGUGUGGCAUGUAGUAACACCGUCAUACGUCUUUUACACUAAAGUUGCCAUCUAGAAAAAAAAUCUCUAAAAAAUCGAAACUUGCCAUCCAAAUAGAAAGUCGCCAUGCUUCACAUUUAAAGUUGCCAUCCCCUUGUAAUUAAAGUUGCCAUCAAAUAACAUGUGGCCGUUAUCAUUUGGGUAAAAAAAUUGGACAUGCGCAGGUCACGCUAGCCUUGCAGCCAAUGUUCAAGCGGUCAGUGACGUUCGAGACACGUGACGACAUGGACUUACCGGCGCAGGCCGCCGUGUGGGGCAGGCUGCACGAGUUCGGCGACAUGGCAUGGCUGCCAUGGCAAGGCAAGGUGAUCUACCGCAAGGACAACCGUGUACCCGUCUCGACCAAGGGCCACGGCCUCAAUGACUACCUCGGCUAUCGCUCGAACCCGACCCUAGCACUCAUCACGGACAGAGCCACCGAGGAGCGCCUGGAGGAGGACAAUAGUGACAUCGCCCGUUGCCUGGCGGCGCGGGUGCCAUCGGCGCUAUUCGAGCUGCAGGGCUACGGCUUCACCAAUGAUGGCUCCUUCUUCACAGGGUGGCCUGUGAUCGGGUUCCAGAACCGUAUCCAGGCGUCUGGCACGUGCAUCAGCAGCCCAGAGGACGGACUCCUCUCCACAUGCACAUGGGACCCGCGCAUCCGGAGCCCCUUCUUCUAUAGCUCCAGCUUCAGCAUAGCGCUUUCCAAGGCGCCGUCAUUCAUCGCCGAGAUGCAGAAGCUCCGCGACCUCAAGCCUUGCGCCUUCUGCGGUCUCGAUGCCACGCUGGGUGUGCUCCUCCGCUACGUCAAGGCCUCCUCCGCUUACCUUGGCAAAUCAGAGGACUCGAUCGACUUCGAUUUCACCUACUACCGGAGCUACACCCAAGGCGAGCCACGUGCCAACUCUGAUGUGGUCGAUGAGCUCGAGCAGUUGGCACUGUGCAAGUACGACGCCGUACCUCACUGGGGCAAAAAUCGCAACUUUGCCUUUGACGGCGUCAUUGCCAAGUACCCCAAAGCCGCUGAGUUCCUCAAGGUGAAGGCCAGGUACGACCCUGAUGGGAUCUUUUCCAGCGAGUGGAGUGACCAAGUGCUCGGCGCCAAAGGCAGCUCCAAUAUGGCUGAGAAAAGUUGCGGCAUCGAAGGGAUCUGCAUCUGCUCUGAUGACUCGCACUGCGCUCCAGAGAAGGGAUACUUCUGCCACCCGGGGAAGGUGUUCACGGAUGCCAGGGUUUGCUCAACCCGACGCACAUUCGGCGACGACCUUCUGAAGGAACAGUGAUUGGUAAUGCAUGUAUGCAUGUGUCGGCUCAAGCAGCACCGCGAUCAAAGCGAUAUGCUGACUUUAAUAUUGUUUGUAUCGUGGUGUGUUAGCAUUUUCCAGAGAUUUCAUCCAUCUCGGUGGAAGAUUUAAAUAACGACGCUAUAGCACCGCUAUAACGUUUGAAGGGGCACCACGCCGCAGCUACGCUUGCUUUGCUAUGCUAUGCUUUGUUAUGGCUGGAUGCCAAGUAUAUGUGAUAUAUGUAUGCAUGUCAACUAUCAAAAAGUGUGUGUGUGUGUGUGUGAUAUUGAUUGUAUGUUUGUUGAAAAUAUAUCCUAGAGACAAUAAUAAAGUCGUUAUUAUUCUAUAUUUAUGUUCAUGUUUAAGUAUAUUCUUCUAUGCUACUCCCUCAGUUCCUUUUAGAUAUUCCAAUAAGGACUACAUAUGAAGCAAAAUGAGUGAAUCUACAUUCUAAAAUAUGUCUAUAUACAUCGAUAUGUAGUCCGUAUUGAAAUUUUUAAAAGGUUUAUAUUUAGAAACAGAAGGAGUAGAUCACAAACCCACGGGUAUAGCAAGUGAUUCCAUGGUUGGUGCAUCCUGGGCAUGCUUCCUAUAUUCACAUAAGGCAGCUAUGAAACUGCCACUAGAGUCUCGAAAGAUGGCCGCCACCGCUCCCGAAUCUGAAUCGUUGUGUUACGAUAUGAAGCAUCAACAUUCAGUUUUAUACACCCUGCAGGAGGUCUUGCCCAUUUUAUUUCUCAGUGUGGAGGCUGGAUUUUUCCCACCAAAAAAUUAGCUGCAAUCCCUCUAAUAUUCUUUCCUUUGCCGGUCCCCUCUAAUAAUGUUCAUUGCUGCACGUGUCAGGGAACCCACCUUCUCCACAUGGGCUACCUUUUGCGUUCCCCACCAAAUAAACCAGCAUGCGACCAUGAUAAUUUCCAAUAUAUUCCCUCCAGGAAUAGAUGCACCACCAGGAGCAUUAGCGCAUAGAAGCAUCUCUAGAGUAGUCGCUCCAGAUCUGUGUCACCCUGUCACUCUUGUAAUAUCUCCGAGACCCAGCUCACUCCAAAUACCCACCGCACGAUCACAUAGAAAUAAAUAGGACGGACCUAGGGAGCGCCGCUGCACUCGUUUGUUGUUUGGAGUGCAACGUUGUAUAUAGUAAGUGCAUGUCUUUGUGUUCACCUAUCUACGUUAGAAAAGAAAAUUGUUUGGUCAUAUCCUUAGCGCACAUGGUUGCUGACUGAAUCAGCCUAAAUUCUACCCCCACGUGCAUUUAUUUAGGGAUUAAAACGUUCUAAAAGCCAUAACAUUUGGUUCAAACAUCGAAAUCCAGUCCGUUUUCACCGCCGGGUUUCUAUCGACGAGUUCUUCAAAACUAGACUCAUAUGAGUACAUUUCGUCAAACUUUUUUUUCAAGGGAACUUUGGGUGCAAUGGAGGCAACUAUAAUGCUAUAGUGAAGCAACUUAUUCUUUUUGGCCUAGUUGGACUGACUAUUAGGUUGAUUUGCAUACAAACGAGAAAAAUCACACAAAAUAUAACGCAUCUUUGGUGCUACAGACAAAGUAACUUCACUGUAGUUUGUGUAUCUGCGAGUUUUGCAAACAUUAUCCCAACUUGCCUGUCAUGGCUGCUCAAUUGCCUAUUGUCGAUGCUUAGUUACCUACGGUUGAUGUUCAAUUGCCUAUAAAUGCUACAAAUUGCCUAUAUUGAUGCCUAGUUGCCCGCUAUUCAUAAUUAGUUGCCUACAAUCUAUAUCUAUACCUAAUCUUUACCUAAUAAUAAAGGACGGAGGCUUACAUAGUUCUUCAUACGUCACCACUUUAUAUCCGUUGAUUUUAUGCUAAUCACGGAGAUUGACGGCUAAGAUUUGUGCCUGUUUUAAAUAAAAAAAUUAGCGAAAACGUUUUGACCGCAGACAUAAGAAUUGCACGAGUUCUACUGGGCCUCGGUCUUUCCUGGGCCGUCCAUGUUUAGUAUAAGGAAAAAUAACGUUUCACGAUAGAAAAAAGGAAUCCAAAUCUUCUUCAGCUCAGCAAUUGCUUCCACCACAUCAAAUCAAACGUGACUCAAACUGUCUCCUUCCGUAAAAAGACAGGACCGGCAGCCGCAGGCCGCAGCCUCGGGCUACACGCCCCCCUCUAAUCGACCGGCUCUCUUCCUCACGAACAAAACGAAAGCUACUGGUGCUGGCAAUUGGGGAUCAUGGCAGUGCGGGGCGGCUGAGAUUAGUAUUCCCUCCGAUCCAAAUUACUCGUCGCAGAAAUGGAUGUAUCUAGAACUAAAAUACAUCUAGAUACAUCCAUACCUGCGACAAGUAAUUCGGAACGGAGGGAGUACUUUGGAGAGAGAUUUAAGGGAAGAAGACGACCCCAAAACACUGGAUGUAGAUCCCACGUUUCUAGAAACGGAAGAAUUAAUUCCUGGAGAUGUUAACGUAGGGGGACUCCAUGGAGUCUGCCUUCCUCCCGCGCGUGAACAUGGUGCCCGGCGGCCUGCAGUCCUGCCUCCCGUUGCCAUUGUGUCGCAUGGUGCUGGUGGCCUGGCGGUCAAGCGACCAGGAGCGGCGAGCCACCGCGGGCGGCGACUACGUGCGGACGUGACGCCGAAGUGCGGAACCGGCGUCUCUCUUUGGUUCAUGUUGCCCCCGGGCUGCUGUGAACUUUCUGAAUGAUUUUUGGCCAAUACAAGAUGACAUGUACUGUAUGACUAAUAACGUAGAUAAAAGGGCUGAUCUGUUGUACCUAUAAUUAAGCCAUGCAAUUAGCGAUAUGCUGUCUCUGUACAAUGGAAUCAAUCAAUUGUGUCCUUAUUUGACUCUCGCGGUGACACAGUGAACUUCAAAUUUUGAAUUGGCAAGGGUUGUGUUCCUUGAUCUGCCUUAUUGUUCCGGGGUUCCCAAAAUAUUUGAAACACGUCCUGCCUAUCGGUCCCUCAUUCGGAAGAGUUAUACCCCGGUCGCUACAUUUUAUUGGCCACAUGGCGGUGUUGAUGAGCGACGGUUUUACGGCCAUGGAGCAGUACAAGAGUGCCGUCUCCUUGAAAGUCAACAGCAAAACCUGAGGAAGAUUGUGUUUUUCUUCUUCAAAGCGUGUACAGCAUUGAGUUGAUAACGUUUUUUUAGGGUUUUUGUUUCUUUUUCUGAAUUGAGGCCAUCUACCUACGCGAGUCGAGUCGCUGACCAUGCCACUGCCGCCGACCACCUGCUCAUGUUCGUCUCGCGGUGCAGUUUGUGUUCUUUUCAUCUGAAAUGCAGCUAUGAAUUGCAGAGUUGCCAAUCAUUGUUCUCAGGUAAGCAGGGCUGCUUCCCACAUUAGAUUUUGAAGUAUUUUACUUCUACUGUAUAUGCAGGCAUACUGCCUUGAUUAAGGUAGCCACCAUUUGCCCAGUAGUAUCUAUAUUGGCACAUUGAUGGACUAUUUAUAUGAUGCAUGCAAAUCUGCAAUAAUUUAAUACAUAUCGCACACAUGAUUGGCCAAUACUGCUUUAUUUUCCAUUCUCUCGCUAGCCUUUACAUGUUACUUUGCCCAUUUAAAGCUACAUAUACGCUUUUCUCUAUGCAGACCAUGGGUUGCACUUGCUUCUCAGGACAAGCAAUGGCUUGUUUCCUUGACGAACAAAUUGUUUGGCAGAUUUGGUUAUUAUGGAUACUGGAAGUACUACUCCUUUGUUGAUUAUAGGGCCGUCUCCAGAAAUUUGGGGGCCCGGGACAAAAAUCGAAAGAGGGCCCUAAUUUUUUUAAAACCAUAUAGAUUAAGAACUAAUUUUGCUAAAAAAAGAGCUGAAGAACUAAUAUAAGUAAAUAAUAGUCUCACUUAAUUAUUUAACAUCAAAUAAGUCUGCUUUGGUACAAUAUUUAGAAAAUAUAUCAAAUACUAAGGUAAAAUAGUAAACAUGGUACUAAAGCAAUAAACUUCUAAACUGACCUCAUUUUGUACCAAAAAGCAAUAUUCUUCUAGUAUUUCUUGAAAUGAAAUCUUCGAUCAAAUAUUCAUAAUUAAUCUUCUCCAAGACAUCAUUCUCAAGUGCUAUUGUUGCCAAUCCAUUGAGUCUUUCUUGUGUCAUCAUGUUCAUCAGAUUCUGCAAUGUAAGCCUCAACCUCUACUGGAUCACCACCAUGUGCAUCAUCAAUAUUAGCAUCUGGAGUUUGGUUUUCAGAAUUGCUUUGAGGUUCUCUCACAACAAAUUUAUCGAGAGCGCCCUUUUGGGAUCGAGAAUCUUCUUCUAGUUUUUGUUUCUUCCUACACUUUGAACACCGGAAUCAUACUUCCUCCCGGGAUGCAUGAAUAUUUCUGUUUAAUGGAACAAAAAGUAAUCUGAAUCAACUCAAACUCUAUGAAUUAUAGGACUGUAUAGCUAAGAAAAAAGAUAAAGACUCCACCUAGAUGUAAGAUUUUGACAAUUGCAUUUAACAAAAAUUAGUUUACUGCCUAGUGCCUACGCUGGAAAAAUAAAAUAGGGCUUUGUCUACAAGGACUUACGCCGGAAAGGGACGAUGCACCGUGGGGCGCGCCGGUCUGAACUGACCUCUUAGCUUUGCCGCCGUCGCCCUGCGAGACCUCUGUAUCUGUCGCCGUCGCCCUGUUGCCGCUAACUUCGGGUGCUAAUCGAUUGAGAUUCGCCGUGCUAAAGUGCUAAUCGAUGCGGAGUGAGAGAAACGAACAGACGGGCUGCAAGGGCUACAUGCGUACGUGUAUUUGGGCUGCCUGGGAGUGCAUUUUUUACUGGGCCUUAUAUAUUACUGGACUGGGGGGCCCCAAAAUUUUGGGCCCUGUGCGGUCGGCCAAUUUGGACUUGCUCAUCGAUGGGCCUGGUUGAUUAGUACAUCUACCAAGGAGAGAAAUAAGUCCGUUGAAUGUUAUUAGUACUUGACUUGGAGUGUGUUAUCGGCGGGGGUACAUACUUUUUUCUAUUAAUUCAUGAAGAGGGAAAGAUAAUUUAAUUUUCUUUGACUUGAUAUAUUAAGAGUUUUCAAUAUAAUUCUAAAUCAUGUAAGUAUUCUAUUUGCUUGCCAUUGGCUUCACGUGUUUUCCCUUUUGCUUUUACUAUGACAAGUGCACAGCGACUUUCUGUAGAAAGUCAAAAGAAUUUGAGUAUGCGAGGAUUUUUUUAUGCAUAUUGCCCCAUUUUGUUGUGUUGCAUGAUCUGUUCGCUAUAUCUUAUCAUGGACAGCCGAGAUGACAAUUGUCGUUGUAUGUUAGCGUGGUAGCAGUUGUGCAUCCCUUUAACGGCUCUCCAAGAGUUGUCGUGCUUUUCAAUUCAGCCGGCUUGGUGGUGACAAGCAUCAAGAUCCUCAACAUACAUGAGUGGCAGUCAAAUGGCUUCGGCUUGACCAUGUUCGAAUAUUUUGUGAUCAUUGGGGACAUCACGUGUUAUUUUUAUCUCCCGUUGCAACGCACGGGCAUGUUUGCUAGUAAUAUUAAAAGGAGGAAGCUUUCAUGGUUCUUCAUAAAUCACCCUUUUAUAUCCGUUGAUUUUGUGUUAACAUAUGAUCGAUGGCUGAGAUUUCUCUUCUACUUUUUUUCUCCUAUAUAUUUUCAUCAAUUAAAAAGAAUGGUUAACUUCUCCUGAUCCGUUCCUUUCGUCGAGCCCCCUAGCGAUCGAAGCGAUCGAUCUCAUCUGAGUCCAUGCGAUCGAUCAGAGUCCAAGCACGGUCUCAAUUUUUUUUCUAAAUUUGUGAUUGAUCGCUGACCAGAGGAGAGAAGCCCAACUAGCCUGCAUGAUCUCAGAGAAGCCCAGCCAGCCUUGCGGGAUUGCAUCAAGAAGUCGAUCGGAUCGAUCGGACAGUCUAGCGAUUGGUAGCGCACGAGAUCGUAUGUUUUAAGGCUUUUGCUACACCAGCGCGCCGUCUCCUGCUCGUAUAGUAUUCAGUUUUUGUUACAUGAACAAUUCCAUCUGAUGAAUCGCUCAGAUCGAUUGCUAGCUGAUGGAAAAUUCGCCGGAAAAACAAAACGGAAACGCUGCAACGCACGAAGCCAGCAGGAGCGUACAUGCCGAUCCAGUUGACAGCUUUAUCCAUCCACGCACACGCGACGCAUGGCACCAAUGGAAUCCUAGCGGCUAGCAGGGCAAGAGGGAGGCUGGCGGAGCUGGCGGAAACGGUGAGUAGCCGGGCAAGAGGGAGGCUGGAGUGUCCUGGAUGACAACGUCAACGCCGGCGGUGCUGCUCCGUAUGUGAUUCUAUUCUUUCUGUUCGAGAUUGUGGUAGAAUUCAUGCUUCUAGUAUGUGCUUUAGAUGUGAUCUGUUCAUCUACUAUACUAGUUCGCAUCAUUAGUUUAAUCUCUACUAUUGCUGUCAUAUGAUCUAUUUCCUAUUUAUUCGGAUUAAAUCUCAUAGUAAUUUGCUCAUAUUUCCAACUGGUUUCUCUCACAAAACCAUUCACCGGGGCUGUAAAGAGAUCAAUUAGACUGAUUCAAGAUGAAAAAUUGAUGGCAACGAACGGAUGAGGGCAAGAGGAAGACGCCGCUGCUAUAUUUGUCAUGUACGAAGGUCAUGAGAAAGAGUGAAAGAAAGAUACUAUACGUAACUAAGUUUACUUUACUAGGUAAUUGCCCGUGCGUUGCAACGGGAGAACAAUAGUCAUUUAUGCAUUGGUGAUGUAUUUUAGGUCAUGCUUUCAAAAAUAAAUCAACCAAGAGCUCUUUACCUUCCUAUUGGUACAAUACAAAACAUGUGCAAUACAUGUAUUAGUUGAUGAAAUAGACAUAUAUAGAUUGUAUAUCGUUAAACCCACAUGCAUUGCUAUGGAGAGAAAGAAAUAGGAUCACCAAAAUGCAACUUUCUCAUUUCCUAAUUAAUCUGGGGCACCUUGUUCCACCAUCUACUAUCUUUUCACUCAAGAACCAACAAAACCUAGUUUAGUGUUCCAAUCAAAUGGCAUAAAAUAGUCCUUCAUAUCUACUUUCGUAUGCAUUGUCGGUGGACAGAUUAUGAUAAAAAAAACCAGCACCUAUUCAAUUCCUUGCGCAUAUCUGAGUCAAAAGAUGAAACCACGGUAAUUAUCCAAUUCAAGGGCGAAGAAGAUACAUAAUUUAGUUCAUAGCAUAUCUGAAUGAAAAGAAUAGUCAUGGUUAAACUGAAUAAAACAUUGAAUCGCUGCUUCUGCAGUUGUUUCCACUGUGAUCUUUUCUCUAACCAAAAAAACAUUAAAUAGCAACUUUUCAGUAAAGUCUAUGUAGGGGCACCAUUCGCUCUCCAAGGUCACUGCUAAUCAAAGUAUAUUCCAUCGGCUUCCUUUCAUCUUCACACAACUCAUCAAAUUCAUCUCCAUAGCUUACAAAAAGAAUGAGCUUACCAAUAUUCUGACUUCGGUCUAUAGUACAUUUAGAAUAGUUAUUAAAAGAACAUUUAGAAUAGUUAUUUUUAAACUACCAAAAUAAAAAAAUAUAGAUGUGGUGUGUGACAUGAUUUAUGACUAACAAAAUAUCAUGCAAAAUUUAGAAGUACUUUUGCAUGCUCAAGGCGGCAUGAAAUGUUCAGCAAACAACUUACGGAAAGAACAAGAACUUGCUAAAUUACAAUAGUACUAACAAAAUAUGCAUAUAAUGGAUAUGGGCCUGCCCUGAUUACUGACAUAAGUGCAGCACAUCUCUCCCCUUGCAAUCACUACAAACAAAUGUCACAAAUUAGGAUUCGGCUAUGGUACUGUACAAGAUCACUUAUGAACAUAAAUUACGAAUAUAGUUUACCACCUGUGAACUUGCUCUUGCGCGGCCAAUAUAGUGUGUUACCCAUGGGUACGCGCACAGGUAUGUGAAGCUCGCCAUCCGACCAGUCGCAAAUCAGCCGGCCGUGCUGUCACCGAUGACCGAGCUCUGCUUCGACACAGCCACCGACGCCCGAGCUCUCCACACAGAAGUAUUUUGAUUGGGAAAAAGGGCAGCAUGUCCAUGUUGUUUCCUAUAUAACAAAAAUUAGCAUGAUCAAUGGUAGAUUGAAUUAGCUAAACAGACAGCUCCCAUCUUUCCGAAUCAACAAAGAUUGCAUGGCGGGGAACGAAGUGCUCAUGGAACCAGACUAAAUUCGCACCAUUAGACAUGGAUGUUCACCUUGGCCUAUGGAAAAUAGCCUCUACCGGCGGCGGCAGGGACAAGGCAGGGCUAUUUCGUCCCGACGAGAUAAAGCGCAACCGCGGCUGGAUCGUCAUCUGCGCAUCUAGAGUAGCUAUUUUGCUGAUAAGAGAGCCCCUGUGAUGAGCCAGGCUACAGAUUCUGAUGAUACAACAUCAAUUUACUUAAGCUCUUUCACGGGCAGUGAAGGUCAAGGUGAACCUAAGGAAAUAUCAUAGUCACCAAAAAUAAGAUGGAAGAAGACGAUCAAAUUAAAAUCAUGUAACUAAAUACACAGAUGAAUUUUCUUAUAAAUAAAUCAGGCAACAAAUAUUUUGUCGGAUAUUGAAAGAGCUUUGUUUGAUUGACUCUUCUAUAUUAUAUGAUGCUCUAAGGCAACAGAUAAAUGAGAGCCAAAAGAGUAUUAUUAAAAUUGCAUGCAUGCCUUAUAUAUACCAAGGGUCAUUCUUGAGAAAAUUUGUGGCUCAUGCCUCAUGACAUUUAGAAGAAAAAUUUGGAUAAUAUGUAGGUGCUAGCACUUUGCAUAAGGUACAAGCCUUACAGGUUCACUCAAGCAAAUACCACAAAUCAUAUAAUCGCACAACAAUGGUUCACAGAAUUACAGAAAAAAUUGAGAGAGAGAAGCAGCAACAACGCUAGGAGAGAUGGGACAGCCGCAGGUUGGAGUUCAGAGAAGAACUUAAGCAACGGGCUUGAGAAGAGCUUCAGAAGAAGUGCAGCAGCAGCGCUAGGAGAGAUGGGACAGCCGCAGGCAGCAAGGAGCAGAGAGGAGAGGCAGCAGUUUGUCGUAUUAUUAGGCUGGGUCAGAUUAGUAAAUUUGUCACAUAUACACAGUUUGUCGAACCAAUUCCAAUAAUAAUCAAUAGACGCCAAACAGUGGAAGUGUCUCGAGGGCCAAAGUUUGCUGGAAACUAUCAUAGCAGAAAUCACCAAAUUUGUUUCAGAGGUAGAGGGUAGAACAAUUAGAAAGUGUACAAAGUGCUAGAUGAAUCUGAUUGGAGAACAAAAGACAACAGAAUAUCUUGUGCAUAAUUUCCCAAUUAUAUGUCCAAUUAGUACUGUCCAGUUAAAGGUCGAAGCUAGAAUCAAAGAUCUUACAACUGUACUUCAGAAAAGAACCAUCCAAUGUCAGAGUUUUAUCAUUGCUAAACGUCCUGAUCUCAUAUCAUACAGUGAUAAUCCUCCUAGGUUAGGAUUAUACCAAAUUAGUGAAUGAAUAAAAUAACUACAAUUUGGAGCUUCAAGUAAAUCAAACAGUUAACUUAAUUCUCUAGUCGACGACUAUGUUGGUACCUGAAGAAUCAUUCUGCCCGUGCCGUUAGUUCAUCACCUUGGUCCCUUGUUAUUGGCGCAUCCGAUCCCAAAUCUCCAACCUGGUAGCGAAUUAGCAUGGUUCAGUUUACCCAUUAUCUAUACACUUGAAUCAAAUAAACAUGCAAACAUGGCAUUCAAGCUUGCCGCUGCAGGCAAUGGCAUAUCUGAUAGCAAUAUGCAGUAUGAACACCAUUGAAUAACUGAAAGCAAUAGUCUUGGGUCACCUUACCUGGCACCUAGUGUCCUGAAAAAAAGCAAAGAAACGCAAAGGCCCACUUGCGGGAGAGGCAGGGAAGCGACCAUGCCACGUCGUUCUGGAGGGAGGCGACCAUGGCAUGGGAUGGCGUCGGCUGAGCGCAGCGCCGGCGCUCGGGAAGACGGCGGACCAUGGAGGCGCGCGGAGCGAGGCGGAGACGCACGGAUCUGGUCGCGUGGCGCCGGUGCUCGGGAAGACGGCGGACCAUGGAGGCACGCGGAGUGAGGCGGAGACGCACGGAUCUGGUCGCUCCCAGGUCAGAUCGGGCUGCAGUGGAGCUCCACAUCAGGAUCCAUGGUGCUGUUGUUUCUGAAACAGAGAGAGACAAGAUUUGUGAGAGAGAGAAAAGGAAGGGAGAAGGGAGAAGAAGCGAGAUAGGGCGCGCGGGAGAGGUUACUGGACGAUGGCUGGAGGUUGGUAGCGGUGGCGCCGGACGCCGGCAUGAGGAGCAUGCCAGAGGGGGAAAGAAAAUCGAGUGGGUCGUACGAGAGGUGGGACUGGGACGGGGGAAAUAAAAUCGGGGGGUGAGGGGGUCGUACGAGAGGCUUGACGAAGCGGGGAAUGUAAGAGGGGAAACGGAACGCUAAGUUUCUUUUAGAUAGUAGAGAUUUAUUGUGUCAACCUACUACUUUAGGUAUUUUUAACAUCCUCUACUAUUUACUGGUAUUAAGUUCAUUGUAACUAUUUGUGUCGUCUUACAAGUAUCAUUGUAAAUUUAUAACCAAACUGAAAGGACUGAAGGAGUUGCUCGUAAAACAAAUAAAUGGAUUAAAGUAUUUUGUCAAAAUAUAUUUAAUUGUUUACUCCAUAUACUUACUUUGAUAAAAGGAGAUUAUUUCAAAAAUAAAACAAGUUUCUCUUAGAGCAUUAUUUUCAUUUAAUAAUUAAUAUUGAACAUGGUAUGAUUAAGACGGCCUUUACUGGAAUUUUUGGCUGGCUUUGUAAUGAAGUUCUGGCGAUCGACGUAAGUUAGAUUGUCAUUGUAAUCUUUUACUAGAAGCAUAUUUCAAGAUUGCACUGAAAUGAUUAUUUGUUGAGCGUUGAUCAAUCGACAGGUUUGUUAUUUUUAGUUGCUCUGCCGAUUCGAGUAUUUUUUUCCCUUAUAGUUCUAAUGGUACAUGUCAAGAUUUUUGACCUAUUUUCUUUCUCACUAAAAGUUUAGUUUCAAUGCACAAAAUUAGAUAAACAAGAUGACUGUUAAAGUAUUUUUGCUAAUUAGUUAUUUUUACUAGUGAAGUUGCUUCUGUUUAGCAGUAAAGUUGGCUCAUCUAGCAUCAAAGUUGCUUUUGGAAAAAUCAAAUAAAACAUAUCCAUAUGAGGUUCAGAGCAUCUCCACUUGUUUGCCCCCCCCCCACCCCCCAUGCGGCAUUUUUCGCCGCUUGGGGGGCUGCCGGCGAAAAUUUUGGCCUGGAGGGAGGGUGAAAUUUUCCACUUCUUGCGCCCCCCCCACGAGCAUCUUGAGCGCGGCGGCGCCGACGACCUCCUCGGCGCGCGCCCAGUGGUGGAGCGCGAGCGUCAACGGGGAAGCAAAGCUCGUGGAGACGGGCAGUGGUGGAGACACGGGGUGUUGCACUGCCGCGGUGGCGUCCCUCGGUGAGCACGGCGGCGAGGAUGAGGCGGUGUCGCGGUCGUGUGCGAAGCCGCCGGGGCGGCACGCCACCCAGCAGAGGAACUCCCACGCCGUCUCCGGCUUCCUGAAUGCGCGCGGGAACUUGCACACGAGUCGCGGCGUCCAGACGAUCCGGGCGGCCUCCAGCUCCGCCACGUCCUUGGGGUCCCAGCCUUCCAGCGCCCUGGCGAGCUCCCGCGGGUCUAGCCAUGGCUUGAGCGGCGUCUCUUUAGCACUGGGCGUGUCCUUGUCACCAUCCUCUUCCUCCUCGAUGUCUCCCUCGCCAUCUGCAUCGUCCACGGCGCACGGCAUCCUAGCAUCCAGCGAAAGCUCCUGGACAAAGUCCUCGGUGCCCUCCGUGUGGCCGGCCUCGCUCAUGAUGGCGAUGGCAGACCGCAUCUGCGGCCCGGGCAUUACACUGUCGAUGGCCACCAUCUCGCGGACCAGCCACUGGAGCUGGUCGAACCUCCCGGCCUCCGCGAGCGCCUUGGCGAGCCCUUUGUACAGCCGGGUGGUCCUACACGUGCACAACGACGGCAGGAGCCGGAACACCUCGAGCGCAAGGGCCAUUUUCUGGGAAAUUAAUAUCCCGAAAACCGGUCCUGACAUAACAUUGCAGUAGAGUUUUUGUUUGAUGGUAUCUUCUGUGAUUGGUUUGAUAGCAUUUCUUGUUUAUUUGAUCGUGCAACUUGUAACUGUUUCAGUUAUGGAAAUUCCAUAAAGAAAUUGAACCAGCUUGUCUUAAUCUGUUCUCUAAAAUGUUUCCCUUUUCGCUUUUCAGCUGGUGCAUAGAAGAAAAGAUUUAGCUCAAGGAAUUAUGUGAAAAAUUCGGUGCUGGAAUUCCAUCGAUGUUUCGGAAUGAAGGUCUCGGUGUUGAGUUGUGGUCAUUACAAAUCCUCUGGACCACAGGUCUUGCUGGAAGUCAUGUGUCCAAGGAAAAACGAAGCAAGAGUUGCAGCUUUUGUGGAAUUCAAAGCAUGUACUCCAAUGGGUCCACUCUCCUGGACUUAAGGGUUUUGUAGGGAGGACUAUAAGCAGGAAAAAGAAUCAUGGGCAACAGAGCAAAAUAAAAUGGGGUUGCAGUAGAAAAUAUCAAACUGGGCCAGAGAGCAAAAGAGGAUGAUUUGCUCAAAAUUUUCAAAGAACAUCAGUGGUUUUUUGCAUAAAGUUGAAUAAUAUACUCCUACUAACAUCCCCUAAUUAUGGUGGAAGUUUUAAAGAAAUAUUUAAAUAGGUUGUAGUGCAAAAGUGCAAACUGGAUCAGAUUUGAAAACCUGGGGAAAAGCUCAAAAUCUCCAAAUGACUAAAGGGGUAUUUUUGCACAAAAGUGAUCUAGGAACAUCACAUGUCAUCCCCAAAUUUUGGUGGGAUUUUUACAUGAAUUUAUCAAAGGGUUGCAGUGCAAAUGGGACCCUAAAACUUAUGAAAACCCAUUUUAGAGAAAUAAAGCUCAGGGAAAAAUAAUUAUAAAUAAUCCCACUGAUAAAAGAAUUGUUUUAUUAGAGAGGGUAAACAAGUCCAAUAAUAAUUGGAAAGUUUUCACUUGGGGUGAAAACUCCACAACUUAGGAGAAAAGAGAGGUUCUGAGAUCAAAAAUAAAUCCAGAAAAAGGAAAAUUUAAUUUCUUAGCAAAAUUUUAAUAAACAAAAUAUGGUUAAAUUUUUGGGGUGUUACAACACUACCCCCCUUAAGAAAAAUCUCGUCCUCGAGAUUUGCUAAGGACAUAUUUUGCAAAAAGAUUGCCCGUACCAUGCGAUAAUCGUAACAUGGAAAGCGGUUACUCCACACACGUGAUAGGACGGGGUCACAGUAGAAUCGCUAACUAACACUACAGGAAACAGCUACUUUGUCGUCUGCCACGGCGGACGGCAAAGGCUCGAAAGGCGGACGGCAAAGACCUUUGCCGUCAGCCGCGGACGGCAAAAGGCUCCGGCAAAGAAGGCUACGGCAAAGACCUACUUUGCCGUCUGCUUCCAGGCGGCGGACGGCAAAGGCUCUUUGCCAUCUGCGGCGGACGGCAAAGAAGCGGACGGCAAAAUGAGUAGUGUUAGUGUCCGUUAGGUGGCUAACGGCAGCCUUUGCCGUCCGCCAGCUGACGGCAAAGGCUGCAGGCUCUUUGCCAUCUGUUGGCAGAUGGCAAAGAGACCAAAUAGGCAUUAAUUCUGUUUCUUCUUAUAUCAAUUCAUUUUCACAGAAAAUCAAACACACACACACANNNNNNNNNNNNNNNNNNNNNNNNNNNNNNNNNNNNNNNNNNNNNNNNNNNNNNNNNNNNNNNNNNNNNNNNNNNNNNNNNNNNNNNNNNNNNNNNNNNNNNNNNNNNNNNNNNNNNNNNNNNNNNNNNNNNNNNNNNNNNNNNNNNNNNNNNNNNNNNNNNNNNNNNNNNNNNNNNNNNNNNNNNNNNNNNNNNNNNNNNNNNNNNNNNNNNNNNNNNNNNNNNNNNNNNNNNNNNNNNNNNNNNNNNNNNNNNNNNNNNNNNNNNNNNNNNNNNNNNNNNNNNNNNNNNNNNNNNNNNNNNNNNNNNNNNNNNNNNNNNNNNNNNNNNNNNNNNNNNNNNNNNNNNNNNNNNNNNNNNNNNNNNNNNNNNNNNNNNNNNNNNNNNNNNNNNNNNNNNNNNNNNNNNNNNNNNNNNNNNNNNNNNNNNNNNNNNNNNACACAUAUAUAUCCAACACAUAUCCAUGAACACAUAUCCAACAAAUAUUACAAGGAAUGAUCUAAAACUAAAUAUCUAUUUUCCUAAAAGACUAUCUUAUUACUAAGAUCUUCUCUGGAUCUUCUUCUUUUCUUCCAACCUGCAUAACAAAAACACUAAGAAAGAGAGAAUGGGUUAGGAGUAGAAAUGUAGCAUUUCACUUGGUGAAAUGCAAUGCCCUAGGAGCCAGUACUUGAGAUCAAGAUAAUCAGCCAACCAGACCAAGUCCCAACACAUCCAACCACCAACACAUCCAACCAGCUGACGGCAAAGAACUGACUAAUGGCAAAGGCCUGUUUUGCUGUCUGCCAUUUUCUUUGCCGUCUGCUUUUGGGUAGCUGAUGGCAAAGACUUUCUUUGCCAUCCGCUAGCAGACGGCAAAGAGCUGGCAGAUGGCAAAUUAGCUGAUUCCAGUAGUGUAAGGUGCAGUUGUGGUGUACUAGCAAGGUAAUCGAUUAGGUGAUAGAAGAACGCGCGGUCGUGUAUUUAGUGUAUGCGUCUCGCGAGUCGUAUAACGCGAGGGCAUGCAAAUUAAUUAUUUUUAUUGAGAAAAACAUUUUUUUCAUCGCAGUGGUCUUUUAAGAAAAACCUUACUAUGAAGUUUGCUAUAAUUAAAAACAAUCGAUUGUAUUUUAUCACGAGAAACAACUUCAACCAAUGCAAUAUACUAAUACAGAAAAUUUUAAAGCACAACACAGUUAUCACAACAAGCAGUCAAACGAUACGCAAACGGAUAUAACCGCGGUGCUGACGGUUCAGGAAAUAAGCUAUAUGUUACGAGGAAAAAUAUUCCUUGCAAUGGGAUAUAUCUCUCGUCUACUUGGAGCGGAUGGGGGACUCACAAAGGCGUCUCUCUUAGUCUGGCCCUCAGGGGUCUGCUAAUGGCGACUAGGGUCUUACACAGCAAGGGUCUGGAGAAAAAUCCAUCACUUGUUGGGUCAAGUGCUCUCGAGCGAUGACAUAGUGCACCAGCUCAAUUAGCGUCGAACUUUUCUCUACUCAGGUGUAGGGAAAGGAUGUGGUUUCUCUGGCUGCUGCACUAUUCGAAAAACAAAAUAGCCACAUUCACUGGCAUAGGGUACCAUGAUUUGAAGAUGGGUAACCGUUCCAUAAGCAGCAAUCUUAAUUGCCAUUGUUGGAGUGGGUAUGGAUCUUCCCGAUGAAGGGAACUUCCGCAGGCUCUUGGUUUGGGUCUACCUACGGGGUGUGCCUGGCUGUACAAUAUUUCGAGGGGGUGAGCGUGACCCUCGAUUUGAACAGAUUGUACCAGGAUGGCUGGGGAAAACCCAUGGUACUGUGGUCAAAAUCCCACAAUUAUUUUGAUAAAAUCCCCCCCCCCUCGGGGUGGCAUCUGGGGUCUUUAUAUGAAUCCCAAGGUGCGACCUGAAAAAAACAAAUGGCUAUGAAGGCAGUGCACAAGGUGAGGGAUGUUUGGUAAGAUCACGGAGUGGCCUCAUGUAUAGUAUCUGGGUUUGGAUGACAUAUCGUGUUGUGGGGGCAAUAUUAAUUGUCGGUUGGGGCAAACGUUCCCUUUAUAUAAAGAAAACGGAGUCUUCCUUCGCACGCUUGCGAAUGGGGCAACUCAGGUGUCGAUCACGGGCGUGUAGCUUACUGGGCUAGUCUGAUAGGUUGGGCACCGACUGCCAAAAGCUGUCGGGGUCACUGUGGGGGCUAUCGGGUAGGAUAAGCUUGGUUGUGGUGAGGUUAAGGUCUGGUGGGUGGGUUAACCUAGGUUUUUUGACCUGGCUAAGAUAGGAUUAGCCAAUGGUCAGCCUGGCUCUGAUACCAAGUUUGUCAGGACCGGUUUUCGGGAUAUUAAUUUCCCAGAAAAUGGCCCUUGUGCUCACCAGCCCCAGGAUUACUGUUAGCUGAUGAGGCACCAACUUGAUACAGAAAUUCCAAGCAAAGUACAAAAUAUGUAGUACAAGACCAUUGUGGCCUAUGAGUACAACAAUUUGUUUCUAGUGGUUGAUGGCGGAAGCGGUUUGUGGUUCAUCUGCGUCUAUGGGACUCCAUUUCCCACAGGAACAGCUGACCUAGAUAACUCCUAUCUUCGCGAGGCUGCUAUCACCGUUGCUUAGGUUCCGGGGCUGUCAUCGCAACGCUCCUCUCCAAGCAGGUAAUCUGGCCAAGACAAUAGCCAGGGACAAGCCAGUGAGUACUUUUGAAUGUACUCGCAAACAUUAUGAACACGGGUAUAAUAUAACAAUUGAUAAUCACGCUCUGAAAUAUUCUAUGAUCGCAAUGUCAGUCACGAAAUAAACAAAAUCCAUGAUGCACGCAUGCAGGUUGUUCGUAUAAAACAUGAAUAUGCAAUCCUGAGAAUAGAAAUAAAAAAAUGCACCGAUCGGGUGUCUGAAGCGACGCCUCGAAAGGACGACAACAGAAAGCGUGCCUCAGUCGGGCGUCUGAGCGACACCACAUAAAGGGCUUAUAAAGUAAACAAAUAACUAGCAUGCCACAGUCGGGCGUCUGAGCGACACCACAUAAAGGGCUUAUAAAGUAAACAAAUAACAAGCAUGCCACAGUCGGGCGUCUGAGCGGCACCACAUAAAGGGCUUAUAAGAAAAUAAUCACAAUGAAUAUCCAGGAGGUAGAACCGUCCCAGGGAUACUCAAUAAUUCAAGUAAUAAAAAGGGUUAGUCCAAUAUAAGAAUAAUCAUAAUCAUCAUAAGUCACAAGUCAUGAUCCAUGUUCCGGUUUAGUAGUUUCUCCUCCGAAGACCGACACUAAGACCGACACUAGACCCAUCUCAGACUGUAGUUCCUUACCCAUGGACACGGCUAUUCGAAUAGAGUUAACCUCUGCAGAGGGUGUACUCUUUACCCACGAGUAACGGAUUUCUUUAGUCCAUCGGGACUAAUUCCAUCUACGGUCUUUUAAUUGAAAACACAACUGACCGCACACACCAGCCUAACUUACCGGUGUCUGGAAUCACCCACAACACCUGUUAAGCAAAACUCUAAGUGGGGAGGCUACAACCUCGCGUAGCAUGGGAUCAAAUUUAUAUCGCGCGCUCUAAGGGGUGCCCCCCUCUCGGUCCCAACCGGAAACACCCAUGCCCCCGGACCAGGUGGCAUGCCUACCGGAUGCAGCCGGUAUCACUAGUAGAAAAAGAGGCUUCCAUAUGCCCCCAUUAGUCCCUAAAAUAAUCGAACCGCGACCAAAGGGGUCUUUAGUCGCGGUUCGGGAGGAGACCCGCGACCAACUAUCUGGGCCUAGCGCGCUCGGUCGACAGCUGGCGGACGGGAGGGGCUUUAGUCCCCGUUGGCCUGGCCAACCGGGACUAAAGGUCCUCAGGCUGGCCCGAUGGCCUUUAGUCGCGGUUGGCCAGGCCAACCGGGACUAAAGGCCCAUCCCUAUAUAUAGGACUCAGCUCACUUCACUUCACUCAGCUCACUUCACAAUAUUCAGAAGGGGGGUGGUGGGUUUGCUUUUGGUUCCUCCUAUGCACACAAGGUGUUCGAUGAAAUGCCCGAGAGCAUGAAACAAACAUGAUAUGAAGUGUCCGAGCCACAAUUGAGCUUUCUCAUUUAUUUUUCCUCCGCGGUCGCCGUUAGCAACUUGAACCUUUCAUGUGUCAUUGAUAAAAUAUGCAUGUGUGUAGUUCAUUGUUUAAUUUGUAUUAUUUCUAGCUAGUUAGUUUAACAAAUGCAUGAUGGUUAAUUAUAUACUUUAUAUAAUAAUAAUGCAGAUGAAUCGGCAAUGGAUGUACGGUCCCCGACUCUCCGGCGAGUUCACUACGGGUUUGAAAGAUUUCCUCGUAGUGGCAUAUGCGAACAAGCAGCGAGGUUUUAUUAUCUGUCCAUGUGCUGUCUGUAAGAAUCAGAAGGGUUACUCCUCCUCAAGAGACGUUCACAUGCACCUGCUUCGGCACGGUUUCAUGCGAAGCUAUAAUUGUUGGACCGAGCAUGGAGAAAGAGGGGUUAGAAUGGAAGAAGAUGAAGAAGGGGAUGAUAUCGAUGACAACUAUCAUGAUCAUUUCGGUGAUACUUUCAUGGAGGAUGAUGCUGAAGGUGGGGAAGGGUUAGGUGAAGGUGAAGAAGAGGCACAUGAUGAGCCCGCUGAUGAUCUUGGUCGGACCAUUGUUGAUGCACGGAGACGCUGCGAAACUGACAAGGAGAGGGAGAAUUUGGAUCGCAUGUUAGAGGAUCACAAAAAGUCGCUGUACCCAGGAUGCGAUAAUAGUCUAAAAAAGCUGGGCUGCACACUGGAUUUGCUAAAAUGGAAGGCACGGGAAGGUGUAGGUGACUCAUCAUUUGAAAAUUUGCUGAAAAUGUUGAAGAAUAUGUUUCCGAAGAAUAACGAGUUGCCCGCCAGUACGUACGAAGCAAAGAAGGUUGUCUGCCCUCUAGGUUUAGAGGUUCUGAAGAUACAUCCAUGCAUUAACGACUGCAUCCUCUACCGCGGUGAAUACGAGAAUUUGAAUGAAUGCCCUGUAUGCACUGCAUUGCGUUAUAAGAUCAGAGGCGAUGACCCUGGUGACGAUGUUGAGGGCGAGAAACCCAGGAAGAGGGUUCCCGCCAAGGUGAUGUGGUAUGCUCCUAUAAUACCACGGUUGAAACGUCUGUUCAGGAACAAAAAGCAUGCCAAGUCGUUGCGAUGGCACAAAGAGGACCGUAAGUCCGACGGGGAGUUGAGACACCCCGCUGAUGGAACGCAAUGGAGAAAGAUCGACAGAGUGUUCAAAGAUUUUGCAGCUGACGCAAGGAACAUAAGAUUUGGUCUAAGUACUGAUGGCAUGAAUCCUUUUGGCGAGUAGAGCUCCAGCCAUAGCACCUGGCCCGUGACUCUAUGCAUCUACAACCUUCCUCCUUGGUUGUGCAUGAAGCGGAAGUUCAUUAUGAUGCCAGUGCUCAUCCAAGGUCCAAAGCAACCCGGCAACGACAUCCAUGUGUACCUAAGGCCAUUAGUUGAUGAACUUUUACAGUUGUGGGGCAGACCUGGUGUACGUGUCUGGGAUGAGCACAAAGGAGAGGAAUUUGACCUACGAGCAUUGCUUUUUGUAACCAUCAACGAUUGGCCUGCUCUCAGUAACCUUUCGGGACAGACAAAUAAGGGAUACAAUGCAUGCACGCACUGCUUACAUGAGACUGAAAGUGUACGUUUGGGUAAUUGUAAGAAGAACGUGUACCUGGGUCAUCGUCGAUUUCUUCCCCAAAAUCAUAACGUAAGAAAGAAAGGCAAGCAUUUCAACGGCAAGGAAGAUCACCGGCCGAAGCCUGCGGAACGUACUGGUGCUGAGAUAUUUGAUAUGGUCAAGGAUUUGAAAGUCAUCAUUGGAAAGGGUCCUGGCGGACAAUCAGUUCCGUGGGGAGUUGACGGGCACGCACCCAUGUGGAAGAAGAAAUCUAUAUUUUGGGAGCUACAAUAUUGGAAAGUCCUAGAUGUCCGCUCUGCAAUCGACGUGAUGCAUGUUACGAAGAAUAUUUGCGUGAACCUGCUAAGCUUCUUGGGCAUGUAUGGGAAGACAAAUGAUACAAAGGAAGCACGGCAGGACCAGCAACUUUUGAAAGACCCAGAUGACCGGCAUCCGGAAUGGUUUCAAGGUCGUGCCAGCUACGUAUACGCUCUUACCAAAGAAGAGAAGGUCAUUUUUUUUGAAUGCCUGAGCAGUAUGAAGGUCCCGUCUGGCUUCUCGUCGAAUAUAAAGGGAAUAAUAAACAUGGCGGAGAAAAAGUUCCAAAACCUGAAGUCUCAUGACUGCCACGUGAUUAUGACGCAAUUGCUUCCGAUUGCUUUGAGGGGGCUCCUACCGGAAAAUGUUCGAGUAGCCAUUGUGAAGCUAUGUGCAUUCCUCAAUGCAAUCUCUCAGAAGGUAAUCAAUCCAGAAGAUCUACCACGGUUACAGAACGAUGUGGUCCAAUGCCUUGUCAGUUUCGAGUUGGUGUUCCCACCAUCCUUCUUCGAUAUUAUGACGCACCUCCUGCUCCACCUAGUCGAAGAGAUUUCCAUUCUCGGUCCUGUAUUUCUACACAAUAUGUUCCCCUUUGAGAGGUUCAUGAGAGUAUUAAAGAAAUAUGUUUGUAACCGUGCUAGGCCAGAAGGAAGCAUCGUCAAGGGCUAUGGAAAUGAGGAGGUAAUUGAGUUCUGUAUUGACUAUGUUCCUGACCUUAAGCCGAUUGGUAUUCCUCAAUCGCGGCACGAGGGGAGACUAAGUGGAAAAGGCACGAUCGGAAGGAAAUCAACGAUAUGUAUGGACGGUCAUUCUAUGACUGAAGCACACCACACCGUUCUGCAAAAUUCCAGCUUGGUGGCUCCGUACUUCGAGCAACACAAGAAUAUUUUACGCUCGGACAACCCGGGGAAGCCUGAAUCCUGGAUUAGAAAGGCCCACAUGGAGACUUUCGGCAGUUGGUUGCGAAAACAUUUAAUGAAUGACAAUGAUGUUGGAGAUCAGCUGUACAUGUUGGCCAAGACACCAUCUUCGACUAUAACGACUUUCCAAGGGUACGAGAUAAAUGGGAAUACAUUUUACACCAUCGCCCAAGAUAAAAAGAGCACCAACCAAAACAGUGGUGUCCGCUUUGAUGCAGCAACCGAGAAUGGGCAAAAGGUCACAUAUUAUGGUUACAUAGAGGAGAUAUGGGAACUUGACUGUGGACCCUCCUUUAAGGUCCCUUUGUUCCGGUGCAAAUGGUUCAAGCUAACAGGAGGUGGGGUAAAGGUGGACGAGCAAUACGGAAUGACAAUGGUGGAUUUCAACAAUCUUGGUUACCUUGACGAACCAUUCGUCCUUGCCAAAGAUGUCGCUCAGGUUUUUUAUUUGAAGGACAUGAGUAGCAAACCGAGGAAACGGAAAGAUAAGAAAACGAUCAGUACAUCAUGCGAUGAUCCAAAGCGCCACAUUGUUCUUUCAGGGAAAAGAAACAUCGUGGGAGUGGAGGACAAGACAGACAUGUCAGAAGAUUAUAAUAUGUUUGGUGAAAUUCCGCCCUUCAAAGUGAACACUGACCCAAGCAUUAAGUUAAAUGAUGAGGAUGCUCCAUGGAUACGGCACAAUCGUAAGCAAGCAGGGACACAAGGGAAGAAUUGAUGUGUAAUAAUUUAUUGUACCAAACUUUGUUGAAUGGAUCAUGUGAAUUAAAACGUACGAUGGCGAAUCCGGAUGAUUUGUAUUUGGUCGAUGAACUGAAUGAUGUAUCAAACCUUUUGUCAAACCUUCAAGGGAUCGAGGAUGUAGAACAAAACAAUUGGUAUCGCCAUCAUACAGCCCUGCCGUGGCUACUGAGUGCAUAUAUGCAUACCAAAUGCACGGCAGGACGUAUGAUGACGAAUCCAGAUGAUUUGUAUUUGGUCGAUGAACUGAAUGAUGUAUCAAACCUUUUGUCAAACCUUCAAGGGAUCGAGGAUGUAGAACGAAACAAUCGGUCUGAAUUUUUAAAAUGAAUUAGUUUUAUUUUUCUGGAUUUUUUGAUAUAUUAUUUGUAUUUUUAAGAUUUUAAAAUGAAUUAGUUUUAUUUUUUUGAAUUUUUUAAUAUAUUAUUUGUAUUUUUAAGAUUUUCAAAUGAAUUAGUUUUAUUUUUUUGAAUUUUUGAUAUAUUAUUUCUAUUUUUAAGAUUUUAAAAUGAAUUAGUUUUAUUUUUCUGAAUUUUUUGAUAUAUUAUUUGUAUUUUUAAGAUUUUAAAAUGAAUUAGUUUUAUUUUUCUGAAUUUUUUGAUAUAUUUGUAUUUUUAAGAUUUUAAAAUGAAAAGUAUUUGAAAAAGGACCUUUAUUCGCGGUUCGUGACACGAACCGCGACUAAAGGCUCUUUCCGUGCGGGAACGAAAACGGCGCGAAAGAACCUUUAGUCGCGGGUCGUGACACCAACCGCGACUAAAGGUAUCCCUUUAGUCCUUUAGUCGCGGUUGGUGUCCCCAACCGGGACUAAAGGCUUGCCCUAUAUAUUCUCCGCGGCCCUCGUCUUCUCCGCGCUAACCACCAAACGCAUCCAGGACCUCGUCUUCUCCGCGGCGCCGCCCUCGUCUUCUCCGCGGCGCCGCCCUCGUCUUCUCCGCGCCGCCCUCGUCUCCGGUAGGUGCCCGCCGCCGCGUGCCGUCCUCCUCGCGUGCCUAGAAGAAGAGGGGACCGCCGCCGUCGUCUUCUCGCCCUCGUCUUUUCGCCCGCCUUCUCGCCCACCGCCGCCUGCCGUCCUCCUCGUCGCCGCGUACUGGAUGCGUGCCUUGCCAGCCUCGCGCGCGUGCGGAAACGGCGCCGCCGUGCGUGCCCGUGCUGGUGGUCAUAUGGCGGACGAGAAGAGUCCUCCUGACGGGCGAGACGCUGCUUUGUAGGCCGGCCCAUUUUGUCGCUUCUCCUCCAAAACAGACUAAAAUCAGAUGCUGCAGUAAUAAAAAAUAAUUUUUUGAAAACAAUUGUUAGUUUUAAAAGAGUUUGUGAAUUCUGAAAAAUGUUCGUGAGUUCACAAAAUGUUUGCUAUAUAUAAAAUGUUCACAGAUUUGGAAAAUAUAUAAUGUCCAUGAUUUCCUAAAAAUGCUCGUCCUUCAACACAAUGUUAAUUCAAAACAAAAAUAUGAAUUAAAAAAACUUGUGUGUUCAAAAAAUGUUCAUGACUUUAAAAAAAUGUUUGCGAAUACAAAAACUAUUCAUGAGUUCUUUUUUUCACUAAUUUCAGAAAAAUUCACGAAAUAAAAUAAAUCAUGAAUUUGAGAUAAUUUUCAUAAAUUUUAAAAGUGCUCACGACUUUCAAAAAACAAUGUUUACGAGUUUGAUAAAAUAUUCACGAAUUUCCAAAAUUGUUUUCAAAUUCAAAAAAAGGCUGAAAUGAAAGCAAAAAUUAAUAGCUCUUAAUCAUUCAACCGUCGCUGCUCCUCCUCUAUGUCCCCUUAAUCUUAUUUUUUAAUGCCUUUAAACUUAAUUAAUUUUUACUACAUGCAGGAGUGACAUAUGGCGGACGAUAGAGCCGAGCCGCUUAGGGAUCCGGAGGCUGAACGUUAUUUAAUGGGCAUCAUAAACAACGAGAUUCCUUAUGUGCCGGGCUCAGAAGAUGAGCAAGAAUAGGAUGUAGUCUCUUCUUUUCUGAACUUUGACGGUGGAACAGACAUUGUCGAUGAUCAAGAAGGUGAAGGAACGGACAUUGUUGACGGAGGUCAACCGUCAACAAACAACGAUCUCGAAUUGCAAGUAGCAACCACCUCCGGCGAGGUAUAUAUAUACAUUGAGCCUCUCGUGAUACAAACUUACUGAAAUGUGAAUACAUAUGUAUUAACGCACGCGACUCUUUCUUUUUUUAGCCCUCGGCCGGAUCGAGUACGACAAAGCGUGGCAAAUCCAAGGCGAUGAAAACAGGAGAAACAUAUACCAUUGAUUUUGUCAGUGAAACCGGCAAGCCCCUACAGCACACCUCAAAGUUUAUCAACCAAUGCGGAGUCGUUGUUAGAGACAACGUCCCGAUCACCGUCCAGGAAUGAAAGGAGCCAAAGAAGGCACGUCUUGGUUUCAGUUUUGUCGACAAGAGAACGAAAAAGGAUUGCUGGAGAAAGCUUAUGGAACAUUUCAUUCUACCUCCGGAAUACAACAAAGUCGAUGAAUUCGGUAACGAGGUUCCGGGUGGACGUGAGAGGAGGAGGCUAGUUAAAGAGUUCGCUCUUCAGAAGAUGGCCGAAGCAUUCCGGAACUUCAAGAAAAAUUUAACCUGUGACUAUGUCAACAAGGGCAAGACUCCGGAUUUCAAUGGACAACAUGAGAAACUGAAAGAUGAUUGGCCAGAAUUUGUGAGGCAAAAGAAAUCGGAGCAUUUCAAGGAAAUAUCGAAAAAAAUAAGGAUAAUGCGAGUAAGAAAAAGUACCAUCAUAUUAUGGGGCCAGGAGGAUACCGCCUUUCGGAGCCUAAGUGGCAGAAGAUGGAGGAGGACCUGAGGGUGCGAGGAAUCCCUCUAGGUACAGAGGGAUGGGACCCAAGGGCCAAAAGCUGGUGGUAUGGGCAUGGGGAAUCGCUAGACCCGGAGACAGGGGUGUGUGUUCACCGGAAGAAAAAGUUUGCUCCCACCCAAGCCCUUAUUGUCGCAAUGACCCAAGCUCAAGAGGGCUUCAUCAAGUUCAACAGAGAGAAAGACGCACUGACAACAGCCCUCGGGAAUGAUGAACACGGAGGACAUGUACGAGGCAAAGGCAGAAUUUCGUGGAAAGUAGGGUUUUCCUAGGACAAUGACCCGUACUGUUACAGAAGCCGUAAGAGAAAGACGGACCGGGAUGCAGAUCUUUUGGCGAAGUUUGCAUCGGAACUCCAUGAGUUGAAGCAGACCGUGGAUGAACUAGUAAAAGAAAAAUCGGCUGCAGGGCCGCAUGAAGAUCAUGAAGCGGAUCGCGGAAGCCAGCAGCGGAGAAGCAGCGUGGCUUCCACGGAUGCCCCGCCUGGUGCUAAUGCACCGACGAUCGAGAUUCGUUCACCGGAGCCUCACUACCCCAUGGAUGAUGUAAAGGAGAUGAAAGAAUGUGAUAUGCAUUAUCCCGUGGGGAACGUUUCCACGAAGGUAGCUACCGGCAGUGCUUUACCCUGUACACCUGGAGCACUCCACCACAACAACCCCAUUGCAUAUGGCUAUGCUCGUGUCAUGGUGGAAGACAUAGUCCAAGAGUUUGAGGACCUGGAGAUUGACAAAGCUACACCCGAAGGGGAGAGAAGACUUGGAGAUGUCAAGCGCCAGAUCAUUCUAUGGAAAAAGAAGUACAUAGUGUUUCCAGGCGAGGCGCCAAGGCUAACAAGUCCACCCCCCUCCGAUGGUGGUGGUGGUGGUCGUGGUGGCGGUGGUGGUGGUCGUGGUGGUUCACCUACACCUCCUUCACGCCAUUCGACGUCGUCCCCCGAUCCACAACAUCCGGCGGGUAAGCAGCCGCCGCCCCCCAAUCCUCCUCCGGCGGGUAUGACGCCCCCAAUCCACCUCCGGCAAACAAGCAGAAGCAGGCGGACAGCAAGGAAACCCGCUCCUGGACUAUUAACCCGGACCCUUAUGUACGUAAGACCACAAGGGUACCGGAGCCAUCACUGUAGCCUCUCCUCCCAAGGCCUUGGGAACUUAGUGAAGCUGAAACCAAAUUGGCCGCGUUUGCUCAUUAUGAGAAAUGGAAGGCGGAUACGAAGGCGAUAAAAGAGCCUGAGCCCAAGCAAGUAUUCACUGAGAAGCAAAAGAAGUGGGCUAAGGAUUUUUUGACGACACCGUCCUAAGCCGAGCUGAAUAUGCCUGACGACUAUGGACAUGAACUUCGUAGGCAAGCAAAAAUAUUGAAGGAGGAGAAAGAAGAAAGUAAAAAAAGCGGGAAACAAGUUGACCAGCUCGGGAUGCAGAAUAAACAAUCAAUCCCCCCGCUCAUAGUGAAAGCCGGUCCGGAAGAGGACCCCGAGAUCAUAGCAGCUGCGGCAGCACUUGGAUUGACUGUAGCGAGUGCCAUGAAACAAGCGUCCGAGAUGGGUUUGACUCUUCGUGCCUCGUUAGGCCUUGAGGAUGCGCCAGUAUGUGAGAUAGCAUUACAAUAUGUGCGGAAUGGGCCUCUCGUCGAGCCUGCGCGGGAAAAGAGUCUACCACCACAAAUGCGAAAUCUGCUACGUUGAUACAAGCAUUUCAUAACAUGGGCCGGCAAAGAAUAUGUUUAUGCGGAUGUUACAGAGGAGCAUCACACCAAACGGUACUCUGUAAAAGUUCUUAUGAGUGAAUUGUUCCGGCUGUUCAAUCUGCGCGAGCUCGACAAAUCUAUCCUGAGUUGCUACGUUCUGUAAGUGAUUUAUUUCUACCUCAUCUCGUUCUUCAUUGCCUGUACUAUAUAUAUAUAUAUUUUUUUUCCUAACUAUAUUGUUGCGUACGCUAUUAUGCAGAUUGAAGAUUUGGGAAUGCAAAAUAAGAAACAUCCAUGAUGUUGGGUUCAUUGACCCACAUAUCGUUAAUGGACAUGUGUUACAACAUCACCCCGAAGACGUGGAGAAAGACUUGUACAAGUUUCUUAGAAAGCAUCAACUCAAAAGUCAUAUUCUAUUUCCUUACCAUUUUGGGUGAGUGUUUCUCUCUUGUGCCCAUUCUCUUUUGUUUACUCCAUGCAUGGUAUGUCUAAUCGAUGAGUUAUGCAUGACUGUGCAUGUAACGUGUCCGCAGGUUCCACUGAAUUCUGCUAAAUAUUGAACUUCACACCUCCAGAGUUCUAAUCAUGGACUCUAUGGAUUCGGAUCCAAAGCGUUGGGCCGACAUGAGAAAAAUGCUGCAAAAGUAAUUAUUUUAAAUCAUUUGAGCUCUAUAUCGAUCGGUCUCUUUCGUUCAUUUCCUAAUAUCAAGUAACUAAUAACUCCCUUGUUCAUUUAAUUUUCUUUGCCCUGUAGGGUUUGGAGACGGUUCUCAGAAGAAAUUGUCGGUGAAUUCAAACAUGAGCUAGAUUUUAGAAGAUUAGUUAAUGUGGAUAAGCAGCCACCGGGGACCAAUCUAUGUUGAUACUAUGUUUGUGAGAACAUCCGGAGACACACCUCUGAGCGGAAGGCAUCGGAUAGCGUGCGGAAGGCGACGGAUAACUUGCGGAGGAGGCUUAGUCCAGAAGCUCGCUUCCGACCAAUUCAAGAUGAAUUAGCAGGAUUUUUCAUGAGGGAAGUGAUCAAUCCUAAAGGAGAACACUAUACCGAGGACGAAGAAAUUUAUAUGCAUACCCGAGAUUGAAACUUGUUCGAAGUUGUAUAUGGUCAUCCAUCCUAAUUGUGUAUGGAAACUUGUUCGAAGUUGUAUAUGGUCACCCGAGAUUGAAUAUAUAUUAUAUAUUCCUCUUGAAUUCUUCUUGUUUGAAAUUUCAUAUGCAUGUAUAUAGUAGCGUAGAAUAUGUGUACUGAAACUUCAUCAAAAUUAAAAUAAAACACAAAAUAAAAUAUAAAAGAAAUAAAACACUACAAAUUAAAAAGAAACCAGGUUUAGGGGGGCUAAAACCCUAAACCUGCGGAGGAGGCCUUUAGUCCCGGUUAGCCACGAGAACCGGGACUAAAGGUCCUCCGCCCCGACGGACUCCUGGCGCCCACGUGGACGGGCCUUUAGUCGCGGUUCGUAAGAGGCGCGACUAAAGGGGGGGCCUUUAGUCGCGCAUAUUUAGUCCCGGUUGCACAGCCGGGAUUAAUGGCCUUUGCGAACCGGGACUAAAGGCCUAUUUUCUACCGGUGUAUCUUCCACCAUGGCCUCUCUGUACGGUGUGUGCUUGGAAGGGGUUGACAACUUACUGAACCGUACCCUACCUGCGGCAGGGACAAGUGGUAGUACGAAACAAGUAUGGGGUUACUGGAACAAGACUCGAUCUACGGCCGACUCAGGAGGUUCAAGUAUUCCCUGUAUGAUUAGCAUAACAAAUAUAUUUCAAUUAACAGAUAGAAUCACCACUCAUCAUACCUCAUCAUGCCAUACCGGACACCCUCGUCUCGACGAGGAACUAGGGACAAGCUCGUGUCUACCCAAGACAGAGACUUUCCCGGCUUCCUUCCGGUAUGCAUGAAAAGCAUACGAGGAUGAUUACUAUCACCAGCAUAUCCAUUUCUAACAGCCAAGAAUCUUCAUUAUGCACUCAUGCGUAUGAUUGUAUCGUCACAUAAAAUAACGAAUGCUCCAUGUCAAGGUGGUGUUGUAACCGUAUCAAACAACACACAAAAAUAUUAUGCCAGGGUUCAGAAUGCUUGCCUUCAAGUUGUGGAGAGGCAGGGUGCAUUUCAAAACUUUUGAAAGUUUUCUUCACUUUUGAAAAUAUUCAAAUUAACACAUAGAUUCAAAACAGUGCAAAAAAGUUGUUUGAAUUUUUUUCAAAUAAAUAUGAAAAUAAACUAGACAAAAUUUGAGGAAGUUAGGAAAAAGAAUCAACUCAUUUGGAGUUAUAUUUAAAAAGUUAUAGCCAGUCAAAGUUUGGUCAAAAUUCUGUUUUUAAAUAAAACAGAAAAACGUUUUGAAAUAAAUACACGUCGAAGACGUACUCUGGGAUUACGCCUCCACUUACGCCAGCGUGGACCGACGCGGGGUCACUAACAGUGGGUCCAGGGGGGCCAUUGGUCAGGUUUGACCAGUCGUCCCCGCCUCCUUCCUCCUCUGGCCGAACAGAGGCGGGGCUCCGGCGAUCGUCGCCAGCGAUUUGCGGCUCCUCGCGGGGCUCCGAGGGCGGGGAUGGAUCCGCCAGUCCAGGGCGGUCCUCCCGGUGGUCGAGGGGUUGGUGGGGGUGGAGGGAGUCGCCGGCGGCGAGCUCUGCGGCGGACGGCGGCCUCGGGAGGAUUGGGGCUUCACGCUACGGUGGCGCCCCAUCGAAGCUGAGGGUUUGGGCGGCUCCGCAAGAUCGAGGGGAAGAGGACGGUGGCUCUAGAUGGGCUGGGGAGGCCUUGCUUGCGACGAAAUGGAUCGGAGGGCGGCGGCGGCCGAACUGGCCGGAGACGGGGAAGAAGGCUUCCCGCUGUCGCUGGCUGGCCGUGGGGGCUUUGGUGGAGCGGCUUGAGGUCGCCUGGGUGCCUGGUCGAGCUCGGGGUCCCUAUUUAUAGCGCAACUACGUCGGUUCCGCGGCCGUGGAUAAGGACGCCGGCGAACCGCCGUUCUGUAGCUGCAGGGCGACGUGGUGAGGGCUGGCGGGGUCUGGCAGGGCGAGGGGAUGAGCUCGAGCUGUUCAGGGCGAGCUGGCGCGCGGCUGUGGCUCGGGCGGCGCCGUCCAGGGCAGGAGCCCACUGUGGCCGACCGCUAGCCGCCGUGGCCAACCUGACGGCGGCGCUGUGGGGCUCCAGGGGCGGCUCUGCGGCGAGGGAAGGGGCGGGCGUGUUGGUUGCGGGUGGGGAAGGGCCAGAACGAGCGCGGGGCAACGGCAGUGGGACGCGGCGACUCGGUGCGCGCGCGUGCAAAACGUGCGCUCUGGGCGCGCCCAGCGCACGUACGCGAGGUGUUCGGCAAAAUGCCAAGGCAUGCCAGGAGGCUUGGGUGGGGCUGGGGAUUACCAGGUCUAGGCUAGGGUUUGCAAGGAGAUCAGUGGUCAAGCUUGUUAGGUCAGGGGAUCAAGUUCACAAUGCAAACUAAUAAUCAUGCCAAAUCUGUUCAUGCACUCAAGGUGUUCGACAGAAUGCUAAGUGCAUCUAGGCAACUCUUGGGGUGGCCAAAAGCUCCAGACCAGUGUCUCUUUACAUGUAGGUGGUGGUGGCAAGGUUAGUUUGGCAAAACUAGAAACUAGUUAGUGCAAGUUUUUAAGAAAACCAAUUCUGGGCAGAAACUAAAAGCUAUCAUUCCAUGGACCAAAAUUACUCCAAUGGGUCCACUCUCCUGGACUUAAGGGUUUUGUAGGGAGGACUAUAAGCAGGAAAAAGAAUCAUGGGCAACAGAGCAAAAUAAAAUGGGGUUGCAGUAGAAAAUAUCAAACUGGGCCAGAGAGCAAAAGAGGAUGAUUUGCUCAAAAUCAACAUCCCCAAGUAAACGCAUUCUCGAAUUCCAGAUGCAAACACUAGGCAGCAAAAUGCAACCUGUGUUGUACCUCUGCCUAUUGCUCAUGCCCUGCCUAUUUCUCGUGGAAGAAGCACACGCGGCGCGCCAUGGAGGGAUCUCACUGAGGUCCCAACACAUUGCCCUCCUCCACUGGAAAGCUACACUUGCAAGCCCACCGGUGCAGAUGAGCUCUUGGCAGGAAAACAACACCCCCUGCAACUGGACGGGCAUCGUGUGCACAGCUGUUCGCCAUGGCCGCCGCAUGCCCAGGGUAGUUACCGACAUCUCCCUGCCGGAUGCUGGCAUCAGGGGCCAGCUUGGUGAGCUCAACUUCUCAGCUCUUCCAUUCCUCACAUAUAUUGACCUCACCAACAACAGUCUCCAUGGUGCACUACCAGCUAGUAUCAGCUGCCUGUCAUCACUUUUGGAACUCUACCUUCCCUACAACCAGCUCACAUGGAAAAUUCCCGAUGAGAUUGGUGGCCUGCAAAGUCUGAGGGUGCUUGAGCUCUCAUUUAACAGACUCACAGGACAUAUUCCUGCGUCUCUGGGCAACCUAACAAUGUUAACUGAUCUCGCCAUUCACCAAACCAUGGUAUCAGGUCCCAUUCCUGAGGAGAUUGGAAGGCUUGUCAACCUGCAAAUUCUACAGCUAAGCAAUAGCAUCUUAAGCGGCAUAAUACCAAAAACCCUUGGAAAUCUGAGCCGGCUAAAUACUUUGUACCUAUAUGGUAAUCAACUUUCAGGUCCUAUACCACAAGAACUAGGCACGCUAGUACGUUUGCAAAUUCUUGAGCUUAGUUCAAAUAAUUUUUCAGGUCCAAUUCCAAUAUCCAUAACCAAUCUCACUAAGAUGAACCAACUUUUUCUCUUUGAAAAUCAAAUCACAGGUUCAAUACCCCCAGAACUAGGCAAACUCGCUAAGCUAAACCAACUUGUUCUCUACAAAAAUCAAAUAACAGGUUCAAUACCCCCAGAACUAGGGAACCUCGCUAUUCUAGACCAACUUGAACUCUAUAGUAAUCAAAUAACUGGUUCAAUACUCCCAGAACUAGGGAAUCUCACUGUGCUUAAUGAACUUUCUCUCUAUGCAAAUCAAAUCACAGGUCCAAUACCUCCAGAACUAGGAAACCUCACUAUGCUCAAUGUACUUUAUCUCUAUACAAACGAAAUCACAGGCGCGAUACCUUUAGAAUUGGGCAUGUUAUUGAAUCUCAGAGAAUUAGACUUGUCCGAUAACCAAAUAUCUGGCUCUAUUCCCCAAGAGAUUGGCAAUCUGAUGAACCUCAAAUAUUUAUACUUGUUUCAGAAUCAAAUUUCGGGCUCAAUACCUAGAACUUUUGGGAAGUUGCAAAGCAUGCAAGAACUGCUAGUCUUUGAUAACAACUUAUCAGGUUCUCUUCCUCAAGAAUUUGAAGAUCUCAUCAGCCUUGUUACACUUGAGUUGUCUAACAACUCAUUUUCAGGACCUUUACCCGCAAAUAUUUGUUCAGGUGGGAAACUUCAAUAUCUCAUUGCCUUCUCUAAUAUGUUCAAUGGCCCCAUUCCAAGGAGUUUAAAGACAUGUACGAGUUUGGUUGAAAUUGACCUUCAAUCGAACCGUCUAACAGGGGAUAUAUCUCAACACUUUGGUGUGUAUCCACAACUCAUAAAGAUGAUCUUGAAAUCGAAUAGACUCUCUGGGCACAUCUCACCAAAUAUAGGUGCAUGUACCCAACUAACGGUGCUACGUCUAGCACAAAAUAUGAUCACGGGUUCCAUACCUCCAGUCAUUUCGAAAUUGUCCAACCUAGAACAACUAAGACUCGAUUCUAAUCAUCUCAGCGGUGAGAUUCCACCAGAAAUCUGCACUUUAGCAAAUCUAUAUAGCCUUAACUUAUCAUCAAACCAAUUAUCUGGAUCCAUACCUACACAGGUAGAAAAGCUAAGCAAUCUAGGAUACCUUGAUAUAUCUGGGAACAUACUGAGUGGAUUAAUACCCGAGGAACUAGGAGCAUGCAUGAAACUACAGUCCCUGAAGAUCAACAACAACAACUUCGGUGGGAGCUUGCCUGGUGCGAUUGGAAAUUUAGCAGGCUUGCAGAUCAUGUUAGAUGUGAGCAACAAUAACCUCAGUGGUGUGUUGCCCCAACAACUUGGGAAGUUGCAGAUGCUAGAAUUUCUGAAUUUAUCACAUAAUCAGUUCAGUGGCAGCAUUCCAUCCUCCUUCACAGGCAUGGUGAGCCUGUCAACACUCGAUGUGUCCUACAACGGCUUGGAAGGACUGGUGCCAACAACACGGCUACUCCAAAAUGCUUCAGCAAGUUGGUUUCUUCCCAAUAAGGGUCUGUGUGGUAACCUCUCUGGCCUGCCACCUUGUUAUUCAACCCAAGUAGCUGCUCACCAAAAAGGGAAGAUACUUUGUUUGCUUUUGCCAAUUGUUCUUGUGAUGGGUUUCAGCAUUGUUGUUACAAUUGCUGUCAUAAAAAUGAUUAGUCGAAACAAGAGUAAACCACAAGAAAAUGUUACCGCUGAAGCAAGGGACCAAUUCUCUGUUUGGAAUUUCAACGGAAGAUUGGCAUUUGACGAUAUUGUAAGGGCAACAGAAGACUUUGACGAUAAGUACAUCAUUGGAACGGGGGGAUACGGCAAAGUCUACAAGGCACAACUCCAAGAUGGGCAGCUGGUUGCUGUGAAGAAGCUUCAUCAGACCGAAGAAGAGUUGGAUGAUGAAAGAAGAUUUCGUAGUGAGAUGGAAAUCUUAUCGCAGAUCCGACAACGAAGCAUCGUCAAAAUGUAUGGAUUUUGCUCCCAUCCAGCGUAUAAAUUUCUUGUCUACGACUACAUUCAGCAGGGCAGCCUCCAUAGGAUACUGGAAAAUGAGGAGCUAGCAAAGGAAUUCGAUUGGCAGAAGAGAAUUGCUCUUCCAAAUGAUGUGGCUCAAGCAAUAUCUUAUUUGCACCACGAAUGCAGUCCACCUAUAAUCCAUCGAGAUAUCACGAGUAACAACAUCUUACUUGAUACAACCUUCAAGGCUUUCCUCUCGGAUUUCGGCACAGCAAGGAUUCUUAAGUCAGAUUCAUCAAACCGGAGUGCACUAGCAGGAACGUAUGGCUACAUAGCUCCUGGUAUGUGCUAGUAUAACCUUUCUUGUCACCACACAAGCAUUCAGCUCUAUCAAUUUGUUCCUAAUCCUAAUGUUCUUCUCGAUGUUGUGCAGAACUGUCGUACACAUUUGUUGUGACAGAGAAAUGUGACGUAUAUAGCUUUGGCAUUGUUGUGCUAGAGCUACUGAUGGGGAAGCAUCCGAGGGAUCUAUUAGAUGGUACUUUCUUAAAUGGAGAACAAACUAUACUGGUGCAAGAUAUUCUGGACCAACGGGUGACAACACCAACAACAACAGAAGAGAACAACUUAUGUCUCCUCAUUAAGCUGGCCUUUUCUUGCUUGGGUUCUUUUCCACAAGCAAGGCCAACCAUGAGGGAGGCAUACCAAACGCUCAUCCAGCGAUCCUCUUCUAGUUCAUGUCCCGUGCCUUUCUACGCAUUUACAUUACAGCAAGCAAGGGAUGCAUAUUAAUAUAUUAUCCAAAAUCUAGUGAGAAACAAGGAUCUAUCAAAGCGGAGGCCGAUUUAGGUUUCCGCUUUUGAGUCGAGUCACUCAUACAUGCUACCUAUAUAUAAUUCGGGAUGAGUUGAUUACUCAUUGUAAGUCUAUUUGUUUUGUAGACACUCUCCUGAUACAGUGAACGAUCACCGUUGUGUGCCCGUGGUUUUCUCCGCAAUGGUUUUCCGAAUAAAAACUGGUGUCCCAUGUUAUUGAUAUUUCUCGGUUUGUUCGCUUGCCGAUAACAAUGCAUAAUAUAAUUUGUUUUCCGGGUUGCUUGUAAAAUGUAUGCGGUGUUUCUGAUUAUAUUUGUUUUAAGACUGUGGACAUGGUAUCCACAUGUGACACUUUCUUUCGGUUGUUGUCUACACUUGAAAUGGUGUGCUAAAAUUUGUCUCUUUUUAUCUAGCUAGUAUUUGCCCCCAAGAACCUAAAGAUGGAAAAAAAAAUGGAUCUGAAACUGGUGUGAUGUCAUGUAGUCCCACUUUAUUGUUCCAUAUAUAUGGGAACCAAGAUAAAAUAUCUUGGACCAAGCAGGAACGAUCAAAUGGUUGACACAUAAAUGGGAACAAAUGAAUGUAAACACACAGAAAUAGGUGCAUCACAAAAGAAAAGUACCACAGUUUGUAGGGCAGGAGUAUGUAGUCCUUGUCCUUAUGAUGGAGAAAUGUACUAAUGCUCAUCUCGUUUUAUCUAUUAUUAUUACUCCCGUGAACCUGAAGAUGAAAAAAAUUGGAAUCCAAAUCUGACGCGAUAUCAUGAUCCCGCUUUAUUGUUCUUUGGGUAUAAAAGUAAAAAUACCUUGUACCAAGCAGGAACAAUCGCAAUGAUCAAGUGUUUGAUGCGUAAACAGGAACAAUGAAUGUAAACACACGGAUAUAGAGGCAUAAAACAAGAAAAGUAGAACGGUACUAACUAAAAGGACCUACAGUUGGUUGUAGGGCACGAGUAUGUAGUCCUUGUCCUUGGGAUGGACCGAUGGAGCAUAUGUUGUCCUUGUCCUUAGGAUGGAGCAAUAAACAAUACUACACUUAAUUUCAAGCACUGGUUGGCGAGAUUUUCAUGGAACAAAGAUACAACCUUCCUUUCUUCAUGCCUAAUACAAACUUAACAAAGGAUGAGAUGAGAUGAGAUGAUAGGAAAAGGCCGUGACUGACAGCACGAGAGCCAGCAAUGUCCCAUAACUUCAUUAUCAGAAAAGCAGAUACCAAUUCAACUCAACAGAGACAUACUAACAACAGGAUGUACAACCGUAUACAUAACACUCACUUUAUUGCUCACUAUUAUUCCAACACAAUGGGGAAAAGACAUCUCAUCGUUCAACGAAUUGCAGUGGUAUAUGAGGAGCGAUGCAAUGAAUUUGUCCGUGCAUAAACAAAGCGUCGACUAUUUACAACGAGAUCAAACCUAUAACGUAGUCAUUUUUGUUACUUUUCAGGUACCAAUUGAUGCAUGCGGCAUUGCAGGCAGUCCCAGUUCAUCCUCCUGCGCCAACAGACAAAAGUAAGGAGAGCAAAUUAGUCUCCUUGUCAUGUGAUAAGAUAAAGGACACCGUUUAUAGCUUCAGGCACUGUGAUUGCAUGGGAAAAUGACACGAGUCAUCGAUUUCUUCCUUGGGAUAUCAGCACCAUAAUCAAUGUGAACAGAAACUAGUCAGUCUCGCAAUUGACAUACCUGCUGCCGGUUUGCCGGGACUGCUGCAUGAUCACUUGGUGCAGCAGGUUAGUUAAGCUCAGAAUAAAGAUCGGUCUCCUUGUCUGGUUGGAGGUACGGUGGGAGUGAGUUUGAUUCGAAGUCCAUAUCAGCUUUCAAAGCAUCAAGCUCUGCAUGCAUUUUUCAACAUAAAAAUGAGAAUAUCAUACAGAGAACUACUGUCUUGUCUCUAAAUUAACAUGUGCGUGACACAAAACUACUGAAGUUUUGCAAAAGUGCCAAAGAAAUUUUCAGAAGAAAUCUAAGACUGAUAUAAAUUGGAGAGUUUGCUGGAUCAGACUCAACUAUGAAAUUCAAAUAGAAGUGGCUCCUCCUCAUAGAUGUCAUCUGGGACAUUGCUCACAUCCAUAAGAUCCAUCAUCUCGUCUUACAUUGUUCACGUCCAUAUAUCUUGAAAACAAUCUACUCCCUCCUUCCGAAAAAGCUUGUCUCUCAAAUGGAUGUAUCUAGCACCAAGUUAGUGCUAGAUACAUCCAUAUGAGGGACAAGCUUUUCCGGACGGAGGGAGUAGUAAACAACAGGAUGCUGCAUACAUCCAUGUCUUCAAUCCUGACAGUCUUCAUCAUCCCUUUCAGCUCUUCAUUUGCAGCCUUCAUGGCAGCUAUCUGUUAAAUGAAGACACUUCAACAUAAGUCUUGGAGCAAGAAUCAGAAUCUAUCAUGAACUUGGUAGGAAACUAAGGCAAUAUACAGAUUAUAUGAGCCUGGUGAGCAACUGGGUCGAGAUUAUAUGGUUGUACAGAAUGUCAAAUUAUCCUUAAUACCUGUAGGGAAAGCAUGUGGACUAAUAGGCUGCUGCCACAGAAAUGAAAUGAAUGGUUAGAUGCUACAGGAUCGUCAGCUCCAUUUAACUACGGCCAGGAGCAUGGAGCAAUAAUAGCACUCCAUUUCUAUCCUGUCCAUGUUAAGAUGACAGAUAACCUAAGCAGAUAAGUACACAACUCCUAUAUGUAAGGAACUUAUGAGACUACACAAAAAUGGCAUAUAUUACUGUACAGAAGGGGGUAAAAUCUAAAGGUGUAUUAGAGCACAUCGACCAGAUUCACGAUACUAUAUCUUCUCGGAUAACCCUUUAGACGGCGACUUUUCAACAUUGAUGGGUCGGCUCCUUGUUGGGCAUUUCAUCGAACAUGUGGUGUGUGGAAACUUGCCCUUAUGGCCCAGCUCGCCUCCCUCCUCUGAAUCCUCUUCCUGCCCCUGAAAUCCGCGUCAAUCACCAGAAGUUGCAGGAUUCAUUAGAUUGGGAGAGCACCUACUGACCUGAGGCACGGUGAGCACUGGUAGUCGACGGAGUUGGCGUUGGCGGUGGCGUGGCUACCCUCGAUCAAUGUACGCGCUUGUCAUAGCAGAGCUCGCGGACGUGGUCAGUGGCGUUGCCGCUGCACUCACUUGAUGGCCCCCCGGAGCGAGGGGAGGAGACUUCGCGUGGGGGAGGAGGACGGCGAGAGGUCGGUCGGUGCGGCUUGGGCUUGGAGUUGCACGCCGACGGGGACGCAUCGGUGGCCGGAGCACGGAGGCCGGCCGGCGGUGGGACUGGAGUACCUGCCUGCCAGGGCCGGACCCCGGCCCAAAAAGAAAUAUUGCUCACUCAUAGGCCGCAGUCCAAUCACGAAAUCACUAAUUGAGGAGUACUCGUUGCAAAGAUCAUUCCAAUUUCCCUAGUUGCGACAAGUGACGCACAUGCAGCGCGCCACAUGUCGCAACCUGAAGUUUUCUCUUUUUUCAUAGAUUCGUUUAUUCAAAACGUUUUAUCUCUUAAACCAUGCGUCCAAAUCUCGAAGCGCUUUCAUCGUUGAAUUCCUCGCGUCGAGAUCUUCAAAAUCAGAUCAUAUGUUGAUAGGUUUUAACGAACCUUUUUUCAUGAAAAAACCGGACGAAAAACCAAACCAGGAGCACGGGUUUUUUUCCCUUUUCGAAAGAGACAUGCCCGUGCCUCUCACGAAAUCACAACCGUGCCUCUCGCGGAAGCAAAACCGUGACUCUCGCGAAAGGAAAAAAAGAGAAAACACGUUUUUUUUCGUUUCCGAGAGGCACGGCUGUGACUCUUGCGAAAGCACACCCAUGCCUCUCGCGGAAGCAAAACCGUGACUCUUGCGAAAGAAAAAAAACAGAAAACACGUUUUUUUUCAUUUUCGAGAGGCACGGCCGUGACUCUCGCAAAAUCAAAACCGUGCCUCUCGCAGAAUCAAAACCGUGACUCUCGCGAAAGGAAAAAAACGUGUUUUUUCGCGUUCAAAUUUUUUUAUUGAAAAGCUAAGGAAGACCGAUGGAAAACCAAAACGCCGAAAAAACCCAAAAAAACCAUUUAAAAGCCGAAAAAGCGUGUAGAAAAAUAAAAAAAUAAAAUCUGGAAGGAGCGCCCAGAGCGCGACACGUGGCGAAUGGCUAUGAGCGCGCCAAGUGACGCUGAUCGUUACGAGGCUCCCGAAGGAGCGCUCGUUAACUAGUUGCUCUCGUCCAAUCAAGCGUUUUCUUCUGUUGGCUAGAGCUGGCCCAAAAAGAAAGCGCUCAAGUCGGCUGGAGUUUUUUUUGUGUGUUUUUUUUUCCUUUUUCUUUGUGUCCGUUCUUUUUUUUUCAUUGUCAAAUGCUCAUAGUGUUUUUUAUUUCAUCAUGUGUUUUAGAAAUCCAUACAUUUCUCAAAAUUGUUUAUCAUGUAUUUAAGAAAUGUUUACCGUUGUAUCUACCAAUUGUUCAUUGUAUAAAAAAAAUAUUCACGGUGUUUCUAAAAAUAUAUUAAUAGGCUGACGUGGGCAGGCUGGUCGGGUGGAUACCUCCUACACAUAGAUCCUGCCCGAUUUGAGAGCAGGUGAGGGGGAGGAAGAUGUGGCACUCGGGAUAUUUGUGAUGUGCUUUCACUUUUGACAAGGCACAAGAAGCGACCACAUGGUCAAGUACAGCACCAUCAUCACCCACAGACACGUACAUACAUCAUAUCACAAUGUUUGAGAUACAUGUUGAAUUCUUCACUUGAACUCUCUCUUGUAAUCAUCAUCUCAGGAUCUUGAUCCUCCAUGGCUUAACUCAUAAGGUAGAGCAACUAAAGUUUGAGUCGCACACGAGGACUCUGUCUUUUAUUUUUCAUCUUCUUUCAACCUUGAAUUCAACAUAUGGUCUCCAAGCAUUGCCUAUGGAUAAACCUUCGAGUAUAAAAAAAGAGAAUGACUCACACAGACCAACAAAUAAUUUACUACUCCCUCCGUUUCAAAAUAUUUAUCAUGGUUUUAAUUCGAAUUUAAACUAAAACCACAGCAAGCAUUUUGGAACAGAGGGAGUAGUACCUUAUGUGGCUUACUUAGUUUCUUUUUCUUUUUCUUUUUUUGCGGGGGACGGCCUACUUAGUUUCAACCAUUGGUUGGCAGGACUGACAUGGAAAGCCUUCUUAUUUCUUCAUGCCUAAUGCAAACUUAUUAACAGAAUGGGUGAGUAGAGAUGGUACGAGAACUAGCAAAUACCCCAAUAAGCUUUUCUUAUCAGAAAAGUAGAUACCAAUUCACCUCAGAACUCAACUAGGCUAGUGGCAAUCACACGCAUGCUAACUACAGGAUGUACAGAGAACACCUUCUUUUAGCACUCACUAUCAUUCGAAAACCAACAAUGUGAAGACACCCUGGAAUGAAAUGAUGGCUGAGCCGAGGAGCAGGUUGAAAGAGAGGAUGCGAGAAGAAGGAAAAUGUCUUGGCAUCCUUAGUUUUACCGUAGCAACGGGCAAAGAGCCAUCGUGGCAAAUAUUGCCGUGCUUGAUAUGACACGGCAAUCCAGCAGACGUACAGGAAGCGCUAGUAGUAGACUUUUACCGGUUCAACCUACGUGAGCUUGCAACUUUUCUUCAGCUUUGAAUUCCACAAGCUGCAGCCAAACACAUGACUUCCAACAAGACUUGCGGUCCAGUAUUUGUCUUAACCUCAACCGAACAUAGAAACCAUCAAUAGAAUUCCAGCACGGAAUUUUCCACUGGUCUCUUUUACUAGUAAGAUCAAGCUAGGAUGAGCUCAAUUCUUCGCACCAACAAUAAAGGUAUCUUUCAUGACACUAAGCCUGAAAUAGACGACUUAAGAGUUCAGAAAUAUGUUCAUAACGAUCUCAACAAUCUAGCCUCUCUCAAUUAGAUCAUGUGACAGGAUAAAAAAAAACCCGACUAGUACAGAGCAUGGUAUAUUAGAAGUUGCAUUCAAAGCGGGCCUCGAGGACACUAUCCACGCGAGUGGGCACUAUCUGAACACGGGCAUCUGCACCCACUUUUAAAAAACUGCAUUUUAAGCAUGUUUUGAAAUGUUAAAAAUUGUAACAGAAAAUUUUAUGCAUACAUGUUCGCAAAUGUGUGUGCGCGGCACAAAGUUUUGUGAAAAAAUGUCUUUUUGGUUUGCCUCCGUAAAAACGACAAAUUUCAGUGCUUCUAAAUAGCGUUUCACGACACAAUUUUUGUCUUUUUUGCACAGGCCUAAAAAAAGUUAAUUUUUUAGUGAAACUUUAUGCACGCCCAUAGAACAUGAAGACGUACCCGUGCAACCUUUUUCAGAUUUUCGUGGCAUUUAGAAAUGUGUUUUUCAAAGUGGGUUCAUAUGUACCCGGGUUCAUCUAUGCACUUCCCCUAUCCGCGCCCCCUACAUUCCGCGUGGCUUCGCGGCUUCCCUACAUUGCCGGAUUCAUCGGUCCGUGGUGCUCCCCACCGCCCACACACUCCUCAAUCUUUCUACCCACCGGAUCCAUACGCCGGUGGUGCUCCACGCCGAAGGGUGCUUCUGUAUAUUGCCUUUACUGGCGCGGAAUUCAUAAUGGGCCGGUUAUUGGCGAAUCCAUAAUGGGUUGGUUACUGGCGUGGCCCAUUAAAAGAUAUACUUUUUCUUGUUAAAUCUCAAAAUUUAUAUUUACUUUAUAAUAAUAUAUUAAAAAUUAUUUCAAAAGAAAAUGUUCACGUGUACAAAAGAAAUGUUCAGGUAUAUUGGAAAAAAAAGGGUUCAUAUAUUAGGAAAAAAUGUUCACAUAUAAUUUGAAUCUAGCUUAGUUUGCUUUUAUCUUUGUCGCAUUCAUACAAGUGUUCGCUGCACUGUUGCAUCUCUAUGCACUACCAUAGUACUGCUGUAAGUAUGGAGGCAGUAGUAAUAAUUUGCACACUUUUGGUUACUUAUAAAUUACCUGUGGGCUGUGGUUGGAAUAGUGUGAUUGACAUGCCAAUAACAGGAUGCACAACGACCGUACAGAGACCAGCUCACAUUACUCCAAGACAAGUCUUCAUCUACCUUGCUGAGAACCUUCUCAUAUGUUUGACGGAAUAGCGGAGGUUGACGGAUUUGUACCCUUUUGAUUACUCAUAAAUUAGAAAGGGGCAUACCUGGGAAUAUUUGUGUGUCGGAUGUUACACGGCAAUCAACAACAUGCACGGGCCCGCAGACCUACCGAAAGCGCCGGUGACCCACUUGAGCUUGGAUUUUUUGCUUCAGCUUGUGUGGUCAUGAUGCUGCCUGGUUGUAUAGGCUAUGAAUUCCACAAGACUUCCAACACAAUAUACACUUGCGUGGUUGUACAGCGCCACUCCGUCAUUUUCCUCGUACACAGGACUUCCAACAAGACUUGGGGUCCAGCAUUUAUAUUAACCACAAUUCAGCACUGAAACCUUUAUUUUUACCACCAGCACGGAAUUUUCCCAAAAUUUGUUGUUGUGUUGCGCCACCAGCCACGAGUCCUUGACCUAAAUCUAAAUCGUUUGUUCUAUGUACCAGCUGAAAAGCGAAAAUGGAAAUUAACAUUGGUACCGUGGAGAAUAGCUUAACUGAAGCAGUUACAGAUUACAUGAUCAAAUAAACAAAUAUACUAUCAAACCAACCACAGGAGAUACAAAAACCUCUACUGCAAUGUUAACUCAAAGUCCAUCAGCACAUAAGUCGUAGACGGAGGAGAUAUGACUAGGCGUAUGCCGCGUGUACCCUUCUAUCCCUUCCUUCAGUUGCUUUCUAGGAAUAAUUACAGUUUCAUUCUUCCACUGGCACGAGCAAAGAAAAGAGGAAUAGAUGGCGACACCAGAAAGCUCUCGUGUAGCUCAGGCUACAUGGAACCUCUUAUCCUCAACCCUCCAGCCUUGCUUUGAGAUCCGUACUCUCCAACUAACUUACAACAAGAAGAUUUCUCUUUUUUGUUUCUCUCAAAUGAAGCAACAUAUGAAUUUCAAAGGGAAAGAAAAAGGGGCAGAGAUGGCGACACAUUGAAGAAUAGUCAUCCAGCAGCAUCUUCCACUCAACUAUUGUGUGUUGAUUGAGGACCUCACAACAACGAAAGACACACUAGUUAAAUACACAUCAAUAGUUUGCGUAGAAUCACAUCCCCCAACCAAACACAGCAUGCAAACACUACGUAGAAAAAUGGCAUCUUGCUCAACACCACUGUUGUACCUCUGCUUACUGCUGGUGCCAUGCCUUCUUCUCUUGGAAGAAGCGCAUGCGGCACGCCAUGGAGGGAUCUUGCUGAGGUCUCAACGUAUGGCCCUCCUCCGCUGGAAAGCUACACUUGCAGGCCCACCGCUGCAGAUGAGCUCUUGGCAGGAAAACACCAGCCCGUGCAACUGGACAGGCAUCAUGUGCACGGCUGUUCGCCAUGGCCGCCGUGUACCCAGGGUGGUGACCAACAUCUCCCUGCCGGAUGCGGGCAUCCAUGGCAAAUUUGGUGAGCUCAACUUCUCGUCUCUUCCAUUCCUCUCAUAUAUUGACCUACGUAACAACAGCCUCCAUGGUGCACUGCCUACUAGUAUCAGCUCUCUGUUAGCACUUUCGGUACUUGGCCUUACCUACAACCAGCUUACAGGGAAAAUUCCUAAUGAGAUUGGUGGUCUACAAAGUCUCAUGCAGCUUGAGCUAUCAUUUAACAGAUUCACAGGACAUAUCCCUGCGUCUCUAGGCAACCUGACAAUGUUAACUUAUCUUGGCAUUCACCAAAACUUGGUAUCAGGUCCCAUUCCUGGGGAGAUUGGAAGGCUCGUCAACCUACAACUUCUACAACUAAGCAACAGUAGCUUAAGCGGCAUGAUACCAAAAACCCUUGGAAAUCUGACCAAACUAAAUACUUUGUACUUGUUUGGUAAUCAACUUUCAGGGCCUAUACCCCAAGAACUUGGCAAGCUAGUCCAUUUGCAAAGUCUUGAGCUCGAUUCAAAUGAUUUUUCAGGUCCAAUUCCAAUCUCCAUAACCAAUCUCACUAAGAUGAACACACUUUUUCUCUUUGAAAAUCAAAUCACAGGUUCAAUACCCCCAGAACUAGGCAACCUCUCUAUGUUAACCCAACUUGAUCUCUACACAAAUCAAAUAACAGGUUCGAUACCACCAGAACUAGGGAACCUCACUAUGCUAACUGAACUUUUUCUUUAUACAAAUCAAAUAACAGGUUCAAUACCCAGAGAACUAGGCAACCUCGCUAUGCUAAACAACCUUGAUCUCUCUACAAAUCAAAUCACAGGUUCAAUACCCAGAGAACUAGGGAACCUCACUAUGCUAACUGAACUUUUUCUUUAUACAAAUCAAAUAACAGGUUCAAUACCCAGAGAACUAGGCAACCUCGCUAUGCUAAACAGCCUUGCUCUCUCUAGAAAUCAAAUCACAGGUUCAAUACCCAGAGAACUAGGCAACCUCACUAUGCUAACUGAACUUUUUCUUUAUAAAAAUCAAAUAACAGGUUCAAUACCCAGAGAACUAGGCAACCUCGCUAUGCUAAACAACCUUGCUCUCUCUAGAAAUCAAAUCACAGGUUCAAUACCCAGAGAACUAGGCAACCUCGCUAUGCUAAACAACCUUGCUCUCUCUAGAAAUCAAAUCACAGGUUCAAUACCCAGAGAACUAGGCAACCUCACUAUGCUGAAUAAACUUUAUCUCUACAGCAAUAAAAUCACGGGUCCUAUACCUUUAGAAUUGGGCAUCCUGUUGAAUCUUCAAGAAUUAUACUUGUCUGACAACCAAAUAACCGGUUCCAUUCCCUAAGAGAUUGGUGAUCUGAUGAAGCUCCAAUAUUUAGGCUUGUAUCAGAACCAAAUUUCAGGGUCAAUACCAAAAACUUUUGGGAAGCUGCAAAGCAUCCAAAAACUUCAAACCUUUUAUAACAACUUAUCAGGUUCUCUUCCUCAAGAAUUUGGAGAUCUAAUAAACCUUGUUCAUCUUGCGUUGUCUAACAACUCACUCUCAGGACCUUUACCAGAAAAUAUAUGUUUAGGUGGCAGACUUCAAACUCUCAGUGUCUUUUCCAAUAUGUUCAAUGGCCCCAUUCCUAGGAGUUUAAAGACAUGUACCAGUUUGGUUCGAAUUGACCUUGAGUCGAAUCAACUAACAGGAGAUCUCUCUCGGGAUUUUGGUGGGUAUCCACAACUCAUAAAGAUGAGCUUAGCAUCGAACAGAUUCUUUGGGCAAAUCUCACCAAAUCUAGGUGGAUGUACCCAGCUAACAGUACUACAUGCAUCUAUCACAUAAUAUGAUCACGGGUUCCAUAUCUCCAAUACUUUCUAAAUUGUCCAACCUAGUAGUACAAAGAUUAGAUUCUAAUAGUCUUAGUGGUGAGAUUCCACCAGAAAUCUGGACUUUAGCUAAUCUAUAUCAACUAAACUUAUCAUCGAACCAAUUAUCUGGAUCCAUACCUACACAUAUAGAAAAGCUAAGCAAUCUAGGAUACCUUGGUAUGUCUAGAAACAGACUGGGUGGAUUAAUACCUGAGGAACUAGGGUCAUGCACAAAACUACAGUCAUUGAAGCUCAAAGACAACAACUUCAGUGGGAGUUUGCCACCCGCGAUUGGAAAUUUAGCAGGCCUGCAGAUCAUGCUAGAUUUGAGCAACAAUAACCUCAGUGGUGUGCUGCCGCAGCAACUUGGGAAGUUGGAGAUGCUGGAAUCUCUGAAUUUAUCACAUAAUCAGUUUGGUGGCAGCAUUCCAUCCUCCUUUGCAAGCAUGGUGAGCCUUUCAACGCUUGAUGUGUCCUACAAUGACUUGGAAGGAUCAGUCCCAACAACACGGCUACUCCAAAAUGCUUCAGCAAGUUGGUUUGUUCCCAAUAAAGGUAUGUGCGGCAACCUCUCUGGCCUGCCACCUUGUUAUUCAACACCAGUAGCUGGCCACCACAAGAAGAAGACACUUGGUUUGCUUUUGCCAAUUGUUCUUGUUGCGGGUCUCAGCAUUAUUGUUGCAAUUGUUGUCAUAAUAAUGCUCAGUCGUAACAAGAAAAAACCCCAAGAAAGUGUCACUAUUGAAGGAAGGGACCUAUUCUAUAUUUGGAAUUUUGAUGGAAGGUUAGCAUUUGAAGAUAUUGUAAGGGCAACAGAAGACUUCGAUGAUAAGUACAUCAUUGGAACAGGAGGAUAUGGCAAAGUGUACAAGGCACAACUCCAAGAUGGGCAGCUAGUUGCUGUGAAGAAGCUUCACCAGACCCAAGAAGAGUUGGAUGACGAAAGAAGAUUUCGUCGUGAAAUGGAAAUCUUAUCACAGAUCAGACAACGAAGCAUUGUCAAAAUGUAUGGAUUCUGUUCCCACCCAGCAUAUAAAUUUCUCAUCUAUGACUACAUUAAGCAGGGAAGCCUCCACAUGACAUUGGAAAAUGAAGAGCUAGCAAAGGAAUUAGAUUGGCAGAAGAGAAUUGCUCUGGCAACUGAUGUGGCUCAGGCAAUAUCUUAUUUGCACCACGAAUGCAGUCCACCAAUAAUCCAUAGAGAUAUCACAAGCAACAACAUCUUACUUGAUACAAUCUUCAAGGCUUUUGUCUCGGAUUUUGGCACUGCAAGGAUUCUUAAGCCCGAUUCAUCAAACUGGAGUGCACUAGCAGGAACAUAUGGCUACAUAGCUCCUGGUAUGUACUAGUAUAACCUUCCUUCUCAUAUCAGAAAUAUUCAUCUCUUAUCCAUUUGUUCAUGAUUCUAAUAUUUUGAUUUUGUGCAGAACUCUCGUACACAUCUGUUGUGACGGAAAAAUGUGAUGUAUAUAGCUUUGGUGUGGUUAUGCUAGAGCUAGUGAUGGGGAAGCAUCCAAGGGAUCUAUUAGACGGUAGUUUGUCAAGCGGGGAACACGCUAUGCUGGUAAAAGAUAUUCUAGACCAACGGCCGACAACACCAACAGCAACAGAAGAGAAUAGCUUAGCUCUGCUCAUCAAGCUGGCCUUUUCUUGCUUGGAAUCUUCUCCACAAGCAAGGGCAACCAUGCGGGAGGCAUACCAAACACUCAUCCAGCGACCCUCUUCUAGCUCCUGCCCCAUGCCUUUCAGCGCACUUACAUUACAGCAAGGGAGUGAUGCAUGUUGAUAUAUGAUCUGAAUUCUAGUGAGAAGCCAAGGUCUAUCAUUGUGGAAGCCGAUUUAGGUUUAUGUUUUGCCUCGAGUCACUCAUAUACCAUCUAUAUAUGUAAAAGUCUGUAAUCAUCUCAUGUCAUCUCGUAGAUUUUAUUUCUAGCAAAAACAAUAACCGGUCCAUGCAGCAUGAGCCUGAUCACGACAUGGCCAGAUCAGUAGUUGCAUGCUAUUAUGAUCGCCUCGUGGGAUGGCACGAGUACCGGCUGUAGCGGCUUAGAACUUGAGGCAUGAUCAAGGGACGUGGGAUGGCAUGUCCGUAAAGCUUGGUCAUGGUGCAAGAUUAGGAUCUUUAUGUUAGCUAGUUGAGCUAAUGAGCUGUUUAAAUAAAGAGGAGAACAAAGCAGAAAGGCUGCAAUGGUUUACACAGAGCAAAUAUCCUGAGUGUCCACUGAUUCUUUUCCCUCCCUGUGCCUCGGGAUGAGUUCAUGACUCAUUGUAAGUGGUCGAUGCUUAAACAAGAACAAAUAAAUAUAAACACACGAAGCUAGGUGCAUAAAAAAGGAAAAUUACCAUAGGACUAAGCAAAAGAACUUAUGCGGGGUUGUAGGGCAAGAGUAUGAAGUCCUUAUCCUUAUGAUGGAGCAUUGUAUCCAGGAGUAUGUAGUCCUCGUCCUUCAGAUGGAACAACAAAUAAUUUACUACUACACUAAAUUUCAAACAUUGAUUGGUGGCGAGAUUGAAAUGGAACAGAGAUACAACCUUACUUUUUAUUCAUGUCUAACAAAUGCUUAACAAAGGAUGAGAUGAUAUGAUAUGCAAAGUCCCAGAUGACAGACAACAGUGAGAGCUAAGCUACUGAAUCAUAGACAUGAAGAGUUUGGUAUGAAUAUAUCCCAUACUCUUUUUACCAGAAAAGUAGGUACCAGUUCACCUUAAAAUUCAAUACAACGAAUUUGUCCAUGCACAAACAAAGCACUGCAGGCAGUCCUAGUUCAUCCUCCUGCACAAGCAGAGGAAAGCAAGCACAGCAAAUUAGUCUACUGGUUGAGACACAAGCAUAGACGUUCACUGAAACUGAAAUGAAGCAGAGUAUGUGUUGUGGUAUGAUAAGACUGAGACAACGGUUAUUGCUCCGAAAGCUCAGGAUCAAAUCCAUCAUAUAGCACAUAUAUGGCGUUAAAGUGGUUUGGAUGUGUUCCCGUGAGUUGUUUUUGCUAGUAAUAUCAAGCUAGGAUAAGCUCAGUGUUGUUCACACCAACUAUUUGAUUCAGUAACUUUAAGGUGAUAAUACCUGGUGUUUGAGUCAUCUAAGAAUAGCCAACUACAAAUAAGUCCCUCCUCAUCAAUGUCAUCUGGGACAUUGUAGUUUCUACCAAGAGUUUCUUGUAUUUCACUGCUCACAUCCAUAACAUCCAUCGUCUCGUCUUGCAUGCUCUGCGGAUUAUGAAUGCAGGUACGGAUUCAGAUGUAAUUCAAACAAAAUAAGCUGAAGAUCUUGAAAAUAUGAACAGUUAUGCUCCAUACAUCUAUAUCUUCAAUCCUGACAGUCUUCAUCAUCCCUUUCAGCUCUGUAUUGGCAGCUUUCAUUGCAGUCAUCUGUUAAAUGAAAAACAAUUCAACAUAAGUUUGGGUGCCAGAAUAAGAAUCUAUCAUGAACUUGACAGGAAACUAAGGCAACAUACAGUGUGUUGAGCAUCUUUAAUUCUGUCUGAUGCGAAAGCAAGUUGGUCAAGAUUAUAGGUUUGGUUGGACAGGAUGUCACGUUGACCUUCAUACCUGUAGGGAAAGGAUGUGGAGUAUAAAUAUUUGAGCCCUAUGAGCUCGGCUGACACAGUGAUCGAAAGCUGCGCAACCAAAACAACUUGAAACCGCAUAGCCUACUGCCACAAGAGGAAUGAUUAAAUGAUACAGGGUAAUCAGCGCCCUUUAACCAAUAGCAUUCCCACGUCUGUCUUGUCCAUGACAAGAACAUGCUAGCAUUCGAAAUCAGCGGCUUCUAUAGCAAGUAACCUAAGGAGAUAAGAACAAAACCUUUUACAUGUAAGGAAAUUUUGAAACAACACAAAAAUGGUUUAUUAUUGUAAAGAAGGGGGAAAAAAUCUAAAGGUGUAUGAGAGCACAUCAACCAGAUUCGGGAUUCAGCUAUAUAUACCUUCUUGGACAACCUUUUAGAUGUUGACUUGUAACAUUGGUGGAUGGCAGCAUGGACCGGCGAGCGACCGCGAAGAGAGGAGAAGAAGACGUCGCUGCAGCGCGUUGUGGGCAUUUCAUCGAACAUGUGGUGUGCGGGAGCAGAUCUUCCGAAUCCUCGUCCUGCCACAGAAAUCGGUGCUCAAACUACCAAAAUCAGCAUCAAGCCAGUUUUGUUCAUCCGUGGCAUGGCAUCAAUCAACGGAAGUUGUAGGAUUUGGUAGAACGAGAGAGCACCUACUGACACCGAUAUGAGCNNNNNNNNNNNNNNNNNNNNNNNNNNNNNNNNNNNNNNNNNNNNNNNNNNNNNNNNNNNNNNNNNNNNNNNNNNNNNNNNNNNNNNNNNNNNNNNNNNNNNNNNNNNNNNNNNNNNNNNNNNNNNNNNNNNNNNNNNNNNNNNNNNNNNNNNNNNNNNNNNNNNNNNNNNNNNNNNNNNNNNNNNNNNNNNNNNNNNNNNNNNNNNNNNNNNNNNNNNNNNNNNNNNNNNNNNNNNNNNNNNNNNNNNNNNNNNNNNNNNNNNNNNNNNNNNNNNNNNNNNNNNNNNNNNNNNNNNNNNNNNNNNNNNNNNNNNNNNNNNNNNNNNNNNNNNNNNNNNNNNNNNNNNNNNNNNNNNNNNNNNNNNNNNNNNNNNNNNNNNNNNNNNNNNNNNNNNNNNNNNNNNNNNNNNNNNNNNNNNNNNNNNNNNNNGAAUGGCGGCGAGAAGAGGUGGCGGACGUGGUCGGUGGCGUUGCCGACGAGUGGACACCGCAGUCGCUCGACGGCGGGGACGGAGCUCGCGGCGGGGACACAUGCAGUACAAUUUGUUUGCAUAAAAUUUAAACAAAUCACACCACUCAAUUAAAUUUUUGUGACAUUUAAAAAUGUUCGCACGUUCAAAAAAAUACGUUAAUGAAAAAUUGGAAAACAAGUUUUUCCAUGCUCAACAUGUAUCAAAAAAAUAUUCGUAUGUAUAUGGAAAAUGUACAACAUGUAUUGAAAAAAAAAAACUUCAGUGUGUAUUUAAAAAAAUAUUCAUCUUGUAUUUAAAAAAUUAUCGAGGUGCAUCAAAAAAAUGUUAAACAUGUACUUGAAAAAUGGUUAACAUGUUCAAAGACGUAUUUUACAAAAUGUCCAUCAUGCAUUUGAAAAAUAUUCAGUGUGUAUAAAAAAGUAGAACCUGUACUAGAAAAAUUCUGUCAUGUAUUUGAAAAAAAUAAAAUGAAAACUGAACGGAAAAGCAAAAGAACCAUACGACACCCGCGAAGGAAAACUUAGUAAAAGACAAAAGAGAAAACUACAUGGAACCUUCCAAAAACCGGUGAAAGGUUCCACGAGCUGGUGUAGAAACUUCACAACACCGCACGUGUACAUGUUAAUUGGACCGGCUCGACCUACUGCUCACCUACUGUGUUAGGUAUUGCAGUAGGCGAGAUAUUGGUCUGGCGCUCCUAUUCAUCGCUUUUAGCGAGCGCUAGGGUACGAGUCCCUCGCCGGUCACCCCUAAAUAGGUCUGACCCGUCAGCGGGAGCAAGCACCUGCGAGCGAGCGCUGUGGCACCAGCGAGCCACGUUGGCCGUUUUUGUUUUGUCCAAAAAUUGCAAUUUUUUAUUGUUUGCAAAUUCAAAAUUCUGAACAUUUUUGGAAACGAUAAAUCCUUCAAGAAAUUUUGAAUAUUUUCUAAAAAGUGAACUCUUUCGAAACACGAACAAAUGUUGAAACACAAAAAAUAUAUCCAAAGCAAAAAACAAUAGAAAUUAUAAAAACUUUUAAAUUACUUUUUAAAAUGCACAAUUAAAAAUUAAUAUGUAUUAUUAUGAACAUUUAUUUAUAUAAGAUGAAUAUUUUUAAUAUAUGGUGAACAACUUUACAAAAUACAUGCUGAAGAAUUAUUGAAUAUGCAAUGAACAUUUUAUUUGUGUACAAUGAACUUUUCUUAAUAUACGGUGAAUAAUUUGUAACUACAUUGAUCAUUUUAUGUUUUGCGGUUAACAAUAUUUGAAAAUCGCAAACAAUUUUUGAUGUCUUGAACAAAUUUUGAGAAAUGUGAAAACUUUUCGAAAAUUUCUUGAAAUUGUGAUCAAAAUUUGAAAUUCCGAACAUAUUUUGGUAAAACAAAAAAAUAUUUCAAAAACUUUUUUUUCAUAAAAACAUGAACAAUCUCGAAAUUCUGAACAUUUACUGAAAAUGUUGAAAUUAAAAAUAAAACAAAUUAACCAUAAAAGGUAAAAAACCUGGAAGGAAAAAAUAAAAAAAAAUAAAACUAUUAUUUUUGUGUCAUGUAUUUAAAAAGGAAAAGGUAAAAGAGGAGAAAGGAAAACGAAAAAAAAAAGAAACCAAAGAAGGAAAAGAAAAGGCAGAAAUAGAAACCUGGUACAAAAAACAAGCAGAAAACACAGAGAAGAAAAAACAUCUGAACUUCCCAAAACCGUUGGGAACGCUUCCGCUCAAUGGACUGGCCCGCUGGACGCGCCUGUAGGCGAUUGACGUCGCAACACUCGCAAAGAACGACAUAUAUCAUUUGUGAUAUAGCUCUCGCGCUUGGUGAAGGCAAUUCCAGUCAACUGUGUGUGCGUGCCAAGCUUUUUGCGAUUUGGUGCCCAUGAUGGACCUCACAAUUACGAUGGGCUCAAGUAUUCCACACCACACAAAAUGAUGGCCCGAAAACGGCCCAAGGUCUAGACUGGAGAGCUGAAACGGCCCAAAGAAACAGAUGUAGGAUGAGUAAAAAAAAAGACCUAUUAAACGGGUCGCCCGUGCCUUGUUAAUGAUUGCCUGGAAGCCCUUCACGCCAGGCAUGGGCCCAAAGUUAUUACAACGGAUCCUUAAAGUUUUUUACAGCGGAAAGCAUGCCCUUGUAUCUCAUGCUAGAACUCCACGCAUCGCCCUGUUACCGGCACAAUUCUCGAGGGACGUGUCGCUGUUUUGCCCUCCACAUAUGCCUUCAUAAGACCAUAGUAGAAAUUGUAUGUUGUGCAACUUCUUCCCUUGAUUCCUCCGCAACUCAUCCAUCGUCGUCGACAGGGAAGCACAGAUCUAGAGUCACACACGACCGUGAUGGCAAGCAGGAGUGACGCAACCGUUGACCUUGAGGGCCGGAACGCCACAACAGAAGAUACUAUGAUUUGACAUUCUUUCUUGCUCCGCUAGAAUGGCUGCAAAGUCCAAAGUCCCUGGGAGCUGGUUAGUCUCCAUGACUUCUUUCGACCACCUACAAGAUAUGGUCGCUCCAAGUUUUCUGCCUGACUGGCGCGUCCUCCUUUGGCUCCAUGUAUUUCUACACGUAAAGAAACACAUGGAAUUACCCCUCAAAAAACACAUGGAAUUUUCCUUAAUCACAACUAUUAGUAUAUUAAUCUUUUUAUAAUAAACACAAUUAAACUUCAAAAUGGAUAGAUAUGUUCUCACUGAUGUUUGUCUCUGAAAUUGGAGAUGUUCUAUUCGCAAUAUAUUAGCAAAUCUUUGGAAGCAUUUGGGCUUGGUGUUGUCGUUGUGAGAUCGGUGUUGUCGUUGUGAGAUCGUGAGGAUCAUCUUGGUGUCGUGGCCCUAGAUUGUAAUCAAUGAAUGGCGAAUGAUGAAAUUUGUGAGUCAUUCCAACAAAUGGGUUUUGUCAACGGAGUACAUAUAGUAUAUUUUUGUAGCCAGGCCAGCCAAUGAUCCCAUGUCUAUAGGUGUUGUAAUAUUAAAAUUAGCCCAAUUUCCCUGCAAUUAACAUGGAAACUCUCUUUAACUUAACUGGUAUAUGGAUUAAAUGGAGGAAGUGUCAAUCAAGUCCAUUAAGAAAAAAAUUGAUGAAAAAUCUAUCUAUAUUCAUAUCCAAACAAUCAUUAGACGUAAAUCAGCUCCACACUUAAGGAACAUUGGCACAACGCCUAUUUUUUCAUAUAAGAAAAUAUAGAUCAUGAGGGCAUGUAUAAUGGUUGAUAAGAUUGUCUUAUUUGUCCCCCAUGUAAUCUAAAGAAGACAACAAAAAAUGAUGUACAAUGUAUUACUCUUAGUCUUAUCUCUAAUAACAAGAUAUUCCUAAUUAUGUGGUGAGAGAAUUGUUGCUAAGAGAUCAUCUCUUAAUGAAGAGAAGGCAAGUCUUUUCUUAUGGUUUCUCUCUCCUCCACCUCUACAAUUAUCCUAUGUGGCACUUCUAAGCUAAGACCAUUGUAUAUGCCCUCAUACAUCCAUUCUUUGGAUGUAAUUAAAUCAAGUCCAUUUUUAAUGAUUAUUGGCAUAAAUUGAUCUAUAUUCAUAUAAAAAGAUAGGCCAUCAAGCAAUCAUUAAUUGGAUGUAAACCAAGUCCAUAUUUAAUGAACAUUAAUUAAACAAUUGAUUUAUACCCACCUCUAGAAAGAUUAUUUCACCGGAUGACUACCCAUUAAAUGUUCAAUGCAUGAUCAGUACAAUGCAAUCUAAAACUUUCUAAAGAAAGAACCUGGCUCAAUUCUAUAUAAGUUGUGUUCUAUAAAGAAGAUACAAGUACGUCAGGAAUCACAUAGUUACUAUUUCAUUGAAAAUAGCACAAUUACCUAUACAAAUGGGAGGUGAUUAUGUUGUCAUAUCGGUCUUACUAUGCUUUUUGUGUAUAACUUUCCACCUCACCUUUGUUGAAUCGAUAGACGUAGAUGUCAAUCUCCAGACGAAUGAGAAGGUAACCAAUAUUUUACUUUUAGAUUUUGAUAUAUACAACUUCUUAUCAAUUGGUUUAUGUAUUAUCCCAUUGUUGUAUCUACUUGACCACUUAAUCUUGAUAAUUAUUAUUGGUGUUUAUCAUUCAUAACUACUUUAUGUUACUUAUAUGCCCAACUAAAAUGUAGGACACACAUGUGAAAUGAAUACUUAUCUUUCAAAGACUUUGUACAUCAAUUAUAUAUGCUAACUACUCAUGAACUAUUAUUUCCCUCUGCAGAACACCACUCUUUUAAGACCUAAGCAUUUCCAUUUUCCUUGGAGAGCUAAUAUCAUGGAUGAAGGAAGCGGCAUUAUUUCCCAUGUACACACACUCUCCCCCAUUCUCUGUAUAUAUCUCUCUUUACCUUUUCAUGUGUUAGAUUUGGGAUGUUUUGUUGAUUUGUUGGUGAGUGUUGAUCACAAGAGGCAAAGCCAAAGUAUUUUCAAUAUAAGCAUCACAUAUUUAAACCACGGAGAAAAAAAGUAGCAAUCUACAUUCAUUAAUGAUGUACCUAAAUCAUAGUUGGUCAAGCUAAAUUCUGGUCAAUGGCCCAAGAGACAUGGUCGUACAUAAAGACCAAAUAAAAGACAUAGACCUAAAUGAACUAAGCUUGAUGCCCUAUAUACCGCGAAAGCUAGGAUCAUUACAUAUAAAGCAUGCUACCAAAAUAACGUGAACAACAGAUUCAGAAAGGCAUUUAAGACAUACUCUAUAUAGGAGACUUAUGCUGACAUACCAACUUUAUUGGCAAUACACUUCACACCUAUCAGAGAGAGAAUCAAAUCUUGUUUCACCCAUGCCACAAGGAGGAUAGAAGAUGUUGUUAGCCCAAGAACCUAAGUAAGACCAUCGAAAAUGCACAUGAACUAAAGCUUUGCAUGCAUCACCACAAAGGGUCUAAUAGCAUUGGAUUGACACCACACCCCGUGGAGUAAGCUAAAUCCAGUAUGAUAUACUCAACAAGGCCUAUGAAAACAAAUCUAGACUAACUCCAAGAUAGCAUGAAAGAUUCCCCAUUGUAAAUGUCUGGUAGGUGAACCUCAUACCAAGGCCAAGAACGCACACCCUCACUUGUUUAUUAUGUCGUUCGCUAUAGAUUUUUCCGGUUAUUUACUAAUUUGCUAUAAUUUUCUAUCACUAGUAUGCAAUGUGGCACACAGAGCCAGGACAAUUCUACGGCCUUCGAGCUGACAUGAGUAUAUGGGCUUCACCAAAUCAAGGAACUUCUCAAGAAUCUGGAGCAUCCUUACAGAUCUAUUGUCAAGAUGGAGGAAACUACAACUUAAUUCAAGUUGGAUUUCAUGUACAAACAUAUCACCCAUUAUGGUAAAGUCAAAUUCUUUUGAAUAAACAACUAUUUCAUAAUUUGCUUCUACUUGCAGAUUUCCCCCUCUUUAUACCAUAACAGAGAUAUUCGCUUCUUUACAUAUUGGACCGUAAGUAUAAUCAAUGCCAUUUUAACAAGUUAUAUAUUAUUGUGGUCCCCAUAUAGUUUUAUGGUAUUUCGUAGGAGUUAGAGGCACUAUUGGACUAAGUAAAGGUCUCUUUACAUCCACAAUAAUACAUGUUUCCUCUUUUUUUGUUGCUCAGAAGGACUUGAAACCGAAGGGGUGCUACAACUUGCAGUGCUCAGGAUUUGUUUCUGCAAGUCGAGCUAAUCUGGUGCCUGGACAAGCCAUGGCUCCUCCAUCAAUUUAUGGCAAACAAGACCACUACGUUAGGCUUAGCCUCAACAAGGUGCACCAUUUGUCCCAUUCUAGAGAUUACUAUAUCGAUAUAAAUUCACAAAUGUGCUCCUAUUUUUUCUAUAACUAGAUGAAACAUGCACGUUCCUGCAGUAACCCCAUUGAAUGAAACAUGUAAAUAGAUGCUAUAAGAGCAACUACAAAAGAGAAAAGGUAGGAUUGUGGUUAACAGAAUGUCAUUUUUCUAUCAAAAAUGUGAAACAUGAACUACAUAAGUAUCCUCAGAGUGUCCAACACAUGAUCCAUUCACGACAACAAAAAAUAAACGCAAAAACAGUAAUUUAUGAGGGGCAUGCAUGACUUGCUGGCGUGUAGGACUGCAUGGAUAGGAAAAACAAGCACAUAUGAAAAAUAUAACUUAUACGAACAUGCAUGACUUGUUGAUGUGGUAUGGCUGCACACAUAGAAAGAAAAGUAAACGUAUAACUAACAUGUAUGACUUGUUGACGUGGCAUGGCUGCUUGAAUAGGAAAAAUAGGUAGUGUAUUGCAACUAUUUAAGAAUAGAGGAUUAAAAUUAACAAAGAUAGAUUUUAUGAAUGUUAAAAUUAGUUAGGCAUAAAUUCACAUGGUUACUAAGUAACAUGCUUUCUAUUUUAUUAAGAAAAUAUGGAACAUUGGAAUCUAGGAAAUUGUACGCCACCCAAGAUUCUUGCUAAUAACAACAUGUUUUCUGGAGUACUCUGCUUGUGCAUGAAAUUUAUUGUUCAUGGAUGUCAUCAAUCCCUUGUUGACUACAGGAUCCAAAUUCCGGAGAUUGGGUGGUGUACCGUCAUGAUUUACAGAAACCAUCAUUCUUGGGACAUUUUCCAAAUAAGCUUUGCCCCGGAACACCACGUAUACAAGCCUUGACUGGAUUCGUGAAUUACUUGAAGAAUGCACAUGGUCCUCCAAUGGGUAGCGGCCACUUCCCCGAUUAUGACGAUAAGAGAUCUGCGUACUUCAAGCACAUUCAGAACUACAAUCCAAAUGGUCAUUCUUCCGACCUCUUUGGCAUUCCCAUGAUCAAGUUAGUUGAUAGGCCAGAUUGUUAUGGAGCGAAUAAUUUAUUUCUUGAAUAUAAGAAGGGUUAUAUGUUCAACUAUUGUGGACCAAGUGGUUGUGUUGGUUGACAACAAAAGUUGUAUUGCCAUUUGGAUUCAAUAAACAAAAAAUAUGUUACUUAAUGGUCAAAGACUAUCACUUAAGCCAUUCCCAACACGUGCGGUUGUGACGGGGAGCUAGGUAAUUCAUGUUUAAGUAAUGGAAAUUGAUUAUAUUCAAACGACUGAUUACUUGCGGGUGUAAACCUCCUCCGACGCCCGCCACGCGUCCCUAUGGACCUACUCAACGUUUAUCCAUCUGCCACCCUUAUCUCUUCUUCUACGCGCCCGAACCACUCUUUUUUUUUNNNNNNNNNNNNNNNNNNNNNNNNNNNNNNNNNNNNNNNNNNNNNNNNNNNNNNNNNNNNNNNNNNNNNNNNNNNNNNNNNNNNNNNNNNNNNNNNNNNNCUUAUCCAACUAAUCAUUUGGUUUGUUGUGUUUGGUGCAACUACUUACUAGCGAGAUUUUGGAUUUUCUUGAUAGUUGCUUUUUGCUGAAAUCAUCUGGUUGUAAGGAAUGUUGGAUAACGACCAAUGACUCAUCUUCUUCACUUUACACUGCAAACAUUGAUCUAGAUUAUGUCCCUUUUUGAAAUUUAGUUUGUGAAGCUCUACAUGUUGUUAGGCUUAUCCAUAUUGGCAUGGCUUGAGUGGAACUAAGUUUGUAAGCUUGUGUGCGUCAUUAUGAUGGAUCACACUAUUAAUGUGAUGAUUGUUCUAGAAAUUAUCUUUCCAAAACUGACUUUAUGUUUUUUUGCCCAAUAUGAUUCUAAGUUGGAUAACUAGACAUGACUCAUCAAAUAACAAGAUAAACCGAGUAGCAAGUUGGGGGUUAUAAGUUAUAACAUGGACUUUUCUCUAAGAUACACCAUCUUGUCUUGCAUGCUAUGUGGAUUUCAAAAGCAUCUACUAAUUUAGAUGCAAUUGAAACAAAAGUAGACCGGAAAGAUAAGCAAUGAAAUGAGAAUACUAUUAUGUGAAGCUCUACAUGUCUGGUAAGCAGUAAGAUACUGGAUACAUCUAUAUCUUCAAUCCUGACAGUUUUUCUCAUCCCCAUCAACUCUUUAUUGGCUGCCUUUACUGUAGUCAUCCCUUAAAUAAAAAUCACUUAAAGAUAAGUUUGGGAGCUAGUACCAGCAUCUAUCAUGUACAAGAUAGAAAACUAAGGCACAUAUAGUAGUCUAUCGACCAUAUUUAAUUUCUUGUGAUGUGAAAGCAUGUGGAGUAUAAGCUCGUUAAAUAUAAAGUUGUCCUUCAUACCAGUAAGGAAAGAAUAUGCAGUAUAAAGAUUAGAGCAUUGGAUUAAUAUGCUAUUAAAUGCUACAGGAUAAUCGACAGUUCAAGUUAAGAACAACAAUAGCAUUCCAACUUUUGUCUUAUGCAAGUUAAGAACAUGCUAACAAAGUAACCUAAGCAAAUAAGUGCCAAACCUUCACCUAUAAGGAAGUUUUGAAACUACACAAAAUGACCUAUUUUAACGAAGGAAAAAAUCUAAAGGUGAAUGAAAGCACGUUAAGUACAUUCAGGAUUCGGUUAUGCCUUCGUGGAUAACCUUUUAGAUGGUGACUUGUCAACCUUGAUGUGUGUCGGCAUGGAACGAGGACAAGAAGACGUCGUUGUGUCGUACUUUGGGAAUUUCAUCAAACUGGUUGUGCGCGGGAACAAAUAUUUGUCGCCUCCCUACUCAAAUCUCUCUUCAUGUCACUGAAUCCGACACUCCACCUACCAAAUCUGCUGCAAGCCAGGGACAAUCAACAGGUUUCUCCGCCCGUAGCAUCUAUCACCAAAAGAAGUUCAGACUAUAGUCUUGUAGUUCAAAAUUUUGUAAUAACAAGCACUACUAGGUUGCUUUUGUUUGUACGUCUUCAUUCUAUACAACCCAUGGAACUAAAAAUGCAUUGGUCAUUCUUCGGUAUAUACAACCAAUGCAACCAAAAAUGCAUUGGGCUUUUCUUUGUACAUCUUCAGGUUCUACAACCAAUGCAACAAAAAAUCCAUUGGGCAGUCUUCCAUUCUAGUCGGGCACCAAUAGUUAAACGAGGAGCUAAACAGUGUUGGAGUCUAAAACUACAUACAAUCAUGAAGCAGAGAGAUGCGACUUGGAAGCUGUGCUCCUGUGAGCUCGUAUUUUUUGAAGAAAAAAGUAAUAUUUGAAUUUUGAAGUGGAAAAAAUCCUAAAAAGGGAUGUUUUGCGGGUUAUAACUUACUAUUUUUGAGUCCUGGGCUGCAGGAAGGUCGUCAAAAAUCAAUGUGUUUUCCCAUUCAUGCAUGUUUCUUGGGUUAUAGGUCACGCUUUUGGUGUCCUAAGGAGAUCACUUCCCUAGUCAGGAACAUUAGGUGAUGAUUUUUAGCAAAACUCAUUGUUUUAGCCUAACUAGUUUCGAGGAUUGGUGGACGAGAUUAUCAUGGAACAAAGUGACAACCUUCCUUUUCUUCAUGCCUAAUAUAAACUUAGCAGUCAGCUAAAAGUAACUAGCGAUAUCAUCGAAUGUUUUUUGUCAAAAGUAGAUACCACUUCAGGAUUCAACUCGGUUAGUUCAAUCACAGACAUGUUAAGAGCAGGAUUUACAACUAACUGCAUAGGCAACAUCUCCUUUUAUCGCCCACUAUAUGUCUUUGCACUUUGGUUUUCCCGUAGCAGCAAACAAAGCACUUUGUUAGUACCAAUAAUGUGCGCCAACUCUACACAUUAAUCAUCUUGAAUUCUUCUACUGAUGUUGAACAAUGUUAUAUCUUGAAUUCUUCUAACGAGUUCGGAUUAGACUACAUGGGCAAUUUAUGUGGUCCCUGAGAUGCAAGGUCGAUGAACAAUCGCUUCGUCUUAUGACGAGGGAUUGUUUUUGCCUAAGAAACCAAUACAUGUAACUUCGACACCAGAUUAAUAAUUGGUAAAACCCAAAUAAAUUAGAUCACGAGCUAAACCAUUUACUUUUGUAUGCAUUUAAACUGUUGAUACAUAUGAGCUUGUUAAGAUGUUCGCAUAAACACCAUGGUGAUUUGAAGCAAGACAAAGUAAACUUGAACCGCUUGAGCCAUUGACUUAAUAAGAACCUCCUUUCCCGUGGCAGAGAUUGUUUUUAAUACAUCCACUCACUUUGGUUCUCUUGUGAAAUCUGAUUCCUUCACCAAGGCUAUUGCUCCAGUAUUGUCACAAAAGAUUUUUAUUGGACCCGAUGCACUAGUUAUGACACCUAGAUCAUAUAUGAACUCCUUCAUCCCGACUCCUUCAUUUGCUGCUUCCGAAGCAGCUAUGUACUCCUCUUCACACGUAGAUCCCUCCACGAUGCUUUGCUUGGAACUGGACCAACUGACAGGUCCACCAUUCAAUAUAAAUACAUAUCCGGUUUGUGACUUAGAGUCAUCCGGAUCAGUGUCAAAGCUUGCAUCGACGUAACUAUUUACGACGAGCUCUUUGUCACCUCCAUAAACGAGAAACAUAUCCUUAGUCCUUUUCAGGUAUUUCAGGAUGUUCUUGACUGCUGUCUGGUGAUCCACUCCUGGAUUACUUUGGUACCUCCCUGCUAAACUAAUAGCAAGGCACAUAUCAGGUCUGGUACACAGCAUUGCAUACAUGAUAGAACCUAUGGCUGAAGCAUAGGGAAUGACUUUCAUUUUCUCUCUAUCUUCUACAGUGGUCGGGCAUUGAGUCUGACUCAACUUCACACCUUGUAACACAGGCAAGAACCCUUUCUUUGCUUGAUCCAUUUUGAACUUCUUCAAAACUUUAUCAAGGUAUGUGCUUUGUGAAAGUCCAAUUAACUGUCUUGAUCUAUCUCUAUAGUUCUUGAUGCCCAAUAUAUAAGCAGCUUCACCGAGGUCUUUCAUUGAAAAAUUCUUAUUCAAGUAUCCUUUUAUGCUAUCCAGAAAUUCCGUAUCAUUUCCGAUCAACAAUAUGUCAUCCACAUAUAAUAUCAGAAAUGCUACAGAGCUCCCACUCACUUUUUUGUAAAUACAGGCUUCUCCAAAAGUCUGUAUAAAACCAUAUGCUUUGAUCACACUAUCAAAGCGUAUAUUCCAACUCCGAGAGGCUUGCACCAGUCCAUAAAUUGAUCGCUGGGGCUUGCACACUUUGUUAGCACCUUUUGGAUCGACAAAACCUUCUGGUUGCAUCAUAUACAACUCUUCUUUAAGAUAUCCAUUAAGAAAUGCAGUUUUGACAUCCAUUCGCCAAAUCUCAUAAUCAUAAAAUGCGGCAAUUGCUAACAUGAUUCGGAAAGACUUAAGCAUCGCUACGGGUGAGAAGGUCUCAUCAUAGUCAACUCCGUGAAUUUGUCGAAAACCUUUCGCAACAAGUUGAGCUUUGUAGACAGUAACAUUACCGUCAGCGUCAGUCUUCUUCUUGAAGAUCCAUUUAUUCUCUAUGGCUUGCCGAUCAUCGGGAAAGUCAACCAAAUCCACACUUUGUUCUCAUACAUUGAUCCCAUCUCAGAUUUUAUGGCCUCAAGCCAUUUUGAGAAAUCUGGGCUCAUCAUUGCUUCCUCAUAGUUCGUAGGUUCGUCAUGGUCGAGUAACAUGACCUCCAGAACAGGAUUACCGUACCACUCUGGUGCGGAUCUUACUCUGGUUGACCUACGAGGUUCAGCGGUAACUUGAUCUGAAGUUUCAUGAUCAUCAUCAUUAGCUUCCUCACUAAUUGGUGUAGGAAUCAUUGGAACUGAUUUCUGUGAUGAACUACUUUCCAAUUUGGGAGCAGGUACAAUUACCUCAUCAAGUUCUACUUUCCUCCCACUCACUUCUUUCGAGAGAAAGUCCUUCUCUAGAAAGGAUCCUUUCUUAGCAACGAAUAUCUUGCCUUCGGAUCUGUGAUAGAAGGUGUGCCCAACAGUCUCCUUUGGGUAUCCUAUGAAGACACAUUUCUCCGAUUUGGGUUCGAGCUUAUCAGGUUGAAGCUUUUUCACAUAAGCAUCGCAGCCCCAAACUUUAAGAAACGACAACUUGGGUUUCUUGCCAAACCACAGUUCAUAUGGUAUCAUCUCAAUGGAUUUAGAUGGUGCCCUAUUUAACGUGAAUGCAGCCGUCUCUAAAGCAUAACCCCAAAAAGAUAGCGGUAAAUCAGUAAGAGACAUCAUAGAUCGCACCAUAUCUAAUAAAGUGCGGUUACGAUGUUCGGACACACCAUUAUGCUGUGGUGUUCCGGGUGGCGUGAGUUGCGAAACUAUUCCGCAUUGUUUCAAAUGAAGACCAAACUCGUAACUCAAAUAUUCACCUCCAUGAUCAAAUCGUACAAACUUUAUUUUCUUGUUACGAUGUUUUUCCAAUUCACUCUGAAAUUCUUUGAAUUUUUCAAAUGUUUCAAACUUAUGUUUCAUCAAGUAGAUAUACCCUGCUCAAAUCAUCUGUGAAGGUCAGAAAAUAACGAUACCCGCCGCGAGCCUCAACACUCAUCGGACCGCAUACAUCAGUAUGUAUUAUUUCCAACAAGUCUGUUACUCGCUCCAUUAUUCCAGAGAACGGAGUCUUAGUCAUCUUGCCCAUGAGGCAUGGUUCGCAAGCAUCAAGUGAUUCCAAAAGUCCAUCAUGAUGGAGUUUCUUCAUGCGCUUUACACCAAUAUGACCUAAACGGCAGUGCCACAAUAAGUUGCACUAUCAUUAUUAACCUUGCAUCUUUUGGCUUCAAUAUUAUGAAUAUGUGUGUCACUACUAUCGAGAUUCAACAAAAAUAGACCACUCAUUAAGGGUGCAUGACCAUAAAAGAUAUUACUCAUAUAAAUAGAACAACCAUUAUUCUCUGAUUUAGAUGAAUAACCGCCUCGCAUCAAACAAGAUCCAGAUAUAAUGUUCAUGCUUAACGCUGGCACCAAAUAACAAUUAUUCAGGUCUAAAACUAAUCCCAACGGUAGAUGUAGAGGUAGCGUGCCGACGGCGAUCACAUCGACUUUGGAACCAUUUCCCACGCGCAUCGUCACCUCGUCCUUAGCCAAUCUUCGCUUAAUCCGUAGCCCCUGUUUCGAGUUGCAAAUAUGAGCAACAGAACCAGUAUCAAAUACCCAGGCGCUACUACGAGCAUUAAUAAGGUACACAUCAAUAACAUGUAUAUCAAAUAUACCUUUCACUUUGCCAUCCUUCUUAUCCGCCAAAUACUUGGGGCAGUUCCGCUUCCAGUGACCAGUCCCUUUGUAGUAGAAGCACUCAGUCUCAGGCUUAGGUCCAGACUUGGGCUUCUUCACUUGAACAACAACUUGCUUGUCGUUCUUCUUGAAGUCCCCUUCUUCCCUUUGCCCUUUUUCUUGAAACUAGUGGUCUUGUUAACCAUCAACACUUGAUGCUCCUUCUUGAUUUCUACCUCUACAGCCUUUAGCAUUGCGAAGAGCUCGGGAAUUGUCUUAUCCAUCCCUUGCAUAUUAUAGUUCAUCAUGAAGCUUUUGUAGCUUGGUGGCAGUGAUUGAAGAACUCUGUCAAUGACACUAUCAUCAGGAAGAUUAACUCCCAGUUGAGUCAAGUGGUUGUGGUACCCAGACAUUCUGAGUAUAUGUUCACUGGUAGAACUAUUCUCCUCCAUCUUGCAGCUGUAGAACUUAUUGGAGACUUCAUAUCUCUCAAUCCGGGCAUUUGCUUGAAAUAUUAACUUCAACUCCUGGAACAUCUCAUAUGCUCCAUGACGUUCAAAACGUCGUUGAAGUCCCGAUUCUAAGCUGUAAAGCAUGGCACACUGAACUAUCGAGUAGUCAUCGGCUUUGCUUUGCCAGACGUUCAUAACGUCCGGUGUUGCUCCUGCAGCGGGUCUUGCACCUAGCGGUGCUUCCAGGACGUAAUUCUUCUGUGUGACAAUGAGGAUAAUCCUCAAGUUACGGACCCAGUCCGUGUAGUUCCUACCAUCAUCUUUCAAGUUAGCUUUCUCUAGGAACGCAUUAAAAUUCAAAGGAACAGUAGCACGGCCAUUGAUCUACAACAACAUAGACAUGCAAAAUACUAUCAGGUACUAAGUUCAUGAUAAAUUAAAGUUCAAUUAAUCAUAUUAAUUAAGAACUCCCACUUAGAUAGACAUCCCUCUAGUCAUCUAAAUGAUCACGUGAUCCAUAUCAACUAAACCAUGUCUGAUCAUCACGUGAGAUGGAGUAGUUUCAAUGGUGAACAUCACUAUGUUGAUCAUAUCUACUAUAUGAUUCACGCUCGACCUUUCGGUCUCAGUGUUCCGAGGCCAUAUCUGCAUAUGCUAGGCUCUUCAAGUUUAACCCAAGUAUUCUGCGUGUGCAAAACUGGCUUGCACCCGUUGUAUGUGAACGUAGAGCUUAUCACACCCGAUCAUCACGUGGUGUCUCGGCACGACGAACUGUAGCAACGGUGCAUACUCAGGGAGAACACUUGUACCUUGAAAUUUAGUGAGAGAUCAUCUUAUAAUGCUACCGCCGUACUAAGCAAAAUAAGAUGCAUAAAGGAUAAACAUCACAUGCAAUCAAAAUAAGUGAUAUGAUAUGGCCAUCAUCAUCUUGUGCCUUUGAUAUCCAUCUCCAAAGCACCGUUAUGAUCACCAUCGUCACCGGCUUGACACCUUGAUCUCCAUCGUAGCAUCAUUGUCAUCUCGCCAACUAUUAUUUCUACGACUAUCGCUACCGCUUAGUGAUAAAGUAAAGCAAUUAGAUGGCGAUUGCAUUUCAUACAAUAAAGCGACAACCAUAAGGCUCCUGCCAGUUGCCGAUAACUUUUACAAAACAUGAUCAUCUCAUACAACAAUUUAUAUAUCAUCACGUCUUGACCAUAUCACAUCACAGCAAGCCCUGCAAAAACAAGUUAGACGUCCUCUACUUUGUUGUUGCAAGUUUUACGUGGCUGCUACGGGCUUCUAGCAAGAACCGUUCUUACCUACGCAUCAAAACCACAACGAUUUUUCGUCAAGUGUGUUGUUUUAACCUUCAACAAGGACCGGGCAUAGUCAAACUCGAUUCAACUAAAGUUGGAGAAACAGACACCCACUAGCCACAUGUGUGUGAAGCACGUCGGUAGAACCAGUCUCAUGAACGCGGUCAUGUAAUGUCGGUCUGAGCCGCUGCAUCCAACAAUACCGCCGAAUCAAAGUAAGACGUUGUUGGUAAGUAGUAUGACUAUUAUCGUCCACAACUCAUUGUGUUCUACUCGUGCAUAUAACAUCUACACAUAGACCUGGCUCGGAUGCCACUGUUGGGGAACGUCGUAUUUCAAAAAAAAUCCUACGAUCACGCAAGAUCUAUCUAGGAGAAGCAUAGCAACGAGCGGGGAGAGUGUGUCCACGUACCCUCGUACACUGAAAGCGGAAGCGUUUAGUAACGUGGUUGAUGUAGUCGAACGUAUUCGCGAUCCAACCGAUCCAAGCACCGAACGUACGCACCUCCGCGUUCAGCACACGUUCAGCUCGAUGACGUCCCUCGAGCUCUUGAUCCAGUUGAGGCCGAGGGAUAGUUCCGUCAGCACGAUGGCGUGGCGACGGUGAUGAUGAAGUUACCGGCACAGGGCUUCGCCUAAGCACUACGACGAUAUGACCGAGGUGUGUAACUGUGGAGGGGGGGCACUGCACACGGCUAAGAGAAACUUGUGUGUCUUUGGGGUGCCCCCCUCCCACGUAUAUAAAGGGGGAGGAGGAGGAGGCCGGCCCAAGGGGGGCGCGCCACAUGUGGGGAGUCCUAUCUUCUCUCCCAUGGCCCAUAAGGCCCAUGACUUCCCCCGGGGGGUUCCGGUAACCUCCCGGUACUCCGGAAAAAUGCCUGAAUCACUCGGAACCAUUCCGAUGUCCGAAUGCAACCUUCCAAUAUAUGAAUCUUUACCUCUCGACCAUUUCGAGACUCCUCGUCAUGUCUGUGAUCUCAUUCGGGACUCCAAACAAACUUCGGUCAUCAAAUCACAUAACUCAUAAUACAAAUCGUCAUCGAACGUUAAGCGUGCGGACCCUACGGGUUCGAGAACUAUGUAGACAUGACCGAGACACAUCUCCGGUCAAUAACCAAUAGCAGAACCUGCAUGCUCAUAUUGGCUCCUACAUAUUCUACGAAGAUCUUUAUCGGUCAAACCGCAUAACAACAUACGUUGUUCCCUUUGUCAUAUGUAUGUUAUUUGCCCGAGAUUCGAUCGUCGGUAUCCUCAUACCUAGUUCAAUCUCGUUACCGGUAAGUCUCUUUAAUCGUUCCGUAAUUCAUCAUCUCGUAACUAAAUCAUUAGUCACAUUGCUUGCAAGGCUUAUAGUGAUGUGCAUUACUGAGAGGGCCCGGAGAUACCUCUCCGAUACACGGAGUGACAAAUCCUAAUCUCGAUCUAUGCCAACUUAACAAACACCAUCGGAGACACCUGUAGAGCAUCUUUAUAAUCACCCAGUUACGUUGUGACGUUUGAUAGCACACUAAGUGUUCCUCCGGUAUUCGGGAGUUGCAUAAACUCAUAGUCAUAGGAACAUGUAUAAGUCAUGAAGAAAGCAAUAGCAAUAAACCUAAACGAUCAUUAUGCUAAGAUAACGGAUGGGUCUUAUCCAUCACAUCAUUCUCUAAUGAUGUGAUCCCGUUCAUCAAAUGACAACACAUGUCUAUGGUUAGGAAACUUAACCAUCUAGUAGAGGCAUACUAGGGACACUCUGUUUGUCUAUGUAUUCACACAUGUACUAAGUUUCUAGUUAAUACAAUUCUAGCAUGAAUAAUAAAGAUUUAUCAUGAUAUAAGGAAAUAUAAAUAACAACUUUAUUAUUGCCUCUAGGGCAUAUUUCCUUCAGGAAGGGCAUAGCGGGUGGGAGGGAGAAGGGGAAUUAAGAGAGUGUGGGUUUGAGUUUGGGCCUCCGCACGCUAUGUGUACACAUGUGUUGGUGGCUCGAUAGUAGUGGUUGUUGGAUAACGUAGUAAUUUCAAAAAAAUUCCUACGAACACGCAAGAUCAUGGUGAUGCACAGCAACGAGAGGGGAGAGUGUUUUCCACGUACCCUAGACCGAAAGAGGAAGCGUUAACACAACGUGGUUGAUGUAGUCGUACGUCUUCAUGAUCUGACCGAUCAAGUACCAAACGCACGGCACCUCGGAGUUCAGCACACGUUCAGCUCGAUGACGUCCCUCAAACUCCGAUCCAGCCGAGUGUUGAGGGAGAGUUUCGUCAGCACGACGGCGUGGUGACGAUGCUGAUGCUCUACCGACGCAGGGCUUCGCCUAAGCUCCGCUACGAUAUUAUCGAGGUGUAAUAUGGUGGAGGGGGCACCGCACACGGCUAAAAGAUCGUUGAUCAAUUGUGUGUCCAGAGGUGCCCCCUACCCCCGUAUAUAAAGGUGCAAGGGGGAGGCCGCCGGCCUAGGAGGUAGAGGCGCGCCAGGAGGAGUCCUACUCCUACCGGGAGUAGGACUCCCCCCCUUUCCAUGUUGGACUAGGAGUGGAAGGGGGAAGAGGUGGAGGGGAGGAAGGAAGGGGGGGCGCCGCCCCCUUCUCCUUGUCCUAUUCGGACUGGGGGGAAGGGGGGUGCGGCCCUGCCCUAGCCUCCUCUCCUCUCUUCCACCUAGGCCCAAUAAGGCCCAUUAAGUUACCGGGGGGGUCCGGUAACCUCCCGGUACUCCGGAAAAAUCCCGAUUUCACCCGAAACACUUCUGAUGUCCAAACAUAGGCUUCCAAUAUAUCAAUCUUUAUGUCUCGACCAUUUCGAGACUCCUCGUCAUGUCCGUGAUCACAUCCGGGACUCCGAACAACCUUCGGUACAUCAAAACAUAUAAACUCAUAAUAUAACUGUCAUCGUAACGUUAAGCGUGCGGACCCUACGGGUUCGAGAACUAUGUAGACAUGACCGAGACACCUCUCCGGUCAAUAACCAAUAGCGGAACCUGGAUGCUCAUAUUGGUUCCCACAUAUUCUACGAAGAUCUUUAUCGGUCAGACCGCAUAACAACAUACGUUGUUCCCUUUGUCAUCGGUAUGUUACUUGCCCGAGAUUCGAUCGUCGGUAUCUCGAUACCUAGUUCAAUCUCGUUACCGGCAAGUCUCUUUACUCGUUCCGUAAUACAUCAUCCCGCAACUAACUCAUUAGUCACAAUGCUUGCAAGGCUUAAAGUGAUGUGUAUUACUGAGUGGGCCCAGAGAUACCUCUCCGACAAUCGGAGUGACAAAUCCUAAUCUCGAAAUACGCCAACCCAACAAGUACCUUUGGAGACACCUGUAGAGCACCUUUAUAAUCACCCAGUUACGUUGUGACGUUUGGUAGCACACAAAGUGUUCCUCCGGUAAACGGGAGUUGCAUAAUCUCAUAGUCAUAGGAACAUGUAUAAGUCAUGAAGAAAGCAAUAGCAACAUACUAAACGAUCGAGUGCUAAGCUAACGGAAUGGGUCAAGCCAAUCACGUCAUUCUCCUAAUGAAGUGAUCCCGUUAAUCAAAUGACAACUCAUGUCUAUGGCUAGGAAACAUAACCAUCUUUGAUUAACGAGCUAGUCAAGUAGAGGCAUACUAGUGACACUCUGUUUGUCUAUGUAUUCACACAUGUAUUAUGUUUCCGGUUAAUACAAUUCUAGCAUGAAUAAUAAACAUUUAUCAUGAUAUAAGGAAAUAAAUAAUACUUUAUUAUUUCCUCUAGGGCAUAUUUCCUUCAGUCUCCCACUUGCACUAGAGUCAAUAAUCUAGAUUACACAGUAAUGAUUCUUACACCCAUGGAGUCUUGGUGCCGAUCAUGUUUUGCUCGUGGAAGAGGCUUAGUCAACGGGUCUGCAACAUUCAGAUCCGUAUGUAUCUUGCAAAUUUCUAUGUCUCCCACCUGGACUAAAUCCCGGAUGGAAUUGAAGCGUCUUUUGAUGUGCUUGGUUCUCUUGUGAAAUAUGGAUUCCUUUGCUAAGGCAAUUGCACCAGUAUUGUCACAAAAGAUUUUCAUUGGUCCCGAUGCACUAGGUAUGACACCUAGAUCGGAUAUGAACUCCUUCAUCCAGACUCCUUCAUUUGCUGCUUCCAAAGCAGCUAUGUACUCCGCUUCACACGUAGAUCCCGCCAUGACACUUUGCUUAGAACUGCACCAACUGACAGCUCCACCGUUCAAUGUAAAUACGUAUCCGGUUUGCGAUUUACAAUCGUCCGGAUCAGUGUCAAAGCUUGCAUCAACGUAACCAUUUACGAUGAGCUCUUUGUCACCUCCAUAAACGAGAAACAUAUCCUUAGUCCUUUUCAGGUAUUUCAGGAUGUUCUUGACCGCUGUCCAGUGAUCCGCUCCUGGAUUACUUUGGUACCUCCCUGCUAAACUUAUAGCAAGGCACACAUCAGGUCUGGUACACAGCAUUGCAUACAUGAUAGAGCCUAUGGCUGAAGCAUAGGGAACAUCUUUCAUCUUCUCUCUAUCUUCUGCAGUGGUCGGGCAUUGAGUCUUACUCAAUCUCACACCUUGUAGUACAGGCAAGAACCCUUUUUUGCUUGAUCCAUUUUGAACUUCUUCAAAACUUUGUCAAGGUAUGUGCUUUGUGAAAGUCCAAUUAAGCGUCUUGAUCUAUCUCUAUAGAUCUUGAUGCCUAAUAUAUAUGCAGCUUCACCGAGGUCUUUCAUUGAAAAGCUCUUAUUCAAGUAUCCCUUUAUGCUAUCCAGAAAUUCUAUAUCAUUUCCAAUCAGCAAUAUGUCAUCCACAUAUAAUAUUAGAAAUGCUACUGAGCUCCCACUCACUUUCUUGUAAAUACAGGCUUCUCCAAAAGUCUGUAUAAAACCAAAUGCUUUGAUCACACUAUCAAAGCGUUUAUUCCAACUCCGAGAGGCUUGCACCAGUCCAUAAAUGGAUCACUGGAGCUUGCACACUUUGUUAGCUCCCUUUGGAUUUACAAAACCUUCCGGUUGCAUCAUAUACAACUCUUCUUCCAGAAAUCCAUUCAGGAAUGCAGUUUUGACAUCCAUUUGCCAAAUUUCAUAAUCAUAAAAUGCGGCAAUUGCUAACAUGCAUGAUUCGGACAGAGUUAAGCAUCGCUACGGGUGAGAAGGUAUCAUCGUAGUCAAUCCCUUGAACUUGUCGAAAACCUUUCGCAACAAGUCGAGCUUUAUAGACAGUAACAUUACCGUCAGCGUCAGUCUUCUUCUUGAAGAUCCAUUUAUUUUCAAUGGCUUGCCGAUCAUCGGGCAAGUCAACCAAAGUCCAUACUUUGUUCUCAUACAUGGAUCCCAUCUCGGAUUUCAUGGCUUCAAGCCAUUUUGCGGAAUCUGGGCUCACCAUCGCUUCUUCAUAGUUCGUAGGUUCGUCAUGGUCUAGUAACAUAACCUCCAGAACAGGAUUACCGUACCACUCUGGUGCGGAUCUUAAUCUGGUUGAUCUACGAGGUUCAGUAAUAACUUGAUCUGAAGUUUCAUGAUCAUUAUCAUUAACUUCCCCACUAAUUGGUGUAGGUGUCGCAGAAACUGGUUUCUGUGAUGAUCUACUUUCCAAUAAGGGAGCAGGUACAGUUACCUCAUCAAGUUCUACUUUCCUCCCACUCACUUCUUUCGAGAGAAACUCCUUCUCUAGAAAGGAUCCAUUCUUAGCAACGAAUGUCUUGCCUUCGGAUCUGUGAUAGAAGGUGUACCCAACAGUCUCCUUUGGGUAUCCUAUGAAGACACAUUUCUCCGAUUUAGGUUCGAGAUUAUCAGGUUGAAGUUUCUUCACAUAAGCAUCGCAACCCCAAACUUUAAGAUACGACAACUUUGGUUUCUUGCCAAACCAUAGUUCAUAAGGUGUCGUUUCAACGGAUUUUGAUGGUGCCCUAUUUAGAGUGAAUGUAGCCGUCUCUAAAGCAUAACCCCAAAACGACAGCGGUAAAUCAGUAAGAGACAUCAUAGAUCGCACCAUAUCUAGUAAAGUACGAUUACGACGUUCGGACACACCGUUACGCUGUGGUGUUCCGGGUGGCGUGAGUUGCGAAACUAUUCUGCAUUGUUUCAAAUGUAGGCCAAACUCGUAACUCAAAUAUUCUCCUCCACGAUCUGAUCGUAGAAACUUUAUUUUCUUGUUACGAUGAUUUCCAACUUCGCUCUGAAAUUCUUUGAACUUUUCAAAUGUUUCAGACUUAUGUUUCAUUAAGUAGAUAUACCCAUAUCUGCUCAAAUCAUCUGUGAAGGUGAGAAAAUAACGAUAUCCGCCACGAGCCUCAAUAUUCAUCGGACCACAUACAUCUGUAUGUAUGAUUUCCAAUAAAUUUGUUGCUCUCUCCAUAGUUCCGGAGAACGGUGUUUUAGUCAUCUUGCCCAUGAGGCACGGUUCGCAAGUACCAAGUGAUUCCAAAAGUCCAUCGGUAUGGAGUUUCUUCAUGCGCUUUACACCGAUAUGACCUAAACGGCAGUGCCACAAAUAAGUUGCACUGUCAUUAUCAACUCUGCAUCUUUUGGCUUCGACAUUAUGAAUAUGUGUGUCACUACUAUCGAGAUUCAUUAAAAAUAGACCACUCUUCAAGGGUGCAUGACCAUAAAAGAUAUUAUUCAUAUAAAUAGAACAACCAUUAUUCUCUGAUUUAAAUGAAUAACCGUCUCGCAUUAAACAAGAUCCAGAUAUAAUGUUCAUGCUCAACGCUGGCACCAAAUAACAAUUAUUUAGGUCUAAAACUAAUCCCGAAGGUAGAUGUAGAGGUAGCGUGCCGACCGCGAUCACAUCGACUUUGGAACCAUUUCCCACGCGCAUCGUCACCUCGUCCUUAGCCAAUCUUCGCUUAAUCCGUAGCCCCUGUUUCGAGUUGCAAAUAUUAGCAACAGAACCAGUAUCAAAUACCCAGGUGCUACUGCGAGCAUUAGUAAGGUACACAUCAAUAACAUGUAUAUCACAUAUACCUUUGUUAACCUUGCCAUCCUUCUUAUCCGCCAAAUACUUGGGGCAGUUCCGCUUCCAGUGACCAGUCUGCUUGCAGUAGAAGCACUUAGUUUUAGGCUUAGGUCCAGACUUGGGUUUCUUCUCCUGAACAGCAACUUGCUUGCUGUUCUUCUUGAAGUUCCCCUUCUUCUUCCCUUUGCCCUUUUUCUUGAAACUAGUGGUCUUACUGACCAUCAACACUUGAUGCUCCUUUUUGAUUUCUACCUCUGCUGCCUUUAGCAUUGCGAAGAGCUCGGGAAUUGUCUUAUUCAUCCCUUGCAUGUUAUAGUUCAUCACGAAGCUCUUGUAGCUUGGUGGCAGUGAUUGAAGAAUUCUGUCAAUGACGCUAUCAUCCGGAAGAUUAACUCCCAGUUGAAUCAAGUGAUUAUUAUACCCCAGACAUUUUGAGUAUAUGCUCACUGACAGAACUAUUCUCUUCCAUCUUGCAGCUGUAGAACUUAUUGGAGACUUCAUAUCUCUCAAUCCGGGCAUUUGCUUGAAAUAUUAACUUCAACUCCUGGAACAUCUCAUAUGCUCCAUGACGUUCAAAACGUCGUUGAAGACCCGGUUCUAAGCCGUAAAGCAUGGCACACUGAACUAUCGAGUAGUCAUCAGCUUUGCUCUGCCAGACGUUCAUAACUUCUGGUGUUGCUCUUGCAGGAGGCCUGGCACCUAGCGGUGCUUCCAGGACGUAAUUCUUCUAUGCAGCAAUGAGGAUAAUCCUCAAGUUACGGACCCAGUCCGUGUAAUUGAUACCAUCAUCUUUCAACUUUGCUUUCUCAAGGAACGCAUUAAAAUUCAACGGAACAACAGCACGGGCCAUUUAUCUACAAUUAACAUAGACAAGCAAGAUACUAUCAGGUACUAAGUUCAUGAUAAAUUUAAGUUCUAUUAAUCAUAUUUCUUAAGAACUCCCACUUAGAUAGACAUCCCUCUAAUCAUCUAAGUGAUUACGUGAUCCAAAUCAACUAAACCAUGUCCGAUAAUCACGUGAGUUGGAGUAGUUUCAAUGGUGAACAUCACUAUGUUGAUCAUAUCUACUAUAUGAUUCACGCUCGACCUUUCGGUCUCCGUGUUCCGAGGCCAUAUCUGCAUAUGCUAGGCUCGUCAAGUUUAACCUGAGUAUUCCGCGUGUGCAACUGUUUUGCACCCGUUGUAUUUGAACGUAGAGCCUAUCACACCCGAUCAUCACGUGGUGUCUCAGCACAAAGAACUUUCGCAACGGUGCAUACUCAGGUAGAACACUUUUAUCUUGAAAUUUUAGUGAGAGGUCAUCUUAUAAUGCUACCGUCAAUCAAAGCAAGAUAAGAUGCAUAAAAGAUAAACAUCACAUGCAAUCAAUAUCAGUGAUAUGAUAUGGCCAUCAUCAUCUUGUGCUUGUGAUCUCCAUCUCCGAAGCACCGUCAUGAUCACCAUCGUCACCGGCUCGACACCUUGAUCUCCAUCGUAGCAUCGUUGUCGUCUCGCCAACUAUUGCUUUUACGACUAUCGCUACCGCUUAGUGAUAAAGUAAAACAAUUACAUGGCGAUUGCAUUGCAUACAAUAAGCGACAGCCAUAUGGCUCCUGCCAGUUGCCGAUAACUCGGUUACAAAAAAUGAUCAUCUCAUACAAUAAAAUAUAGCAUCAUGUCUUGACCAUAUCACAUCACAACAUGCCCUGCAAAAACAAGUUACACGUCCUCUACUUCGUUGUUGCAAGUUUUACGUGGCUGCUACGGGCUUAGCAACAACCGUUCUUACCUACGCAUCAAAACCACAAUGAUGGUUUGUCAAGUUGGUGCUGUUUUAACCUUCGCAAGGACCGGGCGUAGCCACACUCGGUUCAACUAAACUGAGAGAGACAGACACCCGCCAGUCACCUUUAAGCAACGAGUGCACGCAACGGUGAAACCAGUCUCGCGUAAGCGUACGCGUAAUGUCGGUCCGGGCCGCUUCAUCUCACAAUACCGCCGAACCAAAGUAUGACAUGCUGGUAAGCAGUAUGACUUAUAUCGCCCACAACUCACUUGUGUUCUACUCAUGCAUAGCAUCAACGCAUAAAACCAGGCUCGGAUGCCACUGUUGGGUAACGUAGUAAUUUCAAAAAAAAUCCUACGAACACGCAAGAUCAUGGUGAUGCACAGCAACGAGAGGGGAGAGUGUUGUCCAUGUACCCUCAUAGACCGAAAGCGGAAGCGUUAACACAACGCGGUUGAUGUAGUCGUACGUCUUCACGAUCUGACCGAUCAAGUACCGAACGCACGGCACCUCCGAGUUCAGCACACGUUCAGCUCGAUGACGUCCCUCGAACUCCGAUCCAGCCGAGUGUUGAGGGAGAUUUUUGUCAGCAUGACGGUGUGGUGACGAUGAUGAUGUUCUACCGACGCAGGGCUUCGCCUAAGCUCCGGUACGAUAUUAUCGAGGUGUAAUAUGGUGGAGGGGGGCACCGCACACGGCUAAAAGAUCGUUGAUCAAUUGUGUGUCCAGAGGUGCCCCCUGCCCCCGUAUAUAAAGGUGCAAGGGGGAGGCCGCCGGCCUAGGAGGUAGAGGCGCGCCAAGAGGAGUCCUACUCCUACCGGGAGUAGGACUCCCCCCCUUUCCAUGUUGGACUAGGAGUGGAAGGGGGAAGAGGUGGAGGGGAGGAAGGAAGGGGGGCGCCGCCCCCUUCUCCUUGUCCUAUUCGGACUGGGGGGGAAGCGGGGCGCGGCCCUGCCCUAGCCUCCUCUCCUCUCUUCCACCUAGGCCCAAUAAGGCCCAUUAAGUUACCGGGGGGGUCCGGUAACCUCCCGGUACUCCGGAAAAAUCCCGAUUUCACCCGGAACACUUCCGAUGUCCAAACAUAGGCUUCCAAUAUAUCAAUCUUUAUGUCUCGACCAUUUCGAGACUCCUUGUCAUGUCCGUGAUCACAUCCGGGACUCCGAACAACCUUCGGUACAUCAAAACAUAUAAACUCAUAAUAUAACUGUCAUCGUAACGUUAAGCGUGCGGACCCUACGGGUUCGAGAACUAUGUAGACAUGACCGAGACACCUCUCCGGUCAAUAACCAAUAGCGGAACCUGGAUGCUCAUAUUGGUUCCCACAUAUUCUACGAAGAUCUUUAUUGGUCAGACCGCAUAACAACAUACGUUGUUCCCUUUGUCAUCGGUAUGUUACUUGCCCGAGAUUCGAUCGUCGGUAUCUCGAUACCUAGUUCAAUCUCGUUACCGGCAAGUCUCUUUACUCGUUCCGUAAUACAUCAUCCCGCAACUAACUCAUUAGUUACAAUGCUUGCAAGGCUUAUAGUGAUGUGCAUUACCGAGUGGGCCCAGAGAUACCUCCCGACAAUCGGAGUGACAAAUCCUAAUCUCGAAAUACGCCAACCCAACAAGUACCUUUGGAGACACCUGUAGAGCACCUUUAUAAUCACCCAGUUACGUUGUGACGUUUGGUAGCACACAAAGUGUUCCUCCGGUAAACGGGAGUUGCAUAAUCUCAUAGUCAUAGGAACAUGUAUAAGUCAUGAAGAAAGCAAUAGCAACAUACUAAACGAUCGAGUGCUAAGCUAACGGAAUGGGUCAAGCCAAUCACGUCAUUCUCCUAAUGAAGUGAUCCCGUUAAUCAAAUGACAACUCAUGUCUAUGGCUAGGAAACAUAACCAUCUUUGAUUAACGAGCUAGUCAAGUAGAGGCAUACUAGUGACACUCUGUUUGUCUAUGUAUUCACACAUGUAUUAUGUUUCCGGUUAAUACAAUUCUAGCAUGAAUAAUAAACAUUUAGCAUGAUAUAAGGAAAUAAAUAAUACUUUAUUAUUGCCUCUAGGGCAUAUUUCCUUCAGUGGCGCCGGGUUAAGACCCCACGCUACUACUAUGGCCUAUCCCGAGGGGGUACGGUAGAGACCACUUAGUAGUGGCGAGGGGUUUAUACCCCUCGCUAAUACUAUCAACUUAGUAGUAGUGAGGGAUUUAUACCCCUCCAUACUACUAUGGCCAGUCCCGGGGGGCACGGUGGAGACCACUUAGUAGUAGUGUGGGGUUUAUACCCCUCGCUACUACUAUCAACUUAGUAGUAGCGUGGGUUCUAUACCCCUCGCUACUAAUAAUUAGCAGCAGUGUGGCCCAUAUACCCCUCAAUACUGUUAAGCAUCUAUCUAUAAGGUAUUUUCUAGUAGUGCAUGGAUGGCGGCGAAAUCAGUCGUUCUGCUUGUUUUCCCUACUAGCUCUCUGACGUCCAGAACAAGUUUACGGUCAUAAGGUGCAAUGCCCUUGCCUUCGUGAGUGACACGAUGACACGGGAAUGGGCUUCCAAGCCUAUGGUGUCGCAUCGUCUCAUGGUCUGCUAGACUUAGUGGACGGAUGCUACUCCAGUAUCGGUUGAUCCCAUACUAUGAUACCAAGGAAGACACGUAACUACUAUAUAUAUAUUUCUUCAAGUCAGUCAACACAAGUAAAAUCUGGGAGUUCAACCGGUGCAGCUAUGCAAUGCUAAUGGAGACAACACAAUUCAACUUUAGCACUUCACACAUAAGCAACACCACGUUCAAUGGCACACACCUUAGAGUGUACCAAUGGUGGUUGAUUGGGCUAUAAGAAAUGUGAGUCCAUGUGAAGAUGCCAAACAUAAUAACACGGCUAAUUACACAUGCAGUGGCAGCAGCAACAAGUGCGUGAAUUCCACAAAUGAUCUAGGGUACACAUGCAACUGUGUCCUUGAGUAUGACAACAACCCUUAUCUUCUAGACAAAUGCAUGGUAUGCUACUAAUUUAUUUGCUACAAAAUCCAAUGAAUUGUGUCCUUUACUUUGUACAUACCCAAUUAUGAUAUUUGAUUUUGCUAAUACAAUGUAGCUUUCAAUUUAAACCAAGUUUUGCAUCAAUUAAUUAUGUUAGGUUCAUAUGACUUCACUACAUAAAUAGGUAGAUAAUGCAUAAGACUGAGAUUGUAGCUAGGGAUGAAAAACUAAAUAUGGCAUGAAUCUAACAAUUAUGAGUGAUGUCUUUGUGACAAGAACUUCCUUUGUCUUUUAUUCCCAUGUUUGAACUAGUAUAGGUCGGGGUUACACAUUAUGGUGCACAUCACUUUAUUUAUCAUCAUUACAUUGAACACUCAUUGACUAAACAACGAUGAUCCAUCCGUCUUGUAUUACAGGUCUUCAUUUCAUUGGCCAUCGAUGCUUGUAAGACUACUCCCAUAUGGUUGUUGUUGUGGAUAUGGUUGUUGAGGUUGGUGUGGUUGCUGGGGGAAUGGUUGUUGGGGUUGCUGGGAAAUUGUUUGUUCUAGUUGCUGGGAUAAUUGUUGUUGGGGCUGCAGAAAUGGUUGUUGUGGUUGCAGGAUGGAUGGUUGUUGGGGUUGCUGGGGUUGGGGCUGGGGAAAUGAUUGUUGUGAUUGUUGGGGUUGCUGGGAAAAUGGUUGUUGCGGUCGUAGGGGGAAUGGUUGUUGUGGUUNNNNNNNNNNNNNNNNNNNNNNNNNNNNNNNNNNNNNNNNNNNNNNNNNNNNNNNNNNNNNNNNNNNNNNNNNNNNNNNNNNNNNNNNNNNNNNNNNNNNNNNNNNNNNNNNNNNNNNNNNNNNNNNNNNNNNNNNNNNNNNNNNNNNNNNNNNNNNNNNNNNNNNNNNNNNNNNNNNNNNNNNNNNNNNNNNNNNNNNNNNNNNNNNNNNNNNNNNNNNNNNNNNNNNNNNNNNNNNNNNNNNNNNNNNNNNNNNNNNNNNNNNNNNNNNNNNNNNNNNNNNNNNNNNNNNNNNNNNNNNNNNNNNNNNNNNNNNNNNNNNNNNNNNNNNNNNNNNNNNNNNNNNNNNNNNNNNNNNNNNNNNNNNNNNNNNNNNNNNNNNNNNNNNNNNNNNNNNNNNNNNNNNNNNNNNNNNNNNNNNNNNNNNNNNNNNNNNNNNNNNNNNNNNNNNNNNNNNGCCAGGGAAAUGGUUGUUGCGGCUGUGGAAAAGGUUGUUGUGGUUGUUGGGGUUGCUGGGGGAAUGGUUGUUGUGGUUGUAGGGGGGUCGGUUGUUGGGGCUGGGUAAAUGGUUGUUGUGAUUGCUGGGGAAAUUGUGGUUGGGGUGUGGGAAAUGGUUGUUGCGAUGGAUAUGGUUGCUGUGAUGGAUAUGGUUGUUGUGGAUAUGGUUGCUGUGGAAAUGGUUGUUGUUGAUGGGAAAAUGAUUGUUGAGGUGAUUGUAGCUCUUUGUUGCUAGGGUUUAGCUGCCUAGCAGCAGUGGCGAUGUUCAUCGCCAUGGCAAGGAGGACAAAGAUGAGGAAGGUCUUCAUGUUUGAUUUGUGGUUACUACUGCUUGCUUGCCUUUGAUGCUUGUGGUCUAGGUGUGUGAAGUUUGGAUGAUGGAAGGUGUCCUUGGUGGUGCAUGUGUAUUUAUAGUUUUCAUGGCAUGGCUUGCUUUCAUCUUUGCACUCGCUUUUUGAAAAAGUG